AAGAGACAAUGCUAUUAUCUACAGGAUACAAUUUUGCAAGCCCAAAGUCAGAAACCUUUGCUUUAAAGUUCUCAUCAAGAAGGAUGUUAUGAGGCUUGAUGUCGAAAUGUAGAAUUUGCAUUUCACAACCUUGGUGUAGAUAUUCGAUCCCUUGAGCCACUCCAAGAGAAAUCUCGUACAUGUUCUUGAUAGUUAAGGGGACACUUCCUUCUUUGGAAUAAAUGUAUUUAUCAAGAGAACCAUUAGGCAUGAAGUCAUAUACUAGAGCGCGUUUUGAUCCCUCAACACAGUAUCCAACAAGUUGUACCACAUUGGCAUGGUGAAUCCUUCCGAUUGUAGCUAUUUCGCUAAUGAAAUCUUGGCCAUCAGCUUUGGGCUUGCCCAAAACUUUAACUGCUACAAAUCGACCACUGCGUAGCUUUCCCUUAAAUACAGAGCCAAAGCCACCUUCGCCCAACUUGUCCUUAAACCUGCGAGUCAUUUUCUUGACGUCCGAGUAAGAGUACCUUAUAAGCAUGAUGUUGUUAUUGCAUUGCAGAAAAUCUUCUAUUGUGCUAUACAUUGAUAAAUGUCUUCUGCGCCAUGUGUAGAUUAGAAAUGCAGUCACAACUGGAACUCCAAAAACAAAUCUGGCUAGGAAAAAUAACCCUGCAUGCAUGGACAAUAAUAUGUUAGAUCCACUGUGUACUACUUUUUCUUCCCUUUCUUUCCAAAUUACUUUAUCUUUGAUGUAAUUAAAGAGAGAGAAUGGGAAAUCUACAUAUGUUGAUAAUAUAAUCUCGUCUUAGUCCUUACCGAUCCAUAUGAGUAUAAACCAUCCAAGUGCUGCAAAAAAAUCAAUCGACUAUGAGUUUGAAAAGUGCAUAAAGUGAAAAAAAAAAAAAAAAAAAAAAAAAUCAAAGGGUGCCUUUAUUGACACCCAAAUUUUAGUUAGUUUUACUCAACUAAAAAAUUUUUGUCAUCAAACUUUUUAAUUUGCCGUCGAAAUUGAGUUCACCCAACCACAAAGCAGCAACUACCACUCACAAAAAAACCAACAACACACAGCCACCAGUACCAUUCACCAAUAGAAAGAGAAGGAACACACAGACCCACCAAGGAGCCGGCAUCGACGCAUCUACGAGGGAGGGACCGGAGGGUGGUGUAGUUUUGUUGGGCGCGCGGUGGUUGUUUUGUUUGUUCAUUUUCUCUUUCUUUUGGUAGGUGGAGGCUGGUGUGGAUUUGGGCGAACUUAAAAAUGAGGGGAAACUAUGAAGUUUGACAAAAUGUUUUAGUUAGGGGAACUUAACUAAAAUUUGGGUGCCGAUAAAGAUACCCAAUUUCAAAAAUACUUGAGCUUAUAGACUAAUUAAAUGAAGUUGAUCUUACAGAUCUCGUGGCUGUAUGAUGAAUGCCACUUGCCAGCUGCAAUAGAUACCACGGAAAAGUGAAUAAAGACAUACAGUUACUAGGUUUAAGAAGUACAGAUAGAGCACACAAAAAAUAAAAGAAGCUUUUGGGAAGAAACUUCUUACGCCAAUAGUUGUGUUCUUGACCUACAGUAAAAAAUGUGAAGAAGAAUACACAACAUUAGCAAUAGCUCACCCAGUCUUCGGAAUUUAAAAAAUCAAGUUUGUCUCGAUCGAAAACUUGUAAAUAAAACAAAAAGAGGACCCCUUACGGAUUUGGUGCCAUAGAUAUUGAAAGAAACCUACAAAAACAAAGAAAGAACAAGACCACAUGCAUUAGCAUAACAAGUGUGAGGUGUAUAAGCCGUUAGAAAAUAAAUUUAAAAUUCUAGUGCUGUCAAUACAUUGAUAAUAUAUAUAUAUAUAUAUAUAUAUAUAUAUAUAUAUAUAUGUAUUAUUUUUCUGAAAAUUUAACUUUCUCCCUCCAAACUCAUUUUUCUAGUCUCUAGCCCAUCAUAUAAUAUUUAUCAGAAUAAAACCAAAUGAUUAGGAUCCAACUAAGAAACUUACCAAAUUAAGUUUGUGUGUCCAUUUUUAUAUUUUUUGGAUCCCUAAUAUACCCCAUCUAAGCCAGUAUGGAAAGUUCUUGUAAUUUUGCUUUAAGUGAUCACGUGCAUUGAAUUUGGCAAGGUCUUGUAGCCAUGAAAUAUGGUUCCAGAUGGAGGAAUGAAUUUGGAUUUUUUUUUAAUUUCGGCAACAAAUUUCAAUUUGAAUAUACCUAAUUUAGUGUUUAUUUUCAACAAUAUCUAUUGUUUAAUUUUAUGAAAAUAAUUAACCUAAUAUGAAAAUUAAUUUUAUGAAAACAAUAUCUAUUGUUUAAUUUUAUACCUACAGGAUAAUUACAUGAAAAUAGUUUACCUACUAUGAAAAUUAAUUUUUUGAAAGCAAUAUCUAUUGUUUAAUUUUAUGAAGAUAAUUUACCUACUAUAAUUACAUGAAAAAAUUUACCUACUAUGAAAAUUAAUUUUUUGAAAACAAUAUUAUUGUUUAAUUUUAUGAAAAUAAUUUACCUACUGUAUAAUUACAUAAAAAUUAGGGAAAAUUAGAAUCCCCUACAGUUUUUAUAUAUCAUUUAGAUUAAACAUUUGUACUUUUUUAAAAUUUGAUUAAAGUGCUUUGACCAAUAGUUACCUCUAUUUUUUUAAAUUAAAAUAAUUUUUGAAUUUAUCCUUUUAUCUGCACAAUGCACUUUUCCUUAUUUAGUGGAGAUAUUAGUAAUGAAACUAUAUUUUCCCUUCUUCCAAAUAUGUUUUUUCGAUCACAGUUUUUUUUUUUUUGGGUAUGCAAACAUUUGAUAUUAUUUUUUUUCCAAAUGGUUUUUUCUUUUUCAAAUAGUUGGUGAUCAACAUAUAAGCUCUGUGUAUUUUUUUCAAUGUUUUUGUGAAAUUAUAUUUUUUUUGCUGUUUUUUAAGUAUAGUUGUUGACGAAUUAUUAUUAGGUACAAUACAUUACGUAUAUAUUAUCUGCGGGUACGUUUGAAUUUACUAAAAUCAUUAAUUGGUACGUUUGAUUUGAUACAUAUUGUUAAUAUUGGUACAUUAUUUUUAUUUUGGUACGUUUUAUUUUGAACACAUUUUGUAUUGGUACGUUUAUAGUAUUCUCAAUCCUAUUUUCUCUUAACGUACUAAAAGAAAAACUCAUUUUGGUACGUUUGAUUUUGGGGGAUUUAAAAAUAUUUUAAACUAUUUUGGAAAAAAAAAAAUCUUAAAUCGUAGAUAAUUAUUGCUAAAUUGUAGCAUUAUUGUGAAAAUAAAUUGAAUCUAACCAACUUUUUUUUUUACAAUUAUCUCUAAUGGAGGAGAGUGUAAUCAAAAGGCUAGAUUAUAGGAAAUUUGUUACAAUAUAAUGGGCAUAUAGCACCAAAAUUAUGAUAAAAAAAAGUUUAAUCAAAUCAUUAAAAGGCAUGGAUGUUUGAUCUAGAAAAUUCAAAACUGAGGCGUCUAUAUCAAAAGAUCCCUAAAAAUUAAUGUGCCUACUUUUUAAAUUUGUAACAAAAUUAAUUUACCUACUUUUUAUGGUAUUAGUAUACAUAAAUGUAGAAUAUAUGUCCGUAUAUAUUUGAUCUAAUUAGGUUUUGGAUUGGAGGAGUUGACACAAAAUUAUAAAUAUAUUAAACAAAUUUAUCUAUUCUAAAGUUGGAGGGGAAUUGGUCUGUACAUUGCUACAGUAAACAAAUGCUACUCAAUUUCACGUUAUUUACAACAAAGCUAUCAGAUUUGGGUUGGGUUGGAGGGUAAUUUGUUAAAAGUUAGGAGGGUAAUUUUGUGCAUAGGGUUUAGGUGCCCUCCUAUACAUGACCCUUGAGUUUACUUUAUUUACACCACUGCCAUCAAAUAUGUGGCUGAAUUGGAGGGUAUUAUUAAAAGUUAAGAGGGUAGUUUUGUUCAAGGGGUGGGGGCGACAUUCGCAGACGGAGGCCGAUGGGAGCCAUGCCCAUUGCACAGAGAGAAAGGGAGUGAUGGGGGAAAUUACAGACAGAAAAGGAAGGGAUGGGAGGAUUUGAUGGAUGGUCACAGAGAGAGAUUCGGUGAGGGAUGUGAGGGGAGAUUACAGAGAGAUAAAUAAAAGGGAGGGAUCGGGGGAUUUGAGGGAUGGUCAGAGAGAGAAAUAGUGAGGGAGGGAGGGAUGGGGGGGCUGAUUUUCGGUUCCUCCUUCAGAUUUGUUCCGUAAAACCUGUUGGGUACAAUUCAAUUUCCUCCCCCUUUCCCCUGAACGAAAAAUUCGAAACCUACAAUUCAAUUUCCUCCCUCCUUGGCUUUCCGCUUUACUCAUCUCCCGGUGGUUCUUUCUCUCCAUACGAUUCGAUUUCGGUGAGUUCUUCGUUGCCCUCAUGAUUUCCCAGUUUGAUUUUUUGAGCGUCCUUAGUCGUUGUUUUUAUCUGGGUUUACUGCAUUGUUGCUUUUAGUUUCUGGAUUUUUAUUUGUUCCGCGGUUCGAUGAAUCGGUUAAUAAUUUCACACCAUGGGAUUUUCGCAUGGAAUUGAGCGCGGGGAUUCGGGGUGGGGUUUUACUGAUAAUUUGUCUUCAUUCAAAUGAAUGGUUAAAAUUUCUGAAGUGAGUGUGCAGGUGGGCCCGUUCACUAACUAAGCUUUCAAGGGAACCCAUCAGCGGUUUGCUUGCUGGGGGAAUUCGGAGACUACCAGUGUAUGAUUUAGUUAUCAUUUAUUUUUUUACUUAAAUUUAUCCAUAUAUAAUAUGUGGGUAAAUUUACACUAAACAAUUGUGAUAAGCCAAUAUGCCAUACGACUUUGAAAGCAUUGAUUUUGUGUUUAGUUUGCAUUUUUGCAUUGUGAAUGUUGAAUUUUGUGUUUGAAUUUGUAGCAUGAUCUUCCGCUGCAGCAUCCAAAUUUUGCAUUUGUAAAUUGUCAAAGAAAAACGAAGUAUGAGGAAAUUAUAGGAGAUUGUGUCGGCUUUGGCCAUGAAGGGUAUCAGCAGCUUGUUCCCCCAUACAGGUGAUUAAUCGUUUUUCAGUCUGUGUUCUAUUUGGAUGAGAAAGUGAUUGAAAAUAUGAUUUUUUUAUUUGUUGGUUGAUUUUGUAUGGACGAUGUAUUAAUUUUAUUUUUUUUGGGAUUUUGUGUAUUGGGCAUUGUGUAGAACCAGCAAUGCAAGAGCAGGAUCUGAUCAGUCAUGCCUGAAAAGGGGUUUGUUUCUCAAAUCACAUUAAUUAAUUAGAUUAUUAACGUGCGUUGGAAGGCUCUUCAAUAUGAUUUCUAAUUUCUCCUUUCCAGCAUUCUCUUUUUGGUUUUUGGAGUAUGUAUGUGAUUUGUAUUUUUUUAUAGAAUAAAAAUUAAUAAAACACGAGAUGCAGCAAUUAAUUUGCAUCCUUAUGACAACACAUAUGAAAGUGCAUUCAAUUUCAAUGUGCGAAUGUGUGACAGGAUGUGCCUGCCCGCUGCUGCUGGUAUGCUUGCUGUUGUUUCUCGCGUUGUUAAUUUUUUGUGUGUGUUGAUUUGAUUAACAACUCAAGCGUAUCUUUUUUUUUUGUGUUGGUUAGCAGCCAGUUUUAUGGCCCCGAUCUAGUGAUGCUUCUCAGUGACUGUGGUAAUUGCAGUUCAUUGCCACCAGUUGGUCAGCUACCUGCUCUGAAAGAGCUAUACGUAGAAGGGAUGAAAGUUGUUAAGAGUGUUGGUGUUGAGUUGUACGGGGGAAAUCAACCAUUUCAAUGUUUAGAGAAGCUAAAGUUUCGGGAGCUAUAGCAGCCUAGUCCAAGUGGAUGUGAAAGUCCAGACUUUCCUCAUCUUAAGGAGCUGGGGUUAUACGAAUGUCCGAAGCUGAGAGGAAACUUGCCCACUCAUCUUCCCUCCUUGAAAACACUUCAUGUGAACAAGUGUGAGGUUCUACAUAAAAACAGGGCCAGUAAUACCCUGAACGUGGAAUCCUUACGAGGAUCUCUUGAAAAACUGACAAUAAAUGGAUGCCCGGGUCUCUCAUUGUUACUAGAGUCGACGGAGACGCUGCCGUCGCUUCAGAAGCUUGAUAUUGAUAAUGUGGUGGGAAAGAGUUGUUGGCGCAAAUGGUGCACAACAGCAAUCGUCUUCAAAGUUUGACUUUAUAUAAAUGUUCCUCACCCUUGUCGUUCCUUACAAAUGGUCUGCCCACCACGCUGACAUCACUGAGCAUAACAGAUUGCAAGAAAUUAGAAUUCCCAUCACGUGAGAUGAUGGCCAAAUUGACUUCCCUUCAGUCUUUGCGUCUAUCCAACAGCUGUGAACGCAAAGGCUUGAGUAUUUGCAGUUUAGUUUUUUUUUUCUUCAUUUUAGAGAUUUUUCUACUGUUUGGUUUUUGGGUUUUGUCUAAUUUUUGUGGUCUGCUUUAUAGAUUGUUCUCUUUGGAAGCUUCUUUCCAGCCUUGACCUUCUUCUUGCCUGGUGCCUUCUCAUUGAGUAUUGGAGGAGCAUUAAAACACAGGUGUGUGUGUUUUGUCGACAUAAGAGAUGAAUGACAUAAAAACAUCCGUCUCUGUAUUUUUUUGUGCUUUUUCUAACCCAUCAAUUUCUUUUGAGUCAACCAAAUAGUCCCAAAUUGCAACUUAUGUUGUGAGGUAUUAUUGUCUAAAAUUAAGUAUGCAUGUAUAUUUUAUGUUUGUGCCCGCGCACACAUCCGCAUGGUGUUAAUCUCUGUGGGUCAUCUAUGUAUAUGUAGAUAUAUCUAUAUGUGUGUGUGGAAUGCAACAUAUCGGAUUUAGGUUAUACUGUGCAUAGUUUUAUUGCCUGUUAUUAUCUACGAUAUCACUAUGCCAUUUCUAUGCAGGCUCUGAAAGUUAUUCAUGAGCUUUAUAAGCACUUACCAUAAUUUAAGCAGUCUGUUUUGGGUUCUUUUUCAUUAGGUCAUUAGCUACAGAUUAAUGGAGAAACGAGGACCAUGCCACUGAUUUGGGUUCUUUUUCUAAUUUUCUGAUUUUGGGGUUUUGCAGGGAGAACUCCGCCUAUGUACUUACAUUGCCGAUCCCAAGCUCGGAUAAAGGAGGAGGGGGAGGGCGUCAGGUAGUCGACAGUCGGCACUCCAUGAUCACGUCGAAUCCUUAUGAAAAUGAAUUCAGAAUAAAAUUGCGCUAAAGCUAGGGCGUCACCCGUAAGUGGCGCGCUGUGUGGCCCGAGCACAGUGAUAAGUGAGCAAGGGUCGCUGUAUCUCCAUCGGCACCCGGAUGCAGUGUUAAAUGAGCAAGGGGGGCAUAGGAACUUCUUUUCGAACGACUCCACUCAAAGUUGUUUGGGAGCAUAUGCUCCUAUCAACUUUACACGGGACACACAAAAGAAGUACUUUGAUCCUAUUAGACGGGGGAGGGUGAAGAAGCUAGGACAGAAGGGUAGAGUUCAAGAAAGCAAAAUGCGUUUAGGAACGUGGAAUAUAGGAACCUUAACGGGAAAAUCUAUGGAAGUAGUGGAAGUUAUGGUGAGGAGAAGGAUAAAUAUUAUGUGCCUACAAGAAACUAAGUGGGUUGGUAGUAAGGCAAUUGAUCUAGAAAACUCAGGGUUUAAACUUUGGUAUUCGGGCACAAAUAGAACGAGAAACGGUGUUGGCAUCAUCGUGGACAAGACCUUGACACAAGAUGUUGUAGAUGUCAAGAGGGUAGGAGAUAGAAUCAUGGCAAUCAAGAUUGUAAUAGGACAAGAACUUAUCAAUGUGGUUAGUGCGUACGCACCUCAAGUAGGGUUGGAUACGAGUUCGAAGGAGAAAUUUUGGGAAGACCUUGGAGACUUGGUGUAAGGAAUUGCUCAGACGGAGAAGUUAUUUAUAGGAGGAGAUUUAAAUGGACACGUGGGCAGAGAGACAGGCAACUAUGGAGGUUUUCAUGGUGGCCAUGGUUUUGGGGAGAGAAAUGAGGAUGGGGAAGCUAUCUUGGAUUUUGCAAUGGCAUAUGAUCUCUUUUUAGCCAACACCUUCUUUAAGAAGAAAGAAGAACAUGUGAUCACCUACAAGAGUGGGUUGUCAAAAACACAAAUAGAUUUUCUUCUAAUGAGAAACGAGGAUGGGGAAGCUAUCUUGGAUUUUGCAAUGGCAUAUGAUCUCUUCUUAGCCAACACAUUCUUUAAGAAGAGAGAAGAACAUGUGAUCACCUACAAGAGUGGGUCGUCAAAAACACAAAUAGAUUUUCUUCUAAUGAGGAAAGGGGAUCGUAUAACUUGUAAGGAUUGCAAAGUUAUACCAGGAGAGAGCGUGGCUAAUCAACAUCGCUUGUUGGUGAUUGAUGUACAUAUCAAAAGAGUGAGACAAAAGAACAAGACUUGGAAGUGCCCAAGGACUAGAUGGUGGAAUCUAAAAGAAGAAAAACAAGCCAUUUUCAAAGAGAAAGUAAUCAUCCAGUGUGUGGGAUAGAGAUGGGGAAGCUAGCCAAAUGUGGGAUUCAAUGGCUAGUUGUAUCCGAAAAGUAGCAAAAGAGGUAUUAGGAGAGUCAAAAGGCUUUGCCCCACACCAAAAAGAAUCUUAGUGGUGGAAUGAGGAGGUACAAACAAAGGUGAAGGCUAAGAAGGAAUGUUGUAAAGCCUUAUACAAGGAUAGAACUGAUGAAAAUGGUGAAAGGUAUAGAAAAGCGAAGCAAGCUGUGAGAGAAGCUAAGUUAGCGGCUUACGACGAUAUGUAUAAACGACUAGAUACCAAAGAAGGAGAGUUGGAUAUCUAUAAACUAGCUAGAGCAAGGGAAAAGAAGACAAGGGACCUAAACCAAGUGAGGUGCAUCAAGGAUGAGGAUGGAAAUGUUCUUGCUACAGAGAACGCGGUUAAAGACAGAUGGAGAGGUUAUUUUCAUAAUCUUUUCAAUGAAGGACAUGGAAGGAGUGCUUCUUUAGGGGAGUUGAGUAACUCAGAAGAGUGUAGAAACUACUCUUUUUAUCGUCGAAUCCGGAAGGAAGAAGUGAUUGUAGCUUUGAAGAAGAUGAAACAUAGAAAAGCAAUAGGCCCAGACGAUGUACCAAUCGAAGUGUGGAAAGUUUUGGGAGAGACAUGUAUAACAUGGCUCACUGACCUUUUCAAUAGGAUUUUGAAAACGAAGAAGAUGCCAAAUGAGUGGCGAACGAGCACUUUGGUGCCUAUCUACAAGAAUAAGGGCGACGUACAAAAUUGCAUGAACUAUAGGGGUAUUAAGCUAAUGAGUCAUACAAUGAAGCUCUGGGAGAGAGUCAUUGAGCAUAGAUUGAGGCAAGAGACACGGGUUUCGGACAACCAAUUUGGGUUCAUGCCAAGGCGCUUAACCAUGGAGGCAAUCUAUCUCUUACGAAGAUUGGUGGAAAGAUAUAGAGAUGGGAAAAAGGAUUUACACAUGGUUUUUAUAGAUUUGGAGAAAUUCGUAUGAUAGGGUCCCAAUAGACAUUCUUUGGAGGAUUUUAGAGAAGAAAGGAGUACGAGUAGCAUAUAUCCAAGCUAUAAAUGAUAUGUAUGAAUGAGCAAAGACUGCUGUAAGAACUCAUGAAGGACAAACUGAAAGUUUUCCCAUAACUGUAGGAUUACACCAAGGCUCAUCCUUAAGUCCCUACCUUUUUGCGUUGGUAAUGGAUGAGUUAACAAGACAUAUUCAAGAUGAUAUUCCUUGGUGUAUGCUUUUCGCAGACGAUAUAGUGUUGAUAGAUGAAACACAGGAAUGGGUAAAUGCAAAGCUUAACCUUUGGAGAGAAGUGUUGGAAUCUAAAGGUCUUCGCCUAAGCCGAUCAAAGACAAAAUAUAUGGAGUGCAAGUUCAGUGCAAAUGGAGGCCAAAACGAGUUAGGGGUGAGGAUCGGAGAUCAAGAAAUACCAAAGAGCGACCGUUUUCGUUACCUAGGAUCUAUCUUGCAAAAGAACGGAGAAUUAGAUGGAGAUCUCAACCAUAGAAUACAAGCUGGAUGGAUGAAGUGGAAGAGUGCAUCCGGCGUGUUGUGUGACCGCCGUAUGCCACUGAAGCUCAAGGGAAAAUUUUAUAGGACGGCAAUAAGGCCGGCGAUGCUGUAUGGCACAUAAUGUUGGGCGGUGAAGCAUCAACACGUACACAAAAUGGGUGUAGCGGAGAUGAAGAUGCUUCGUUGGAUGUGUGGGCACACGAGAAAGGAUAAGAUUAGGAAUGAGGAUAUCCGGGGUAAAGUAGGAGUAGCCGAAAUUGUAGGAAAGAUGAGAGAAAAUCGGUGACGGUGGUUUGGACAUGUGCCAAGAAGGCCUACUGACGCUCCGAUUAGAAGAUGUGACUACUGGACAGAGGUUCAGGGCCGAAGGGGUAGAGGAAGACCUAGAAAAACUUUGGAAGAGACUCUAAGAAAGACUUAGAGUACCUGGAUCUAACGAAGGACAUGACACAGGACCGAGCAUAAUGGCGUUCUAAGAUUCAUAUAGCCGAUCCCACUCAGUGACUUGGAUUUUCCAAGUCUCCAGCCGAGAAGUUUUCCUCACUCAGGAAAUUAAGGGAACACUACCCCAACCUACAUGCUCCACUCACAAAGCUUCAACAAAAGAAAAUUCAAAGAACUUAGCGAAGAAGGCUUUGAUGUAUUUAACACAAUACGUUGAAAUGAAGGAAAGCUUAUUUAUUGAUAUCAUCGAUAAGCUACAAAUAUGUACAUAUACAUAAGUCAAAAUAAACAAACAAGAGGGAGCCUUCACAAAGGUUGCUUAGGAGAAGUCUCAGCAGUCGGUAGAGCCCCAGAAAGAGAAGGCACCGGAGGGGGAUCAUUCGGAGCCUCAGUACUGGACAGAACCCUAGAAGGAGGAGGCAUAAGAGGUUGAUCAUUUGGUGCUUCAUUACGCGGUACAGCCCCAGAAGACGAAGGCAAUAAAUGCCUUUGGAACAAACCCACAAAUCUCUGAUGAUCAAGUAAAACCUGACCAUCAGAUUCCUUCAUCUGGUCAAGCUUCCUCUUCAUGUUUGUAGCAUAGUCAUGUGCGAGCCGGUGCAACUGUUUAUUCUCAUGCUUGAGCCCUCUAAUCUCCUGUUUGAGACUCAUCACUUCAGCCGCCAAUGAUUCAACUUGGCGGGUUCGAGCAAAUAGGUGUUGGGCCAUAUUAGACACAGAACCUGCACACUGAACACUGAGAGCCAGAGAAUCCUUAACAGCUAACUCAUCAGACCGUUUGGAAAGUAGUCUGUUAUCUUUGGGAGUGAGAAGGUUCCUGGCCACCACCGCAGCGGUCAUAUCAUUCUUCAUCACGGAAUCCCCAACGGUAAGAGGACCAGUAGGGGAGACGAAGGAUGGGCGCCAUAUGUUGUCUGGAGAAGGCGGGGCUUCCUCUUCAACAAGGUUCAAGUCAAAACGACGGUCGGAGGGGCCAGACAUUUUCAAAUGUGUUGAAGAGAGAAGAGGUCGGACAAAUCAAGAUCUUAGAAGUGUAAGAAUGGAGCUUCUACUGGUGGAGAUUCAAGUGUGCUUUGGAACUUAAUGUCAGCCCCUAUAAAAAUCUGCACUCAACGGAGCUUCAGAAAUCGAAGAGGCGCCUGCUCAGAAAUCGAAGAGGCGUUUGCUUUCUCAAAAGCAAGGCUGCUCAGAUACCACGAGGGUCGAUCUCAGAAAUCGAAGAGGCGUUUGCUUUCUCAAAAGCUGGGCAGCGCAAAGACCACGAAGGCCGAUCUCAGAAAUCGAAGAGGCGCUCAAAAGUUGGGCUGCUCAGAGACCACGAGGGCCGAUCUCAGAAAUCGAAGAGGCACCUACUUUUCCAGCCUUGUCAGUACCUGUCACACACACACUCAGCUUUGCGAAAAUUAUGGGGAUUCGGUCGAAGACUUCUGGUGAAGUAGAAAGCACAUGAGUCUUACUGUUCAAUCACCCACUUCCCACACGCAACAGUAGCUCAUGGGUACCACAUAUAACUUUUCCAAAGUUCUCUGCCAAAGUUGAACACGUGAAGUUUGCAGCUCCCACUACAUCGCUCUGAUCAAGAAGGGUAAAAGAAUAGCAAAGAAACAACACUAACAAAGUUUAGACACAUAAAUUUUGAUGGUCGAGCUACCAUAUUAUUACCCACAAGGGUAAAGGAACAGUACCACUGCUGGAUAAUUGGAAAGUCCCUGUGUGUCAACCUCUGUGCUUCGUGGCAAGGUAGACUAUCAAACAUGCCCAACCUUUACUCACAUUCGAGAAAACACUCCCAACAAGAUUGCUUGCUCCAAAAUCGAAGAGGCACCGUCCUUCGAAUCUCGAGAGCCAGACUCCCAACAUGACUACUUUCUCAAAAAUCGAAGAGGGUAAAGGAACAGUACCAUUGCUGGAUAAUUUGAAAGUCCCUGUGUGUCAACCUCUGUGCUUCGUGGCAAGGUAGACUAGCAAACAUGCCCAACCUUUACUCACAUUCGAGAAAACACUCCCAACAAGAUUGCUUGCUCCAAAAUCGAAGAAGCAUCGCCCUCCGAAUCUCGAGAGCCACUCCCAACAUGACUACUUUCUCAAAAAUCGAAGAGACAUCGCUCUCCGAAUCUCGAGAGCCAGACCCCCAGCAUGAUUGCUUUCUCAAAAAUCGAAGAGGCACCGUUCUCCGAAUCUCGAGAGCCAGAUCCCCGAUAGGAUUGCUUGUUCGAAAACCGAAGAGGCAACACUUUCCCAAUUUCAAGAGCCGGAUCUCCUUGGAUAAAGCUAUCUGUAAUCUUCACUCGCAACAUUAGCUUUCCAGCUACCACAGACCACUUUUUCAAAGUGAUCUGACAACGUUAAAACAUGUGAAGCUGGCAGCUUCCACUACCGUGCUAUGACCAAGUAGGGUAAAGGAAUAGCAUUACUACUUGUUGUUAAGGAGACUCCUAUAUAUGUCGACCUCCAUCCCCAACGGAUAGGCAGACCUGCAAAAAUGCUCAACUCUUCCUCAUAUCUGAGAGGGCACUCCCAACGAAGCCUUUCGAAAUAUUCAGCUUUCUUUCCCCCCGAUAAUACCUCUGCAAACAAGCUAUACUAGAGCAAGAAUAUCUCAUAUCAUCAGGGUUAAAAGCAAGAGUAUCCCAUAUCAUGCUUUUUCCUUGUCUUUUUCUUUGGCCUUGUUCUUACCUGCAAGACAAGAAGAAAGAGAGCAAUCAGUCAGUACUUGGAAUCAAGCUUCCAGCCAGGAACUGACUGCCUGGAACCCCUUACCUGAUUACUUACCUGACAUUGUUCUCGAGUACUCAUCUUCAACAUCUUAUGCUUCCAGGGAAGAUACCGCAUCUGCCUGAGGAACAGAUAGGGCAAGGGAGAAGGAUAUAAGGAAGCAUGUGGAGACAAGCGUAACAGCACACGUGCCGAUACAUCCAUUACUCUGUCAAAGCAAAAGUAUCCCAUAUCAGUAGGGUCGAACGUACUCUAGAUUUGAUGGACUUGUUUUGACCCUCAAAUUCUUCAGUCGGCCUUAUACUCUGGAGGAAACCAGAAAUUUCUCCAGCUCAGUGCAAGAAUAAGCUUGUGGAAAGUUACUUCUUCAAAAGCAAAAGUAUCACAUAUCAUCUCUUCUCAUUUUCUUCUCUUUAUCCUUCAUGCUGCCUGCAAGAUAGGGAGAUUGUGAACAAUCAGCUGGAGCUAUGAUUGCUUACCUUGUCUGUCACCUCUUUCAGCAGAUCCCCUAGCUCGGCGAUUUGGGGGACUCCUACUACAUGGUUUGUAUCGCGCUUGACCAAGCCUGAAACUACAAGUAAGCUUCAAGUGAAAUUGAUACAUUACCUUGUGCAUCUCCACCAGUUAAAGAUACUACCCCUGGAUGGAGGAAGAGUACUUCCAGAGAAGAUGCCCCAUCUACCUAUGAGACAGAUAAGGCACGUCAAGACGAUACCACACUCUGAUACUUAGAAGUUUCGUGAUUACGAGAUCAUUCUCCCACAAUAUUUCCUAAUGUCAUUUGUACUAAAUCAUUCACUUGUACUCACUAAAGGAGAGCUUGAACCUAUGUACUUGUGUAAACCCUUCACAAUUAAUGAGAACUCCUCUAUUCCGUGGACGUAGCCAAUCUGGGUGAACCACGUACAUCUUGUGUUUGCUUUCCUAUCUCUAUCCAUUUAUAUACUUAUCCAUACUAAUGACCGGAGCAAUCUAGCGAAGAUCACAAAAAGCGACCGUUUUCGCUACCUAAGAUCUAUCGUGCAAGAGAACGGAGAAUUAGAUGGAGAUCUCAACCAUAGAAUACAAGCUGGAUAGAUGAAGUGUAAGAGUGCAUCCGACGUGUUGUGUGACCGUCAUAGGUCACUGAAGCUCAAGGGAAAAUUUUAUAGGACGACAAUAAGGCCAGCGAUGUUGUAUGGCACAGAAUGUUGGGCGGUGAAGCAUCAAUACGUACACAAAAAUGGGUGUGGCGGAGAUGAGGAUGCUUCGUGGGAUGUGUGGGCACACGAGAAAGGAUAAGAUUGGGAAUGAGUAUAUCCGAGGUAAAGUAGGAGUAGCCGAAAUUGAAGGAAAGAUGAGAGAAAAUCGGUUCCGGUGAUUUGGACAUGUGCAAAGAAGGCCUACUGACGCUCCGGUUCGAAGAUGUGACUACUGGACAGAGGUUCAGGGCCGAAGGGGUAGAGGAAGACUUAGAAAACCUUUGGAAGAGACUCUAAGAAAAGACUUAGAGUACUUGGAUCUAAUGGAGGACAUGACACAAAACCGAGCGCAAUGACGUUCUAGGAUUCAUAUAGCCGACCCCACUUAGUGGGAAAAGGCUUUGUUGUUGUUGUUGUUGUUGUUGGGGUUUUGCAGGGAGUACUAAUGUACUGAUUUUCUGGGAUUUUUUUUGUCCUUGCAGGAUUUUUGGUCUUUGAAAUGGGUAUGUGUUGUUUUUAAUGUUUCAGUUCUAGCGUUUUCCGUUCUUCGUUGCUUCGUGAUUCUCAUUUUUCAGUGUUGGGUGAUGGAAAUUUGUUAAAGUAGUUGGUAGUUUUUUGAGAAAGUUGGCAUUUUUAGUUAUAUUUUCUGUUUAAUCCUAAAUGUUUUGAAAACUCAUAAUUUUUUUGUUCUGGGAUUUAAAAGCAUCUUUUCCAGAUUGGUUACAAGGGUUAUGUUCUCUUCAAUUGGUUCACCUAAUUUUGAUUAGUUUUAAGUUUUGUCCUUUAAGUUUGUCUUUUAAGUUUUGUUCUUUAAGUUUUGUCUUUUAAGUUUUGUUCUCUAAGUUUUGUCUUUUAAGUUUUGUCUUCUGUGCUGUAAUGAGAGAUUUCCGUUGGCCUUUCGGAUUUUGGCAUGGGAAAGUUCACUUAUUUGCAAGGUUCUAAAAAACGCUAGGCGUUAGUUGGGCGGUGGGCUAGCGCCUAGCGGCUAGGCGGCUAGGCGGGAUCUAGGCGGGAUCUAGGCGGGCGCCUAGGCGGCCUAGGCGGAUUUAGGUAAAUUUCUUAUAUAUUUUAUGAAUUAAUUAAAUUUACUAUAUCAAAUGUAAAUAAUUAUUAACUAAUAUGUUAUUUCUUAUAGAAGAACAUACAUAGUGAAUGUUUUAUGUACAUAUAUAAUAUAUUUGUCUAGGAAAAAAAAAUAUUAUCUAAAUAAUUUUUAUAACAUAUAUAUAUAUAUAUAUAUAUAUAUAUAUAUAUCCCAAACUUUUAAAAAUAUAAAUAGCAUUGGGAGAGGGGCGUAGGGUUUCUAAAAGCACACUCAGAAAUAGAGCAUAUUUUAGUCUUUAUUUUAGAAUCCUAAGGAGCACCCUACUCGGAUGCACGACAUGUGUGCAAAUCUGGAGAUUCUUGCUGUAUCGGAUACACCAAUGCUUAGUCAAAAUUUCCUGCUAGGGUUUAUGGUGGACAUGUGUGUGUGGUCUUCAUUAUUAAACCCAUUAGCACCUCACCUUUUCACAUCACCCGUCCAUCACCUUGGGUGGUUUUGAUAAUUAAAACCAUCAACAUCCAUGGUUUUGAUAAUUAGAACUACCAACUUUUCCUUGGAUUUGAGAAUCUGAGAUCCCAUUCAUCGCCAUCAAAUAUUGAAAUGUUUCAUUGUUCAUCUCUUUCUCCCUCUUCUCACUCUCUAUUCCCUCAUCUUCACAGAGAUGAGUUACAGAAAUUCUCCGGUAAUCUCUCUCUCUCUCUCUUCGUAAUCGACGAGCUCCUCGACUUGAAGUCGCAGCCAAGUUAUGAAGAAUCGAGAUGCGAGAGCAAGUGGAGAGUGGAGACUCUGGAAAUUGGGAGUGACGAUCGACGACGAUGAGUCGAUGACCCAGGAAACCUCUUGAAGUUGCAGCAGGUGAGUGCACUGCAGUUGAGGAAGAAGAGACGAAGAGACUUAGUUUCUGAAAUUAGGGUAGCUGCAAGGCACGGGAACUUAAAAACAAAAAAACAAAAAGAAAACCGCCUAGCUCCGCCAGCCGCCUAGCCUGCCUAGGCGCCUCCUAGCCCGCCUAGGUGCCGCUUAGCCACCGCCUAGAGCCCAGCCGUUUUUUCCCACCGUUUUGCACAAAAACGCCUUGGCCACCCUCCGCCUAGCGCCUAGGCGGCCGCCUAGGCCGUUUUUUAGAACACUGCUUAUUUGUCUAAUUAGAUUGUGGAUGCCUUCGAUUCUUUAUUUAAUUGUUCUGUUUGCGUUCGGGUGUGAUGAUCUAAAUUUCAUAUGUUUGGAAUUAUUUACUUAACACCAAUUUGUUACAUUCAGAUCUCCACCCCACAUUUCACUAGUUCAAAUUCCAUAGAAGUUGGUUAUUGCAGAUUGCGUCUACAAUUAGAUCAGAGAUCAACUACUCUUUUGUUAUCCUGCAGAAGAUUGCUUUUGGGAAGGAUCUGAAGUAGUUUCUCUCUGUAUGUUUAUUCCCAUGUAGCUCUGUCUUUUCUAAUUGAUGGUGUUGAUAUUACACUGUAAUUCAUGAUGAUGAUUUAAUUGUUUAUUGAUUUGUAAUUGUUUGUGAAUAAUGUGGCAUAUAUGAAUUGCAAUCUGUGUUUGUAUGAAAGGGAUGGCAUAUUAUGUUGCUGACUUAAUUGUUUAUGUUUUUCAUAUUUGCGAAUGGUGUUAUGAUCAAUUAGGUGAUUGCUGACCUGUGACUUUGUUUGGAGCUCAAAUUUUGUGAGCAUUACAUUGGAUUGUUUUGAUGUUGUUUUGGUUGACAAUGCAGGGAUAGGAGAAACAAAGAGGAUGACACUUAUAACUGCCAUUCCCCAUCGGCCGUCUUCAAAUUUGGAUCACAAGAAGGGAGCAACAUAGGUGUUUUCCUUCUUUAUUUAGAUAUGGUUAGUGUAAAUAAUUGGACAAAAGAGCCAAACAAACCCUGUUCUCUCAAAUGGAGUUGAUGAUGUGGUCGACGGCCACCAGCCCCAACUCAAGAGUUUGGCCUUCAUAUAAUUGGAUUGUAGUAUAAUUUUAUUUUUGUUCAUUUCUUUUUUCCUUUAUAUAAGUGCAGGUGUUGUGAUGUUUUGAAUAAAGGGUGAUGAAAGGUGGUUCACACUUCCUCCUUACUUAAAGCAAGUGGAGAUGACGGUUUGUAUAAAAAGAAAAACUUGCCACGUACUUCAAUUUUCUAUUUUAUUAAUUAUUGUUUGGUUUUCCAAAUGUUGUAUUCACAAAGAGAGACCAAUUAUGUCUUUGAGAAACAAGUUUCUUUGUCUACAUUGCGAGAAUUUGCAGUUUGCAACUUUCAUUGGUUAUUAUAUUUGAUUGAGUUAAACUUGGAUUUCUGGAUUCUGACUUUUUCGUUUGUUUCUUUGUUGCAGAGUUGGCUUCAUUUCAUUCCAGGAACUCUCUAAAUAGGGCCAAGAACUCACUAAAUAGGUAGUCAAGAGGAAUUCAGUUUUGCCUUCAAUUUUUGCCUUCUGUUUACAUUCUUCCUGGAUGCACUCUCACCGCUUCUCUCGCUUACCACUUUUUUCUCACUCACCGCUUCAUCUCUUCUGUUGCUUACAAGGUCGUGUCAUAUAUUUUUUAAUUUUGUGGUUUAAUUUAUUGAAUAUUUGAAAAAAGAGAUAAAAUUAUAAGAUACUAUAUAAGAUACUAUAUAGUAUCUUAUAAAUAAAUGAAUCACAAAUGAUACUAUAGUUGUUAAAAAAUCCCAUUACUCAAAACUCCAAUUCCCUCCCAUUACUGAAAGCUCCAAUUCCAUCAAAACCGAGAUGGUAAAAGUACAAACUGGCUAGUUUCCACCAAAAAAAAAAGUACAAACUGGUUACAAAAAUAUGUUUUGUCCCAUCCAAUUGACGAAAAGAGAUAAAAUUUUCAAUUUACAAUUACUGAUAUGAUGUUUGUUUUGAAAAUCAUUAAGGUGAAUGGAGAGAUUUACAACCAUGAAGAGCUGAGGAGCCGUUUGCCAAAUCAGAUUUAUAAGGUCUCAUCAAUUAUGAAUAAACGACUUUUCAUUCCCAAUGACCUUUAUCGUUUUUCUUAAUGGGUUAGCUGAACAUGAGGUAGAUGCUGACUUUAUCAAAUAUGAGAAUGUUUUAGGAUUUCAUUCUAAUUUUUUGGCUGUUUGAUUACUUUGCUUUUCGUAAUUUGUUUUGCUUAUCGUCAAUUGGAUGGGACAAAACAUAUUUUUGUAACCAGUUUGUACUUUUUUUUUUGGUGGAAACUAGCCAGUUUGUACUUUUACCAUCUCGGUUUUGAUGGAAUUGGAGCUUUCAGUAAUGGGAGGGAAUUGGAGUUUUGAGUAAUGGGAUUUUUUAACAACUAUAGUAUCAUUUGUGAUUCAUUUAUUUAUAAGAUACUAUAUAAGAAACUGUUAUUAGCACUCUAAAAAACUCAUUCUACACUCGCGACAAGUGUAUUUUUCUUUUUAAUUAUGGAAAGUUUGAAGGGCAAAAUGAGAAUUUUGGAGUGCCAAUAACAAUUCCCUAUUAUAUAUAGCUCUACUGGGAAGGCUACUGUAUAUGUCUUCAUCCUGUUAAAUUGUAUAUGGCUCUUGAUGUCGGCUGAAUUAAAUCAAAAUGAAAACCAAGCUGAUCUUACCAGCCGAUAUCACUUAUCACUUGCUUAUUUAAAUUAUUUGAAGAUGCGUAUGUGGAUUGGUGAUUUUGUUGGAUUCACUUAGCUCAAAUAUAUGUUAUCUGAGUCGCUACAUUUGAGAAUGUGAUUCUGUUCCUACCACCAUUUUGCCCACUUUUUGUGGAAAUUAUUCAUUCCUGUUGUGAAUAAUACAUUCAUCCCCGGCAACGAAGUGCGGGCACAUUUUAUAGUUUAAAUUAAAUCACACAAUGGGUCAUCAAUAAUGACAAACUCGUCAUUUAUGCGAGUCAAACAUGAGGCCACCUACCUACUAGUUUAGUGGAAUACCACAAAGUGACAUGUUGAUACCUUUAAGUCUCAUAUAAUGGAUUGCAGAAUUAGGAUAUACCUAGACUAAUUUAGUCAGUGCGUGAACCCGAACAAUUAACAAGGGUUUUAUUCUUGCUUGAAUGUUUGUUAUAUGUUCCUAGUUUGACAAGGCAAUUAUAUUUCCGAUUACAAAAGUUAUUAAUUUAGUCGAGAAUUGACGCACCUGAAAUGGUGUGAGGAAAACAUGUAGACACAUCAACCGCAGUCCACUGUCCUGGGCAUCUAUCUUCCCCGAAACGAAGCUCAAAGCCAUACAUGAGGGCAUUGUGUAUGUCUUUAUAAGAGAAGUUGCUGUAGUCUUCAACGUAGCCGGCAGCCAAACUCAUCCACUCUACACUGCAACCCUCAUCCAAAUCCCAUGCUUCCAACCUGCCCCCGACAUAGUCAGCGACCAUGACAUAGCUAUACGUUUUUGGUUGACUCGAAGAAGAAGAAGAAGUAUUAUUCAAGCAUGGAGCAGUGUCCACGUACAGAGAAGAAUUCGAUGGAUUCGAACACUUCAAGUAAUAUAUAGAUAGAGAAUUGAUGUCAUAGGUGGGCCAAUAUGGAGAAUUGAUGUCCUCGGUGGUGGGCGGAAUAUUUUGAGACAUGGAAGAGCAAUUGUUGUUGUCAAGCCCAGGAUCUAGAACUCGGAUUGUAUUGUUAAUGUAGUUGAUUGCCUGGACAUAGUAUUUUCCGGAAGAAGGUACGUCUAGUACAGUAAUGUUGCUCUCACAGUACAGAGUAUACAUUAUGUUGCCACAGUACUUUGGAUCAUCGUUCAGUCGAAAAGGAUGGCUUAUGUAGUGGAUAUGGCCGCAGGAUGAAGUGCAGGACUUGGCACUACUGUUGUCAGCGUUACAAGUUUCACUGCAAAAGCAAAGAAGAAGAAAGGCUAAACUUAAGGUGAAGGACCUGCUUCCACUAAUUUCCAUUGAUCUGAGAGAGAGAGAGAGAGAGAGAGAGAGAGAGAGAGAGGGUACUAUAGCUUGAACACCAAGGAGUUAUAUAAUAUGGGAGGGGUUAAAGCGCUUCGCUUAAAGUUGCAGUAAGCCCGGCAAAUAUCCUAGGGAAAAGUCGGUCAAUGGUGUCCUAUAGAGAAAAGUCGGCCUUGGUGUUUGACACGGUCACUCACUCUCUCUCUCUCUCUCUCUCUCUCUCUCACAUUGACGAGGGACACUGUAAUUAACAAAAAAAUUGUUCUUCAGAGAUAGAUUUUGAAAUUCUUAUUUUAUAUAAAAAAACACCUAAUAUUAAUCAUUCAAAUGAAAUUCCUAAAAUUAAGUAUAAAUAAUACAUAAUAAAAACUGAACACAUACAAUCAACGGUCACGAUCAUGAAAUCCUUCGGAUCCUCAGAAAAAAAUCCGACGAUGAUCUUUUUCUGUGUAAAAUAAUUUGAGGGUAUAAUACUGGAUGUGCGAUUAAACCGAAGAACCCACCCACCUCCAUCUUCUCCGACCAACUUGAACCCAGCCACUACUACAUGUCAUCCCGACAACCCACUCUCAGCUUCCCAAACCGCCAUUUUUCACCCAUUCACCUACCACUGCCAUUAUUCAUUCAAUCAACCCAAAACACGAGAGCCACCCCCAUCUCACCAGUCGAACAGAUGCAGCCACCCACCCAUUUAAUCCCAGUCCAAAAUCAAACCCUCUCCUAAACCCACCCCAGAAUCCAAUAAUUUCAAAAAAUGGCUGAUUAUAUCAUUUCAAGAACCUCACAAUUCCAAAAACUAAAAACCCACUUCAAAGAUGUAAUAUUUUUCUCUCUUCCUCUUUUUGGGUUUUUUUUUCUUUUUUUUUAUCAAUUCUCUUCUGGGUUUUUGUUUACAGUGUAAAAUCAACACUAAUUUACUAAUUUUGCUUUGAUUUCAAACACUAUUGAGGCGUGAUAACCUGUUGCAAGCUCAGCCAUGGCGGCUACUGCGAAAUCUAACGGAAAAACCAUCACAGACUCUGCCAUUUCAUCCAAGGUUCCGACAAUAGCAAAACGAAUAGCUGUCGCAGAUUUCUUCCAACAUCAAUCACUACGCGAAAUUAAUUGUCAAUGAAGACGAUCCCAUUCCCCUUCGAAAUCUGCUGGGGAAAGAGACCUUCUUUCAGAUCUGCUCUGAGACCGGUUUAUGCGAGAGAGUGGUGAGCCUGACGACAGAGAGAAAUAAGGGCAGGAUUGGAAAAUUGGAAAGUUCAUUUAUUGGUUACUGUUUAUCCGUGUUUCUUCGAAAUAAGCUGCUUUUUCCAGCUUUGGGUUUCAGUGUUUUUUAACCCAUAAUUUUGAAAGAAAAAAAACUGAUUUUAAAUGUUUAUCAAACACUUAAAAUGUUCCAAUCUUUUUUCAUACCUACUUUUUAUUAAAAGUUAAGCUAAACAAAAAUCAAGAUUAAGUUUACUACUCUGAAGUUUCUUGCUUUUCAACAUUUCAUACAUUGAAUUUUUCUCAUCCAGUGUCAUAUCUAAGGUGGGAAUUGUGGGACACUUUUAUACAUCCGUUAGAUUUUAUGUGAAUUGCGUGGCACUUUUAUACAUCCGUUAAAUUUUUUGUGAGAACCUUCGCUGACCCACGAUGCGGCAUGCAUGUGGACAUUAAAAAAAUUCAAAAAAUUCAAAAAAUUUUAAAAUUUUAAAAUUUAAAAUUCAAAAAUACUAAAAACCUAAACUUUUCAUAAUAUUGAAAGACUGAAUCUUUUCACAGUCAGCCAAAUUUUCUUCAAAUUUUAAUUAGAUGAAAUAAUGAAUCUUGAACAAAGCAAAACAAAACGUAAUAUUGAGAGAUUCAGUCAUUGAAGUGGACGUGGAUGUUGGGUACUCAAUAGUCCAAGAAUGAAAACUCUCAUAUCAGUUUCUAUCCAAAAUUUUGGAAUUAUGUGUGUUGCAACGAUUGUCCAAAGGAUUAUUCUUCUUUUAUUAAAUUUCCAUGAAAAAUGAGCAUGGAGCACAAAAGUUGAACGAAUGAUUAUUCUUCUUUUAUUAAAUUUCCAUGGAAAAUGAGCAUGGGGCACAAAAGUUGAACGAAUGAAAUUUCAACGAUUUGAAAAGGGAUUGUGAGUUUGACAUGUCAUUUUUCUUCCUCUAAUGCAAUCAUGUUUAUUAAAAGACAAAAAUAAAUAUGACUUUACAUAAGGAGAGAGAAGGAGUAGUUUUCUUUGAAAAAAUCAACCAUUUAUUGAAGAGGAUGUGGAUGUUGAUUGAUGCGUCGUGAAUACGAAAAAAAGGACCUUGAAAGGAGUUGAGACAUUCAUUAAAAGCUAGAAGAAAAAAAAGUUAAAAGUGUUUUAGAAAAAAAGCAAGAAAGCCUCAUUUUCAAAGUUGUGGUCAUUGCACAAUACUUGAUUAGAAGAAAACUCAUAGUAUUGUAUUUACAAUUUCAAGUCUUUAUGGGGAACGAGAGAGCAAGUUUUCCAAUUGGAAUAUGAUAUGAAAUUUCUACAUAACUAUAUAUGACAAUGAAAGAAGUCUAAGUUUCUAAAUGGAAGGGCUUCCAAUUGAUGUGAGUUUGUUGAGAAAUUAGUGAACAACAGAACAAGUUGCUUCUCCUUUGGCCUUCUAACAUGAUAUCACAGAAAACAAGUUGUUACUAAUAAAUGUAUCUGAUUGGUGGACUUAGACGUGCGCGGUACGAUUUUUGAUAACUAGAGAAGAUGGGCAGUGUCAUGACAAAAUUUAUCCAAGUAGACCCAAAGGAAUGACUUAGGAACUUCAUAUGCAGUGGGAUAAAAUCUUAAGCUAAUUUCCUUACCUAUCUUAUAGGCAUUAAGUAAAAUGUAUAUGCAUAUUUCUAGACACACCAAUUUACUUAAUAUUAACUUCUUUCAAAUACCCAUUUGCAGAAACGCAAAGCUCUCUUGCAUGCUUGUUGUAAUGCUUAUGUAGUGCGUAUCCUAUAUCUUAUAUAUAUAUCUUACUUUUUGUGAUCCAUUUUUUCAUCACUAUGCCAAACGAAUAGCAAAACGAAUAGCUGUCGCAGAUUUCUUCCAACAUCAAUCACCACGCGAAAUUAAUUGUCAAUGAAGACGAUCCCAUUCCCCUUCGAAAUCUGCUGGGGGAAAGAGGCCUUCUUUCCGAUCUGCUCUGAGACCGGUUUAUGCGAGAGUGGUGAGCCUGACGACAAAGAGAAAGAAGGGCAGGAUUGGAAAAUUGGAAAGUUUAUUGGUUACUGUUUAUCCGUGUUUCUUCGAAAUAAGCUGCUUUUUCCAGCUUUGGGUUUUCAGUUUUUUUUACCCAUAAUUUUGAAAGAAAAAAAACUGAUUUGAAAUGUUUAUCAAACACUUAAAAUGUUCCAAUCUUUUUUCAUACCUACUUUUUAUUAAAAGUUAAGCUAAACAAAAACCAGGAUUAAGUUUACUACUCUGAAGUUUUUUGCUUUUCAACAUUUCAUACAUUGAAUUUUUCUCAUCCAGUGUCAUAUCUAAGGUGGGAAUUGUGAGACACUUUUAUACAUCUGUUAGAUUUUAUGUGAAUUGUGGGGCACUUUUAUACAUCCGUUAGAUUUUUUGUGAGAACCUUCGCUGACCCACGAUGCGGCAUGCAUGUGGACAUUGAAAAAAUUCAAAAAAAAUCGAAAAUUUUAAAAUUUUAAAAUUUAAAAUUCAAAAAUACUAAAAACCUAAACUUUUCAUAAUAUUGAGAGACUGAAUCUUUUCACAGUCGGCCAAAUUUUCUUCGAAUUUUAAUUAGAUGAAAAUAAUGAAUCUUGAACAAAGCAAAACAAAACGUAAUAUUGAGAGAUUCAGUCAUUGAAGUGGACGUGGAUGUUGGGUACUCAAUAGUCCAAGAAUGAAAACUCUCAUAUCAGUUUCUAUCCAAAAUUUUGGAAUUAUGUGUGUUGUAACGAUUGUCCAAAGGAUUAUUCUUCUUUUAUUAAAUUUCCAUGAAAAAUGAGCAUGGAACACAAAAGUUGAACGAAUGAUUAUUCUUCUUUUAUUAAAUUUCCAUGGAAAAUGAGCAUGGGGCACAAAAGUUGAACGAAUGAAAUUUCAACGAUUUGAAAAGGGAUUGUGAGUUUGACACGUCAUUUUUCUUCCUCUAAUGCAAUCAUGUUUAUUAAAAGACAAAAAUAAAUAUGACUUUACAUAAGGAGAGAGAAAUAGUAGUUUUCUUUGAAAAAAUCAACCAUUUAUUGAAGAGGAUGUGGAUGUUGAUUGAUGCGUCGUGAAUACGAAAAAAAAAGACCUUGAAAAGAGAUGAGACAUUCAUUAAAAGCUAGAAAAAAAAAAGUUAAAAGUGUUUUAGAAAAAAGCAAGAAAGCCUCAUUUUCAAAGUAGUGGUCAUUGCACAAUACUUGAUUAGAAGAAAACUCAUAGUAUUGUAUUUACAAUUUCAAGUCUUUAUGGGGAACGAGAGUGCAAGUUUUCCAAUUGGAAUAUGAUAUGAAAUUUCUACAUAACUAUAUAUGACAAUGAAAGAAGUCUAAGUUUCUAAGUGGUAGGGCUUCCAAUUGAUGUGAGUUUGUUGAGAAAUGAAGAUGAAGAUGAAUAUUGAUGUUGAUGUUAGUGAACAACAGAACAAGUUGCUUCUCCUUUGGCCUUCUAACAUGAUAUCACGGAAAACAAGUUGUUGCUAAUAAAUGUAUCUGAUUGGUGGACUUAGACGUGCACGGUACGAUUUUUGAUAACUAGAAAAGAUGGACAGUGUCAUGACAAAAUUUAUCCAAGUAGACCCAAAGGAAAGACUUAGGAACUUCAUAUGCAGUGGGAUAAAAUCUUAAGCUAAUUUCCUUACCUAUUUUAUAGUAUUAAGUAAAAUGUAUAUGUAUAUUUCUAGAUGCUGACACACCAAUGUACUUACUAUUAACUCCUUUCAAAUACCCAUUCGCAGAAACGCAAAUCUCUCUUGCAUGCUUGUUGUAAUGCUCAUGUAGUGCGUAUCUAAUAUCUUAUGUGUAUAAUUUUUUGUGAUCCAUUUUUUCAUCACUAUGCCAAAAUCCCUUUAGAAUUUGCAAUUUAUCCAUUUGGUUAUGGUAAAAAAAAAAACUCGGAAUUUCAUUUAAACUCGAAAAUCUAGAAUUGGGAAAGCAAUUUUCCCUUGUUCGGCAACUUGUAGCGAUAGCAAAGGCAAAUUGUACCGGAAAAAAGUGGAAAUUGGGGAUGAAGAUCCAAUUUUAAUUUCGUCAAAAUAAGUGUAAUUUCACAAUUCCAACAACGUUGAGAAUCACAAAUGCAUUGUGGGGAAAUCUUGCGACCACCAAACUUUACGAUUAGAGCGCCAAAUUUCAUGAUAAAACGUAAUAAGGGUUUAGGACUGCAUCGUUCGCUCUGUUAACUCUCCAAUCUUCGACGGGAUUUUCAACUCGUGCAUCAUUUUUUGCUUUGUUCUAGGUCAAAGCCUACUCUUUUCUUUCUUGAAUUAUUUUAGCUUUGCGGGUAUACUCUUUAGGCCAAUUGUGAAUUUUGCUAGUUAUUUUUAUUUUCUGAUGGUCAUAUGUUUGUUUUUUUUUUCUUCCAAUUGAGCUGUGUAUUGGUUGGAUCAGUAACUUUUUUUUUGGAUUUUUAUUUUUAUUUUUAUGGAUUUUGGUGUUAGUUCCUUGUUAUAGAUGUAUAGAUGUUGUGGAGCAAAAAAUAAUCUCAAAAAUCGUGGAGGUGACACACGGAUUUUUGGACAAGAAUGACAAAAUUAUCCUCGAAGCACAUCAUGAUUCCCACGUGCAUGCAACGGACAAUAACGGCUCAAUCAUGGAAGAGUCAAAGGUGAUCAAUAUGGUAUUUAUUCAAAUCCCUCUCAUCACUCCUCAUCAAUCCCUUUUUGAUUUUAUUCAAAAGGUAACUCCCAAAACUUCCUAUUUAAUUUAGGGAUCAUUGUCAUGUUAAUUGCAAGAUAUUAUUUCACAAAAUAUCUUGUAAUUAUUCUUCAAUUACCACCAUGUAUGGCCGGCCACUCCUCACCCUAUGGGCCGGUCACUCCUCACCCUAUGGGUCGGCCACUCCCUAUAAAUAGCCCUAUUAUUCCACUAAUAAGGAAGCCAUUUGCUACCCACAAACUCCUAAACACAUUCUUUCAGAAUUCUAACUUUGGCAUUGGAGAUUCUUAGGCCAAAUCCCCCCUCCCAUUCAUCGUGGGCGCAUAAGGCUUUUGGCCUUAGUCUUAGGUAUUAUUAUUUUGCAGGUGCAUUUUCGUCAAAGACGAAGAUGGUGGAAAUUUGGAUCCACAAAUUGGUGUUUUCAUUGAGAGUUUGAUUCACAAGCUCGAAGAAGACUCUCGCAUUCAAAGUUUCACAUUUCUCAUUCAUAAGUAAAUUUUUCAUACGUUCUUAUUCCUAGAAUUUUUUUAAAUCUUUGAAUAGACGUAGGAGAGAAAUACAAUGGCUAGAAAUUUAGAAACCACGACGAACGAAACUUCCUACGUUCAAAGAUCCAGAUCAAAUGAUGGAAAUUGCGAUGUAGCCCCACCACGACGAUCCACGAAGCUCAACGUAGUGGCAAAAUGAGUAACUUGGCCACCACGGAGUACCACCACCACCAUAGCCAAGGCAACCCAUGUUGCAGUGGGGAGUGGGACAACUCCAUGGCAGCAAGGCCACGAAGCAACAACAGAUGCCAUCUUGCAGUAAUGAGCCCAAGCCUGUGUCACAAGGUAGUCAACCCAGCGCUAGGUAACCUAGAUCUAGUAGGCCCACGACGUUGCCAUAGUAGCUGAGGCCUAAAGCAAGGCCCAAGCAGCUGCGACUGCGGCAAAUGGAGCAACACAACACUGGCGGGGCCAAUGCACCCUUGGCCUAAUGCCAAGCAGGCUAAAUCGCACCACACCCACUAUUCAAACUAACCCUAAGUUGAGUAAGUAGCAUUGAAGGUUGUCAACCGCAAGGCGUUGAAGUACGAAUAAAGUUACACACCCCGCACAUGACUUGGCCCACUUCCGCGGCCCAACUUGCUCGCAAGGUCCACCUAGUGAUCCCGACCAGUCGAAGGCCAGUUCAAUCAUCCCAUCUUCAGAUUUCUGGACUGACGAUUGAAUCGGGGGUAUUUUCACCCCGAUUUUCUACAGAUUUGACAUAUCUCAACACAAAUCUCGCACUUGGAGUCCAUUGCACUUCCAUUACUCAAGGAGACGCAUACCAUUUAAGAUCUUCCAUCCCAAAUGGCGAACAACACUUGUCUUGACAAGUCAUAGAGUUGACAUGCACUUUUGCGCAGUAGACGACCUUAGUGAAUCAGCUUUUGCAACGCACAAAGAUGCAGUAUGCCCCAGACGAUGUGUCCCGAAGCAGGACAAGUAUAGACGACGAUUCUCUCCAGCAGCGUCCCAACAAGCAGCCGCUCGACUAGCCACGAACCGAGCAUUCUGGCAGUGUACACUCCCGUCUAGGUCCUCAAGAAAGCAUAUACUCUCAUCUUAGCGCGCGGAUGAGCGUGCACUCCUGGUUAGGCCUACGGACGAGCAUACAUUCACGGUUGGGACCAUACUCUUAUAAUUAACAUGGACAACCUGCUAGACGAAGUGUUCAUUCGCGGCUAGGCUCGCAAAGAGCAUUUUCCACCUCAUAUUGGAGUAAGCAGCACAGAAGACGAAGAUAAGCAGUCAAUUAAUCUGGCUCAAAUUCAAUCGGCCACCUGUAAGUAACUAGCUCGCCUGCCAAGAACGUACCAUAUGCAAUGUAGCCACGACAUAGACUAGCUGAGCACAACGAUGAGCAACCUAGACUAACAGGUUACGACUGGGGGUAGCCAGAAGCUUCACUGCCCCAAUAUAGGUAAAUUUAGAAAGAAGUUGAGAGGCUUCUGACAGAACGAUUGUGCGAUUUCCAACGCAAUGAAGCUACUGACAAGGCGCUUAAACGAUACACGACCAACAUAAACGGGUCACCUUUUAUUGACAAGAUUGAGCAGACAGAACCAUCCUACAUACACUGGCGGAUACAAAUAUUACUUCUAUUUUAACAUACGCAUCAACUCAGCCUAAUGGCGUGUCGAGGGCAAAUGGGUUCCAGAAUGGCACACUAACCCAACCACCAAGAACCAGGGCCAAAUCUUAUUUUCAUCACUCCACACGAUUCAAUGCUUGAGCAUCACAUCACCAGUAAUAGAGCACCGCAGACCUAAUGGUCCAAUUCCUCCUGAUGCACACAAGCUCACCCCAGCUCCACGCUCAAAGCCGUGCCUACCUGCUCCACAACACUCAGCCACCCUUGAUUUGUCACCAUGGCUCACAGUUAUGCCAAUUUUGCACCACAGCUCCCAGCCGUGCUAAUCUUGCCAUGCGGCUUUUAACUACGUUAACCAAGCCCACGAUACUUCAUACUUCAAAACAUCCAAUGACGAAGUAGAACAUGAGGCUCUACUAGCAGCCCCUGCUAGUGAAAGGCUUUGCGGUGAAGAGGCUUCCAAUCCAUUCAAAUUCUCAGUUGACCACCUGUUGGGUUUUACGGCUCAAAAUUAGGAUGAUGCAAAAAAAAUUGUGUUACCUAUUUGGUUUUGGUGUCGUAUUUGGGUUUGGAUUUUGACCUCUUAGUUGGUUUCCUUGGUGGAGAGAUUUUGUUAAUUACCUAUUUGAUUAGGAUUUGGAUUUACUUCCUAUUAAGAUUCUUAUUGUAACCUAAGUCUUAUGCACUAUAAAUAGGACCUCAGGGUUAGUGUAUUUUGUGUGGCUCAUUCGUGUGGCAAUUUGGUGAGAGUCAAUUUGUGAGUUUGUGAGUUAGAGAGCAAUUUGGGAGAAUCUUCUCCGUUAGUUUUGGGUUCUCUACUCGUUUGGUUUAGGGUUUGUAAUUUGUGGGAUUUGGAUUGUGAGAGUUUAAACACUAUUUUGUAAUCUCCGUUUGUUUAGUGAAAUUUCUUGUCAUGCUUCGCUCGUGGACUUAGAUUUUACACCGAACCACAUAAAUCUCUUGUGUUAGUUUGAGAUUGUUUGUUUUAGUUUUCACCUACAACGUUGAUAUCGGUACUUUGCUAUAAUUUGCUUUCCUUUGCUCAUAAAAGUACGACAAGUGGUAUCAGAGCCCAGCUUUCGGCUUGGGCUUUUCUUGGCAAUCAAUAUGAAGCCUUCUGUGUCGUCGGUGAAAGUUGAUAUUGAAAAGUUCGAUGGCAAUGACUUUGGUAUUUGGCAAUUGAAGAUGCGUGCUUUGUUAAUUCAACAAGAGCUUUUAAAAACGCUAAAGGGUGUGAAGGCUUUCCUGAAUUCGUGGACUGAUGAAGAAAAACAAAGAAGUUAUGGAGCGGGCACUUGGAACAAUCCUGCUGACUUUAUCGAAUGAAGUCUUGCGUCAAGUUGGUAGCAUCAAAUCUGCACCGAAGUUGUGGCUAAAAUUGGAGAGUUUGUAUAUGACCAAAUCCCUUGCUAAAUGGUUGUAUUUGAAGAAAAGUUUGCGUACUCUUCGUAUGGAUGAAGGUACGUCAAUUCAUAAGACCAAAUCCUUAUUGCUGCCAAAAGUCCUCAACAGUUCCAAGGGAGAUGGGUAAGAGUUCGUAAUAGUGAGAGAUUGAAUCUUUUCACACUUGGCCAAAUUUUAAUUUUAAUUAGAUGAAACAAUGAAUCUUGAACAAAGCAAAACAAAAUUUAAUACUGAAAGAUUGAGUCAUUGAAGUGGACGUGGAUGUUGGGUACUUAACAGUCCAAGAAUGAAAACUCUCAUAUCAGUUUUUAUCCAAAAUUUUGGAAUUAUGUGAGUAUUGCAACGAUUGUCCGAAUGAUUAUUCUUCUUUUAUUAAAUUUCCAUGGAAAAUGAGCAUGGGGCACAAAAGUUGAACGAAUGAAAUUUCAAUGAUCUGCAAAGGGAUUGUGAGUUUGACAUGCCAUUUUUCUUCCUUUUAUGCAAUCAUGUUUAUUAAAAGACAAAAAUAAAUAUGACUUUACAUAAGCAGAGAGAAAGAGUAUUUUUCUUUGAAAAAAUCAACUAUUUAUUGAAGAGGAUGUGGAUGUUGAUUGAUGCGCCGUGUGAAUAGGAAAAAAAUGACCUUGAAGGGAGACAAGACAUUCAUUAGAAGCUAAAAAAAAGUUAUAGUGAUUUAGAAAAAAGAAAUUUUAACGAAAUAUUUCCGGUAUUGUUCACUCUUUACGAAAAACCACAUUUUUACAUUUCCUGGCUACUAUUCACUACACCUUUAUUUAUCAUUUUUCAUUAAAACUAAAUUUGUUUUUGAACUUUUCGUUAGUUUCCUUUAGAAAAAAGCAAGAAAGCCUCAUUUUCAAAGUGGUAGUCAUUGAAACAAUACUUGAUUAGAAGAAAAGUCAUAGUAUUGUAUUUACAAUCUCAAGUCUUGAGGGGUAACGAGAGUGCAAGUUUCUAAUUGGAAUAUAAUAUGAAAUUUCUACAUAACAAUAUAUGACAAAGAAAGAAGUCUAAGUUUCUAAGUGGAAGGGCUUCCAAUUGAUGUGAGUUUGUUGAGAAAUGAAGAUGAAGAUGAAUAUUGUUGUUGAUGUGAGUUAGUGAACAACAGAACAAGUUGCUUCUCCUUUGGCCUCUAACAUGAUAUUACCGGAAAACAAGUUGUUACUAGUAAAUGUAACUGACUGGUGAACUAAGACAUGCGGUACGAUUUUUGAUAACUAGAGAAGAUGAAUAGUGUCGUGACAAAAUUUAUCCAAGUAGACCCAAGGGAAAGACUUAGGAACUUCAUAUGCAGUGGGAUAAAAUCUUAAGCUAAUUUCCUUUUUAAUCUUAUAGUCAUUAUGUAAAAUGUAUAUGCAUAUUUCUAGAUACAUACACACCAAUGUACAUAAUAUUAACUCCUUUUAAGUAGUCAUUUGCAAAUCCCUCUUGAGUGCUCUUUGGAAUGCUCAUGCGGUGCCGUUCUAAUCUCUUAUAUAUAACUUUUUGUGAUCUGUUUUUUCAUCAAUAUGCCAAAAUCCCUUUAGAAUUUGCAACUUAUCUUUUUGGUUACGGUAAAAAAAAACUCGGAAUUUCAUUUAAACUCGAAAAUCUAGGGAUGUGAAAGCAAUUUUCUCUUGUUCGACAACAUUUAGCGAGAGCAAAGGCAAAUUGUACAGGAAAAAGUUAGAAAUUGGGGAUGAAGAUUCCCAAUUUUAAUUUCGUCUAAAUAAGUGUAAUUUCACAAUUCUAACUACGAUGAGAAUCACAAAUAUAUUGCAGGGAAAUCUUGCAACAGCCAAACUUUACGAUUAGGGUGCCAAAUUUCGUGAUAAAACCUAAUAAGGGUUUAGGGCUGCAUUGUUCACUCUGUUAACUCUCCAAAUCUUCGACGGAUUUUCGGCUCGUGCAUCAUCUUCUUGCUUUGUUCUAGGUCAACGCCUCUACUCUCUUCUUUCUUGAAUUAUUUUAGCUUUUUAGGUAGGCUCUUUAUGGCUGUUGUGAAUUUUGCUAGUUAUUUUUAUUUUCUGAUAGUCAUUUGUUUGUUGUGCGUUUUUCCUUCCAAUUGAAUUGUGUAUUGGUUGGAUCUGUAACAUUUAUUUUUUAUUUUAUUUUAUGGAUUUUGGUGUUAGUUCUUUGUCAUGGAUGUUGUCCCUUUGAAGGUUAACAAUAGCCAAGACUAAACAUGAUGAUAUUGUUAAUUACUUUCUCAUGAUACUAAUGCCAUAUUGUUCUCUCUUUUGCACUUACAAGUGAAGAGAAAUAUCCUAGACCCUAACUGGAUAUGUUAUUGUCAUGGUCAUGCAUUGGUAUGGUAACAAUAUGUUUGGAUAAGGAAAAUAAACUUAGAAUUUGACAAAAGAUAGAAUUUAUAAAUUGAUACAAUCAAUUCCUUUGUUUAGAUUCAUAAACAUAGAAAUUUAAACUUUCCGUGUGAGAAAAAACUUGGAAUUUGGGACCUUCAAUUCUCAUGUUUAAAUUUUAUGUAAAUAGGUGUCAUUUCUAAAUUUCAGCAAGUGAGAAUUUAAAAAUAACAAACAUGUAUUCAAAUUUCAUUCCUCUUUUAGGUUAACCAAACAAGAAAUUUUAUAAAUUCUAGAAAAUAAAAUUUCGUUAUUUCAAUUUCUGUUAUUUUAAAAUUAGUAAUCUUAAAUUUUCCCAUCCAAACAAAGAGUUUCCUUGUCAUAGAACUUUCAAUUGGGAUCAAGGAAGACAAUCUUUUCACAACUGAUUAUUCUCACCAAAUUUUAUUAUUAUUUUAAAGCAGAUCAAUACCAAACUUCAAAAGCAAAGUAGGAAGGCUAAAAUUAAGGUGAAGAACCUACUUCCACUAAUUACCAUGGGAGGGGGAGAGAGAGAGAGAGAGAGAGAGAGAGAGAGAGAGAGAGAGAACCAAGCGAGAGAGAAGAGAGAGAAAACACCAAGUAGUAUUAUAAUAUAGGUGGGGUUAAAUCACCUUUCGUGAAGUUGCGGUAAGAGCAGCUCCAGCGGGAGGUCCAGCUUGAUGGACCGGUGAGAUUUCCUACCCAAUAGCCCCAGCUCCUUGCUCCAGCCCAUGCGGGCGAUUGGGCUGAGGGGGUGCCCGAGUGAGAGGCCUGACUCGAAUCGGUAGCCUGAGAGCUUGAGGCCAAAUGAUGCAUGGACGUCAGCCACGUUAUAAGAAGGAAGCAUAAACUAUGAAUAAUGAUAGAGAUUUAGAUUUUGGUGUGUGAUUUCAUCGGAUGGAUGGUGGGUUAUAUGGAGGAAAAAAAAAAGAUUAGGUUGUAGAUAAUGCCACGUGGCAUGCCGUCAUUCGUUAAAAAUCUGAUCGAAAUCUAUCAUCAAAGAUUUUAAACAGAUUAUGACACGUGACGCAACGUGAUUGGUUAAAAAUCUUAUCAGAAAUCUAUCCUUAACGAUUCUGAAAAGGUAACGAGAUGGGGCACGACGGCAUUGGAUAAAAAUCUUAUCGAAAUCUAUCACCAAAAAUUAUCUUUUUGGAUAAUGACACGUGGUGCAACGAGAACGAUUAAAAAUCUUAUCCGAAAUUACAAAUAGAAUUAUUUUGUAUUAUUUUAUAAAAUAAAAAUACUAAUAUUUUAUUGCCUAUUGACAUGACUAUUCAAUUAUGGGUGUGGAGAUGCAGAAGAUAAUUAUUAUUAAUUAAAGGUAAUUAUUGUUCAUUGGAGGGGAUUGAAUAUGAAGUUGCAGUAGAAGGCCUUUGUCACAGCAAUAGGCAGUUACUGUUCUAAGGACUUCUAUCCUAGAACAGAGACAAAAACACCAAGUAGUAUUAUAAUAUAGGUGGGGUUAAAUCACCUUCCGUGAAGUUGCUGUAUGGACUUCUAUCCUAGAGAAAAGUCGGUCAAUGGUGUUUGACACAGUCAGUCAACGACAAAGACAGAAUUGUGUAACCAUAAUUCUCUCUCUAUCUCUUUUUCAUUAACGGAGGACAGUGUAUAAUUACUACGUAUAUAUCUCUGCUCAAUUAUUGAAAAGAAAAAUCCAUGUGCAUUAUUUUUAUUAUUAUUAUCUCAGAAAUGCAGAAAUUGAUUAUCUCUUCCUUCUGCAUAUUGAUACUGGUUUUCUUCAAACUAGUUGAAGCAAGCCAAUAUGUGUGCGCGAAAUCCAACUGUAGCAAUGAUCAAGGCCCGGCUAAUUUCCUUAGGAGGGAGAGAGAGAGAGGGGAGAGAGAACCAAGUGAGCGAGCAGAGAGAGAAAACACCAAGUAGUAUUCUAAUGUUGGUGGGGUUAAGUCACCUUCCAUGAAGUUGCAGUAAGGACUUCUAUCCCAGAGAAAAGUCAGUAAAUGAUGUUGACACAGUCCGUCAACGACAAAGACAGAAUUGUGUAACCAUAAUUCUCUCUCUAUCUCUUUUUCAUUAACGGAGGACAGUGUAUAAUUACUACGUAUAUAUCUCUGCUCAAUUAUUGAAAAGAAAAAUCCAUGUGCAUUAUUUUUAUUAUUAUUAUCUCAGAAAUGCAGAAAUUGAUCAUCUCUUCCUUCUGCAUAUUGAUACUGGUUUUCUUCAAACUAGUUGAAGCAAGCCAAUAUGUGUGCGCGAAAUCCAACUGUAGCAAUGAUCAAGGCCCGGCUAUCCAUUUCCCAUUGAACAUCAGGCGCACACAUCAUUGUGGAAAUUCUGGGCUUGAAUGCAAUGGGAGAUAUGAGCAGCAAAUACUAAUAAAAUUAUUUGUCAAAGACACAGAUUACAAGCGUCAGGAAAUCCAAGUCUAUUCCCCAAGUAACUGCCUGCUGCUAAAGCUUGUUGAAAUCCCAAACAUGCCACCCUCUCCCUUCGUGCCAGUAGUCGAUUACAUGAUUAAUUUCAUAAACGUUACCUUAUUCAGUUGUCCUACUUCUGUUGCAAUACGAGAUACGUAUGGUUGUCAAGUCCCCUGCCUUGGCGACCGUGGCAAGAGAACUUAUGCCAUUGAUUCUGGGGUUUAUUUUGAAACUCUCUUCCAGAAUCUAGAAUCCUGUACAAAAAUGUAUGAUGUUUUAUCAGUUCCAAUAGCCGAUGAAUAUUAUGUUUUUCGUUUCAAAUGGUCUAUACCAAAUUGCAGAAAAUGUGGAGAGGGAAAGAAGUGUGAAUGGCAGAACAAUGAAAUUAAAUGUCUUCCCUGGAGGAAACCAAGUAAGGAUAACAUAUGUAUUCAUUGCUAGUUUUAAACAUCUUUACAUUUAUGUCUUAGUAAUUAUUAUUUGAAGGAUGUUGUCCAAUCCAUUUUUACUAGGAAUAUUACCUGACAGUCUCGUUUAAAUUCGCAAUGAUCUUCUACAGGCAACACAUGGAAAAAAGUGGUUACAGGUGGAAUCCUGUGUGCUUUGCUUCUUGUUCUACUGACGAUUGCAGCAUAUCGGGUAUAUAGCGCUGAUAGAAAGGAGAAAGAGAGUCGAUUAAGAAUUGAAAGAUUCUUGGAGGACUACAAAGCACUCAAACCAAGCAGGUAUUCGUACGCAGAUAUUAAGAGGAUUACAAAUCAAUUCAAGGACAAGUUGGGCGAAGGAGCCUAUGGAACUGUCUUCAAAGGAAUGCUCUCUUCUGAAUUCUUCAUUGCUGUCAAAGUCCUCAACAGUUCCAAGGGAGAUGGGGAAGAGUUCGUAAAUGAAGUGCGAACGAUGGGUCAUAUCCACCACGUAAACGUGGCUCGCUUGGUUGGAUUUUGUGCUGAUGGAUUUGUACGAGCUCUUGUUUACGAGUUCUUCCCCAAUGGUUCCCUGCAGGAUUUCAUUUCAUCUGCAGAUAGUAAGAAUUCAUUUCUUGGUUGGGAUAAGCUACAAGAUAUUGCCCUAGGCAUAGCCAAAGGAAUUGAAUAUCUUCACCAGGGAUGCGAUCUACGAAUCCUGCAUUUCGACAUCAAACCCCAUAAUGUUUUGCUAGACCAAAACUUCACUCCAAAAAUUUCUGAUUUUGGUUUGGCCAAGUUAUGUUCCAAGGAUCAAAGCUUGGUGUCCAUGACUACAGCAAGGGGGACCAUGGGCUACAUUGCACCUGAAGUGUUCUCCAGGAAUUUCGGAAAUGUGUCGUACAAGGCAGAUGUUUAUAGCUUUGGAAUGCUACUGCUUGAGAUGGUAGGAGGAAGGAAGAAUAUUGGUUCAAUUACGGAUAACACUACAAAUGAAAUUUACUAUCCACAGUGGAUUUAUAAUCUUCUAGAGGAAGGGGAUGACCUACGAAUCCACAUUGGGGAAGAAGGAGAUGGUAAAAUUCCAAAGAAACUUGCAAUUAUAGGGCUAUGGUGUAUCCAGUGGCACCCGUCGGAUCGUCCUUCCAUGAAAAUAGUGGUUCAGAUGUUAGAAGGAGGAGGAGAAAGCUUGAGUAUGCCGCCUAAUCCCUUUGUGCCUACUGGUUCUACAACUAGGAAUGCAAGACACCUAGAGCUAGAAGCUAUUGCUGAAUUAGAGUAAAAUGUAUAUGCAGAUAUGUAGACGUAUAGAUAUAGUAAUAUUUAUAUUGAAUAAGAGGCCGUUUGAUAACCAUUUCGUUUUCAGCUUUUAAUUUUUAUUUUUCACUUUUUUGAAAACUAAAAACUAAAAUCUUGUUUGGUAAAUACUUUUAGUUAAAAAAAAAUGAAGACUGAGAACUAAAAUGUGAAAGCUCAAAGGAAGUAGAUUAAAAGUAGUUACCAAACAAACCGGAAUCUCAAUAAAUAAAAAAGAUUGAAUUGCACAAUGCAAUCCAAACCAAUCAAAACAUUUAAAAUAGCAAAAAAAAAUUAAAAUUCUAGUUGAUUAGAUUCUAAACAUAGUAAAAAUGAACAGAUCCGAUGAAAAAAACAAAAAAUUCUCAGAUAAAAAUAGGGAUAAAGUAAAAUAUUUAUAAAUAGCUCUUUGUCUCUUAUGCCAUCAAUUAUUUCUAUAGUAUAUACACGUUUUUGGAAAAAUUAGGUUCCCAUCCCUUAUUUUCAUAUUACAUUGAUUGAAAUCUUAUUAUUUUUCUAUUUUAGAUCAAGGUCCCUUGACUUAUUCUAUGUCAUCAUUUUAGUAUUUAAAAUAUUACACGUUAUCAUAAACGAAAUCUCAUCCCUUUCUGCAUUUAAGGCAAAAUAAACUAUAUGAGUAAGUUUAAAACAAGGAAAAUCCAUUUGAACUCCUCCAUUCUUCUUCUUCUCUUAUAAACAUCUGGAAUCUACAACACCCCAAACCCAAUUUUCUCCAUUUUUUCUCCUUUCCUGAAUUGAUCCAAUGCAUAUAUGUUGAAUAAACCUAUUGUGAUUAAAAUACAAAUUAGCAUCAAUGGUUUUAUUGGCUUGUGAGAUUUGUGUGGCAUAGGCAAGGCAAUGCAGGCAUCGUUUUCUCAAGGAAUCUGGUUGAUUCAAACAUGCAGAGACUGUAGAGUGAGUGGGCUAUGUGAAAACUGUACCAUUCUGAAGUCAUUUUCUUUUGUUCUUUAUAUUUUUUUUUCUUUUUCUUUUAUUAUUAUAUAUUAGUCUUGGUUAUUCAAUGCCUGGUUGGCUACACUUAUAUCCAUGGGUACAUUUUUAAUCUACAUGUUUCGUUCUAAUAUAUCUAUUGCUAUAAUAUGUUUUGGUUGGUUCAAAUUUGUUUUACAUAAAUAUAUGGGUACAAAGUUUUUGGAGAAUAUUAUGUAAAUGGUUUUUAAGGUUGCUGCAUUUUACGUACCCACAUAUGCAUGUCUAUAAAACAAUGUGGUAUGAUGUACAUUCUUUUCUUUGAGUUUUUAAAUGUACCCAUGAGUUUUUUUGUAAAUUCGGUAUGUACCCAUAUGCUAUUUAUGUUAUGGGUACAUACAUUAUUUUUGGUCUAAGUUCAGGGUACAUUGCUUUUGUAUGUAUGAAUUCAAGGGGUACAUUAUUUCCCUUAAUACUACUCAAUAAAAUUCACAAAAUAUGUGUAGUGUGCAUGAUUUUUUAUUGUAGAAAUUGUUUUUUUUUAAGUCUCAUAAUUCAUGAAAUUUGUACAUAUAUGAUCCCAUAAAUUUUUUAAUUUUAUUAAAUUUCUUUUAGACUUGAUCGAUUGAUUGAAUCUCAUCAUACUAGGAUUUUGAAUUACAUAAAUUCUUGGAUUUAAAUCCCUUAAAUGUUGGACUGCAAUCAAUAUUUUAAAUUAUAGUUUUUUAUUUAAGAUAUCAAAAAGAUGACAUGGAAAUAUAGUAAUACUAAAAUGCUGAGGUGUACAAAGUCAAAGGACUUUGAUCAAAAAAUAAAAAACAAUAAGAUUUCAAUCUAACAAUUAAAUUGACUAGGGACCGGAACCAAAAUGACCCUAGAUUUUUAUUGAGUUUAAUCUUAAUCAAAAAAAGACUUCUUGUAUCACAGAAAAUACAAGAACCAUUAUUUGAAUGAAAUAAAAGCUAUGGGAUGGAGAUAUAAAUGGAUCAUUUUAUUCACAAUCGGAUUAUAUUUAUUUGAUACACUAUUGUCAAUAUGAAUGUUGAGAAAAAGACUACAAAAGAAAAAACAAUUUAUAAAUAUAACUAACAAUUCCAAUUUCAAUCAAUUAGACAAUUAGAUAAUACAUCAGUAAACGCGGGGUGACUCAGUGGUUAGAAACGAAUUUUAGGCUCGUAUUCUAUACAAUACGUCUUGGGUUCGAUUCCUGACAAUGGUGAAUCACGCGACGGUAGAUAUAGGGGUGUUGUUGGAAGUUUUGAGACUCAAGUCCUUUAUAUAGAUUUAGUGCUUUAGUUUAGUAAUUAGAAUAUGGGUCAUUUGGAAAUGGAUUGAAGGUUUGGGCCUUAUGGUUGUGUGGAUUAGGCUUGUAUAAUAUAGCCUAAAUACAAUUAAUAUUAAUUAAUCAAGACAAGGGCCUUGGGCCUUACUUGGGGCCUUGGAAUUUAAAAUUAAUCUGAUUCAUUAAUUUUAAUUUUCGGAUUAAGUUUUUAAUUAAUUUAUUAUUAAUUAAAAACGUUUUGAUUAAAAGACACAGCUCUUAGAAAAGAGUUAUGAACCUUCAAAUACACUGAACUGGUAUUUGAAAGGGUGUGAAACAACCUAUAUAUCUGCAAUCCAUGGUAUCCAAAUAAAUCAUCUUUUCUUCUUCCUUUUCUUCCGUACAAACUUUCCAGAGAGAGUAAACACACAAAGCAAUUCGCUAGAAUUCUAUAAUUUAGUGCGGGUUAUAGGAUUAGGUAGUUGUAUCCUGGUCGAGCAGACGUUAUAGAACCACAAGCACAAGAGUGGGACGGAAUUACUGUUCGAAUGACAUAGCUUUUACGUUAGCCUCUACCUUCUGUAAUCAAGUUAGUACCGUUGACAUUCUUAUAUUAAUUUCUGUAUUUAUUGUAUACUUUUCAUUUUGUAUAGCAAGUACCUUUUGUUAAAUAAAAAUUGUGAAUUUCAAGUUCUGUUUAUUUCUGUUAUUCUGUUUAUUUCUGAAUUGUUCUCCAACACCCCUAUAUCUACCGUCGCGUGAUUCACCAUUGUCAGGAAUCGAACCCAAGACGUGUUGUAUAGAAUACGAGCCUAAAAUUUAUUUCUAACCACUGAGUCACCCCGCGUUUGAUUAUAUUUCACUUAGACUUAUCUUGCGGUAUAGCAUGUCAUCCCCGCCCAAGUUUUUCUGUUGGCAUUGAGUUUGGGAUACCAAAACUUGCCAAACAAAGUAGAUUGAUUAGUAAGCGAAGCUAAUUAUUCGACUAAACAUUGUUUAGAAUUUUAAUUAAAAGAAACAAUAUGAAUCUGUUUAUUUUUUUUUUUGACAAACUAUAACGUUAAGGAGUUAAAUUGUUAGUUAUUAAGAGUACAAUGAUAGGUGAGGAUCGAACCUCCACCAGAGUGCAUAGACAUUAUUGGUUCUACAACUGCGGUAAAUCACAUAAAACAAAACGUAAUACUUUGAGGAUGGAAGACACUUCGUGGAUAGCGGGCAAUCAACACUAUCAGUUGCUAUCCAAAACUUGGAAUUAUGUUUAUUGUCCGAAGGAUUUUUCUUCCAUUAAAUUGCUAAGGAAGAUGAGGAUGGGUGGAGUGUCUAAAUGUCAAGGUUGACAAGAACGUGUAUGGUGUUCAGCUUGCGAUUGAGAUUUGUUAGAGUGGCACAACAAACCACAUAAAAUUUUCUAAAUGAUAAGCUUGAGUAUAAUUUUUUAUCACGUAUUUAUCUUUAAAAUCAUUAUAAUUAGAUUUUCUCUUAAUUAAUAUAGACCGUUAGAUUCAUCUAAUGACCCAAGUUUUUUUCCUCUUUUCUUUCCACUCUUUUCCAUUCACCGUGUAGCAGUCGUUCUUCCCCAACUACGUUUCUUAUUUUUCUUCACAAAAAAUUUGUAGAAAAUAUUAAGAAAAGAAAAGUCAUCAAUAUCAGACUCGACCAGGUAAUCGUUCCAACCUUCCCAGCAACUCUCAGUCUUAACUAGGCACCAAAUUUUCUCCGCCACCUAACUCGUCAUUCAUUCAUGGGUGUUUCAAGCUUGGUGAAAAUUGAUAGAGUUCCAUGUGUGUACACGGAUGUGAACAUAUUGGCCACUCUCUAAGAAUGAGUCAUUGGAAAAGUUGAAGGAAAGAUGUAACCGAUGAAAUUAAUGGAUUGGAAUUACAAUGAAGUCUGUGUUGGUUUAUCACAAAGAACCCAGAUACAAAAUUUUAAAAGCAAACAAUUUCAACUUCUCAAAUAUUAUCUAACAAACUUUCAAUGAAAUGUUGCUCAUAAUUGAAAAAAGGUUGACGAAGGACGGAGUUGGGGUUAUUUUAGAUGAGGAAGAGUUAAAAGAAGGAAGCACCAUUUAAUUAAUAAAAGUGAUUGGAGAAAUGGUAAUUCAAUGGUGGGCGUUUUUAAGGUGUGGACCUUGUAUCACACCCUGAUCCCAACAUACAUUGAGGAUCGACACGUGACAUGGGGACAUAGGGGACAAAAAUCUUACAUAAGAUACAGAAUGAAAUACUAUAUAAUAUCCCAAAAUGAAUAUGAUAGUGGGUUCACCCCUAUAAAAUACAUACGAGUUUGUACAUUCACAAAAAAAUAAAAAAAAUAAAAAUAAAUAAAAAUAAAAAACACACACACAACUCUCGCUAGGCCAAGACUUGCCCAUGGUGCUCAAAGGAAAGUCCCAAAAGAAAUAGUACAAUGAAGGAUAAAGGGGUAACCUAAACACUCCAAGUCUCUGAUCUCUGCACUGCUACCCCCACCGGCUCCUCGUAAUCUACUCAGACCUGUCACAUGUACAAACAGUGCCUACAUUGUGGGAAUGGUGCACCAGGCAAACAAAAACCCGGAUAAGCUGCAAAACUCGUGUGAGUGACAAUAAUGCAACGUAUGUGAUAAUCAAGAAAAACAGACCAUCGAUCACAGUUUAUAAAUCUCAAAUAUAACUUCAUACUUAUGAAAUCAUAAUCAAGUCACUGAAAACUUCGAAUGAGUCACCCAGACAUCUAACGACUUUUCUAAAUCAAAUCUCAGAGAUUCCCAAAACUAUCGUUCACAAAUACACUAAAAACUAGGGCUAGAGUGACACAGUUCAGCCAAAGCCUACAUAAGUAACCAAAUAAGAAGUGGCCCCCCAUAGCGGAUUAACCAAGCAGAGCCACUCCUGAGAAAGUAACCAAGUAGGUAGUGACCCCCAUCACGGAUUAACCAAGCAGAGUCACUCCUACGAAACUGUUAGGUAGUGAUCACCCAUUACGGAUUAACCAAGCAUGAUCACCCCUAAGCACGUAUGGCCAUACCUAAGAAAUAAGGAUCGCCCAUCGCGGAUUAACCAAGCACGAUCCAAAAAUAUUAUGGGUCCCCUAUCGCCGAUUAACCAAGCAUGACCAUCCAUGUACCACUGCUACAUGGUGUAAAUUCGGUGUCACCUAACCUCGUGACACUAGGGUAACGGUCCUCUAGUAGCCCUCACGUUUUUCAAACAUUUCAAAUAUAUAAUUUAAAACACAAUUCAUAAACAUUUCGAAUAGGGAAGUCACAUAGUGUUUAAUAAUGUAGGUCAAUGGCAAACUUUAAAAACAAUUAUUUAGCAUAAAACAUAUUUUAGAAAUCCAUGCUGUAUCCACAAAGUAUACUAGCACGGGAGAUUUUCAGGGUAAUAACUCUAUCACAUAUAUUAAAGUCACUCACCUGGAGUCCGCACUAACGCACCCUGGCACGAAUAUCAAGACGUCGCGUACUAUCAUCUGCAACAUCCCACAUCGACCAACGAAGAGGGGGUGAUGUGCCUUCUAUGUACAUGCCCACCUCCAUAGCAUGAGGCAUUUUGGGAGCUCACUGGCUUCAUAUUCCAUCGGAACUCCAAAGUUAAGCAAGUUUGGGCGAGAGUAGUCCCAGGAUAGGUGACCCAUUGGAAAGUUAUUGUGUGAGUCCUAGAAACAAAACCGUGAAGGCGUGGCCCGAGGGGGCCCAAAACGGACAAUAUUGUGCUACGACGGAAUCGAGACUGAGAUGUGACAGAAUGGUAUCAGAGCCACUCUGCCGUGUGGUGCGAGUGUGCCGACGAGGACGUCGGGCCCCUAAGGGGGGUGGAUUGUAACAUCCCACAUCGACCAACGAAGAAGAGGUGAUGUGCCUUAUAUGUACAUGCCCACCUCCAUUUAGCACGAGGUCUUUUGGGAGCUUAUUGGCUUCGGGUUCCAUCGGAAAUCUGAAGUUAAGCGAGUUCAAGCAAGAGCAUUCCCAGGAUGGGUAACCUACUGGGAAGUUCUCGUGUGAGUUCCCAGAAACAAAACUGUGAGAGCGUGGCCAGGGCCCAAAGUGGACAAUAUCGUGUUAUGGCGGAGCCGAGAUUGGGAUGUGACAUUGUCACCUAAGACAAAGUACAGAUCCACAUUUAGAGUUCUUCAAGUAUUCACAUAAUAAAAAAUUUCCAUACGCCCCCUACAACUAAUGAACAGAAAUCGAGACACGUUGACAAAAAGUCAACCGUCGAUCAACGGUAGGGUCCACAACCCUACAUAACUCGAUCCGCAAUAUCCAACCACUGUAUUUGUGAUUCAUAAGUUCAUAAGGUCUUCAAAUCCUACCUACAAUAACAUACUAAACUUUGGUGAUGAUCUAAUGGUCGAAUCAUCAUUUGCUAUAAUGUUCAAAUGACGCAAAUUCAUCAAUCAGAUGUCAAAUAUGGAAUCAGACAUCGAAUUUAGCUUAGGAAUGUCAAGUGGUGUCUCGAGCACGCACCGCCGUGCGCAACAGCUGGCAACCUAGAUUCGUCGGAAAAAUCACCUAAUUCCAAAAUGAAUGUUGUGAGACGUGGAGUAAAUUGUAUACCUGUGAAGAAGCCCAAUUUGGCCGGGAAGUGGCCUGAAAUCACUUUAGACCGUCGGAAACCCUAAAAUAGGUGAAUCUCGAUUCGUCAUCCCCGGUAUUCCACCGUUCUCAAACUUGUUUAGGGUUUGCUCAUGGUCUCAAAAGAAUGCUAAUGAUGGUGGUGAUUGAAAGAGAACGUUUCAGAAAUAGUGAAUCACCAAUGAGGGUUUCACGAAACCGACAUGGGUGUUCCUCGUGGAACCAAGACCAAAUCUCAACGGUUUUGGCUAGAAAUGGAUGCUGGGAUGUCAUGGUGAAGUUUGGUAGUGAUGGGAGGUUGAAGAAAGACAAAAAAAAUCGACAAAAAAAUCGUCGUCGGAGUCGCAAGAAACGAGUUAGAAAAAUGAGUCGUCGGGUCUGAAACGUCGAAGGCUUUUGAGACAACUACUUACUCUCUCUUCUCUGAUUAGUCACUCCACUCACUCUCUCAUUUGAUUGGUCCAGCCUUCCCACAUGGUGGGAGUUCCCUCAUAUAGUAACCCAAAAUUUACUAUUUAAAUCUGGUAUUGAACGUCCGUAACUUUUUCGUUAUGGUUUCGAUUCGCAAACGGUUUUCACCUAUGCGCUCGUAUGAUCGAAUUAUACUCAAAAACAUUAAUUAUGACCUCGAAAAGGUCUACGAGUUUUAAAAGAUUAAUUACAAAAAUUCACACCUUGUAACUAUACGAUUCAAAUCCUAAAAUUAACGGAAUUAAAAUAAACUAAAAAUAAUGUAAACACGAAAUACAGACUUUAAUAAUGAAAUACGUAAUUAAUAGUGGAAUUCCGGGGAUGGGAUUUCACAACUUGCGUCCGGACCUUCAAUGCGGAUCAAAAUCCAAAGGUCGUGAUCUGACGAGCUCAUGCAUAGAACAGAGUUGUUGUGACCCAAUGCAAUUCAAAACUUUUAUGUUUUUUUAUUUACUGGGUACGUUUUUUAUUUACUGGGUACAUUUUUGCAAGACGUUAAAGAAAGCGCUUCUUGGGAGGCAACCCAUGUAUUCAAAAAAGGAAGAUCUAUGAAUCGCUCUACAAUUAGUUUUGCGUUUCUAAAAACCUUCCCUUUUCUGCAUUUCUAUUUUGCCAUGAUUGUCAUUUUUUAUUUUUGUUGUUUAUUUAAUUAUUUUUGGGUGUGGGUUUAUUUUUGAAACAUUGACAGAUAUGCAAGAUAUUCUUACAUUCAUUUUCAUGAAAAAAAGAAAAGGGAACAUUAAGCAGGAAAUUACAAGAGGGAGCCUUCACAAAGGCUGCUUAGGAGAAGUCUCAGUAGUCGGCGGAGCCCCAGAAGAAGGAGGCAGCGGAGGUUGAUCAUUUGGAGCUUCAGUACGCGGUGCAGCCCCAGAAGACGAAUGCAAAUGUUGUUGGAACAAACCCACAAACCGCUGAUGAUCAAGUAAAAUCUGACAAUCAGAUUCCUGCAUCUGGUCAAUCUUCCUCUUCAUGUUUGUAGCAUAAUUAUGUGCGAGCCUGUGCAACUGUUUAUUCUCAUGCUUAAGCCCUCUAAUCUCCUGCUUAAGACUCAUCACUUCAGCCGCCAAUGAUUCAACUUGACGGGUUCGGGCAAAUAGGCGUUGGGCCAUAUUAGACACGGAACGUGCGCACUGCACACUGAGAGCUAGAGAAUCCUUUACAUCCAACUCAUCAGACCGUUUGGCAAGUAGUCUAUUAUCUUUGGGAGUGACAGGGUUCCUGACCACCACCGCAGCUGUCAUAUCAUUCUUCAUCACCGAAUCCCCAACGAUAAGGGGACCAGUAGGGGAUAUGAAGGAUGGGCGCCAUAUGUUGUCUGGAGAAGGCGGGACUGCCUCUUCACCAAGGUUCAAGUCAAAACGACGAUCGGAUGGGCCAAACAUUUUCACAGGUGUUAAAGAAAGAAGAGGUCGGACAAGUCAAGAUCGUAGAAGUGCAAGAUGAGAGUUUUUACAGGCAGAAAUUCAAGUGUGCUUUGAACGUCCUACGUACUUCUAUAAAAAUCAGCACUCGAUGGGAUUUCAGAGAUCGAAGAGGCAAGCUCAGAAAUCGAAGAGGCCAACUAAAAAAAUUAAAGAGGCGCUAGCUUUCUCAAAAGCUGAGCUUGCUCAGAAACCACGGCCAAUCUUCUUUUCCAGAUUUGUCCGCACUUGUCACAUGCAACUCGACGGGAUUUCAGAGAUCGAAGAGGCAAUUCCAGAUAUCGGAUAGGCAUCUGCUUUUGCAGACGUGUCAACAUCUGUCACAUGCAGAGUAAGCUUUGCGAAAAUCACGGGCAGUUUGUGAAGCGCCGAUUCCAACCAUCUGCUUUUGCAGACGUGUCAACAUCUGUCACAUGCAUAGUAAGCUUUGCGGAAAUCACGGGCAGUUUGUCGAAGCACCGAUUCCAACCAUCUGCUUUUCCCGACGUGUCAACAUCUGUCACUUGCAGAGUCAGCUUUACGAAAAUUACGGGCAAUCUGUCGAAGAUCUCUUGUGAAGUUUACUAUUAAAUCAUCCAACGGUUGCUGACAAGAGUGAAAGAAUAGUACCGACUAUUAAUUCCUAUAAAUGUCAUCCUUCACCCUCAAUUGCAAGGCAGACAUACAUAACCCCCUUCUUCUCAGAAAAUGCCUUUCCAACACACCCUCUCGAGUCACUCAGUGUUCCUAAUUCCUUGGGGUACCUCUGCAAACAACUCAUCCAAAGCAAAAGUAUUUCAUAUCAUGAAGGUUGAAAGCAAGAGUAUCUCAUAUCAUGCUUUCUCCCUGUCCUUCUCCUUGUCUUUGUUUUAGGACAAGGAGAAAGAGAGCAAUCAGCCAGCACUUGGUAUCAAUCUUCCGAUCUGGAACCGACUGCCUGGAACCCCUUCCUGAUUGCUUACCUAGCCUUGCUCUCGAGAACUCAUCUUCAUCAUCUUAUGCUUCCUCUUCGUCUACCACAUCUGCCUGGGGAACAGAUAAGGGAAGUGAAAAUGAUACCUCGAAGCAUGUGGAAACAAUUUACCAAUUCAUCCUUAGCUAGGGACAAGGAGAAAAAAAGCAAGAGGUGGGCACUUGGAAAGAUUGAAGAAAGAAACAGACCAACACCUCUACCUCAUGCCUGCCCGCCGUGCAGAAGAAUCAAGCAGAGAAGAAUACAGACUGCACAAUCAAAUCAGGGAACUCUCAUAUUUCUCGCUCAGAAUUCCAAACCAGUUCAAGAUCAACGCUGUGGAAAGUCAACAAGAUCAUCUAUCUCCAAAACCAGAUUUGCGUUCUUAAACUCUACUCUGUCUGGUUUUUACUUUGCUAUACUUGUCAUGUUUAUUCGUUGUUUGUUUGUUUGCUUGUUGUUGUGUGAGUUUAUGUUUAAAACAUUGAGGACAAUGUUUGAUUUAAGUGUGGAGGGAUAACCAUUGUUUUGCAUGAAAUUCGUAGGAGUUUAUCACCCAUUACUUCUAGUGUUGUUCCUUGCUGUUUUAAGUGUUUUAAGCUGUUUUGGAGUGUUUCAGUGUGUUUUGACAUAAAAAUCCGAAAAUCUCAUAAAAAUUUGAAAAAUUGUUUUGAAAAACCAAAAAAGAGUUGUUUUUGUAUGUUUAUUUGUGUUUUAGGGUACCUUCCAACACAAUGAUGAGGAUUUGGUUUUUAAUUACAUGACUGUUAAAGAGAAUUAUAAACAUGGAUGAAAAUUUGAUUUACUCUUUGGUGUAUGCUUGGUUGUGGUUAUAAUUUAUGAAUUCACAUGCAAUCAUAAAGGAAAAAUCAAUUUUGUAACAUGCUUGAAAGAAGGAACUCAAAUGUACGCUACAACCUUGUGAGACUUGAGCCUAGACGUUUAUUUGGAGAGUUAAUAAUGUGCAUUUUUGUUUUCUAAAGUCGUUGUAUGAUCUCAUUAUUCUUUGCUUGGUUGCUACCUAGAAUGCGUUCAUCAUUAUAGAUCCACAUACUAGAACUCAUGCCCGUUCCAUUCAAAGCAUGACAUUAAUUUGCAUAACACAUAUCCAAGAUGAAGUUGUUUAGUGAACCAAAGCCAAAAUAGCCGAACCCACCUUUGUCAUUUGUUUUGUAGGUUUAAACCCCGUUGAGCCUUGUUUAGCCUAUUUUCUUUGUUAAACCACAUCAUCUCUACCUAACCUAGAAUAGGACUAUCCAUACCCUUGUUCUUGAAGUAUAGUGGAGCAUAACUUAGAAAGAAUUCAUUUUGAAACUUAUUGGGGGAAUUUAGAUUUCAAAUUUUUUGUGUGCCAAAGAAAACGGCAAGAGAAAAAAUUCGUGAAAAAAAAGAAAAAAGAAAAGAAAAAUUUGCAAAUUUUCCUGUGUUUAAAAGUAGAUGCCUAAAUUAACCCUUACAUUAAUUUUCCUUGAAUAAUUUCUCAUUCCAUCUAAUUUAGAUCCAUCUUGCUCACUAUUCUUUUUAAAUUUGUGGAUUUUGAAAUUUCAAAUGAGAAUGAAAUUGGAUGAGUUCAAUUUUCGUUUAAUUCUUACAAUUAAUAAGAAAUUCCGUCGAAAACAUUUUGAGUAUUGUUUAAUUUUUCAAUAUUACCGUAUUGUGUCAUUGAAAUAAUUAUCAGAGGAAUUAGGGAAUUCUCUUAAGGAACAACUCAAAAUGUAGUACAUGAUUAAAUAAUUCCUUUGAAUGGUCAACUAUGAUCAACAUAUCUUGUAUCAGAUCUUAGUCAAAUACCUGUUAAGAGUGUAAAUUUCUUGUGUGAAAAUGAGUGUAUCUAGUAAUUUUGGCAUUAGGAUGUUACUACAUUCUCAAAAUGCUGUUUUUUGAUUAAAUGAGCUGUGAGGUACUAAUCAAAUAUGCUCGAGGGUAAGAAUGGCUUAAAUUAUGUGAGUGGUGAUCUGGUUCAUGUUUCAUUAAAAAUCCCUGAGGCAAAUGUUGGAAGAUUUAGGUUAUGUUUUGUUUGUUUCGUUUGUUUUGUUUUGCUCGAGGACUAGCAAAAGCUAAGUGUGGGGAAUUUGAAUUUGAUAGGAGCAUUAUUAUGCGACUGAGUUAGCUUGUUCUCAUGCAUUUAUGUUGUUAUUUCUUAGUUAAUUAUGUAUUUUAAGCUAUUUUCGUGUGUUUGUAGGUCCAUAGGCCUUAUAAAGCAAUAAGGUGCAUUUUGGAGCAGUUUUGGGCUUGGAAUGGAUAGCACAUGCAUGGAGUAAGGUGAUGGACGAAAUUGAAGACUAAAGAGGCUUGGAAUGUGUUAAAAAGAAAGAAUAAUUAAUGACAAAGAGCUCAGCAACCAAACAGGGAACAUGAGUCAAGAUUACCUUAUUUUGAUUUAAUCUUUCCUAAUCUUCAAUGUCCCUAAGUUCCAACAACAUUCCUUGUCUAUUUCAUUCACUCAUUGCCUAGCACCACCCUUGUUCCCUCCAUCAUUCCAAAUUUCUUGCAUCAAUCAUCACUCCACCUUAACCCUUGACUCAUUUCUACACCAUUCCACCUCCCUUUCCUUUCUCUACCAUGUGCACAAUCAUUCAUGUUCCCUACUUGCAUUCAUUGUUGCAACACCACUCCAUUUUACCCCUCAUGCUUUGCAUCAUUACUUCACUUUCACCUUUGAAUCAUUUCAACACCACUUCAUUUUACCCAUGGUUUGCAUCAUUACUUCACUUUCACUUUCACCUUUGCAUCAUUACUUCACUUUCACCUUUGAAUCAUUUCAACACCACUCCAUGUCCCCCUCCAUUGCCUUGCCCUUCCUCUAUAAAAGGAAGUGUGUGUAACAUAAAUUUAGUUCAUAUAUUUUUUUAGAUCAUUCACUCCCAUUUCAAUACAACCUUCAUCCAAACACAUUCAUUCAUCUUCACAUCCAUUCCUCCAUACAAACAAACCUUCAAACACUCACCAACACCUUGUGCCAUAGCAAAGGAAGGAAAGGAAAAUGCUUGGACGUGCGUGCUGUCAACUUGGAUCGUUGGAGCGUUUAGGUGUUUUCUUUCUUUUGUUUCCAAUGUUAAAUUCAUUUUCUGAUUUUGUUGCAAUUAUGAGUGGCUAAAACCCUAUUUAGUUAGGGGGAAGUUUGAAGCCAUGAACAUGCUUGAGAUAUGAAUUGAUUUCUUCCAAUUGUGAUUUGAUAAGUUGUGAUUGCAAUUCAAUUAUCUAUUUUAUUCAUAACUGAUUCUUGUAUGUUUAUUAAGGAUGCAUACUUAAUUUUCAUGCAUGAAUUAGAUGCUAGAAUAUAAAUGAGUUUCACCUAAUCGUUACAAGUUUAUAUUCAUGAGUAGUGAAGGUUGUUUAUCACAAUCUGACACACCCCGUCCCGAAGGAGGGCGUGCUGGCCGUCACGUGAGAGUGACGUAACCAUUUACACAGUUCGGAAGCUUUAAAAAAAAAUUCCAAUUACUAAUAUAACACACCCGAGGGUGAGUCCUACUUUUGUGAAUUCUGUCAGAACACCGUUGGAUUCCUCGUGGCCACCAAAGCUCUGCUAACUUGAACCUGGGGCGCAAAACAAAAGCUUGAACUUGAACCUUUCAGGCGCAAAACAAAAGUUUUUUCGAAAACUUUUCAUUUAAAACAUUUCUAACCCCUCACUGUAAAACCUGUAUACUUUCCCAGAAAAUAGUGUAUAUAUAAACAUAUAUAUAAGCAAAAAUCUCGAAUCUCAAACCUUUAACACUUUUCAGAAAUAUAUAUAUAUAUAUAUAUAUAUAUAUAUAACCAUUUGAAAUCUCAAGACUUGAAUCCCAAAUCUUUAACAUUUUUCAAGAAAAGCAUGCCAUGCCAUAAAUCAAAAAUAUAAAUCAGGUGAAAUAAGGAAUCAAUCGGAGACCCUGCAGUUGGUCCUAUACGAUUAAUUCAAUAGCUCAUUAUCUCACUAAGCCGGAGUCACCACAGUAACCUAUACGGCCCUACUCUGCACAUCACUCAGAACUACGUAAGGUAGUCUAUACGAUGAAAGGUGUAAAAAUACGCUCUAGUGCUUCUCUCAUCAUAUCAUCAGCGCGCAUAACUAAGAUCACCCACUAGUCGGAAUCACGCCUAGUGAUCUAUACGACUAGCAUGUCGGAACCCUCACAUGGUCUGUACGACAUCCACCUACUUGGAUCCAAGGCGAGCGUGCGGUGUGGUGAAUAAAAUAAGCACUAACACCUAGGGUGCAGGUUAUGAGCUUAAAACAUCUUAUCAACAAUCAAUUAAAUGAAUAAAUGAACUCACCUGACUUACCUGUGCCUCCACCGCACCAUGCAACAUGUAUGCAUCAAAUAUCAAUUCGUAUAACUCAUACGCAAUUCACAUUUUUCAAUUAAUUCUAUGCAUGGCAUUUUUAAAACAUAUUUUCAUAUAAAUUCAUUUUAUGGGAAAAAUCAAUAGUAUAAAGGUAAUACAAAAACAAAACUGCCCACUCACCUGGAGUUCGCCCAACAACUCCCUAGCACCACACAUCAAGGCGUCAUGAAGAUUAGUGCCUAGAACAAUAAUCAAACCCAACCUCAGAAAUCAUGCCGAUAGAAUACAUAACUUAUAUAAGACGCGUCCCUACGUAGUUCGAUCCGGAUGAUCUGCAACUCGGAUUUCAAAUCCGUAACUUCCAGAGGUCCACAAUAUACCUCUAGGACAACAUCCUAAAAUUUCAUUACCAUCCAACGGUCGGAUCUCCGUCAAUUUCCAAAACUAAGUGCCGGUUAACAUUCUAUUUUAUGAACUUACAACUCCAAUUCCGGAAGAUCCGUAAAUCGGAUUCCCAAUCCGUAAGUUCCUAUAAUCCUCAAAUAUUACGUAUUACAACGUAUCAACGUUUGGUGACGAUCCAACGGUCGGAUCGUCAAUUCACAUUUUCACCUAACUACGAAUCGUAACCAACUUAGGUUCAAUUACUCAAUUUACGUCCAUCAAUUAUCAAAACUGAACCUAGAGCCUUAAUCACAUGCUAAUAAUGACAUUGGCGGGCCAUUGGCCAUGCGCCGCCGCGCGGGCCGCCGCGGGUGGCGGUUGGCCGCCCCCGGCUCGCCGGAAAAUUCAACUAUUUCCAAAAAUUACCAAAAUUUGCAGAUUUGAAGAUAUCAAUGAGUAGAACAACUUUCAUACCUGUGGCCAAGGCCAAUUUGGCCUGGAAGUGCUUCAAUUUCACCAAAACCGUGAAGAACCCUAGAAUUAGGUGUUUCCAAUUCGACCUUCAAACUUGUUCCAACGCCUCAAUUACCUCUUAGUAUUUGUUCUAGGUCCUAAAGGAAUGCUAAUGGUGUUAGUAAUUGAAAGAAAACAUUUCAAAAUUUCAAGAAUUUAAACAAAAGGGUCGCGGCACCCGUGUGGGUGUUCUUCGCGAAAUCACCAUGAAAUUUAAUGAUUCUUGGGGUGAAACGUGAAGAGGGAAGGCCUAGAUGUUGAUUAGGAGUGGUACCUUGACUCAAUUCGUCGGAAAUUUGGACGAAAAUGGUGAGAACCCGCCGAUUGGAAGUCGCGGGUCGCACGGGUAUACGGGUUGGGAAAACCCAUUUCUUCCUUCUCUCCUCCGCUUCUCGCCCUCUCUCCUUUCCUCCUUUCCUUCCUCUGGUUGGUCAGCUUCUCCCUCUCUCUUCUUCUGAUUCGCCUCUCCUCCUUCUUCUCCGAUUGGGCAGUUUUUGCCCAAUCUCUCUUCUUCUUUCUGUUUUCUGGUUCUUCUCACGCGCACACACACACACAACUUCCUUUUUCUCAUCCCAGCCAUCUAUUUCAUUCAUCAUUAAAUCUGGGUCGUCCAUUUUCAUAAAAGAAUUUCUAUUUUACUAAAAUUAUAAUUCCUUAAAAUCCCAAAUUUCAAACGUUAAUAACUUCUUCGAUAUAACUCCAAAUCACGAACCGUCUACGCCCACGCGUCCGUAACGACGAGUACUACGAGGAUAUGUCAAGAAAACAAAUCUUAGAUGGCACGACACAACGAUUAACCUCGAAUGAUGUGCGUGCCUCAAAGGGCAUUUUUGUAAAAUCCUUUAUGAAAACUUUAAAAAUUCUUAAAAUUAGGGACGGGCUGUCACACAAUCGCGUUAAUUGAAUUCUUGGCAAUUGUAUCAUGCAUUCAUAGUUAUAAUUGUCUCGUCAACACUUAUGAUUUUCAUUGAACGUAAUGAUCUCUGAUUGUAUCUCUAUUAUGCAUUAAUAUAGGGGACUUUUAGAGGAUGAUUUGGGUUGUCGCAUGCAUUCAUCCAAUUCAAUGAGUAAAGGAAAAUCUGAGGGUUAAUUUGUGCAUCACGGUUAAUCUGGGUGUUGAGCAUAAUAGUUUAUUGAAAAGCAAUUGGAAAUCGAUUCAUGUACAAGUGUGUCAUGUGUGAAGAACGGACCUCUAACUAAUCCAUCCAUCAUUUUAUUUCUCAAAUUCAUUUUAUAAUCUGCCUAGUUUUAUAACUUGCUUGUUUAUUUCAAAUUCAUCCAAACCAAAAUCCCCUUUUUACUUUCUUGUUUCAAAGUGUUAAAUUUCUGUUUUGUUUGUGUUUUUGAGUGUUUUGAUUCAAGCCAAAACACUAAAUUCAUCCAAAGUUGAUUUAAAGUCCAAAUCUGACUAGUUUGUGUUUUUAGGCAGUUUUGAGUGUUUUUAAGUUGUUUUGAAUCUUUAGAAUCUGUUUUGAGUCCCUUGAGUCUAUUCAAACAUUUUUAAUUUUGUUUUUAUGUUUUUGAGUCAGUUUAAAGGUUUUAGCAAGCCCUCCUAAUCCCCGGUUUAGAACGAUCCCUACUUGCAUUUAUACUACAAUUUGACAACAAGAGGGUUUAAUUUGAGUGCUUAACUUUCAUCGCAUCAUGUGAGUUCCCAGAAACAAAACUGUGAGGGCGUGGCCAGGGCCCAAAGCGGACAAUAUCGUGUUAUGGCGGAGCCGAGAUUGGGAUGUGACAUUGUCACCUAAGACAAAGUACAUGUCCACAUUUAGAGUUCUUCAAGUAUUCACAUAAUAAAAAAUUUCCAUACGCCCCCUACAACGAAUGAAGAGAAAUCGAGACACGUUGACAAAAAAUCAACCGUCGAUCAACGGUAGGGUCCACAACCCUACAUAACUCGAUCCGCAAGAUCCAACCACUGUAUUUGUGAUUCAUAAGUUCCUAAGGUCCUCAAAUCUUACAUACAAUAACAUACUAAACUUUGGUGACGAUCUAAUGGUCGAAUCAUCAUUUGCUAUAAUGUUCAAAUUACGCAAAUUCGUCAAUCAGAUGUCAAAUAUGGAAUCAGACAUCAAAUUUAGCUUAGAAAGGUCAAGUGGUGUCUCGAGCACGCGCCGCCGUGCGCAACAGCUGGCAACCUAGAUUCGUCGGAAAAAUCACCUAAUUCCAAAUGAAUGUCGUGAGACGUGGAGUAAAUUGUAUACCUGUGAAGAAGCCCAAUUUGGCCGGGAAGUGGCCUGAAAUCACUUUAGACCGUCGGAAACCCUAAAAUAGGUGAAUCUCGAUUCGUCAUCUCCGGUAUUCCACCGUCCUCAAACUUGUUUAGGGUUUGCUCAUGGUCUCAAAAGAAUGCUAAUGAUGGUGGUGAUUGAAAGAGAACGUUUCAGAAAUAGUGAAUCGCCAAUGAGGGUUUCACGAAACCGACAUGGGUGUUCCUCGUGGAACCAAGACCAAAUCUCAAUGGUUUUGGCUAGAAAUGGAUGCUGGGAUGUCGUGGUGAAGUUUGGUAGUGAUGGGAGGUUGAAGAAAGACAAAAAAAUCGACAAAACAACCGUCGUCGGAGUCGCAGGAAACGGGUUAGAAAAAUGAGUCGCCAGGUCUGAAACGUCGAAGGCUUUUGGGACAGCUACUUACUCUCUCUUCUCUGAUUAGUCACUCCACUCACUCUCUCAUUUGAUUGGUCCAGCCUUCCCACAUGGUGGGAGUUCCCUCAUAUAGUAACCCAAAAUUUACUAUUUAAAUCUGGUAUUGAACGUCCGUAACUUUUUCGUUAUGGUUUCGAUUCGCAAACGGUUUUCACCUACGCGCUCAUAUGAUCGAAUUAUACUCGAAAACAUUAAUUAUGACCUCGAAAAGGUCUACGAGUUUUAAAAGAUUAAUUACAAAAAUUCACACCUUGUAACUAUACGAUUCAAAUUCUAAAAUUAACGGAAUUAAAAUAAACUAAAAAUAAUGUAAACACGAAAUACAGACUUUAAUAAUGAAAUACGUAAUUAAUAGUGGAAUUCCGGGGACGGGAUUUCACACCUUGCAUCCGGACCUUCAAUGCGGAUCAAAAUCCAAAGGUCGCGAUCUGACGAGCUCAUGCAUAGAACAGAGUUGUUGUGACCCAAUGCAAUUCAAAACUUUUAUGUUUUUUUAUUUACUGGGUACGUUUUUGUAGGAGGAAAAGGGGAAGUCGAGAGAUUCUUUGCGCAUUAAAGAGGGAAAGAGAGAAAGGGGGAGCUAAGAGGUUCUUCGCGCGUUAAAUUUUUGCUUCUGAUUUUGCAACCUAGAAAUAAAGUAUUUUCUUUAUGGUUUAUGGUUCAAGAAUAUAAUGGAUACAGCCUAAAAAUGUUUCUUUUUUUAUUUUUUACUUUUUUUUUCUUAUGUUGGCUUUUGGUUUAUUUUUAUAAUGCACUAUAUAUUAACUAAAUUUAUAAACAUUUUGUAUCUUUGUUGCAGUCAAAUUAAUCAUAUGGGUCGGCAUGACGAAGUUCGACUGAGACAUACAGAUGUUUUGCAAUCUUAAGUCUAACCUGACACACCCCGACCUCAAUAUCUAGUGGACACCAAAAUUGAGGUGUGAUGGCCAUCAUCCGGAUGGGUGAUGAAACCAUAAUAUGCAUGAAACAUAACUAAAUUAUCAACCAAUAAAAUCUAUUGAAAAAUUUGGCAGAACAUCCCUUAAAAUAGGGAUAUGCCCAAAUUAAAAACACUUGCACAUGAUCAAAAUUAUUCAACACUUCCCCGAAGGGCCACACUUAAUGGGACUUCGACCAUCUAUUACAUGCAUGAGAAUAUGUUCAGAGCAUAAUUACCCAAACACGUCUUAUUAAAAUAUUGAGUAAAUACCAUACAAGAUAGAAUACGUCAGAGCUGUUGCAAAAUACCUCAAUGUCCGAUGUAAUCACUGAUAGAAUUACUGAAUCAUGUAUAGAUGGAAAGCUGAUAAAUACAUGUAAUUUGAGUGGAUACUUACCAGCAGCAUGGAUACAAUAUCAUCCACCGGUCGUAACUAAUGACAAGCUGAGAGUAUAACUGUAGUACCUCUUAUUAGUGCAAUGCAUGAUAUGAAUUCCAUCUCACAUAUAUAUGCAAGCCAUAAUCAAACCAAUAAACAUCCAACAAAAGCCACAAUCCUUUUAACAUUCGACCACAAGAUCAAUUUUCAUAUUUCCCAAACCUAGGUUCCAAAGCAUUGUUUCGAAUUAUUAAUACAAGAAACCACCACCACCUCAAUCAACUCCUAUUCCCAAGUGUAAGCAAUUACUAAAUGCAUCACUUUCGACUCUAGUCUUAAUUAGAUUACUUGGGAUACUCAUUCACACCAUCAGAUCCAAGUACUAUUUUGAUAAACUUUAAAUAGCAUGGUUAAAAUAAAUGAAACACUUUUAGAAAAUAAGUGAAGAUGUUGUUUACAAAUAUAGAUGCAUCUGUAUAUAAAAGCUUUGGCGGUUGAUCCGUAUACACUUCCAAAGAUAUAAGCAAGUUCAUUGGAAUAUACAUGCAUAGUUAAUGUAUUACAGUAUAAUUAAUAAGAAAACAAUUGCAUCCCUUUAAGAAUAUAUAUAUAUAUAUAUAGACACACACACAUACAUACACACAGGCCCUUUAUGCAAAGGAAUUUCCAUUUUUUUUCAAAAAAUGGGGAUUAGUUGUGGGGCCCACGUUGCAUUGAACUUUAACGAUCCGAACAGUCUAUUUUGUAAGUCUCGAUUCAUAUAUCAUCCUUGUAAAAAUUCAAUUCAAUCCGAACCCAUUUGCCUAUUUAAUUAUCAAGAUAAAAUUUUAUUGUUUCUUAUAUAACAAAGUAUUCGUUAAUUUCUUUGAACUCAAUUAGAUAUCUUAAACAUUUCCGAUUUGGUUAAUAUUUUGUAAGGAUGAUCUAUGUGGUGCAACUUGAAAAAUAGACGAUUACGAUCGUUAAAGUUCGAUGUGGUGUAAACCCUACAAUUAAUCUUCAUUUUUAUAAAAGAAUGGGAACCCCUUCCCUUAAAGGUUUCCUAUGUAUAUAUUUGUUCUCCAGACAUAUGCAGAAGGUAAUGUAAAACUAAUGAGAACUUAAAUGGAUAUUCCAUACAUAGGACAAUUCCAUAUAUGCUUUUUCAACAUUUAUAUCGAAAAGCCAAAUUGUUUUGAGGAAAUUAAUUGUAGCAAUGAUCCCUUAACUUUUAUCUUAUUGGAACAAUGGUCUCUCAACUAAAAAUUCAUGACCAUUGGUUCCUUAACACCACACAACGUGUAGUUAUGGUCAUUUUCAUUAACUCCGUCAGAACUUUUGUUAAAACAAGUAAUGUUAGAAGAAUCAUUGCUACAAUUAGGUUAAAGUUGGGGACCAUUGCUCUAAUUAAAUUAAAAUUGAGGGAUCAUUUCUCCAAAUUGCUUAAAGUUCAAGGACCAUUUCUACAAUUUUCUCAUCUAGUUUCCCAUAUUUACCCCAUGAUUCAGCUUCACAUGCAUUGCACAUGACUCAUUUUGACAAAAAAUUUAACAAAAUUGACGAAAAUGACCAUAAAUGCACGUUUUGAAGAGUUAAGAGACCAAUGGUCGUGGAUUUUAGUUGAGGGAUCAUUGCUCCAAUUUGGUUAAAGUUGAGGGAUCAUUGCUACAGUUUUCUCAAAUGUUUCGUAUGCGAAAAUAGGCAUUUGUAAAGUUUGGCUUGUUUAUGGCAUUAUUACUUUAGUCUAAAGUAAGGCUGGGAAUGGCACUGUAGAAAUGAAUAGUGUUCCAAUCCGAAUUUCAGUUUAAUUACAACAAUGCCAUUGCUCUUUGUGUUGCCUUUAGGUGAGCAGCCCGGCUUGCAGUCAGGCCCAAAUGUAUUGGUUUUAGCUGAGAAGCCCGGCCCUUGGUCAGGCCCAAAAUUUUAAAUUACAGUUUUGCCCAUACAAAAUAACAAUCCGAUUGUAUCGGGAAGGACAAUUUUGUCCUUUCAGUUUUGGGUGAGAUAAGGGGUAACAGGGUAAGUUUCAUUUGCUGUCGUUUAAUGAGGGUUUCGGGGAUGAGGGCUCUGUGUGUGUGUGGAUGAGAGAGAGAGAGAGAGAGAGAGAGAGGGAGAUGGCGAUGGAAGGAGAGCGAGGGGGAAGGGAAGGGUUCUCGGCACUGUUGCUGCAUGUGGAUUUCACAUGUGGGAGAGUGGGUAUGGUCAGAGAAAACCAUAUAGGUCAUUGGGAUUUCAGGGAAACGGGGUAGGGGUCAUGAAUGAACUCUGCUGAGAGUGUGGGUACCGGAUCUUGCGCUGCAUGCCUCAAAUCAAAGAUAAGUUCGUUUUUUUAUUGUAUUUUUUGUGGUAGCUUAGCUUUUGGAAUUGUUUAGUAUGUUAGGUCCGAUUUUGGGGGAUUUAUCUUUUUAGAGAGAGAGAUGGACAGGGAGAUAGAGAGAGAGAGAGAGAGAGAGAGGAGGAGGAAGCAUGACUGUGUGCAAUUUUUGGUGUUAAUUAAUGGGUUGGUGCGUAGGGUGAGUGACAGAGUGACAGAGUGAAGGAGGGACGUGUGGGAGGGUAUGAGUUUUCAGUUCUUUCUUUUGAUUCAACAGGUUAUACAUUGUUUGAAAAACCUUUUUUUAUUAUUUUUUUCUCGUUUGCUUUGUUAAAACCAUCAUUUGAAUUUUUGGGUUUCACUGUGUUCAUUUCUCUGCUUCUUCAUAAUUUGCUGGUGUUUGCUUUUCAUCCCUCUAUUGGUAGAUCUUUUUCUCAUUUCUUGGUUCCUUAUGUAUUCUUUGGUACAAAUCUAUUUACUUUUUGGCUGUGUGAUAAUCUUAGCAGGUGAACUAUAUGAACGUUUUUUUUGAAACGAGUUAAGAAGAUCCAGCUGAAAAGAGCAUGCAAGAUAGAGAACUGGUAUGCUGCUCGCCAGGGAAAGGCUGCUGGAGAGGCUGAGACGGAUGCCUCCUUCAAAAACCAGGUCAGUUUCCUGCUACUCGGCGUCUUAAUGUAUCCAAAUUGUUUAUCUUUUGAUGAAAUUAGCUGGCUUUAUUUUCUAUUUUAUUUAUCUGCAUAUUAUUUUGGUUUGUUGAAAUUUUGACUAUAGUCAUUGUGUCACAUGGGCGCCCAGCCCAACCCAAAUUAGUUGAGGAUAUUUAAAUCUUCACCAUGGUAUUAUAGUACUCACUCACAGUUGUGAAUACUAAGGUGCAGGCAUGGCAUGAAGAAGUGGACCGUGCACGCCAAGGUCAGAGGGAUGCAGAGGGCAAACUUUUUUCUUUGGAGGUAAGUAUCCUUUGUUUAUUGCCCAACAGUGUUGUUAUUAUCAAUUUGUAGCUUUGCGUUCUGAAUUUUUUGCUUUGUCAAACAACCUUUUUGAAAUGCUCGAUUUCAAGCCGAAGUCCAAAAAAUGAGAGUUGAGAUGGCUUCCAUGAAGAGGGAUGUAGAGCAUUACUCGCGCCAGGUGAAAUCUGCUUCCUCUCUUUUCGUAUAUCUUCAUAUGAAGAGUUUUACUAAGUUAUAUUGAGAACUAUGUUAUUUAUAGGUUAUAUUUUCCAUUUUGCAAGAACACAUGGAGCUAAGGAAGAGCUAUCGUGAACUCACUGAUCUACUGGUAAUGUCACUCAAACUGCUUUAUUUGUGCAUGCUGCUACUAUGCGCUUGAAUGCAUUUUAUUACUGGCGGGAUGCGAAGAAUGCUAGAUAUAUGUGCUGGAUCGCUUGAUUAGUGUUAGGGUUUUAACAACUAAUUGUUAGCAGCUAGAAGCUCUGGUUAGAUGAAUGCUAAUUUGAUUUUCCUUACAGUACUUGAGUGCCAGUUUCAUAUUGUUUGUUCCCUGCUGGAUACAUGCUGUACAGUUUCAUUUCUGUUUCUUCAUAACUUUCUUGGCCCUGCGAUAUAUGCAUAUUGAGUACAAUGAAUAUCCAUUGUUCUCUAACUGUUGGGCUUUACUAUCUUUGUAGCAGCCUGCCUAACAUUUUUUAGGCUCUACACUCUACCAUCCAAUUUAUGAAAAAUUCAAAGAUUGGACGGUAUUGAUUGCAUAAAUGAAAAAAAUACUAUGAUAUUAGAAAGGUGAAUGUAAUUGUGUUAGAAGAAGCGUCUAGCAUGAUGGGUAAUAUUUUAAGUUUGUAUUUCUAAAAUUUUUUCGUUCUGGAGUAUGAUUUACCUCAAUUGUUUUGUACUUUAAUCUUUACUAAUUUUCAUUGUGGAGUAUGAUUUGCCUCAACUAACAACUUUUCAUUGUUUAACUUUUUCCUCCCUUAGAUAGUUGCAUAUGUUUGAUUUGUUAAUCUGCUUCUUACACAUGUUGUUUCCUAAUGGUGUAGGUGGAUUGCCGGAUGCAUGUGCAGAUUACUUGAAUAGACGAAGCUAAGAAUGACUUAGUAUUAAGUGAGAAAGAAGCUUGGGUCAGUUGGAUUUUGACAUUUGAUUUAUUCAUGUUUUUUUGUUGCUUGCAAUGUUCUCUCAUUGUUUGUUCUGAGAUUCUGUGAUCUUAUUUUUCAUAGGAACUGACAUUGGUUUGCCAUAUAAUGUUUCAGGAACUAAUACAACAACUAAUCACCUUGCUUAGGUCUCAAGACACAUACUUAACAGGUUAACAAACGCUAACCUAUAAACUUAUCUACUAAGCUGGACCAUUAACCUCUGUUUAUAUCCCUGCCACUCAUCUUUUGGCACUUAUCAAUAGCAAAAUCUAGAGUUGUUGAAACCCCAAUUUUAAUGAAUAUUAUUUUUAGUUGAUAAUUAAAAUUAAUUGAUGAUUAAUCUAUUCCAUUGUGCAUUAUUUUAUCGCCAAAUACUUUGAAUAUUCAUUAGCAAAAGAUAUAGGGUUCACUAUUUAAUGAAUAGAAUUUUGAUGGUGGAUUGCAUUUCCUGAGUUAUAAAUGUGGUGAAUCCAUUAUUUACUAGCUGAAUAAUCAUAAUGUUUUGGCCACUUACCUUGAAUUUUGUUCAAAUUGAAGAAGUCACAUGUUUCUUUCUGUUGUUGAGGUAAUCUCUCUGUUGAAAGCUUCUAUUUCUUUUUUCUUUUUCUUUUUUUCAUUUGGGUAGAUUUUUUUUUUAUGGAUUUAUGUAUUUUUUUUCUUCAGAGAAUUCGAAAUGAAAUAAGAAUAGCGGAUUGAGCAUAAACAAAUUGAUGAAAUUUUUAUUUGAGUGUUUGUGUUGGUCCUUUUUUGAUUUGUUGAGGUUUGGAAUUAUUUGAGUUUUUUUGCUGUUAGUACUGUGAAGGAUGCUUGGCAAUCGCGAAAUGGGGGCUACCUCUUUGGAAAGAGAAGUCUCGCUAUCCAACCUCUCAUGAAUUACAAACAGGGUGCUUUCUUGCUGAAAAACCACUGAAUCAGUAGAACUUUCCUCGGUUCUUCAAUUCGAUUCGAAUAAUUUUUUUACCCAGAAAAGCCAGCGUUUCCUGGUGAGUUUUACAGCUUUCUCAAUGUUUUUUUUAUUUUGGAUUUGCAAAUUUGUUUUCUGUUCAAAUUUCCUUUUGUGAUUUUGGAGGUUUUGUUUAUCGAUUCUCUCACUCAUCUCUCAGCUCUCUCCCACUUUUGAGGUACAUGUCGUUGGAUUCCGUUUGCUGCUGUUGAUCUGCAGGUAAAGCUUCAAUUACCAUACAAAGUUUACAUUUUUCAUGAUUUCUUGAAUUUGGGUUUUAAACAAAGGAAAUAUUGCUAGAUUCUUAUCUUAUGUGCAAAUUACUGGCUAUUUGGAUUGGUGCUUGAGAUUUAGAGAAUGUCUCGCAGCUUUAAUUUCUUUUUCCUUCAUUAUUACUGUUUUCAAAAUUUUUAUUGCUGGGUAUUGAUAAUUUGUAGUAUGUGAGGGCUUCAAUAUGUUGGAAUUUUGAAUGGUUAUUGCUUCAUCGGAAUUUGGGUGGUCCAAAUUUUGAAUUAGAAGAAACCCAUUUGAUUAAUAUUUUUGGUGGAUUGGUUCUCUGUGUUUUCUUUGCUAUUUCUCCCCCAGUUGGAAAUUGGAAGCCCCAACUUUGAGCUCAGAGCUUGAAUUUCUCAAUCGUUCGUUUCUCUACACUCUCAUCAGUCACUCUUGAUCCUCUAUCUAAAGAACUGGGUAAUUUUCCAGCUCUAUCAAGUAAUACUCAAUUUAAUUGCUUAAUUGAGGUUUUUUGUUUCUCUUUUUCGCUCUUUCAUCAGUUCAUUGGCUUUGAUGUUGAGCUUAAGUAAAUGGGAGAUCAUUAAUUGGCAUUGUUCAAAAUAUAAUUAUGUGUUUUUGGAUUUGUGAAACGAUUUGCCUAAUGAUGAUAGUGGUUAAAAUAAAUUUUUCGUUAUGAAAGAGAACAUUGUUCUUCAUUUGCCUACGGUUUUAACUACAAAGUUAAACUACUAUGCUUUUGUUCAAUUGAUUGCAACUCAUGCCGCAGUUUGCUUCACAAACCUCUAUGGUUAGCUUCCAUACAGUAUGUUGCAAGUUUGAGGAUAUCUUUACAUCUUAAUUUUUGCUCUCUCUGGUUGCUUCAAGUUUGUAAUUUUACGUGUUACAUUGCUACUUGAUUUGAUUAUAAAAAUGCAAAAGAAAAUCCAUUUUGCUUUUAUUCAACUUAAAUGUAUCCUUUUGUUUGUUCAUAAUUGUGUUGAAUUUAUUCAACUUAAAUGUGUUUUAUUCAUCUGUUUACGCUUAAAACAACUGGUUCCCCUAGCAAUGCGCGGACCUAAUUUCUAGUACAUAUACUAAAAGCCAGCAGAAAAUUACUGUUCAUCAUGGGAGAUAGAGCACUGUUCAUUAACAGUGAAAGGGAAAAAAUGCCCUCGGUUUCUUCUUUACUUCACGUACUGUUUACGAAUUGCUACAGUAUAAAGUCCGUUUUGUCAUUCCUGUCCACGCAUCUUUCAUCGUCCGUUUCUCUUGCUUCGACCGCAUCUUUUUCGCUUUACCUUUCCUCUUCGUUUUUCGCCUUCGCUAGGCUGCAAUUUUCGGAGGUGGAUUGUUUGCCCUUCUAUUUCCAUGCUCUCCCCAUGCCCUCCAUUGAUGUGUGGUCACGGUUAAACUAUGUCAACAUUUUAUAUUAAUUUUUUUAUAGAAAUAAUAAAAUAAAAAGUAAUAGGUAUCCAGGAAAUUUUCGUCAAAAUAUCCAGGAAAUAGGUAUCCAGGAAAUUUGCUUUACCGAUAUUUUAAUAGGUAUCCAGGAAAUUUGCUUUACCGAUAUUUCGCCGAUAUUAUCGGUUUUUUGCUUUACCGAUAUUUUAAUAGGUAUCCAGGAAAUUUUCGUCAAAAUAUCGCGAUAUUAUCGAUAUUAUCGAUAAUAUCGCGAUAUUUUAGAUAAUAUCGAGACAUUUUGGUUUCUCGACAGUCAGUCACAAUCUCGCCGGAGAAUCAGAAUAACUCCGAGCAAGAACAAAACCUGCAACCAAACGGAACAAAAUCAUCACUAUCUUUCAACAAAAAUCACCACUUUAUACCAAAAUCAGUGACAAAAUUACACUAAUCCGAGAAGCAAGGGCUUGAAUUCGAGCAAGAUCUGGAAGAAAACAGUAGAAGCUGAGAAAUCGAGUACCUCACCGGCAGUUACAGUGCUAAAGAUCAUCAUCUUUGGAAGGCCGCGGAUCAGACGGAGCUGAGAGAUCAAUGAGUAAGCAUUUCAUAGAUCGUAUUCGAUGAGCAGCUGAAAGAGAGGAGAGAGAAAGCAGAGAGAGACGCGGACGAGGAGGAUCUCGCUGAUGGGGACGACGAAGGAGAGGUAGAGGUCGCGGCCCGCGGGACAUGGUGACGGGCUCGACGAGGAGGAAGGCGAAGGAGGAGCAGAGGAGAUGGGUGCGUGCGUGCUGCGGUGCAGAGAAGAGAGAUGAGGGAGAUAUGAGAGAGAGAGAGCCGAGAGGGAGACAGAAGAAAAAGAAAAGAAAACAGAAAGAAGAAGAAAAGAAGAAGGGAGUCGCGGGGGAACAAAGAGAGAAAAGAGAAAAGUGGAGGGGCUGCCACGUGGCCACUUCAGAAAGAAAGGGAUCCAAUGUUUUGGAUCCUGAUUGGGUAGUCAAAGAGGACCAAUUUGAUAUAUUAAAAUGUUUAGGGGAUAAUUACACAAAUAUAUCUUUAUAAAUGGGGGUGGGUGUUACAUAUUGCCCUAAAAAACUCCAAGUAAUUACAACAUCGUAUUAGAAUUGUAAUUGAUCCUUGUUAGAUUUGGUUUAGAAAUUCUAUGUAAUUUAGUGAUUGUUUCAUAUUAGAUUUAGAUUUGAAUUUUUUACUCCAUUCAGAUUUUAAAUGAUUAUAAUAGAUUUAAAAAUUUACGAACUUUGAUGAAGUUUAAUAAUUUUUAAAACUUUUAUGUAAAAUUUUAAGUGAAUUCCCUCAAAUUUUCAGGUAGCGAUUUGAGAAUGUUUAAAAUAUUAUGUGAAAUAUUUCUAAUUUUUUCGAGUUUCCCAGCUUUUUAAAAAUCUCUUUGAAUCAAUUUCUAAAUUAAUACAUUUGGAAUGUAUGAAUUUCUUAAAAAUCAUGAUCGAAUACCCCUUAAACUUUAAAGAAUCACUUAAAAUCCUAAUUAAAUGCCCUUAGAUUUUUAAGGAGAAUUAAAAUGUUUAUAAGCCCCAAUUGGAUGUACCGCUUAAUUUAACUAAUUGACACAACACAACAUAACCAGUUAAGAUUACAAAUUAACACAAAAGACGACUUGAUGCGAGGUCAUAUCUACAAAACUUGCCGCAAUAAGCCCCAAUUGGUGUGUUUAAACUUCUUUCAUUAAUUACUACAUAUUUUCUACACUCAUAAUGUUUGUCAGCUCGCUAUAUAAUCAACUUGAUAAUGUUAAAUCCAUCAUGCAAUGCAUUUCCUUCCAAUUUUUUGUGAUAAACUAAUAGAUAAUUGACUAAAUAAACAUCCUGCAAAGUUUCAAUAAAAAUUUUCAAGUUUUUUUUACAAUUUCCGUGAUUUUCAUGUAAUUUUUAUCGGUAUCGAUAUUAUGCCGAUAUUUUUAUCAAUAUUUCCGUGUUUUCGAGUACAUAUUUCCGAUAUUACCGAUUCAUCCGCGAUUUUCUCCCUUUUCGCCAGCCCCUCUUUUGCUCUCAAAUCCUUGCUCUUUCUUUUUCAAACUAGUCUCAGAAGAGAUCCUGGGUUUAUCUAAUCCUUUGUUGUUCGGCGUUUUGUUCUCAUCUUGCGAUCGUCGGGGCAGCAGCUUUAAGGUAAGUUUGUUUUUAAUGAUUUAUCCUCAAUUUACGAUGUCUGGGCUAACAAAUUUAAGAUCUUUAUUUUUCUUUUUGCUGUGGAUCUGCAGGUUUUGACAAGUUUUUUGUGAAAUUGGUGCUGUCAGUGGGUGUUAAUAUCAGGUACCCAUGUUCAGUUUUUCGUUUUGAUUUGAAGGAAUUUCUUGCGCAGAAGAGCUAGGUUUCUUGGUGAGUUCUUCGGGUUGUGCAUAUGGGUAAUUUUCUUUUAGGUAUAACCCUCUGCUUCUGCUGCUCUCUCUCUCUCUCAUCCCUGCCUGCUCCUCUCCAAUUGUUUGCUGUUCUUAAAUAUUGUGUUCAUUGCCUGAUACAAGGAGCUGCAGCAAUCUGUUUUAUCCUACACGGGACAACGAGGCAAUGGCGUGACAACAAGUGAGCUUGGAUAUCCAAAGAAAAAGAACAGUUGGUUCAUCUGCUGGAGUCUGAAGCUCAGAGAAGUGGAGGAAAAUUGCAGGUGUGCGAGAAAUUUUAUUUUGCUGAUAGGACUCCUUAUUUACCGAUGCAUUUUGAAUUAAUUGAAAAGUUGGAUUUGAGUUAACAGCUAUAAAAAUGUAGACAUGAUUGCUGAGAUUAUGCUAUGAAAGUGGAAUAAAAAAAUGGUAGUUUAUAAUAUUGCGUACCAAUUUUUUUCUCUCUUUUUUACCAAAUGAUAAGGGUGGUGGCUCAGGCCGCCCCCCUACGCGUCCCCACUCUUCGACAAGUUGAAAUCAUGGUGAUAGUUUAUGGGUUGCGGUCUUGGGAUUCUGCAAAUAGAAUAAAAAACAGACACUUAACUAUCUUGUUAUUAAGCAUUUCUGCAUCAUUCAGUUGCUCUUGAUUUUCGUCUUUUAAGCGCUCUUAUUUCUGCGAUCUGACUUGAGGAGGGGUUUUAGACCUAUGGUUGUGGGUGUUUUGUCUGACCCCAUUAAAUUGGUUUCCGAGAUUUGUAGACUUGCGAUCGGCGGUCAAACAUUUCGUGAUUCUUGCUUUUUUUCCGACUGGGAUUGACGAAUUUUGGCCGAAUCUGUUUCCUGUUUUCUUCUCUGUUUGAGCGGCCGCUGCCUUUCGGUCGUUGAGCGCCGGCAGUCUUUAGAUCUUUGGCAAAUCAAUUUAAUACAACCGAGGUAUGUUUUAUAACUGCUGUCUUUCAAUUUUUGUUCUGUAUUUUUGUUAAUUUGGAUGAAGCUCUAAUAAUUUUGUUUUGGAUCAGUUGUGGUCCUCUGUUAGGAUUUUCCUGGCUAAGAGGGUAUUUGCAUUUUUGUUGCUUGGUUGGUCGAUCCAGUGUAUUAAAAGCGUGAGGCGUGGGCGAGGCGUCCGAGGGAAGCUCGGCCUAGGCGUGAGGCGUGAGGCGAAGCCUCAUGGGACCUAAAUUUUUUAAUAUAUAUACAUUGAGCGUACACAUAUAUUAUAUUAAAAAUAAGAAGAUUAUUAAUCAAUAAUCACCUUGAGCACACACAUAUAUUAUAAAUAUAUACACACACACAUAUAUAUACAUAUAUUAUAUUAUAUAUGCAUAAAAUAGAGGAUGAAAAACACAAUGAGCACACAUAUAACAAUGCACGCAAACAACACACACAUCCAUUAUAUAAAAAUAAAAAUCAGAAAAAAGGCAUAGAGACAAAAGUGCAAGGAAGAUGUAUGAGACAGUUAAAAUCCUACCCAAAAUUUGGGUUUGGGAGUAAAGAAAAAAAAAAAAAAAAAAAAACUCACUGAGGCGCGCCUAGGCGGCUCCGGCGACGCCUAGGCGGCCUUUCGCCCACUCCAGCAAAACUGAGGCGUUAGCCAUGGAGCCAAGCCUCAAGGGCGCCCUAGGCGCGCCUCGAGGCGAGUUUUUUAAAACAUUGGGUCGAUCACAAAUUUACGAACAGCUGUGGUGGUCCUGUUAGAGCCAAGCCUCAAGGGCGCCCUAGGCGCGCCUCGAGGCGAGUUUUUUAAAACAUUGGGUCGAUCACAGAUUUACGAACAGCUGUGGUGGUCCUGUUAUUUUUUUGGUAUGUUUUUUCUCCUUUUUGGUUUUUUCCCGGUUUGAGCACCCAUUCAUGAAGAAUUAAAAUGUGUUUAUAGUUUUUCAGGAGAGAUUAGAAAAGUGAUUUCAAUUUGGGAAAAUUUAAUGUUGGUUAAAAUUUGUUUAUAAUUUUUGGGAAGGAAUGAGAGGACCCAUUGAAGUAUGUGUUGUGAUUAUUUUUUAUUCAUAUUUUUAACAAAUUGGGCAUGAAUUGGUAGGUUAACUGUGUGUGUUUAUUAUUUGAAUCGGCCAUGUUUGUCUUUCUAUGGUUCUAAAAAAUUUGUAAAGGCUGUUAACUUGGAAGAAAAUGGGAUCGAGGGUGAGGGGAAAACAGCAGAGAAAGCAUGGAAGAGAGAUUUGGGAUUAGGGGUAGGAAAACAGAUGAAAAGAAUAUGAUAGAGGAAUGGGUUCAGUUCAUUUUCACUAUUUUUUUUAACUGAUUUGGAUUUUGUUUGGGUUUGAGGCCAUCAUUGGCGUUAAGACGUUUAUUAUCAGAUCGUGUGUGUUUUUUGCUAACUUUUAUUGGUAAUUUUUAUGUUGUUCUUAUGAUUUUGUGUGGUAGGGUUUCUGAAUUUUAUCGUUGUUCAUUUGGUUUUUUCUGAAUUUUAUCUGAUUUUGUGUGGUGAGUUUACAAAAUAAUACUAAAUAAAUUUAUUUGUAAUUUCGGAUGAUUGUGAUUCAAUCCUACUACAAUUGAAAUUCACAGAAAGAAUGAAAAACCAGAACAAAACUGCAGCACCUAAAAAGUUGUCAUACAAAAAAACAUGGAAUGUAAAAAUAUGUUAAGAAAUCUAGUUCGUUAAUUUCCAGCUGGUAAGCGGCAUUAUGUAACUUUAGUAGUAUAACUAAUUAACUACUUAUCUAGUGGGUUGCACUUCUAUCCUUGAUCUCAGUUGUGGCUGCAAAGUGCAGGCCACCACCAAGUCUCAGUGUUUGUGUAUUAGCAAAACACUUAAAUAAAUUAAAUUCUGAAAUGUAAAUUAUAUUCCUAUAACUUUAAGAUGCACAUAUAGUAUUGUUGAAGUCGAACUGAAAGCACUGACAAUUCCAAGCAACAGAGCAGCAAUUAUUAAGAGCCAAAACUCAUUCCUAGUCUCCUCAUCCUGGUACUCUACUCCGUAAUCUUCGUUCAGCAUCAUUGACUGAAAUUAGGAGAGAAAAAGAAAAGGAAUUUCAGAAAUUGUCUAUGAAGCAAAGGAUACUGCAGUUACUUCAAGACAUGUAAAUUGCAUAUGUAUAAAGUAAUUUUCUACAUAAAGUAACGAGGCAUAACUCUCUCUCUCCUCUUCAAACCCUAAACAGAGCAAAGCCACAAACUUUACAGAGAUUAGAAUGAGAACUGGAAUUAAUAGAACAAUGACUGAAAAGUAACAUACUUGAGGAGUGAAUGAUUUAGUGUUUCCAUCAUCGGAAAGCCGGAGUAAGUCGCUAAGAGAGGUCGCAAACAGCCCAAAGGGACAAACCCAGACCCCCGGCCCCGAUCCAUACCCUUCCCCCUCAAAUCCCGACGGCCCCCAUACUUUUCUCUGACUGUACCCCCUCUCCCACUCAUGAAAUCGAGGAUCUGUAGCAAUGGUACUGAGAUCCCCACUCCUCCCCCUCCCUUUCUCUCUGUCACUCUGUCUCCCUCUCCCUCUGUCUGUCUAUCUUUAUCCCAGAGCGGCAUGGCCUCGCAUCCCUGAAACCCUCACCGAAAGGUGGCAAUUUUGUAAAUAACUUGAAAUCCACCAACAGCAGGGGCAGAGAAUUGAAACAGACAUUUAGGCUCGUUCGAUAACCAUUUAGGCCAAAACUGAGCACACCUAAACCAUUCCUACUCGUGCCAAAUGUUAGCGGGGAAGCAAGAUGAUGACUUUAUUGUUCAAAACCAAAAGAAAAAAAGAGAGAAAACAAAAUAACAAAUCUAAUGGUUGUAGUGUAAAAGCUGAGAACGUAAAUAAACAUGCAGGGAAAAAAAUUGAAGAUACAAAGUAGCUGCAUCAUGAAACACUUGCUCCAAUUAGACGCAAAAAGUGAUGGUGAUGAGAAGAGAGAGAAAAUGCAGUCGUUUUGAUUUUUCUGGCUUUUAAAGGGAGCAGCUUUCUUCGACCACCAAAAAAAGGAAGCUGCUUUUCGUGUGGUUGUGAUUUCCUGAGUGUAUGUGAGCGGGUCUAUGGCACUUGCACUUUUUGUGUCGGUUACGGUAACCGGGCGAGGUGGACACGGCGGCGUGGGACUGAAUUCGGAGAGGUGAGAAAAAUUAAAAACACAAAAAGAAGGUGUUCAUUUUGUCACAUUUUUAUUACUAAAAAUUCAAUAAAGUACAUUCAUUAGUAUGGUAACUUAACUAUUUAAUUCCAUCUCAUUAAACUAAAAAAAACAAUUACAUAAAAAUAAGGGAAACCUUGUCCAGAGAGACCUGAGAGAAAGUGACGACUUCUCCUCUCAUUCCACUCCAUACUUGAUCUCUAAAGUCCAUUUGGCAUGUAAUUGAUGUUCAAUUUCAAAUUUAGUGGUAGCAAUUAGCAAAGCUAAUGAAAGAAUAAAAUAAAAUGAAAGAAAAAGCAUCAUGAAAUAAAUCAAGAUGAAGAAUGAAAUUUUGGCAACUCGCCAUUCUCUUCUUUUAUACAAAAGAUACAUCCUAUUUGUAGUGAAAACAGGUCCCGACAAACCCAGUUAUCGUCAAGAAGUAUUUUGUAUGACUUUAAAAACAUAUUCCGAGAAAUUAUCUCUUGGCUGAGAACAACAACAAAUCUUCAUGCAUAGCUUGUAGAGAAAGACAUCAGGCAUACAAAAGAACACGCAAGCAUAAAAUAAACGACGCAGGGAAAACCAAAAAUACAAUUGGAUACGCUGUCAAAAGAACAUAAAUAAAUGAAAAUUACAAAACAAAGAAGUGAUGAGAAACCAAAGUACCCAUUUCAUAAUCUAAUUGCUUUUUAGUUUGCUUGCCAUUUUUAGUUCUUCAAUUUAGAGAGAAACCAUAAUUCAGCACAUGAAUAAAGUGAAAACAUAAAAGAUAUGUGGGAUAAGCUAACAGCCAUCCCUGAGUAAUGCAUUCACUUCUGAACCCCAAACACACCAAAACAAAAAUUCACACACAUGAACUACAGCUCUGCUAUGUAACAAGAAUUAAAAGCAUCUCAAAACAAAAUGGCAAACUAUAAGAGCAAUGUAAAAGUAAAAUUGCAAGAAAUCUAAUACUUGGAGGGCAAGUACUAAUCAGACGAAAAUGAAAGAUUGAACUACCUCGCGUGGAACUGUGCCUUGGUUUUUUCCCAUGCUUACAGGAAGCUUUGCACUGAGCUCUUAUAGCCCAAAUUUUCUCUGAAGGGAAAAAAACACAAUUUUGAAAUAAGAUUUUCAUAUUAUACCUUAAAGAGAAGAAUUAGACAACAAAAAAGAGAACAAUGAGUACUUUUCAUCAUAUAUUGUUAGAGUAUGUGGUCCUCUAGUCCAAUGGUCCUGCAGCCAUAUUUACUUUAUAACUCUUUCUUUAGUCUAAAAACAUCUUGGAUCUCAAAUUAAUAUGAAUACGGAUUCAUACGCAUGCAUUGCAUUACAAUCACAAUGCAACAUCUCAUUAGAAAUCCCCACACAAAAUUCUUUUAUUGCUACUUUGAUUUUAGUUUAUAUUUUUUCUGAAGCACGAGGGAGCUAAUUUUUUUUUAAAAAUUUUUUAUUCCAAUAAUGUUAUAGGGUUGAAAGGAUAUUAUCAAUUUAAUUGAUUGUAUUUGAUUGGUGGAACUUCUAUAUCUAUAUUUCAGGUUUUCAAAUUCAGCACUGGGAGAGUCAUUCAUAAAAUGUUUGACAGUGAGAUUACCUCCAUGGAUUAUGCUCACAAUGGACAGCUCAUUUUCCGCGGUGAUGGGACAAUAUAUUUCAGUCAUUCGCCAUUCAAUCAAUUCAAACCGAGGAACAAGCAACAUCAAGAAGAGGAUCUGCCAUGUCAGGAUCACUGUCGUCCAAUUAAUACAAAAAAUCUAGAUAAAAACGAUCAAUUUACAUAAAAGCCUUUCAUUUUCUCAGCAACCAAGCAAAAGAAAAUACCUAUCCGUUAAACACUCGAUUUGGGAGUAAACGUUGCUGAAACUGGACUUCAAUCCCCUCAACCGCAACAAUCGAAUCGAGGUGUGCAAGUCAUUGAAAAACUCACCCAAGAUUUCAAAAUCUGCAUAAAGAAAUAAAUAAGCACAUAAAUUAGCCAACCCUGUUAUGAUCCCACAUCGGGUACACAAGAAAUUGUGUAGUGGUACUUAAGUGCAAGGGGUCAUCCCACCUAUUGGACUAGUUUUUUGGAUUGGGCUCUUCCCUUGGGCUUGAGUACCUAACAUUGGUAUCAGAGCCUAGGUUCCCGACGCUGCGAGACUUGGCGAGUGGUGCCGCCUCAUGGUGCCGCCUUGGGAGUAUGGGCUCCCAAGGGUCUUGGAGACGGGCAAGGUAUGAAAUGUCGAUAUUAUCGCGAUAUUUCGCCGAUAAUAUCGGUUUUUUGAGUUACCGAUAUUUUAAUACUUAUCCACUGAGUUUUCGUCAAAAUAUCGCAAUAUUAUCGAUAAUAUCAACAAUAUCGCGAUAUUACCGAUAAUAUCGCGAUAUUUUGGAGAUGUGCGAAUCGGAGAAGAAGGCCGGAGCUUCUACAGCUCCUGCCGACUGUAAAAGAGCACCCUAGACUCCGAUCUAGGUAUCAAAAUGAAAUACAAGACGAGAGGAAUGUUUUUAUAACUUCCGUUUGCCGUGAAACGGUCGAAGGUGUUCGGAAAGUUCGUCGACACCCACGGCCUCGCCAGAGAUGGGUGUGCCUAUUCUCGAGCCGAUUUCGUCCCAAAAACCUUGCAAAAACACGAGAUAGAACUUAAAUUUCACAUCUAAGCUUCAAUCUAGAAUAGAAUGAGGUAAACCCGAAGCUUACCUAACCGGAGAAAUUCAAGAAACUCGCCAGAGGGUUCCUGCGUCGCCGAGUUGCAGAGACGAGAAAGAGAUGGAGAAAGACGAGGUUGCUGAUAACGAUGGGUGUCUUCCUCAAGCAGGUGCGAUGGUGUGCGUGUGUGUAUGUGGGUCUCGGUGCAGAGAGAAAGGAGAGAGAUGAGAGUUUCAAGAAAGAGACGGCGCCAACGAGAGCUAUUUGUUUUUUUUUAUCUUAAAAAGAGAGAGGUCUAAGAGAAAUGGGAAGAGAGGGCCGAGUGAAAUGAAAGGAGGUCCUUGAAUUAUUGAGAGAUAUCUCUGAGAGAGGCCUAGGAUUUCUAAAAGGUAAUUAGAAAUGGGAAAAAUGGGGCACAUCUUAGCCUUUAUUUUGGAAUCCUAAGAAGUUCACCACAUGGAUGCAUGACAUGUGUGCAUGCCAUGUCUGUUGAAUGGGAAAAGUCUGACAUGGAAAGACAAAGAGUCGUUUGGUCCUCUGGGCUCGAGGCAAGAUAGAAAGUGCUAGGGUUUUUUUUUCUGAAAUGAACAUAAGCUGCUAAAUUCGCAUAUAUUAUAGUUGUUGCUAAAGAUUGACACUAGUGCGGACUUGGACGUGUUGGUCAACAUGUCCUCACAAUCCCCAAGUUCUCCGGUUCGAACCCUUACGCCCAUCAAAUUUUUCUUUCUUUUCGAUGCGCUUUUUCCAUGGCUCUAGGUCUUGAUUUCGAAUCCAGGUGAGCCCUUUCCUUUUUCUUUUUUUUUUCUUUUUGUUUUAUUAUUUGUUUAUUUUAAUUUAUUUGUUUCUUUUAUGUUUUUCCUUUCUUUUAGUUUCUUUGUCUUAGGCGUUCGUGUUUAUUAAAGUAGGAUGUAAAAUCAAUUAUCUUAAAAUUAUGUGUUUUUAAAUUUUGGACUUGUUUGUUGGAUACUUUUUUUGCAUUUUAUCAUUAUUUUAUUAUGAAAAUAUGCUAAAAUAUGCUAAAAUAUCACUUAUGUUUUUGUGAAAAUAUGCUAAAAUAUUUAUAUAUAUGGUUUUGUUUUGAAUUCUUUUUGUACUAAUUCAUUAUAUAUAAAUGAUUAUGGUGUGUUUAAACUUCUUUAAUUAAUUACUACAUAUUUUCUAUACUCACAAUGUUUGCUAGCUCGCUAUAUAAUCAACUUAAAUCAGUAAAAUCCAUCAUGCAAUGCAUUUGCUUCCAAUUUUUUGUGAUAAACUAAUAGAUAAUUGAUUAAAUAAACAUCCUGCAAAGUUUCAAUAAAAAUUUCCAAGUUUUUCUUACAAUUUCUGUGGUUUCCAUAUUAUUUUUAUCAAUAUCGAUAAUAUCCCGAUAUUUCCAUCGAUAUUUCCGUGUUUUUGGACUACCGAUAUUUCCGAUAUCAUCGAUAUUUAUACCUUGGCGACGGGGGACUUGCCGACUGGUGCCGCCAUGGACGUUGGGUCUUUCGAAAGGUGGUGUAAUGUUAUGAUCCCACAUCGGCUACACAAGAAAUUGUGUAGUGGUACUUAAGUGCGAGGGGUCCUCCCACCUAUUGGACUAGUCUUUUGAGUUGGGCUCUUCCCUUAGGCUUGAGUACCUAACAAACCCAUAAAUCAAAGAAAUCAAAAUCCACCCAGAAUCAAAGAAAUCAAAAUCCAUCCAAAACCAAAGAAAUCAAAAUCACACACAGAUAUACAAGGUGUACAGUAUUGACAUGCCUUAAAUGAUAUUAUUCACAAGAUUUAUAAAGCUCAUGUUGUAAUACUUGUGCAGAAUCUAUCAUUCACGGCGUCACUUUUGUGCAAGUCGUAAAUAAAAUUAUUCACGAUUUAAACAUUGUGUGUCGUAUUUGACAAUUUAUACUACGCACUUUCUUUUUCUUUUAAAGCUUUGCGUUAUGUCGUAAAGUUGACUUUCUAUAUAUUUGGGUUGUACCUUUUAUGGCGCAAAUAACACGUCGUAAAUAAUGGCUUUUAGCACAGAAGUUUUGUGGUAAAGAAGCCCGCGCACUAAUUCAUUCUCGCGCCUUCUCUUUUUUAUUUAGCCGCUUCUUUUUUUGGUUUUUUUUUUUUUUAAAAUUCCCCUCAAAUCUUAAAAGGGUUUGUAUUUUCUUUGGUAAACUUGAAAGAGAAACAUUGCAAUUGCAUUUUCAUUUACCCAAUAUUAAUUGUCGAGAGCCCACCCCCUUCCCUUCUCUCUGACAUCGUAACUCUCUCCUCUCCAUCGAUCUCGCUCCAUCUGCUCGCCGUCGCUCUAUAUGCUCGUCAUCGCCGUCGAUUCGUCUGCUCGUCGUCACCGUCGCCCAUCUGCUUUCCGUCACCGUCGAAGUGCCCCGCCAUUCAAAAUCUGAAAUCCCCAAUACAGGGUGCUUUGCGGCAUUUCGUUCUCCAAAACUUUAGGUAUGCUCUCAAUCUGUAUCAACCCUAUCCUGUCACCUCUACUUCAAGGUGAACAAUUUAUAGUUUAUAAAUUUUACUUGUGUUAAUAUAUAUUUUUUGGUAAAUGUUAUGGAUAUUUUAUCAAAUCAGAGAGUAAAUUCGUAUUAAGUGAAGAUUGGCAAAGAACAUAUUGUUUUGAAAGGUUGAAUAAUGUUUGCAGAUCACAUAAAUCAGUAGUUGUCAAGUCCAUAAGAGAAGCAAGAAAUCGGAAAGCAAGGCUUCGACUAAAACCAAAUAAUGUCAAAUUAAUUCAAGAUUGGAAGACUUUCCUUGCAAAGUGUAAGCUCAUUUUCAUUUUCUUUCAUUUCUAAGAUUAGUUAUCUUCUUUUGAGUUCAAAAUUGGGUCAGAGAAAUCAAACUGAUAGUAGUUAAAAGUCUAUUUCAACACCAAGCCUUGUCUACACAAGAAUUUGGUGUUAGUUAAACAUGUGUAUGAUUCUAUCUUGAUUGCAUGUUAAUUUAGUUUGAAGAUAGAUUUGGUACAUGCUAGCUAAUUGAUACGUGAUAUGAAUCUUUGGUUUCCUUUUGAUAGGACAAAAGUGAAACAUUCAGAGAGAUGAAGUCUAAGCAACUCCGCACACAUGUAGUCGCAAGGGAUAUGGUAGGUUGGCCGAGGAUUUGGUAAUUACAUUUCAUUCUAGUGCCUUCUUUUCUACAGGACAAGAACAAUUUACUAAUUUUAUUCUGUGUUCUACUGUGUGUUUACUACAUAUAUGUUUCUAUUUUGUAGAAAAGAAAAAGUGUAGACCCUUCUCUAGUUUCUAGAGGUGAUGUUUGGAUUGCAGCACAUACUAAAAAGGGUGGUGGACCAUCCAAUUUGCUUGCUGCAGAGACUAUUGUAAGUAAUUUUUAACCAUUUAUUUCUUCUUGUUUGUUGAUAUGCAAUGACGGAUGAGGUCUUAACUUUGAUGUGCAACGUUAGGAAAAAAAUUAAGCAAUAUGGAAAUGGAUCAUCAUCUGGUUUUCGAGGUGACGUUCUUUCCAAAGUUUUUGGUGCUGAGCGACAUGGUCGUGCAAGAGGAGUUGGAGGUGGUGUUCCUCCUACAAAGCUUGGAAUAUUUUCACAACAAAAAUUGCGUAAUCACCAAAUGGAUGAAAAGGUGCACAAUUUAACUAAUCAGGUCAGAGCACUGACAGAAUUGGUGCAUCUUUUUAUGAAAAAUCAGGUUAGUGAUUUAAUAACAUUGGUAUCAUAUUGAAUAUUUGUGAAAUCAGUUGUAGUGACACAUCAAAUCACAGGGUAAUGAUCUACCAAGUGAGGCAUCUCCUGACACACAGGUUGCAGCUCCUGAGGCACAUGUUGAUACUGUCGCAAGAACUGAAACUCGUCUUUCCCAAUGCGCAACAAAUGAAUCGUGGUGGCGAGGUUGAUACACUUUUUCAAUGAGCCUUCUAACUAUUAAUGCUCAUUGACUCUGUUAAAAGCUCUGCCAUUUUCAAUCUAACUAGACACUAGAAAUGAUCAUUGACUCAGUUAAAAGUUUUGAUGCUUUGGUCCUUUUGCAUAGUUGCGCAUCUACUGAUUUCUAUUUUUUUUCAAAUCCUGCAGGUUAUUUCUGAAAACAUUGAAACAUCGUGGUGUGCCAGAUGGUUUGAUUAUAAGACACCUUCCUUUUGGUCCACCAACUUAUUUAUAACUGCUAAAUGGUACGUAGUGUGAUAAUUUUCAAAUAUUUUGAUAUUAAGACAGGUGUAGGACAACAUAGAAAUUCUUAGGGCCUUCAGCAACAAAAUUAUGAAAAAGUGAGUGAGAUACAAUUAAAAAAAUGAAAGAGAAGGAUCAUGAUUCAUGAUCUAAAGGUUUGAAUAGGGUAGAAAGGAUUUAGUUUCGUUGUUAAAAUCGAUUUGUGAGUCUAUUGUUAUUGUAUUGUCAAUUUGUUUAUUUACUUGAACUUCCUAGUAUCAAUUUGGUUCGAUAUAUCUAGCACCACCAUAGAUAUAUCUAGUAUCAAUUUGGUUAGAUAUUGUCAAUUUGUUAUUUUAUUGUCAACUAUAGAAUGUGCAUCAGUUGUAAAAGGAACAAAACAAUUCAGAUUUUUUGUUUAUGUCCAAACUUAGAAUUGUAUUGUAAUUGACAAUUUCUACUAAUUAAUCCAAGUAUUUGGAGUUUAAUAUGUUUAUGAUCAAUAUUGUUAUCCUUGUAUUGUAUCAGUUUAGAUGUUAUGAAGUGAGGUCUGUCUAAAAAUGAUAUGCUAAAUAUAGAUGUAAAUUACGGCAUCUAAAAUCAGCAAUAAUUGUUGAUGGUAGUCUUUUUUUUACGAUGUAUGCCGUAAUCACCUUCACAAUAUUACGACACUCAACAAAUGCUGUAUCAAAUAUAAAUUACUGCACACUAGUAUGUCGUAAUUGUUUUUCAGUAUUACGACACCCUAUUAACGCUGUAACUAAUACCAAUUAAGGCACGUAGGACAUGCCUUAAGAACAUUUAUGGCGUGUUUUACUUAAAUUAUUCACGACUAUUAGAGUACGUUGUAUUUGUCAAAACAUCUUUUACAACAGGGGCUUUUACUGCUUGGAGGCUCAAGCCGUGAAUUUCCAUUUAUGGCACCCUUUGUGCGCCGUAAAAGGCCAAUUCUAUUGUAGUGAUCCAUGGGUACAUUUUUAAUCUACAUGUUUCGUUUUAAUAUAUCUAUUGCUAUAAUAUGUUUUGGUUGGUUCAAAUUCGUUUUACAUAAAUAUAUGGGUACAAAGUUUUUGGAGAAUAUUAUGUAAAAUGGUUUUUAAGGUUGUUGCAUUUUAUGUACCCACAUAUGCAUGUCUAUAAAACAAUGUGGUAUGAUGUACAUUCUUUUCCUUGAGUUUUUAAAUGUACCCAUGAGUUUUCUUGUAAAUUCGGUAUGUAUCCAUAUGCUAUUUAUGUUAUGGGUACAUACAUUAUUUUUGGUCUAAGUUGGUGGGUACAUUGCUUUUGUAUGUAUGAAUUCAUUGGGUACAUUAUUUCCCUUAAUACUACUCAAUAAAAUUCACAAAAAUGUGCAGUGUGCAUGAAUUUUUAUUGUAGAAAUUGUUUUUUUUUAUUUUUAAUUUUUAAGUCUCAUAAUUCGUGAAUUUUGUACAUAUUGAUCCCAUAAAUUUUUGAAUUUUAUUAAAUUUUUUUUAGACUUGAUCGAUUGAUUGAAUCUCAUAAUAAUCCCUUAAAUGUUCCAAUCAAUAUUUUAAAAUACAGCUUUUUAUUUAAGAUUUCAAAAAGAUGACAUGAAAACAUAGUAAUACUAAAAUUUUGUUUUAAAUUACAUUUGUGUAACAAUCAAUGGUAUGUUAAAACUGGGCAAAAAAAAAAAUGGUAUAUUAAAAAAUUAUAAUUUAUUCUUUUUUUCAUAACUGUCUUCUGCUUAGAUUAAUUUUUUCCAACGUUUCUCUUCGGGAGAAUUAGUUCUUACCAAUAUAUAUGCACAUUAUCUGCUUUUUACCUGGUCUUAACACAUGAUUAAUUACUUUCCUACCUGCUAACGCGUUGACUUGCGCAUCCAAAGUAUUAUCAAAGUCACUGCCACCAAAAAGGUGCCCACUCCACAACCUUUGGUUGAACCAAAGAACAUCACAACAAUAAGGAAAUCGUUAAAUCUAUCUCCGCAACAUUUUUAUUAAUCAUUAGAUAGAUUAAACGAUCCCCCUAUUCAUAUUGUGUUCUUUUGUUGAACCAAACCAUGUCAACAAAAUAUAUCUAUGGUUAAAGCAUCUAGAUUCAAGCUUUUGGAUGUGCAACUUAAACCCCUCAAUGAAUAGCCAAGCAAUUUAUCAUGUGUUUACAGUAGGUCAAAAGAAGAAAGUGUUUGUCUAUAUAUUAAUAGGAACUAAUUCCUCUGAAGAGGAGAGAUGGAAGUGAUGAUAAUAAAAAAAAAAAAAGUCGUAUUCAGUGCACAAGGCUCCCGCUUUACGCAGGGUCUGAGAGAGGUGAAUGUCGGCUAGCCUUACCCCCAUUUUAUGGAGAGGCUGCUCCCAAGUCUCGAACCCGAGACCUACCGCUCAUGGGCGAAGACACUUGCCAUCGCACCAAGUGCGACCUCUAAGGGAUAAGAGAGUAAUCAUGAAAAUUUUGAAAGUGAAAGCAUUGCCUUGGAAUAUAUAUUCUCUUUAGGAAUUCUGUGCCCAACUAAAUUCUAGAUUCUCAAAAUAUGAAAUUAGCAACUUCACCAAACACUUGGACAUGUAACAGGUCACACGUAUGGUACCAACCUUACCAACCUUACCAACCAUCUAUAUACCUAUGUUUUCGAACAUCGUUAGAUAAUUAAAGUACAGUUCACACAGCAUUUCACAUAAAAAUGGCAUCAUACAACACAUGAGAAGUACUUCUUACAGUAGCAGUCUCGUAACAUGACUAUAGUUUUUGUUACUUCUUAAGAAAAAAGAGUUUAAAAUCCUAUUGAAAGAUAAUUGUAGAGACAGAAACCCAAACUAGUUAAUUAGGUUUCUUUACAUCUCAAUAAAAUUGAAGGGAAUGUAUCUAAUAUUAUCUACUAGAGCCUCUACAAUCAUCAUAGAAUCCACAACCCACAUUUUAAUUAAUCGAAAUUCCAUGAACACAAAUAAGCAAAAGUUGAGUGAAGCCUAAGCAAUAUGUGAUCAUUUAGAGAGUCAAACUCCAUCUUUUUAGAAUUAGGGACUUUUCAAUAUGAAAAGGUAACCUCCACAAUCCAAUAUCAUAUGAAAAGGAAAACCCAAGAAAAAUACAGUAUAAUUGUGUGCAAGAGCAACACAAAAAAAGUUGAAGAAUUAGAAAUCAUAAAGAGACUUGAGACGAUUGUUGCUCACUUAGCUAAAGAGCAUUUGCACUUGAGGUCUCGAGUUCGAUUGCCCCCUUUCUUUAGAUCGCUUGAGAGGAAAAACCUACCAUUCUCUAGUCUAAAGAUAUAUGCAUCUUUGACAUGAAUGACUAGAGGGGAAGAAAGUGCAGACAAAUCACACAUACCUUCAAAAAAUUUUAUGGGGUUGGUGAAUGGUGAUUAGGGAUACUGACUUUUAAUAGCCGUUGAUCAGUGUAUAUUGCACACGCCUUCAUCAAUGGCUAGCGUCGGUACAACUGUGAUUGGGAGGGCCUUUUUACGAUAAUAGAUGGGUAAAGGUUUCAUUAGAAGGGGAAUUUUGUUCUGGUUUGCCAUAAUAACUUGAAAUUAAUGGUUUUUUGUAAUCCUUAAGUUAUUGUCAUUUUAGGUUAACUUUGUACCUGGACUCUUUACUGGAGCUAUCAAUUGAAACCCCCAUUUUCUUACCAAAAUAUGAAAAACAAAGAGUCCCAUUUUUACAGCACAGUCCUACUCUAGUUGAAAUCCGAUCGACGGUCAAGAUUUUCUAGUCAUGUGAAAGUAUCACAUAUAUAAAAUUGACUGGAGAAGGCAUGCCACAUUGCCAUGCCCUUGACAGCUUUACUUUGUUUACAAACUUUCUAAAAGAAAGAAAGAAAAAAAUCUAAAAUGGAAGGUGAUAGCGAUUUUACCACUUGUAAAACAAAGGGUUAAACCAUAGAAAAUUCUUGCAAGAGAACAAGUGUUUGUAGUAUAGAAUGGCUCAAGCAAGGUCGAUCUCCUCAGGGACUGAUAUAAACAAUUUACGAGUUUUUAUGUAUUUAACUUAUUUAACUCUAAGAAUUACACUAAUUUAACGAAACUAAAUAUUAUUGGAUGUGACUUAAACAAAUAUCUAAAAUGGGAAUUGGUUUUAGGGAAUAAUGAUUCAACUUAAACAAAACAAGUAAAUGAGGAAAUUCAAGAUAAAAUAAAUGAUUAAGAAAAAUAGAUUGACAAUAUGCUAGAGUUCAACAUUUACCAACAACACUCUUACGUAGCUAUUCCAAUUGCUUAAAUAAUUGAAAACACAUAUGCUUUGAAUGUUGGAUUUUCCUUGUGUAUGUUUUACUUGUGACAUUCAAGCUAAAACGCAUACCACUACAUGCAACUUAUCCAUGACAUUUGAAUUAAAUAUAAACAUGAGUGAUUCAUUAAUCUUGGUGAAAAUCCUUUUGUUAAACCAUAUAAUCCCUAAGAGCAUGAUAUUUACCUUAGGAGAUUACAAUUCUCAAUCACAAGAAGCACAACCAAUUUUAACGUGACAUUCGUUCAAAAUUGCAUCCGAUAACUUUUCUAAGCAUCCUAAUGGUGAUCAAGCAUCAAGGUACAUAGAUAGUUUAAUUCAGUGAUUGAAAAUAUCAAAACAAGCAUGUAACAACACUUAAGCAAUUGAAAAAUAAAACUACGUAUUCAUGUUGCGGCUCAUGGCCUCACUCUAGCAUAAUACUUUAAAUAAUUAAAGCCCAAACAAUUUACCAAAUUUCAUCUCUGUACUCCGCAGAGACGCUAAACGAGACAUAUUUGGUCCAUCUCUGAACAUCUUUUCUUACUGUUCUUACAAUAGAAAGGGCACAAAAUUGACUUACACAGUCUUGCACAAUACUCACUUUGCUUCAACCCAUAUUUCACUUUGUCAAAUCAUACACGUUCCUGCAACAGGUGAACUCAUAUUUAUCUACCACUUCUUGCUAAUUUUAAUUUUUCCAUUCCCAUUUUUACUACAAGUUUUCACAUAAUUUUUUUAUUGCAUUUGUCAAUUCUUUAUACUUUUUAAUUGUAUUUUUUUUUUUGUCUUUUAUGUGUUUUCUAUGUUGGCACAAGGUUACAACAGUAUUAAACAAUUACAGGUCCUCCAGAGGUUUGCUUAUUGCCCUAUUUCAUCAAGCUCGGUAUAAAUAGAUCUUAAUUUUUUACUACAGUUAAAUACAUGGACAUGCCUCCACAAAUACAAAUUAGUUCUUGCUUAAAUACUUUGUGUGUUUACAUAGAAAAUGUUCCCAUCGUCUACCAAAAUCCUCCACACAUGAAAACAAAAAUUCUUACUCAAAAUACUUAUUACAAUACCACCAUAUCUGUUGUUUUUUAUUAAAUUAACACACUGUUUUCAAUUUUAUCUUCAACACAAAAGAAAAUGCUCUUACACAAUGUGUUUGCUUACAUUUUAUAACUUAUCUACCACAUGUUAAUCGCAGUUAUAUAAAUAGGAAAAUACGUGUUCAAUAGAAGUGUGAUGCAUGUCACUUCGUUAACAAUAGUGGAAACUAAACAAUUAAAUAAUUUGUUUCAAUUAGUUAGUACAUUUUAUAAAUUUCUCAAUUAGAACUGUUUCAGUAUAUUUAAUACAUUUUUAAACAACUUUCCAGUUAGUUGCCCAAACUAAUUAUUCCAGCUUAUUCACAGUAUAAUACCAACAAUUUAACAACCAAUGAUACUUCGUUUAACAUAAACUUCAUUUGGAAAAAACAAAAAAAAUCUUUUUCUCUGCUGAAAAAAUCAACAGAUUUAAUGAUGUAGAUCAGUUAUACCAACAAAUUACCAUAGUUUACCCAAUGCUAUACAGGUUUGACUUUUGUUUAUAUUCUUGGAUCUGUUGCUUGGUUGUAUAAUUUGGCUGUGUGUUUUGUUUCAGGACAAUUUGUUCUUCGUUUCUUGAGGCUUCUAUGUGUAGAUUUGAACCGUUUAGCUUUCAAACCGUUUAUACUCAAGGUAAAUAAUUUCGUUUGUUUCUUUUUAACCUUUUUUGUAAGAAUUUUUUAUUUAAUGUUGUGAGAGUUGUGUUUUCUAUAGUAUGGAAAUUGAAUCUUUGUGAUCUUAUAUCGUUAGAUACGUUGCUUGGUUAAUGUGAACACGGAAAAUUCCCGAAACGAAAAAGACAAGAACAACGUGCACAAACAAAUAUUUUGUAUUUGAUGAUUAUUUUGGGUUACAAUCUCUCUCUAAUUUGAUCCUCUGAUUCGAUCUCCGUAAGAUAUUGGUUUGUGGAUGUGCGAUUGAUCCAAGGGCCGUCGAGGCUUGAUCUUGGAUGAACGGUGAUGAACGGAUCUUCAAGGGCUUUUGGGCUUGAUCUUGAAGAAUAGUGAUGAACGGGUCUUCAAGGGCUUUUGGGCUUGAUCUUGAAGGAUGGUUGGAUGUGUGGAUUUGUCGACGUUGUUAAUCCAAAGGGCUGUUGGGGCUUGAUCUUAGGAUGAACGGAUGAUGAACGAAUAACACUUUCUUCAAGGGCCGUCGGGGCUUGAUUUUGAAUUGGUGAAAGUUCUUCAAGGGCCGUCGGGGCUUGAUCUUGAAGGUAGAUGAUUGUUGAUCCAAGGGCUGUCGGGGCUUGAUCUUGGAAGAACGAUGAACGAAGAACGAAGAAGGCUUUCUUGAUUCUUCGGGAACCUGGAUGCUUGAGAGCUUCGGAGUUUCAGAGCUUCAGAGCUUCAAGGUGUAAUAUGAAUUUGGUUCCCUUAAAUGAAUGAAAUUGGCUUCUAUUUAUAGAAUUUUCCAAGGCCUAAUUUUGAAUAUAAUAUUCCAGAUGAAAUAAGUCGUUUCUGCCAAGUGUUGACACGUGUCCUAUUUGAUGACUUUUCCGACUCAUUUCAAUUUUUCGUCGAGUCACACACUACGUGUAAAAUUUAUGUAAUACAUGAGCGUUGAAACUUUGAUUUAUCAGUCAACAUUUAUUUACCAAAAUUUCGAUGUCUACAAAUGCCCCCACUUCAAGGCGCGUCGUAUACAUGUGCUUGUCACGUGUAGGAGAUGCGUUUUGAAGUCCCCUUACUGUAGAUGUCGAUCCAAGGGCCGUCGAGGCUUGAUCUUGAACCGGGCUGGAGAUUUCUUCAAGGGCCGUUGAGGCUUGUUCUCGAACUUUGUUCGAAAUUUCUUCAAGGGCCGUUGAGGCUUGAUUUUGAAUUGGGCUGAAAGUUUCUUCAAGGGCCGUUGAGGCUUGAUCUUGAAUUGGGUUGAAAGUUUCUUCAAAGGCCGUUGAGGCUUGUUCUUGAACCUUGUUUGAAAUUUCUUCAAGGGCCGUCGAGGCUUGAUCUUGAAUUGGGCUGGAAGUUUCUUCAAGGGCCGUCGGGGCUUGAUUCUUGAAGGUGGAUGAUUGUUUAUUCAAGGGCCGUUGAGGCUUGUUCUUGAACCUUGUUUGAAAUUUCUUCAAGGGCCGUCGAGGCUUGAUCUUGAAUUGGGCUGGAAGUUUCUUUAAGGGCCGUCGGGGCUUGAUUCUUGAAGGUGGAUGAUUUUUUCUUCAAGGGCCGUUGAGGCUUGUUCUUGAACCUUGUUUGAAAUUUCUUCAAGGGUCGUCGAGGCUUGAUCUUGAAUUGGGCUGGAAGUUUCUUCAAGGGCCGUCGGGGCUUGAUUCUUGAAGGUGGACUCGAACACAUGGCAAGCAGGCACGAGGUGAAGGUGACGGUCUGUUUCUUUGCUCAAUCUUUCCAAGUGCCGACCGAUUGCUUUUCUUUCUCCUUGUCCCGCAGGCAAGAGCAAGGGUAAAAGAAAAGCAUGCCAUGAGAUAUCUUUGUUUUUGACUCUGAUGAUAUGAGGUACUUCUGCUUUUGAAGAAGUUGCGGAUGAAUCGACACGUGCUUUGUUGUGCUUGUCUCCACAUGCUCAGACUCUUGGCAGAAUGUGAAAGGUGGCAUUUUCUCGAGUUACUCAACUCAGACUCAUUCUGCUGAGUUGACUGUGCGGGCCGCAUUCUUCUCUGCUUGUUUCUUCUGGCAGCCUUGCUCUCGAGUACUCAUCUUUAACAUCUUAUGUUUCUUCUUUGUCUACCACACUGUGGAAGACGAGUACUCGAGAGUAAUACCAUGUAAGCAAUCAGAAAAGGGUUCCAAGCAGUCGGUUCCAGAUCGGAAGAUUGAUACCAAGUGUUGGCUGAUUGCUUUCCUUCUCAUUGUCCUACAGGUUAGAACAAAGACAAGGAAAAGGACACGGAGAAUGCAUGAUAUGAGAUACUCUUGCUUUCUCCCUUCAUGAUAUGAAAUACUUUUGCUUUUCAAGAUUUGUUUGCAGAGGUAUCCUAUGGGAUGAAGAACACUGAGUGAGUUGAGAGGGUUUGUUGGAAAGCCAUUUGUCGGAGAUGACGGAAUGUUAUGUAUGUCUGCCUUGCCAUGGAGCGUGAAGGUCGACAUUUGUAGGAAAUAAUAACUGGUACUGUUCUUUCACUCCUGUCGGCAACCGUUGGAUGAUUGAACAGUAAACUUCACGUGAUUUCCUCAAAGCUUUUUCUGCAUGCGACAAGUGCUGACGAGGCUGAGAGAGACAUGCGAUUGGAAUCGGCGCUUCGACAAACUUUUCCAUGAUUUUCGCAAAGCUGACGAGGCUGAGAAAGACAGAUGGUUUGGAAUCGGCGUUUCGAUAAACUGCCCGUGAUUUCCGCAACGCUGACGAGGCUGAGAAGGACAGAUGGUUUGGAAUCGGCGUUUCGACAAAUUGCCCGUGAUUUCUGCAACGCUGAGUUUGCGUGUGACAGGUGCUGACGAGGCUGAGAAAGCUGACACUUCUUCGAUUUUUGAGAUCAGUCCGUGAUCCUUGAGUAGGCCUAGCUUUGGAGAAAGCAGGCGCUUCAUCGAUCUCUGAACUCGCCUCUUCGAUCUCUGAAAGCCCAUCGCAUGCUGUUUUUUUAUAGAGGUACGCAAGACAUUCAAAGCACACUUGAAUUUCUACCUGUGAAAAAAAACUCCCCUUUUGCAUAUCUGAGAUCUUUAAUUUGCCCGACCUCUUCAUUUUGUUGAACACCUUCGGAAAUGUCUUUCCCAUCUGACCGUCGUCUUGACUUGAAUAUCGAAGAAGAUAUUGACAUGUCUUCUCCAGGCAACAUUUGGCAGCUGUCCUUCGUAUCCUCCAACGAACCUCUUACGGUUGGGGACACUGUGAUGAGGAAUGACGCAACGGCUGCAGUGGUUGCUAGAAAUCUUCUCACUCCUAGGGAUAGUAAGAUGCUUUCCAAGCGGUCCGACGAGAUGGCUGUUCAAGACUCUCUGGCCUUCAGCGUCCAAUGUGCGGGCUCAGUAUCAAACAUGGGCCAACGCCUUCUUGCUCGAUCUCGUCAGGUUGAGUCUUUGAUGGCCGAGGUGGCUAGUCUUCGGCAGGAGAUCAGAGGGCUUAGGCACGAGAAUAAAGAGUUGCAUAUGCUAGCAACUAGUUACUCAACGAGCAUGAAGAAGAAGCUAGACCAACUGCAGGAGUGUGAAGUUCGGGCUCGAAAUGAUCAUCAAAGGUUUAUGGCGUUACUCCCGAGGCAUCUUCUGCCUUCGUCAUCUGGCGCUUCACCAAAUGUUGAGGCUCCGGAAAAUCAAACUCUGGCGCUUCGUCUUUCUGGAGCUUUACCAAGUGUGGAGGCUUCAGUUGAUCCACCUCCGGUGCUUCGUCUUUCUGGAGCUCCGUCGAGUACUGAGGCACCACAUGAUCAUCCUUGAAGAUCCUUUCCUGUAAAUUUGAUUUGACUUUUUUUUUAAGGUAUGUAUAAUGUAAAAUUUCUAGAAAAAUAAAAUGGACUUUAUUUCUCUGAACAUGUUUUUUUUGUUUUUUUUUUUGGCUGUAUAUUUUCUCUUUAAUCAUGGUGCACCCAUUUUCCACAUGGUGCCAGACGGACCAAAGAUCAAACAUUUCCUUUUUUUAUUUUUUUAUUUUUUCUUUAAUCAUGGUGGCAGACGCAUAAACAAUUUCAUUUAUAUUUUUUUUUCUUUUUGCUGGCACAUGGUGCCAGAUGCACCAUUCAUUUAUAUAUAUUAUUAUAUAUGUUUUUUUUAUUUUUUUUUAUUUGCACAUGGUGCCUGAUGCACCACCUCUUUUUUUUUCACGUGGUGCCAGCAUCACUUUGCUCCACCAUCCAUUUUUUUUAUUUUUAUUUUCUGUAUAAAUUUGGGUGAUGGGUAGAGGAUUUUGCAGGCAGGGAGCAAGGAGGCCGAGAAGAUGGUGCUUCGAACUUCAUGACCGGCUAGUCGUUUGACGGCGGUCGUUGAAGUCGUUGGCAGUUGCGAGGCAAAAGACGGAGGAGAAGGUGGAGUAGGUGACCUUGAUGUCGGAUCCAGCUAGAACCCAGAGCACAGCGACUGAGCCCAAUCACCGAGCACAACCGCUGCACACCCGUUGUACUGCCACCGAGCACUGCCACUGCGCAUCUGUUGCACUGCCAAUUGCUGCAAAGGAUUAUGUUUAACGGCGGAGACGCUGCCCUAUUUGCCAUGCUAUGCCGACGUGCUUCACAUAAUUAACCAUCCAGAAUUGUUAAACAUUCCAUCUGGGUUUAUCGCAAAAACAGAAGAAGAAAAAAACCAAGAUCCAUCCAUGCCAAACACCAAUCUGCCAUCUUUUUGGGAUUUGUACGACAUCAUCAGCCAAAACCUGCUUGGUCCGCUCGCAAAUUGUGGGAGAGGAAGAGUUGGCGGAGCAGCUGUAACACUGGAAAAUGGAGGACGUUGACGAGUCCUCCAAGUUGUUCUUGACGUUGGUGCUGGAGAAACCUGCCUCUCUCAUGACUCUGCUGACACUUGGGUCGUCAAGGAUGGGGAUGAUGAGCUGCUCGAGCUCGACUUUGAUGGUUAAGAGCGGCUGCUGCUGCUGCUCGAUGCAGUCUCUUCUCUGAUGGGCUUGGGCUCUCUUGAGGGCGUUGGAGAGAGAGGGCUGCCCGUGGAGGAGAGGGCAUGGAGUUGUUGGGAGAAAUCAGGGCCGGAAUGGAAAAUAUUCCCGAGCUGCAUCAACGAGGAGAUAACACCGCUAAGUUAUUCAUCUGGUUUGCUUUAGUCAAAUGGAUCAAUCCGCGGGUCAUGCUCGCUUGCCAUCAUCAUCCCAGUGCACAGGCAUGUCGGGCACAUGACCUUUCCAGCACCAGAGCAAUUUGGGCACCUCUCAGUUGUGGGCACUCGCAAAGGUUGGUCUGAUGCACUAGAUGCUGAUAUAGGAUUGAUGUUCAAGCACACUCCACUUGCAGAACAUCUAGCACAGGCCAAGUACCCAGUUCCAUGGCAAUAUUUGCACCUUUUCUUCUCUUGCUGCUCAACAUUAUUAGCUUCAAUCAACAUCAAUGCUGAAAUGACACCCACUGCCCCACCGGAGAAGGAUGCCACAAUAGGAUCAACCUGACUUAAUUGUAAAGGCAGAUGCAUGCUACGAAUGAAAUCUUCAUACGAGGUACCUCCUAUACCUAAUUUUAGUUCCAACGAUGGCGCAAUGAGACCCCCAAAUACAAUUACACUAGAUAUCAUAGAUAAGCUUGUGAGGUAGAGCUGCUUCAACGUCUUUGGUGUCAUAUGAGGGAGAAAAGGGAUAGUGGAUGGAAUGUCAGGCAUCUCAUUUGACUCUUCCUCACAAGCCUCAUCCAUAUCUCUCGCCAUCUUUAUCCGUUGCUGCACCCGCAAUCUCCUUAGCUCUUCCAUGAGAAGAAAAAUCUUGUUGUGCCGGCUUCUUAUGUUGUCCUAAAUUUCCUGUAGUUGCAUCUGCACAAAGUCCUGCACCGUCUCCGGCUCUUCUAUGAUACAAAAAGUGCUUGGCGUGUUAUCGCCGGGGAAUGAUUCCUUGGAAGCAGAACAGGAAAUUUGGGGAUGCGGGGAGGUGAAUUUGGACAGAGAGAGACGUCUAGGGAUUCCAUGGGAGGGGGGUUGAGAGUGGUUUUUUGCCGGCGCCUCUAGGGUAGUCGUCGUUGGCUAUUGCUAUAGAGAGGUCAAUGACUUCACCGGAGAUGGCGUUGUUCUGGAGCCCGAGCGUGAGAAGCCGGGUGAGAUUGUCUGGAAAGGGUCCCCAGAGGUUGUUGUCGGCGAGGUCGAGAAGCUUGAGCUUGGUGCAAUUGACGAGAGGAGAAACGGUGUCGUUGAGGCGGUUGUUGUGGAGGUCGAAGAGUGAGCUGGGCGAGAUCAGAGAACCUUGACGAAUUCGGAGCGUUGAGGGUUAUCAACACGAUCCCAUCGACGAAGAAGAAGCAGAAUGGGCCUCUUGCGGGGCCUAUGGCAUCAACCGGUCUUUGGGCUUCUGGGCCAGUAAAUUGGAGAGAAGCCUGGGCUUUUGACUUGCAGAGAGAUUAGGCUCUGGGAGCCGCUUGUAGUAUUGUGGCUAAAGGGGUUGCUUCCUGUGGCCACUUAUAUAUAUAUAUUUUGUAAAUACAUAAAACAUUUAUCUCUUUUUUUUUCUUUUUUUUUUGUACAAAGAAAUUGUAAUAGCAUCAAAACUUUUAAUAAAAUCUUUAUUCCUUAUUUUGGUGUGACUGAACUCAAAUUUUGAAUAUUCGAGUUGCCUACGUACCUCUCCAAAGAAGAGAUCAAGUCGUAACGUAGUUCAAAUGAGUGAUGAAUUUAACAGUGAUUUUGAUGAUGAUUUUGUCGUACACAGUUUAUGCUCUUGCGGGCCAGGAGCUUUGGUUCGUGCAGUUUAGGCUCGUGCGAACAAGGAGUGUUGGUGUUGCCUUUUAUGCUCGUGCAGACCAGGAGCGUUGGUGUUGCCUUUUAUGCUCGUGUAGACCAGGAGCUUUGUGCCAUGCAGUUUAGACUCGUGCAGGCAAGGAGCGUUGGUGUUGCCUUUUAUGCUCGUGCAGACCAGGAGCGUUGGUGUUGCCUUUUAUGCUCGUGCAGACCAGGAGCUUUGUGCCAUGCAGUUUAGACUCGUGCAGGCAAGAAGUGUUGGUGUUGCCUUUUAUGCUCGUGCAGACUAGGAGCUUUGUUGUGCCAUGCAGUUUAGGCUCGUGCAGGCGAUGAGCUUUGGUUCAUGCAGUUUAGGCUCGUGCGAACAAUGAGCAUUGUGCCAUGCAGUUAGGCUCAUGCAGGCGAGGAGCGUUUAUUGGUUCGUCAAGCGAUCCAGGAGAGUCGUUCCUCGCAAUCUUCAUAGCAAGGAGCCUUGACUGAGUGAUUGAAGAAGUCUUUGGGGAAGAAAUCGCGCAUCGUGAUGGGGAUGGACGAUAUUUGUGUCGUCAUUUCAUCAUCUUCAACACUUUCACUUUUCUUUGAAGGUUGACAAGAGCUGCUUUGCCCCAUUUCCGAUUGGCGGACUUGUGGAUGAGACGUAUGCUUCUUCUGCAGUUUCUCUAGAGUGACAUGAGUCAUUCCUUCAACUUCGCUUGGCUCAACUGGCAUGGUUUUGGAGCAUGCCCCCAGCGAUUGAGGUGAAGAUUUUGAGUUGACAAAGCCGGAAGUGACGUCUUCUUCCAUGAUUUCAUCUUCUUUGUCUUCUUGGGCUUGUUGGCGUGAAGAUUGGCCGGCGUAGAUGAUGGUGCGCCUCUUUACCUUCAGUGGUCCUUUUGUGUCGACCUCCCAAGCUGUUUGGCGCUUUAUCCUUGAAUGAAUCAAGCUUCGAACGUCGUCUUUUCCUGCUAGACCGUCGAGCUUUUCUUCCUUUGGCGUUGUCUUCCUAUUUCUAGAAUGCUUCUUGGUUUCUUCAAGUUUUUCCAAAGCCGAUCGUUGGGGAGGAGAGCCAGCCUUGCUGCUUUGUUUCUUAGGUUUUGACAACCUUUCAAAAACAGAGCUUUGGGGUGUUGGCGUGUUAAGCCGUUUGAAGAUGGAAGUUCGGUCUUGCCCACCAAUGCGAUCAAGUGCCGACCUUCUGGGUUUUGAACGAUUCAGCCUAUCGAAGACUGACACUCGAAUAGGAGGUUGAGGCUCCUCUUGAUCUUGUUCAAUCCUCAAGCUGAUGUGUCGAGUGCUAGCAUUUUUUGCUUUACUUGAAAUCUUCACGGGUGCAUUUGGUGUGAAGCCAAGUCUAGCUCUGUUGUUGUCAACUCCGUAAUCAUGCUUUUCCAACUUCUUCUGAGUCUCGGUGAAGUCAUGAUCUUUGUCGUUGAUGGUGUUUGAAACCUUCUUCUCAAGAUUUGAAGAGGAAGCAAAGUCGUACCCAGCCUUUAACAUGAGUUCGUAGGCGUUUGGGUUGAGACCUUCUUCGGUCCUCUUAGUUGGAAUGAAGCUUGGGUUCGCUUUGACGCCAUGAUGCGCCUCCAGACGGUUGAUAAGUCCAACGGUUUGCAAGUUUUUCUCCUCCGCAGUCUUUAUCAGCCUUGCAAUUGUUUCCUUCAUCUGAACUAGUUGUUCUUCAAUAGAGGUAGCGCCGAUGGUCAUGACUUGUUCUUUGUUUGAAGCCAUGAAGUGUGCUUGAAUUUCUUGAACAGAGAAAGAGAUGAGAGGUAGAGAUUGUCCCACUGGGCGUGCCAAUUUGUGAACACGGAAAAUUCCCGAAACGAAAGAGACAAGAACAACGUGCACAAACAAAUAUUUUGUAUUUGAUGAUUAUUUUGGGUUACAAUCUCUCUCUAAUUUGAUCCUCUGAUUCGAUCUCCGUAAGGUAUUGGUUUGUGGAUGUGCGAUUGAUCCAAGGGCCGUCGAGGCUUGAUCUUGGAUGAACGGAUCUUCAAGGGCUUUUGGGCUUAAUCUUGAAGAAUAGUGAUGAACGGGUCUUCAAGGGCUUUUGGGCUUGAUCUUGAAGGAUGGUUGGAUGUGUGGAUUUGUCGACGUUGUUGAUCCAAAGGGCCGUUGGGGCUUGAUCUUAGGAUGAACGGAUGAUGAACGAAUAACACUUUCUUCAAGGGCCGUCGGGGCUUGAUCUUGAAUUGGUGAAAGUUCUUCAAGGGCCGUCGGGACUUGAUCUUGAAGGUAGAUGAUUGUUGAUCCAAGGGCCGUCGGGGCUUGAUCUUGGAAGAACGAUGAACGAAGAACGAAGAAGGCUUUCUUGGUUCUUCGGGAACCUGGAUGCUUGAGAGCUUCGGAGUUUCAGAGCUUCAGAGCUUCAAGGUGUAAUAUGAAUUUGGUUCCCCUAAAUGAAUGAAAUUGGCUUCUAUUUAUAGAAUUUUUCAAGGCCUAAUUUUGAAUAUAAUAUUCCAGAUGAAAUAAGUCGUUUCUGCCAAGUGUUGACACGUGUCUUAUUUGAUGACUUUUCCGACUCAUUUCAAUUUUUCGUCGAGUCACACACUACGUGUAAAAUUUAUGUAAUACAUGAGCGUUGAAACUUUGAUUUAUCAGUCAACAUUUAUUUACCAAAAUUUCGAUGUCUACAGUUAAAUGAUUUGGCUGUGUGCAUUGUUUCAGGACAAUUUGUUCUUCGUUUUUUGGGGCUUCUGUGCGUAGCUUUGAAGUCCUUUGUAGUCAACAUAAAUAAUUUUAUUUUUCUUUGUUUUUAGUCUUCUAUGUAAGAAUUUCUUAGUUAAUAUUCUGAGAAUUAUGUUUACUAUAGUAUGAAAAUUGAAUCUUUGUGAUCUUCGAAGUGUAACGUCAUUGCAACAUGGACGACUGCCAUUAUCGAACAUGAAAAACAUUUUGAUUUCUGUACUCCGUCUAGUAGAAAACUCUCGACUUCUUCAGAAACCACGAGAAACUUAAAACUGAGAAAGCUUCGCGGUCUCCCUUCCAUCUCUGCUACGCGGUCUCUGCUUUGCGAUCUCUGCUUCCUUCGUGAUUUCUUCCUUCCUGAACGACAUCUAUUCGAAUUGAAAACCUUCUGGAGCUCUCUUCCCCAAAUUUCAGCAGCAACUUUGCUCCAGAUCUUUCCAAUUGAAAUUCCUCUCCUUCACAUUUUGCAUAUUGAAUUUCGCAUCAUCAUCAUCUCCCUAGAACCUAGGAGUUCGGUUCGGUUUCGAGUUUUCCGACGGAAAUCCGGCGACAGCGGCCAUCGAGGUUGGUCUGAAACUAUUCCUCAUCACCACAGGUACUUUCUACACCUAUUACAUUUUAGAAAAAGUUUCAUGACUUUGUGGAAUCCAAUUUAACGAUUAGAAAAAUUUUCAUUAAUUUUCUGGGUUCGUGAGUUGGAGGGGGAUUAGAAAUUUUUUCAUUAUUUUUCUGGGUUUGUGGUUUUUUUUUUCCAAAACGUUUUUCCUUUCUACUAAUCCAAGUUCCUUCACAUCAAUCUCUCUGUUUUGUUCUUGAUCUUCCUCGAGUAGAAUACCUCUUCUUGCUCUGGAGCGCGUGGGCAGUCUCUCUAAGGCAGCCCAUGACGUCAUUUUCCGAUUCGACUCGGAGGAGGUUGGCUGCUCUUCUUGGCUGAGCUUCAUGGCUGGCCGAAUUCCCCUAUUCCCUUCCUCUUAUACUUUUUUAUAUUCGUUCACCAAAACAAUAGGAAAACGUCUCCGUCUGUUUGAUUGACGGCGAAAAAAAAAAAGACGGAGAAUAAAAGCCUGACGGAAGCUGAAAGCUUGGACUCUGUUUGUAUUUUUAAUGGAUUUUCAGAACACAGGUCAAGAAUAUUGCGAUUUGAGAAAAAAAGAAAGAACCACGUUGACAUAAUAUAUUCACAAUAGGUGUACAAGGUUCAUAAAGCUUUACUGUGGUUCCAUUUUUUGUUAAUGGAAUUAGCCUUUUGUUUUAGGAAGAACUUGGAACCCCCUCCGUCCAUUCUAUCCCCAAUGGAAUUAACACUUAGAUAGUACUAUGACAAUGUGUCAUUAUUUGAUGCAUACCUGUAUAAAUUUAGGCUAAGUGUUUUAUACACAAAUUGAUACAGAUUAACUAUACAAUGAUAACUAUAUACCGGAGAGCUAACUAUACAAUGAUACAUUCUUAUCUGUUAAUUAUCUUUGGUUACCAGCUAUCCAUGUUGCUGUCAUAUUAAACUACACAACAUCAGUUGUAAUUUAUGUCUUAUUAGUAUCAUCAUUUUUGUUCAUUAUUUCAAUGUCUAACAUAACUCCGCCUAUGUCUUACAUGGCCGGUCCCAAGCCCGGAUAAAGGAGGAGGGGGAGGGCGUCAGGUAGUCGACAGCCGGCACUCCAUGAUCACGUCGAAUCCUUAUGAAAAUGAAUCCAGAACAAAACCCCACUUAGUGGGAAAAGGCUUUGUUGUUGUUGUAUUUCAAUGUCUAACAUGAUGAUCUGGUUUCAAUUUGCUACAGGCAUUAUUUCCAGACAAUAGCUAUGGUUUUGAUUGUAGCGGUGACUGAAAAAUUAUUCCGAAACUAACAUUUGAGGAAUUCAAGGUUUGUUAGUUAAUUUGUACAUCAGAAUACCAUGACAAACUAUGAAGUUGUAAUUGUUGACCUUACAAUGUAUCUUUUUUGGUUUGGAGCAUUAGACUUAUAUGUGUUGCUUUCACCUCAUGAAGGCUAACUCUUUAUUUUAGGCCGUAAGAGUAUAAUUUCUUGGAGAAUCUACAUUGUUGAUAAUUUUUUGAACAAUAUUAUCCCCAAAAUUUCUCCGCAUGUUACCCUCAACGUAGACAUCAUAUAACCAUCAUUGAACUUCUGAACCAAAAAUUUGAGUUUUAUGAUUAUAACUAAACGUCUAUAAACACAUGAUACAGAUUGAGACGAAUGUCAAAUUUAAAAUGGCAUUAAUACAGCUGCAAACUCUGAUUUGCGGGAUUUGAAAUGGAGCAGUUACUUCUUGCUUCACUUCAGCAGCAUAGUCCAGCUUCUAAAUUCAGUUCUCAGGUAUGAGGUUUCUCAGUUACCUCUUUUUUGUAAUAAAACAUUUGAUCAGUACUUGCCAGGAUAUCCAAUUAAUUAGGUCAGUUUUUGUUAGCAGUAAUAAUUUGUUUUUGCAGCUUUAUAUGUGUCUCUGUCUCCAAAUAUGAUGAUCUCUUAAUUUGCUUCUAUAGCUUUUGUAAUAUAAUGAUCUCUUAAUUUUCUUUUGCAUAUCUUCUUUGCUUCCUCUGCUAGCUCUAUAUGAGAUUCCAUCUCCAAAUAAUUAUUCCUUAUUUCCUAUUUUUACCAGAAGCAAAUCAUUGAAUACACAUGGUAAAUUAAAAGGGUUUUAGUUUUUGGAGUAGUUUAAAUUUUUUGUUUGUUAUUGCUUGUAUUGCUGUUAAAUAUUUGAUGGGUAGUUUGAAAUGGGGAACUUGGUUGAUUGAGUAUUAACUUUUAUUAAAUUAAUAUUCUUAUUCAAUAUUGAAUUAAGACUCCUCUUAUUAAAUUAAGACUCUUAAGGCUCUAAUCUAAUGUUCAUGCUCAAUAUCUCCUCUAUCUUUCUACAAUUGGUAAAACUUUUGUAUUAUUAUUCCAAUUUUGGUUACUGGGUUGUGGAAUUUUCCAUUUUUUUUCUGGGUAAUCAAUACUAUAUAUAUGCAUGACAAGUAUAAACAAUAUUUUGGGGCAAAUUUAGUUGUUUAAUUUUUAAUUUUUAUGUGACAGUGAGAUUAUGGUAGGAUUUCGUUUAGAUUCUGCGGCCCAAUGGGAGUCUCUGCUUUGAUAAGAUUGGGGUUGAUGCCAAGAAAGCCAAUAAGCCUACUGUGGACGCCGUAGCCGCCUGGCGCUGUUUUCCAAAAUCCUCUCUCACUUGGUUAAGCAAUUAAGACUUUUUGGUUCAGUUUUUAUUAUGCCCAAUUUUGUAUUUAAACCUUAAAAAAAUUUAAACUGAUAUGGGGAUACUGAAAUAGGCUGCAGAGCUGCCAUCCCUGAAUCAGAAGAUGUUCAGAAGGAAGAAGAAGAACAAGAAGAAAGUCGUGGAAUAUCAAAAGCUUUUAGCUUUGUGAAGGUAUGCUUUUUCCCAACUCACCUCUUGCUUUUGUUGCACUGAAUUGGUAGAUUGGGUUCAAAAAUAUAUAUAUGUGAUUUUUCGUGUAACUAUUUCUUUACAUAAUUACCAAUUGGAGGUGAUUUGAGAUCAUGUAACAUUUCCUCGCUAGAACCGAAGAUUGCCGUCGCUCAGAGCUGCGUUUCAUGAAACAAGUUCAUCUCCUGCCAAUUUUGUGUACCCACCUUUUAUUCAUGAGGGUUGGUGCUUGCUUGCAACACAAUUUGGUGCUAUUAAGUUUUGCGGUUUUACAAUUUGUUCAUGCUUAAACCUCUUUCAAAUUUUCAUUUCUAUGUAAAUCUUGCAGGUAGGACGACACACCUAUCUUGGCAAUGUCGGGAUGUCUAGGCUUGGGUGGAGACGUGGUCUUAUGGAAGAGGUGAAGUAGCUUAGCUCGAUCUCAUUAGCUCUUAUCUGUUCUAUUAUGCUAAGAUCAAUAGUAAAAAGUUCUAUUGAUUUUAUAAUCAAAGAUACAUAUAUUAUAGAAACAGAGGGUAUAUAAUUAAUUUCUUGAUGUAAACAAUUAUAACUUGAGGAACCAUUUAAAGUAUUUUGGUAAUCAGCAUACUUAAACUUAAAUGUGAUAUAUCCGUUUAGUAUUUUUUUUAUACAGUGAUAAUACUUAAGUAUAAUUUACAUCAUAUAUCUUUUGAAGUACAUGAAACUAUGAAGAAAAUGAUAAACCAAAUCCCAUUCCAUCUCUGUUUGCUACUGCACAAUCACAAUCCAAUUCCAACAUGGAAUCCUCAGACGACAUGCCUACUGCAGAACAAGUUUCAUCCUGACUUAACUUAUAUUUAGUCCACGUCCUGUUUAGAUUGUAAUCCUAGUUCUACGUGUGUUUGUAUAGUACUCCUAUAAAUAUCAAUGAACAUCGCUCACUCUAAUUAAGAGUUGAGAUUCUGCAAAUCAUAUUUACUAUCUUUCAUGGUAUCACGAGCCAGCGUCUAACGACAACGGUUCCUAUUAUAAUUUUUUUCUCUUUUGCAGAUCCUAAACUAUGGCAUCUUCUUCCUCCUCCGCUGCUCCCUCCAUCACAAAUUUUCUUACGAUCAAGCUCGACCGCAACAACUACCCUCUUUGGCAUGCUCAGUUUCUUCCCUUGCUGCGCAGCCGCAACUUACUCUCUUAUGUUACUGGCGAAACUCAAUGCCCCUCUUUCUUCUUGAUGACAAUGGUAAAUUCACCGAUAAAGUCAAUCCAUUAUAUAAUGAAUGGAUCCAGACUGACCAGAUGAUCCUAUCUUGGAUUACGAGUUCUCUUACUCCCAAGGUUCUUGCUACGAUCGUCAACAAAAUUGAUUCGGCCUCUGCUUGGUCGUCAAACUCGAAUUAAUCUGAUUGUGAGGGUUUUGUUUUAUAUCAAUAUAUUGCAACAGAAGUCACACUUUGAAGAGUUCAUGCUGCACAGAAAGAUGAUGAAAUGCUACCCGUUGAGUCUAUCAUUGCUCCAUUGGAGACAGAGCUGAAGCUUACUGCAGGAGUUAUACAUUUGUUAUGCAAUAUGACCCCUUUAAUUUUAUUUUAAAACUGAUACAAAAAUACUACAAAAAUUUAUGUAGUAUUUUUGUAUCAGUUUUGAGUGUCUAUUUUGGCUUCCAUAUAUCGUCUGUACAUGUGAGAGGUAUAGUGUUCAAUAUGUAUUUGGUUUCUAUAUUGUUAAUGGAUCCUUUUUUUUUUUUUAAUUUUAAUAUAAUUUUAUUAAGGUAACCAAGUUGCAGGAUGACAUCAGAACACUUGAUCUGCAGGUAAACCUUCAAUUUCCAUAUGAAGUUUGCAUGUUCGUUGUUUCUGGAAUUUGAGUUUUUAUUAUUUCUCAAUUCUAUCACAUAGAUUACGAUUUCACAUAUGUGAUUAUUAAUGGCAAUUAUAUGAUAGAAGAAUUGGGAUUGGAAGAAGAUAUUGAGUUGUUUAUUUAUGGGGAUUAGAAAAUGAUUAUCAUACAAGUGAUAUUUAUUUUUGUGUGGAUUGUUAAUAUAUAAAACUAUAAGCUUUUGAGAUUGGGAGAUAAAACCCACAAAUUCAAAUCAGACAAAAUAAAUAAAAAAUUUAACUGACUUAAAGAUCAAACUCCAAAAGGGUAUUAAAAACAAGGCUUAUUUGAUCCAUUGAGUGUGAAAGUUUUGAGCUUUGAAGAAGCAUAGGAGGAGAGUUGUUAACCAAGCUGCAUUAUCCAUGUAUUAGGAUGUUGAGGGUAGGCAGGAAAAAUACUUUUUGACGCCAUAUCCAGAGGAGCAUAACGACAGGCCUGCAUUUUUGCAGCAAGGACCAAAACAAGUAGAAGUGAAGGCUUGACUGUUUGGGUAUUAAUCCUAAACCUAAUUAUUCUUAUUUAGGUUUAGGAUAAAUGAUUGAGUGUGUCUCGAUGAUUGUAUUACCAUGUUUGAUGAAUGACUUGAGGAGUUGGAAAUGGUUUAUUGCUUAUGUUUUUCUUAGGUGUGUACUUUGGUUAUUUCCGAGCUUUUCACGACUCUUGAUACCUAAUAGAGAAAAUGGAAACCCCAACUUUAAUUUUAUGAAUUGGUUUUGGUGCCUAAAAUGAAAUCUAGCAUAGUGAAAUCUUGCAUAAUGAAAUUAUGACAAAUUUCCCUUCAUCUUUAGAUUUUCAUUUAGUUCAAUUUGUAUGCAAUUUAGGGUUAUUCAAUUCAUGAGUGAUCAAAUUAUGUUUUUAAUUCCUUCUUCUUUUGAUUUACAGUUCAACAUUGUCGUACAAAAUGAAAAAGGUGCCAGUAACAUAGUUAUGGAUUUGGAUGCCUUUAGCGGAAUAAAACUGAAUUUUUUAACUUUGUAUAGUUGUAAACAUAAAAUACUCCAUCAGAUAGACUCAUAGCAUUUGAAAACAAUCCUUGAGGAUGGCAUAACAACAUCUCCAACUUUUGUCAUGUAAUGUAUGAAUGUAAAUAGCACUUUGUAAACAUAUGGAUGUAAUAUAUGUAUAUAAACAGUCUUUAGCAUGUAUAUUUUUCAAAACUUUCUACAUCUUCAACAAUGUUUCAAUGAUUUCUUGAUGUAAACAAUGAUAAUUUGAAGAACCAUUUAAAGUUUUCGGUAAUCAGCAUACUUAAGCUUAAAUGUGAUAUAUCCGUUUAGUAUUUUUUAUACAGUGAUAAUACUCAAGUAUAAUUUACAUCAUAUAUCUUUUGAAGUACAUGAAACUAUGAAGAAAAAACCCUAAUUAAUCUGAUUAUGGGGGUUUUGUUUUAUAUCAAAAUAUUGCAGCAGAAGUCACACUUUGAAGAGUUCACGCUGCACAGAAAGACGAUGAAAUGCUAUCUGUUGAGUCCAUCAUUGCUCCAUUGGAGACAGAGCUGAAGCUUGCUGCAGGUGGUAUACUUUUGUUCUGCAAUAUGACCCCUUUAAUUUUAUUUUAAGACAGAUAGGGUUGAAAAGAAUUUAUGUAGUAUUUUUGUAUCAGUUUUGAAUGUCUAUUUUGACUUCCAUAUUUGGUCUGUACAUGUGAGGUAUAGAGUGUUCAAUAUGUAUUUGGUUUCUAUAUUGUUAAUGGAUCUUUUUUUUUUGUUUUUUAGGUAACCAAGUUGCAGGAUGAAAACAAAACACUUGAUCAGCAGGUAAACCUUCAAUUUCCAUAUGAAGUUUGCAUUUUUGUUGUUUCUGGAAUUUGAGUUUUUUGCAGGAUGAAAACAGAACACUUAAUCUGCAGGUAAACACUUGAUUUGUUAUUUCCAAGCUUUUCACGACUUUCGAUACCCAAUAGAGAAUAUGGAAACCCCAACUUUAAUUUUAUGAAUUUGUUUUGGUGCCUAAAAUGAAAUCUAGCAUAGUGAAAUCUUGCAUAAUGAAAUUAUGACAAAUUUCCCUUCAUCUUUACAUUUUCAUUUAGUUCAAAUCGUAUGGUUUAGGGUUAUUCAAUUCAUGAGUGAUCAAAUUAGGUUUUUAAUUCCUUCUUCUUUUGAUUUUCAGUUCAGCAUUGUCGUAUUUUGGAUGCCUUUAGUGGAAUAAAACUGAAUUUUUUUAACUUUGUAUAGUUGUAAACAUAAAAUACUCCAUGAGAUAGACUCAUAACUUUUGAAAACAAUCUUUGAGGAGGGCAUAACAACAUCUCCAACUUUUGUCAUGUAAUGUAUGAAUGUAAAUAGCACUUUGUAAACAUAUGUAUGUAAUAUAUGUAUAUAAACACCACUCUUUAGCAUAUAUAUUUUUCAAAACUUUCUACAUCUUCAACAAUGUUUCAAGCCCCGCGGCAACGGGCGGGUACACUUGCUAGUAUACAUCUAAAAUUAUAAGACUAAAUCCUUUAGUUCUUGGAUUCAUCUAAGAACUACUUAUUCCAGCAGAUGCUAUGCUUGCACUACUAGAAUUUAUGGCUUGCCCUGUCAACUAUUGCGCGACAGAAGAUUUCGUCGGUUUCACCUUUUUUAACCGACAGAAUAUAAGUUUAGUAGGGCAAAAUCAGUCAACAAACUGGGUUGAUUGAAUAAAUUUACAGGAUGGCUAGAGUUCGUAGGUUAAGACAUCGGUCGUUGGGCAAACAUUUGGAGCGAAGAUGUGAGUGUUUUAACUGACGAAUAAGCUGGUCGUCAUGUAGAUCUUCUUUCCCGACGGACGGUUCAACAGGUAGCUCUUUGGAUAAUAAUUCAUCUUCAAGGGGAACAGGUUGCCCCUCAGAUGAAUGGUUAGAGGCAAUUGUGAGACUAUAAUUUUCUAGGGCCGGAAUAAAAAAUACAUAAACCCUCACCUAUUCUGUCUCUGUAACCAUCCACCAAAUACCCAUUUUUCCCUUUCUAUUUCUCUCCUAGUAAUUUCCCCUGACCGAAUCACACAAUCCAACCAACUCUCUUUAAGCCUCCCUCACUGAUUCCAUGGAUUUCAUGGACUUAUCCCACCCUCUCUCCUUCCUUCUAUAUAUAGCAAGUCCCCUUGCCUCAGUGUCCCUGGCAACAGAAUUUAUGGCGUUUCUUCGUUCUUUCAAUUAUUUGAAAGCUUCCCUGCCCUGCAAUCUUGUAUAAAGGCGUAUGGUGUUUCAUCAGUUCCAUUUGGUGGUCGGGUGGGAAAUGAAAUUAAAACACUGCAUUUCAAAUGCAUUUCAAAUGGUCUAAACCAAAUUGAAUCAAAUGUGAAGCAAAGGGCAAGAGGUGUAGAUUGAAGAACAAUGGCACCAAGAGCGAAAUUGAACUUGUUGACAGGAGGAAACCAAGUAAGGAUAACACGUCUAAAUCUUAUUUUGAAUCCAUUCAGCUCAUGAUGUUUUGAAUGAUGAUGAUCGGUAUACUCUGCUACAUGCUGUGAUUUUUCCGCUUUCAUGUAAUUAACGGCUUAUAUUUGUGGUAACCAUAUUGAUUAAAAAAGGUCGUACCCAGUGCACAAGGCUCCCGCUUUACGCAGGGUCUGAAAGGUGAAUGUCGGCUAGCCUUACCCCCAUUUUAUGGAGAGGCUGCUCCAAAGUCUCAAACCCAAGACCUACCGCUCAUGGGCGAAGACACUUGCCAUCGCACCAAGUGCGAUAUUGAUUAAUUUCGAGAAAUGACAGUCUAAUUUUUGCAACUGUCUUUUGCAGGCAAAACAAAGACGUUUGCAAGGGUGAGUUGUGUAGGAGCUUUGUUUCAUGUCCAAAGGACACUUGAGAAUAAAUGUUUACACUCAUGGAUAAUAUCUAUCUAUUUGCAGGAGUAACCCUGGGUUCAUUUGUUCUGUAACUGCUGGUCAUUGCGGCAUAUCACGCCUAUAGCACUGACAAAAGUAAAAAGAGAAUCGAAUGAAAUUUGAUAAGUUUUCAGCGGACUACAAAGAUCUUAAGCCAAGCAUAUAUUCCCAUGCAGAUAUUAAGAGGUUUACAAAUCAAUUCAAGUACAAGUUGGGCCAAGGAGCAUACGGAACUAUUUUUAAAGGAAUGCUUUUUUCUGAAUGCUUUGUUGCCAUGAAGUACUUAACAAUGGGCCAUAUUCACCAUGUCAAUGUGGUUCACUUGGUUGGUUUUUGUGCUGAUGGAUUUAGAUGAGCUCUGGUUUAUGAGUUCUUUUCCUUUGGUUCACUCCAGGAUUAUAUUUCAUCAGUAGAUAGAUUUCUUUCCUUGGUUGGCAUAAGUUACAAGAUAUUGCUAUCAGCAUAGCCAAAGGAACCAAGGAUGUGAUCUACAAAUCCUCCAUUUCGAUAUCAAACCCCAUAAUGUUUUGCUCAACCAAAAAAUCACGCCAAAAAUCUCUGAUUUUGGUCUGGCCAAGUUAUGUUCCAAGGAUCAAUCGGCGUGACUAAAGCAAGGGGGACUAUGUGACUAAAGCACCCGAAGUGUUUUCCAGGAAUUUCGGAAAUGUGUCUUACAAGGCAGAUGUCUUGAAUGCUGCUGCUUGAGAUGGUAGGAGAAAAGAAGAAUAUUGGUUCAACCAGAGGACACGACAAAUGAAAUCUACUAUCCAAAAUGGAUUUAUAAUCUUCUAGAGGAAGGAAAUGACCAACAGAUCCCUAUUGAGGAAGAAUGUUAUGGUAAGAUUCCAAAGCAACUUGCAAGUUUAGGGCUCUGGUGCAGCCAGUGACACUCAGUGGAUCGGCGGUCCAUGAAAACGGUGGUUCGGAUGUUAGGAGGAGGAGAAAACUUGAUGAUGCAAGCAACCCUAAAAGCCUCAUACAGUUAGAAGCAAUUGCUGAAUUAGAGUAACAUACGUAUAUGUAUACGCACCAACACAAGUCGUUCUUAGAUGAAUCCAAGCCAAACAAUUACAGACAAUAGUUAUUCACUAAAUCACUUUAAGGCAAGAAUUUAAUUAAUAAUACAUUACUGCACUUUCUUAACCAUUUGACUAUCACCUAGCUGACAAUGAACACGUUAGCUCCGCGUUAGAACAUCUUGGGUUCAAUUCAUUGUCUUGAAUAUCACCCACUGUCACAGGCGUCUUUUGGGGGCAUAGAGAAGGCCUGAGAGGCAUUUGCAGACAUUCAACAUCUCCUCCAAGCAUUUUGACAACUUUGGACAUCGAAGGGCGAUCACUUGGUUUCAUUUGAAUACACCACAAGGCGGUUAUAACCAUCUUUCUUAUUACUUUCUUUUCCUCCUCUGUAACAUUGUCCAUUUCCAAGUCAUUUCCUACAAUAUACUGAUCGUAUACCCACAUUGGGAAGUAGAUUUGGCUUGAAUGCUCUACCGUUGGAUUCAAAUUCCUCCUUCUGCUUGCCAUUUCCAUCAACAACAUUCCAAAACUAUAGACAUCUGACUUAUAUGAGACGCCUCCAAUAUUUUUGUAGAACAACUCAGGAGCAAUAUAUCCCAGUGUACCCCGUGCUGCUGUCAAAGAGACAAUGCUAUUAUCUACAUGAUACAAUUUUGCAAGCCCAAAGUCAGAAACCUUUGCUUUAAAGUUCUCAUCAAGAAGGAUGUUAUGAGGCUUGAUGUCGAAAUGUAGAAUUUGCAUUUCGCAACCUUGGUGUAGAUAUUCGAUCCCUUGAGCCACUCCAAGAGAAAUCUCGUACAUGUUCUUGAUAGUUAAGGGGACACUUCCUUCUUUGGAAUAAAUGUAUUUAUCAAGAGAACCAUUAGGCAUGAAGUCAUAGACUAGAGCGCGUUUUGAUCCCUCAACAUAGUAUCCAACAAGUUGCACCACAUUGGCAUGGUGAAUCCUUCCGAUUGUAGCUAAUUCGCUAAUGAAAUCUUGGCCAUCAGCUUUGGGCUUGGCCAAAACUUUAACUGCUACAAAUCGACCACUGCGUAGCUUUCCCUUAAAUACAGAGCCAAAGCCACCUUUGCCCAACUUGUCCUUAAACUUGCGAGUCAUUUUCUUGACGUCCGAGUAAGAGUACCUUAUAGGCAUGAAGUUGUUAUUGCAUUGCAGAAAAUCUUCUAUUGUGCUAUACAUUGAUAAAUGUCUUCUGCGCCAUGUGUAGAUUAGAAAUGCAGUCACAAUUGGAACUCCAAAAACAAAUCUGGCUAGGAAAAAUAACCCUACAUGCAUUGACAUUAAUAUGUUAGAUCCACUGCGUACUACUUUUUCUUCCCUUUCUUUCCAAAUUACUUUGUCUUUGAUGUAAUUAAAGAGAGAAUGGGAAAUGUACAUAUGUUGAUAAUACAAUCUCGUCUUAGUCCUUACCGAUGCAUAUGAGUAUAAACCAUACACGUACUGCAACAAAAUCAAUCGACUAUGAGUUUGAAAAGUGCAUAAAGUGAAAAAAAAAUAAAAAAAAUCAAAGGGUGCCUUUAUUGACAUCCAAAUUUUAGUUAGUUUUACUCAACUAAAAAAUUUUUGUCAUCAAACUUUUUAAUUUGCCGUCGAAAUUGAGUUCACCCAACCCACAAAGCAGCAACUACCACUCACCAAAAAAACCAACAACACACAGCCACCAGUACCAUUCACCAAUAGAAAGAGAAGGAACACACAGACCCACCAAGGAGCCGGCAUCGACGCGUCUACGAGGGAGGGACCGGAGGGUGGUGUAGUUUUGUUGGGCGCGCGGUAGUGGUUUUGUCUGUUCAUUUUCUCUUUGUUUUGGUAGGUGGAGGCUGGUGUGGAUUUGGGCGAACUUAAAAAUGAGGGGAAACUAUGAAGUUUGACAAAAUGUUUUAGUUAGGUGAACUUCACUAAAAUUUGGGUGCCGAUAAAGAUACCCAAAAUCAAAAGACUAGAUGGACUAAUUAAAUGAAGCUCUUACCCAUAUAUAACGAUGGACGCAACUUGCCAGCUGCUGCAGUACAUACCACGGAAAAGUGAGCAAAGACAUACAGUUACUAGGUUUAAGAAGUACAGAUAGAGCACACAAAAAAUAAAAGAAGCUUUUGGGAAGAAACUUCUUACGCAAAUAGAUUUUUUUCAUGACCUACAGUAAAAAAAUGUCAAGAAGAAUACACAACAUUAGCAAUAGCUCACCCAGUCUUCAAAAUUUAAAAAAUCAAGUUUGUCGAUCGAAAACUUGUAAAUAAAACAAAAAGAGGACCCCUUACCGAUUUGUUGCCAUAGAUAUUGAAAGAAACCUACAAGAACAAAGAAAGAACAAGACCACAUGCAUUAGAAUAACAAGUGUGAGGUGUAUAAGCCGUUAGAAAAUAAAUUUAAAAUUCUAGUGCUGUCAAUACAUUGAUAAUAUAUAUAUAUAUAUAUAUAUAUAUAUAUAUAUGUAUGUAUGUAUUAUUUUUUCUGAAAAUUUAACUUUUCCCGUCCAAACUCAUUUUUCUAGUCUCUAGCCCAACAUAUAAUAUUUAUCUGAAUAAAACCAAAUGAUUAGGAUCCAACUAAGAAACUUACCAAAUUAAGUUUGUGUGUCCAUUUUUAUAUUUUUUGGAUCCCUAAUAUACCCCAUCUAAGCCAGUAUGGAAAGGUCUUGUAAUUUUGCUUUAAGUGAUUACGUGCAUUGAAUUUGGCAAGGUCUUAUAGCCAUGAAAUAUGGUUCUAGAUGGAGGAAUUAAUUUGGAAUUUUUUUUAAUUUCGACAACAAAUUUCAAUUUGAAUAUACCUAAUUUAGUGUUUAUUUUCAACAAUAAAUGUGCCUACUUUUUAAAUUUGUAACAAAAUUAAUUUACCUACUUUUUAUGGUAUUAGUGACACACCCUGUCCCGAAGGAGGGCAUGCUGGCCGUCACGAGAGAGUGACGUAACCAUUUGCACAGUACGGAAGCUUUAAGAUACAAUUUAUAAGUUGAUACACCCGAAGGUGAGUCCUAAUUUUUGUCCAAUCUGUCAGAACACCGUCAAAUUCCUCGUAGUCACCACACCUUUGUGAUUCCUGAACCUGGAGGGGCGCAAAACCAAAAUUGAGUGGGUCAGUAAAACAAUUCUUUUCCAAAUCCAAACAUUUCUCAAAACGUUGUAACCCUCUCCGUAAAACUUGUAUACUUUCCCAGAAAUGUAAAAUAUAAAUAUACAUAUAUAUUCUCAAACUUCAUUUUUACUAUCUCAACAUUUUUCUUUAUCAAACAUGCCAUGCCAUGUCUAAUUCAACAGUUAAGUAUGGAUGCAUCAACAAUAAUCAUAUCAGGUGCAAGAAAGUAAUCAACCGGAGGCCCUCUAAUAGCCCUGUACGGUUGAACCUAGAGCUCAAAAUCUAUCACUCUCACUCUGCCGGGAGUCACCUCUGUGACCUGUCCGGCCUUCUGCACACAAGUUACGCUCUAGUGCUUUCUCAUCAAUCAUCUGUGCACAUAAUCUAAGGUCACCCACCAGUCGAAAUCUCACUAACACUCUUCGACUGGCCCGUCGCACCCACUCCGCGUGGACUGUGCGACCAGCAUCUACUUGGAUCCAAGGCGAGCGUGCGAUGCGGUGAAUACUAUAAGCACUAAACCAUGGUGCAGGAUUUGAGCUCAAUAUAUAUCAACAUCAUCAUAACAGUACUUAAAUACUCACCUGAUACUCACCUGUGCGUCCGCCGCACCAAUUCAUACAUAUGCAUCAUAUUUCAAUUCAUAUCAUUUCAUGCAUGGCAAUUCGAUUCACAUUUCUAUAUACAUUUCAUAUACUUCUAUGCAUGACCUUUCAAUUCACGUUUUCAUAUAAUUCUAUAUACCUUUCAUUUAAAACAUAAUUUCAUUCUAAUUCAAUUUCUGGGAAAACGUCAAGUAUAUAUAUACGGAAAACAAAACUGCCCACUCACCUGGAGUUCGUCCAACAACUCCCUAGCACCACACAUCAAGGCGUCAUGACGAUCGCCGUCUAGAACAGUAAUCAAAUCCAGCCUCAGAAUUCAUAUCGAUAGAACAUAUAACUUAUAUAAAAUAUGUCACUACGUAGAUCGAUCCGGAAGAUCUGCCACUCAGAUUUUAAAUCCAUAACUUCCAGAGGUCCACAAUAUAUCUCUAGGAUAACAUCCUAAAAUUUCAUUACCAUCCAACGGUCGGAUCUCCGUCAAUUUCCAAAACUAAGUGACGGUUAACAUUUUAUUUUAUGAACUUACAAUUCUAAUUCCGGAAGAUCCGUAACUCGGAUUCCCAAUCCGUAAGUUCCAAUAAUCCUCAAAUAUUACGUAUUACAACGUAUCAAAGUUUGGUAACGAUCCAACGGUCGGAUCAUCAAUUCACAUUUUCACCUAAUGCGAAAACUAUAAAACGUUAUUCGAACACCUAACCAACAAUCCUUAAUAACUUUCUCAUACGGUGUUCAAUUUGGGUAUAUGAAUAUACCACAGUGAUCUACUCAUUAAAAUAAUUUUUUACUGUAGCACGCGCCCCCACGCGCCAAGGAAGGCACGGACCUACGCGCCCCCACGCGCACCUUCUUCUUCCUUGGGUCGCCGGACUGGUUUUUCCGGCGGCCGUUUUUCAAAUUGCCAUAACUUUGUCAUUUCUCAACGAAAUCAAGUGAUUCAAAAACGAAAGUUGUAGCCCUUGAAGAGACAAAGAGAAUGGUACCUUGCACAACACCUAGUUCGCCGUGGUUUGGCCGGAAACUGCUUCGAAAGCCUCGGAGGUCGCCAGAAACUGGGUAUUUUUCAAAUCAGUAUAACUUCUUCAAUACUCAACGAAAUUGAGUGAAACAAAAAGGAAAGUUGUAGUACUUGACGAGACGAAGAGAUUGAUACCUACCUCGACUCCUAACUCACCGGAUAUUCGCCGGAAAAUGCCUCGAAAGCUCCGGCCAAACUUUGAACUUGUCGAUCUCCGUGUUCUUACAUCCAAAAACUUCCAACGAAGCACUCCGAGCUUCCUUGGGACCUCACUAAGCUCGCUAUGAUCUUGUUUUAGCCUAAAACGUAGUCAUUUAGAAGAUCAUGAACAAUACCAUUUCACGGGAACUUUGAAACUAGGGUUUUCCGAAGCAAAACUUACCUGAAAUGGAUACCAUCGUGAUCGUGGAGGUUCCAGGAGUUUGAUGGUGGUCUUAACUCUGUCGUUGGUGGAAGUUUAAGGUUGUUUUGUGGUUGGUUUGUUCGAACGGAGAAGAAGAGUGACAGAGAGAGUGAGAGAGUCGUGAGGGAAGAGAGAGAGAGACAGCAUGCAGAAAAUAGGGAGAGGAUUGAGGGGUGUGGGGAUCCCACGUGGUCCUUUUCCAAUCCCCAACUCCAAACCAUAAAAUUUUAACCUAAAAAUCUAAGUUCAAUCCUUAAUAAAUUCCAUUUUAUUUUCAAAACUUAGGAACCUAGAUAAUUAUCAACUUGAGCUUCACAUACUUAGUAUUUCUUAAGGGCAAUUUCGUUCAUUCACAGCCACGAAUGUAAUAUUUUGGAACGGGCUGUGACAAUUAGUAUACAUAAAUGUAGAAUAUAUGUCCGUAUAUAUUUGAUCCAAUUAGUAUUAGGGAGAAUGACAAGUCAUCCAAGUCUGCUACUGUUAAUAAUUCUGUUACUGUAAAUUAACUGAUUGUAUUAGUUGUGAUUAGUUAAGAUAGUUAUAAAGUAGUUAGGGGUAUCUAUGUAAAUAGCCAAAGGCUAUAUAUAUUCCUACACAAUGUGUAAAGUUCUCAGUCAAGUAAAUACAAUCAAGAAAACUUACUGUUGAAGUUUUCUGUUUCUACAUGGUAUCACGCCAUUCCGCUUCACAGCUUCGAUCUUUCUCUUCGCUUGCUGCAUCGAUCGACUCUUGAUCGAUUUUUCUUCUCUGAUCUUCUCUUCGCUUGCUGCAUCGAUCGACUCAUGAUCGAUUUUUCUUCUCUGAUCGUCACUUCUUCCCUUCCGAUCUUGUAGUAUUUUCUUGAUUUCUGUCAGUAAUGGCGGCUCAAUCGACUGGUUCAUCUUCUCCGGUCAUCUCCCCCUCGAGCCCAAACCCUAAUUUUCUCUGGAAACCCUAAUUCCUCUGGAAAUCCGAGUCCUCUGACUUCCUACACUUCUCUCUCACAAUUCAUAACAUCGGCAGCAUGGUGCCGAUCAAGCUCAAAAGAUCCAAUUACCUACCAUGGCGCGCCCUGUUUGGCCCGAUUUUCCGGCGAUACAAGCUUCUUGGAGUAAUCGAUGGUACUGACGUCUGUCCAUCGCCAUUUCUGCCUGAUCGUAGCAUCAAUCCUGCUUUUGAGGACUGGUAUGAGAAAGAUCAAAAUCUUUUUGAUCUGGUUGAAUUCCACACUUUCUGAGGAAAUCAUCCCGUUCACGGUUGGGGUUUCAUCCUCUCGAGAACUUUGGGUAAAGCUUGAACAGCGCUUUGGUGGAAUUUCAGAGGCUCAUAUCCAUCAGUUGCGAUCGCGCCUUCAAUCUGUUCAGAAAGGAUCGCGUUCUAUCUCUGACUAUCUUCAAGAACUCAAGGAAAUUUCAGAUUCUCUGCAAGCUGCUGGUGCUUCUGUCUCUGAUCGAGAUCUUAUCGCCGCCACACUACAUGGCUUGCCUGAUGAAUUUGAGUCUUUCAUCGACUGUAUCAUGCUCCGAUUGUCCUCUACCUCUCUGAUGAACUUCAUGGCCUCCUUCUCACAAAGGAAUUGUCUAUGGCCAGACGCAAAACUGUCAGUUCAUCUCCUGUCCCUGAAUCUUUUCAGGCUUUCUCGGUGCAGUCUCAGCCUCAUCUCCUUCCUACUCCAUCUGCUUUUGCUGCUCAGAAUCUCCCUCUUCAAUCUGCAUCUCGGUUCAACUCUAAUCGUGGCAGGAACACUAAGGGCCAGUUCUUUUCCAAUCGAGGUCAUCGAGGUAAUCGUGGUAAUUUUCCUAAUAAACCGUGGCAAUCGAGGUUAUCAAGGAUUUCGCAGCAAUCAAGGCUCUUCUCACUUCAAAGUGCUUUGUCAAAUCUGUGGUUCUACCAGUCAUGAGGCUAUUGACUGCUUUGAUCGUAUGAAUCCUGACAUCUUGUGGUCGUAUUCCUCCAGCUAAGCUUGCUGCCAUGUGUGCCACAACAUUCUGCUAAACCAUCUCAGCCUUGGUUAAUUGAUUCAGGGGCAACCUCUCAUAUCACUAAUGAUGUUGCUAACCUCACCUCUCCUACUCCCUACACUGGCGAGGAUUAAAGUGUAUAUUGGAGAUGGUAAAGGUUUAUCCAUCCUCAAUGUUGGUUCAUCUACUCUGCACACCUCUCAUAAUUCUUUUCAAUUGCGAAAUGUUUUACAUGUUCCCCACAUAACCCAUAAUCUUAUCUGCUUAUCAGUUUUGUUAAUGAUAAUAAUUGUUCAUUGACACUUGACCCUUAUGGAUCCUAUGUCAAGGAUCGUAUUUCGGGGAAGAUGCUUUUACGGGGACCGGUUAGAGAUGGCUUCUAUCCUCUUCAAAGUUCCAGCAAUCUUCAUCCUCUUUCACAUACCGCUUUACUUAGUAUUAAAGCUCCAGUUACAAUUUGGCACAAGCGUUUGGGUCACCCUUCCUCCUCCAUUUUUAGAAGGCUCCUUUCAUCCAAUAAUCUUGCUUUACAAGGCAAGUCUACUGUGGACUUUUUCUGUUCGGAUUGUGCUCUUGCCAAGAAUCAUAAGCUUCCAUUUAAAGCUGCUACUUCAUCAUCAACUCACAGCCUUCAACUACUGCACUGUGAUCUGUGGGGACCUGCCUCAAUCACAUCAAGUAGUGGUUUUCAAUAUUAUUUGCUCAUUGUUGAUGACUAUAGCAAAUAUAGUUGGUUCUUUCCUUUGAAAUCUAAGUCAGAUGUAUUUUCUACAUUUGUUGUCUUCAAAUCAUAUGUAGAAAAUUCACUUGGAAAUAAAAUAAAGGUUCUGCGUUCAGAUUCAGGGGGUGAAUUUACUAGUCACUCUUUUGCAUCAUAUCUCAGCAAACAUGGCAUUCUUCAUCAGUUCAGUUGUCCCCACACCCCUGAGCAAAAUGGUUGUGCAGAAAGAAAGCACAGGCACCUUGUUGAAAACAGCUCGCACUUUGCUUCUUGCAUUCUCAUGUCCCUCAUAUUUUCUGGGUUGAAGCAUUCUCCACUGCUAUCUAUCUUAUUAAUCGCCUUCCUAUUUCUGGCAUUUCACAGUCCCCUUGGCAGUUGCUAUUUCACAACCAUCCAGACUACUCUAAGCUCAAAGUAUUUGGUUGCCAAUGCUUUCCUUGGCUCAAACCUUACUUUCAUAGCAAAUUGGAUCCCAAGAGCAAAAAGUGUGUUUUCUUGGGGUAUAGUCUUCAACACAAAGGCUAUAGGUGCCUUGAUCCUAUCACCAAUCGCAUCUACAUCUCUCGUCAUGUCUGUAUUCGAUGAAAGUACUUAUCCAUUUCAGUUGUCCCACAUUCAACACUCUUUUCCUGUUCCAAGUCCUCCAUCUUCCUCACCAACAAUUUCUUCCUCUCUGGAUCUUCAUUUUUUAGCAAACACAUUCCUCCUGUUUUCAGUCAGCCAUCUACAUCACCAUUAUGUGCUUCUGUGCCUGUUCCUAUUUCUUCAUCUUCAUCUUCCCCUGCACCUGUCUCAGUUGGCUCUUCUUUCCAGUUUUGUUCCUCCUUCAGCACAUUCAUCUUUCUCCCAAAAUCAACAGAGUCAUCCUCCUGCCCCUGUUAAUUCUCAUCCAAUGAUUACUAGAUCCAAGGCUGGUAUACUCACGUCGAGAGCCUGUGCAGCAACUAAGCACCCACUUCCGGUUGAUAUGGAUUAUGUUCCUACAACAUACUUGCAAGCUUCUAAGCAUGCUCAUUGGAGGCAAGCUAUGCAAGAUGAAUUUAAUGCCUUGCUAACCACUGGUUACUUUGGUCUCUUGUUCCUUCUCACCAUUCUCAAAACUUAGUGGGCUGCAAGUGGGUUUUCCGGAUUAAGAAGAAGCCCGAUGGCACUGUUGACAGAUAUAAAGCCCGGCUUGUGGCCAAGGGUUUUCAUCAACAAGAAGGUAUUGACUUUUCAAGAAAACCUUCAGUCCAGUUGCCAAACCGGUUACAAUUCGGAUCCUUCUUACCCUUUGCUGUGCAAUAUAAUUGGUUUCUCAAUCAAUUGGACAUUAGUAAUGCCUUUCUUCAUGGAGACUUAAAGAGAGGAUGUCUACAUGCAACAACCCCCUGGUUUUGUUGAUCCCUUUACCCUACAUUUUGUAAGUUGAGGAAAUCGUUGUAUGGUCUCAAACAAGCUCCUCGAGCUUGGUUUGAUAAACUGUUCCAAGCUCUUCCUCUCUUGGAUUCACCCAAUCAUCCUCAGAUGCUUCUUUAUUUGUUCUCAAUGGUCCUCAGUUUAGUCAUUGUCCUUGUCUAUGUUGAUGACAUUCUUGUCACCGGACCCUAUCCUUACCUCUGUCAACACUUCAUUCAGCAACUUGGGGCUCAAUUUCCAGUAAAAGACCUUGGUCCUCUUCAUUAUUUCUUGGGAUUAGAAGUACAUCGAUCUUCCCAGGGUAUAUUUCUCCAUCAAACAAAGUACUUAUUGGAUCUUCUCAAGAAAACAAAUAUGGAGGGUGCAAAACCUUGUUGUACUCCCCUUGGCUCUAAGAAAUUAGAUCACAGUGGCCCUCUUCUGUCCAAUCCUACUGAAUAUCGCUCCAUUGUUGGUGGUUUACAAUAUCUUACUUGGACUAGACCCGACCUUGCUUUUGCUGUGAACCAAAUCUGCCAAUUCAUGCAUGCUCCCAGGGAACAACAUCUCCAGGCAGCAAAAAGGGUUCUCAGAUUUCUCAAAGGCUCUAUCUCACAUGGUGUGUGGUUCACUAAAGGCCCUGUCCAUCUUUCUGCCUACUCGGAUGCCGACUGGGCUGGUUGCACAAUUGACAGGAGAUCAACCACUGGUUAUUGUGUAUUUUUGGGUUCCAAUCUUAUCAGCUGGAGUGCCAAGAAGCAAAGUACUGUUGCCAAGGUCCUCUACAGAGGCUGAAUAUCGCUCCUUAGCUCACACAGCUGCUGAGAUAACUUGGGUUUGCAGAUUCUCAAAGAUCUGCACUAUCCUCUCUCUUACAUUCCCUACUUUUGGUGUGACAACAUAUCAGCAAUAUCUUUAGCAUCUAAUCCUGUCUUUCAUGCUCGAACAAAGCAUGUUGAGAUCGAUUAUCNGAAGUUUUCUGUUUUCUACAUGGUAUCACGCCAUUCCGCUUCACAGCUUCGAUCUUUCUCUUCGCUUGCUGCAUCGAUCGACUCUUGAUCGAUUUUUCUUCUCUGAUCUUCUCUUCGCUUGCUGCAUCGAUCGACUCAUGAUCGAUUUUUCUUCUCUGAUCGUCACUUCUUCCCUUCCGAUCUUGUAGUAUUUCUUGAUUUCUGUCAGUAAUGGCGGCUCAAUCGACUGGUUCAUCUUCUCCGGUCAUCUCCCCCUCGAGCCCAAACCCUAAUUUCUCUGGAAACCCUAAUUCCUCUGGAAAUCCGAGUCCUCUGGACUUCCUACACUUCUCUCACAAUUCAUAACAUCGGCAGCAUGGUGCCGAUCAAGCUCAAAAGAUCCAAUUACCUACCAUGGCGCGGCCCUGUUUGGCCCGAUUUUCCGGCGAUACAAGCUUCUUGGAGUAAUCGAUGGUACUGACGUCUGUCCAUCGCCAUUUCUGCCUGAUCGUAGCAUCAAUCCUGCUUUUGAGGACUGGUAUGAGAAAGAUCAAAAUCUUUUGAUCUGGUUGAAUUCCACACUUUCUGAGGAAAUCAUCCCGUUCACGGUUGGGGUUUCAUCCUCUCGAGAACUUUGGGUAAAGCUUGAACACAGCGCUUUGGUGGAAUUUCAGAGGCUCAUAUCCAUCAGUUGCGAUCGCGCCUUCAAUCUGUUCAGAAAGGAUCGCGUUCUAUCUCUGACUAUCUUCAAGAACUCAAGGAAAUUUCAGAUUCUCUGCAAGCUGCUGGUGCUUCUGUCUCUGAUCGAGAUCUUAUCGCCGCCACACUACAUGGCUUGCCUGAUGAAUUUGAGUCUUUCAUCGACUGUAUCAUGCUCCGAUUGUCCUCUACCUCUCUUGAUGAACUUCAUGGCCUCCUUCUCACAAAGGAAUUGUCUAUGGCCAGACGCAAAAACUGUCAGUUCAUCUUCCUGUCCCUGAAUCUUUUCAGGCUUUCUCGGUGCAGUCUCAGCCUCAUCUCCUUCCUACUCCAUCUGCUUUUGCUGCUCAGAAUCUCCCUCUUCAAUCUGCAUCUCGGUUCAACUCUAAUCGUGGCAGGAACACUAAGGGCCAGUUCUUUUCCAAUCGAGGUCAUCGAGGUAAUCGUGGUAAUUUUCCUAAUAACCGUGGCAAUCGAGGUUAUCAAGGAUUUCGCAGCAAUCAAGGCUCUUCUCACUUCAAAGUGCUUUGUCAAAUCUGUGGUUCUACCAGUCAUGAGGCUAUUGACUGCUUUGAUCGUAUGAAUCCUGACAUCUGUGGUCGUAUUCCUCCAGCUAAGCUUGCUGCCAUGUGUGCACAACAUUCUGCUAAACCAUCUCAGCCUUGGUUAAUUGAUUCAGGGGCAACCUCUCAUAUCACUAAUGAUGUUGCUAACCUCACCUCUCCUACUCCCUACACUGGCGAGGAUAAAGUGUAUAUUGGAGAUGGUAAAGGUUUAUCCAUCCUCAAUGUUGGUUCAUCUACUCUGCACACCUCUCAUAAUUCUUUUCAAUUGCGAAAUGUUUUACAUGUUCCCCACAUAACCCAUAAUCUCUUAUCUGCUUAUCAGUUUGUUAAUGAUAAUAAUUGUUCAUUGACACUUGACCCUUAUGGAUCCUAUGUCAAGGAUCGUAUUUCGGGGAAGAUGCUUUUACGGGGACCGGUUAGAGAUGGCUUCUAUCCUCUUCAAAGUUCCAGCAAUCUUCAUCCUCUUUCACAUACCGCUUUACUUAGUAUUAAAGCUCCAGUUACAAUUUGGCACAAGCGUUUGGGUCACCCUUCCUCCUCCAUUUUUAGAAGGCUCCUUUCAUCCAAUAAUCUUGCUUUACAAGGCAAGUCUACUGUGGACUUUUUCUGUUCGGAUUGUGCUCUUGCCAAGAAUCAUAAGCUUCCAUUUAAAGCUGCUACUUCAUCAUCAACUCACAGCCUUCAACUACUGCACUGUGAUCUGUGGGGACCUGCCUCAAUCACAUCAAGUAGUGGUUUUCAAUAUUUAUUUGCUCAUUGUUGAUGACUAUAGCAAAUAUAGUUGGUUCUUUCCUUUGAAAUCUAAGUCAGAUGUAUUUUCUACAUUUGUUGUCUUCAAAUCAUAUGUAGAAAAUUCACUUGGAAAUAAAAUAAAGGUUCUGCGUUCAGAUUCAGGGGGUGAAUUUACUAGUCACUCUUUUGCAUCAUAUCUCAGCAAACAUGGCAUUCUUCAUCAGUUCAGUUGUCCCCACACCCCUGAGCAAAAUGGUUGUGCAGAAAGAAAGCACAGGCACCUUGUUGAAACAGCUCGCACUUUGCUUCUUGCAUCUCAUGUCCCUCAUAUUUUCUGGGUUGAAGCAUUCUCCACUGCUAUCUAUCUUAUUAAUCGCCUUCCUAUUUCUGGCAUUUCACAGUCCCCUUGGCAGUUGCUAUUUCACAACCAUCCAGACUACUCUAAGCUCAAAGUAUUUGGUUGCCAAUGCUUUCCUUGGCUCAAACCUUACUUUCAUAGCAAAUUGGAUCCCAAGAGCAAAAAGUGUGUUUUCUUGGGGUAUAGUCUUCAACACAAAGGCUAUAGGUGCCUUGAUCCUAUCACCAAUCGCAUCUACAUCUCUCGUCAUGUUGUAUUCGAUGAAAGUACUUAUCCAUUUCAGUUGUCCCACAUUCAACACUCUUUUCCUGUUCCAAGUCCUCCAUCUUCCUCACCAACAAUUUCUUCCUCUCUGGAUCUUCAUUUUAGCAAACACAUUCCUCCUGUUUUCAGUCAGCCAUCUACAUCACCAUUAUGUGCUUCUGUGCCUGUUCCUAUUUCUUCAUCUUCAUCUUCCCCUGCACCUGUCUCAGUUGGCUCUUCUUCCAGUUUUGUUCCUCCUUCAGCACAUUCAUCUUUCUCCCAAAAUCAACAGAGUCAUCCUCCUGCCCCUGUUAAUUCUCAUCCAAUGAUUACUAGAUCCAAGGCUGGUAUACUCACGUCGAGAGCCUGUGCAGCAACUAAGCACCCACUUCCGGUUGAUAUGGAUUAUGUUCCUACAACAUACUUUGCAAGCUUCUAAAGCAUGCUCAUUGGAGGCAAGCUAUGCAAGAUGAAUUUAAUGCCUUGCUAACCACUGGUUACUUGGUCUCUUGUUCCUUCUCACCAUUCUCAAAACUUAGUGGGCUGCAAGUGGGUUUUCCGGAUUAAGAAGAAGCCCGAUGGCACUGUUGACAGAUAUAAAGCCCGGCUUGUGGCCAAGGGUUUUCAUCAACAAGAAGGUAUUGACUUUCAAGAAAACCUUCAGUCCAGUUGCCAAACCGGUUACAAUUCGGAUCCUUCUUACCCUUGCUGUGCAAUAUAAUUGGUUUCUCAAUCAAUUGGACAUUAGUAAUGCCUUUCUUCAUGGAGACUUAAAGGAGGAUGUCUACAUGCAACAACCCCCUGGUUUUGUUGAUCCCUUACACCCUACAUCUGUUUGUAAGUUGAGGAAAUCGUUGUAUGGUCUCAAACAAGCUCCUCGAGCUUGGUUUGAUAAACUGUUCCAAGCUCUUCACUCUCUUGGAUUCACCCAAUCAUCCUCAGAUGCUUCUUUAUUUGUUCUCAAUGGUCCUCAGUUUAGUCAUUGUCCUUGUCUAUGUUGAUGACAUUCUUGUCACCGGACCCUAUCCUUACCUCUGUCAACACUUCAUUCAGCAACUUGGGGCUCAAUUUCCAGUAAAAGACCUUGGUCCUCUUCAUUAUUUCUUGGGAUUAGAAGUACAUCGAUCUUCCCAGGGUAUAUUUCUCCAUCAAACAAAGUACUUAUUGGAUCUUCUCAAGAAAACAAAUAUGGAGGGUGCAAAACCUUGUUGUACUCCCCUUGGCUCUAAGAAAUUAGAUCACAGUGGCCCUCUUCUGUCCAAUCCUACUGAAUAUCGCUCCAUUGUUGGUGGUUUACAAUAUCUUACUUGGACUAGACCCGACCUUUGCUUUUGCUGUGAACCAAAUCUGCCAAUUCAUGCAUGCUCCCAGGGAACAACAUCUCCAGGCAGCAAAAAGGGUUCUCAGAUUUCUCAAAGGCUCUAUCUCACAUGGUGUGUGGUUCACUAAAGGCCCUGUCCAUCUUUCUGCCUACUCGGAUGCCGACUGGGCUGGUUGCACAAUUGACAGGAGAUCAACCACUGGUUAUUGUGUAUUUUUGGGUUCCAAUCUUAUCAGCUGGAGUGCCAAGAAGCAAAGUACUGUUGCAAGGUCCUCUACAGAGGCUGAAUAUCGCUCCUUAGCUCACACAGCUGCUGAGAUAACUUGGGUUUGCAAGAUUCUCAAAGAUCUGCACUAUCCUCUCUCUACAUUCCCUACUCUUUGGUGUGACAACAUAUCAGCAAUAUCUUUAGCAUCUAAUCCUGUCUUUCAUGCUCGAACAAAGCAUGUUGAGAUCGAUUAUCACUAUAUUAGAGAAUUGGUUUUGGCUCAACUUCUCAAAGUCAAGUUCAUCUGCAGUGAAGACCAAUUAGCUGAUCUUCACACCAAGUCUCUGUCUAAAACCAGAUUUAAUUAUCUGUGUUCCAAGCUUCCCAUUGGUCUCAUUUCUGAUCCCCCUUCUCGCUUGAGGGGGUGUAUUAGGGAGAAUGACAAGUCAUCCAAGUCUGCUACUGUUAAUAAUUCUGUUACUGUAAAUUAACUGAUUGUAUUAGUUGUGAUUAGUUAAGAUAGUUAUAAAGUAGUUAGGGGUAUCUAUGUAAAUAGCCAAAGGCUAUAUAUAUUCCUACACAAUGUGUAAAGUUCUCAGUCAAGUAAAUACAAUCAAGAAAACUUACUGUUGAAGUUUUCUGUUUCUACAGGUUUUGGAUUGGAGGAGUUGACACAAAAUUAUAAAUAUAUUAAACAAAUUUAUCUAUUCUAAAGUUGGAGGGAAAUUGGCCUGUACAUUGCUACAGUAAUUUUUUUUUACCCAAUUUCACGUUAUUUACAACAAAGCUAUCAGAUUUGGGUUGGGUUGGAGGGUAAUUUGUUAAAAGUUAGGAGGGUAAUUUUGUGCAUAGGGUUUAGGUGCCCUCCUAUACAUGACCCUUGAUUUUACUUUAUUUACACCACUGCCAUCAAAUAUGUGGCUGAAUUGGAGGGUAUUAUUAAAAGUUAGGAGGGUAGUUUGUUCAAGGGGUGAGGGCGACAUUCGCAGACAGAGAGCGAUGGGAGCCAUGGCCAUUGCACAGAGAGAAAGGGAGUGAUGGGGGAAAUUACAGACAGAAAAGGAAGGGAUGGGGGGGAUUUGAUGGAUGGUCACAGAGAGAGAUUGGGUGAGGGAUGUGAGAGGAGAUUACAGAGAGAUAAAUAAAAGGGAGGGAUCGGGGGAUGUGAGGGAUGGUCAGGGAGAGAAAUAGUGAGGGAGGGAGGGAUGGGGGGGCUGAUUUUCGGUUCCUCCUUCCAGAUUUGUUCCGUAAAAACCUGUUGGGUAGAAUUCAAUUUCCUCCCCCUUUCCCCUGAACGAAAAAUUCGAAACCUACAACUCAAAACUCACUCAUUUGUCGUCCCUCCUUGGCUUUCCGCUUUACUCAUCUCCCGGUGGUUCUCUCUCCAUACGAUUCCAUUUCGGUGAGUUCUUCGUUGCCCUCAUGAUUUCCCACUUUUAUUUUUGGGGCGUCCUUAGUCGUCGUUUUUAUCUGGGUUUACUGCAUUGUUGCUUUUAGUUUCUGGAUUUUUAUUUUUUUGGCACUUGGAUGAAUCGUGGUUAAUAAUUUCACAUCAUGGGAUUUUCGCACUUCUGAUGGAAUUGAGCGCGGGGAUUCGGGGUGGGGUUUUACUGAUAAUUUGUCUUCAUUCAAACGAAGGGUUAAAAUUUAUGAGUAUUAACAAAUUUUGUAAAUUAUUCUUAUACAUUUUAUUGAGGGAUCUAAUCGAUUUCUUUCUGUAGUGGGAUUGAAAUUGGGGCUUUGUGGUACUCUCUCUCGCUCACUCUCUCUCCUAUGUGUAUGAAUUGAGUUCUGCAGUGAGUUUGCAGGUGGGCGCGUUCACUAACUAAGCUUUCAAGGGAACCGAUCAACGGUUUGCUUGCUGGGGGAAUUCGGAGACUACCAGUGUAUGAUUUAGUUAUCAUUAAUUUUUUUACUUAAUUUUAUCCAUAUAUAAUAUGUGGGUAAAUUUAGAGGUCGCACUUGGUGCGAUGGCAAGUUCCUUCGCCCAUGAGCGGUAGGUCUCGGGUUCGAGACUUGGGAGCAGCCUCUCCAUAAAUGGGGGUAAGGCUAGCCGACAUUUACCUCUCCCAGACCCUGCGUAAAGCGGGAGCCUUGUGCACUGGGUACGAUCUUUUAUAAUAUGUGGGUAAAUUUAUACUAAACAAUUGUGAUAAGCCAAUAUGCUAUACGACUUUGAAAGCAUUGAUUUUGUGUUUAGUUUGCAUUUUUGCAUUGUGAAUGUUGAAUUUUGUGUUUAAUUUGGAUUUUUGUGUUUGAAUUUGUAGCAUGAUCUUCCGCUGCAGCAUCCAAAUUUUGCAUUUGUAAAUUGUCAAAGAAAAACGAAGUAUGAGGAAAUUAUAGGAGAUUGUGUCGGCUUUGGCCAUGAAGGGUAUCAGCAGCUUGUUCCCCCAUACAGGUGAUUAAUCGCAGUCUGUUCUAUUUGGAUGAGAAAGUGAUUGAAAAAUAUGAUUUUUUAUUUGUUGGUUGAUUUUGUAUAACUCCGCCGUGUAAGUUUAUCUUACAUUGCCGGUCCCAAGCCCGGAUAAAGGAGGAGGGGGAGGGCGUCAGGUAGUCGACAGCUGGCACUCCAUGAUCACGUCGAAUCCUUAUGAAAAUGAAUCCAGAACGAAAUCGCGCUAAAGCUAGGGCGUCACCCAUAAGUGGCGCGCUGUGUGGCCCGAGCACAGUGAUAAGUGAGCAAGGGUCGUUGUAUCUCCAUCGGCACCCGGAUGCAGUGUUAAAUGAGCAAGGGGCUAUAGAAACUUCUUUUCGAACGACUCCACUCAAAGUUGUUUGGGAGCAUAUGCUCCUAUCAACUUUACACGGGACACACAAAAGAAGUACUUUGAUCCUAUUAGACGGGGAAGGGUGAAGAAGCUAGGACAGAAGGGUAGAGUUCAAGAGAGCAAAAUGCGUUUAGGAACGUGGAAUAUAGGAACCUUGAACGGGAAAAUCUAUGGAAGUAGUAGAAGUUAUGGUGAGGAGAAGGAUAAAUAUUAUGUGCCUACAAGAAACUAAGUGGGUUGGUCGUAAGGCAAAGGAUCUAGAAAACUCAGGGUUUAAACUAUGGUAUUCGGGCACAAAUAGAACGAGAAACGGUGUUGGCAUCAUCGUGGACAAGACCUUGACACAAGAUGUUGUAGAUGUCAAGAGGGUAGGAGAUAGAAUCAUGGCAAUCAAGAUUGUAAUAGGACAAGAACUUAUCAAUGUGAUUAGUGCGUACGCACCUCAAGUAGGGUUGGAUACGAGUUCGAAGGAGAAAUUUUGGGAAGACCUUGGAGACUUGGUGCAAGGAAUUGCUCAGACGGAGAAGUUAUUUAUAGGAGGAGAUUUAAAUGGACACGUGGGCAGGGAGACAGGCAACUAUGGAGGUUUUCAUGGUGGCCAUGGUUUUGGGGAGAGAAACGAGGAUGGGGAAGCUAUCUUGGAUUUUGCAAUGGCAUAUGAUCUCUUCUUAGCCAACACCUUCUUUAAGAAGAGAGAAGAACAUGUGAUCACCUACAAGAGUGGGUCGUCAAAAACACAAAUAGAUUUUCUUCUAAUGAGGAAAGGGGAUCGUAUAACUUGUAAGGAUUGCAAAGUUAUACCAGGAGAGAGCGUGGCUAAUCAACAUCGCUUGUUGGUGAUGGAUGUACAUAUCAAAAGAGUGAGAAAAAAGAACAAGACUUGGAAGUGCCCAAGGACUAGAUGGUGGAAUCUAAAAGAAGAAAAACAAGCCAUUUUCAAAGAGAAAGUAAUCACCCAGUGUGUGUGGGAUAGAGAGGGGGAAGCUAACCAAAUGUGGGAUUCCAUGGCUAGUUGUAUCCGAAAAGUAGCAAAAGAGGUAUUAGGAGAGUCCAAGGGCUUUGCCCCACACCAAAAGGAAUCUUGGUGGUGGAAUGAGGAGGUACAAACAAAGGUGAAGGCUAAGAAGGAAUGUUGUAAAGCCUUAUACAAGGAUAGGACCGAUGAAAAUGGUGAAAGGUAUAGAAAAGCGAAGCAAGAGGCGAAGAAAGCUGUGAGAGAAGCUAAGUUAGCGGCUUAUGACGAUAUGUAUAAGCGACUAGAUACCAAAGAAGGAGAGUUGGAUAUCUAUAAACUAGCUAGAGCAAGGGAAAAGAAGACAAGGGACCUAAACCAAGUGAGGUGCAUCAAGGAUGAGGAUGGAAAGGUUCUUGCUACAGAGAACGCGGUUAAAGACAGAUGGAAAGGUUAUUUUCAUAAUCUUUUCAAUGAAGGACAUGAAAGGAGUGCUUCUUUAGGGGAGUUGAGUAACUCAGAAGAGUGUAGAAACUACUCUUUUUAUCGUAGAAUCCGGAAGGAAGAAGUGGUUGUAGCUUUGAAGAAGAUGAAGCAUAGAAAAGCAGUAGGCCCAGACGAUAUACCAAUCGAAGUGUGGAAAGUUUUGGGAGAGACAGGUAUAACAUGGCUCACUGACCUUUUCAAUAGGAUUUUGAAAACGAAGAAGAUGCCAAAUGAGUGGCGAACGAGCACUUUGGUGCCUAUCUACAAGAAUAAGGGCGAUGUACAAAAUUGCAUGAACUAUAGGGGUAUUAAGCUAAUGAGUCAUACAAUGAAGCUCUGGGAGAGAGUCAUUGAGCAUAGAUUGAGGCAAGAGACACGGGUUUCGGACAACCAAUUCGGGUUCAUGCCAGGGCGCUCAACCAUGGAGGCAAUCUAUCUCUUACGAAGAUUGAUGGAAAGAUAUAGAGAUGGGAAAAAGGAUUUACACAUGGUCUUUAUAGAUUUGGAAAAAGCGUAUGAUAGGGUCCCAAGAGACAUUCUUUGGAGGAUUUUAGAGAAGAAAGGAGUACGAGUAGCAUAUAUCCAAGCUAUACAGGAUAUGUAUGAAGGAGCAAAGACUGCCGUAAGAACUCAUGAAGGACAAACCGAAAGCUUUCCCAUAACUGUAGGAUUACAUCAAGGCUCAUCCUUAAGUCCUUACCUUUUUGCGUUGGUAAUGGAUGAGUUAACAGGACAUAUUCAAGAUGAUAUUCCUUGGUGUAUGCUUUUCGCAGACGAUAUAGUGUUGAUAGAUGAAACUCAGGAAGGGGUAAAUGCAAAGCUUAACCUUUGGAGAGAAGUGUUGGAAUCUAAAGGUCUUCGCCUAAGCCGAUCAAAGACAGAAUAUAUGGAGUGCAAGUUCAGUGCAAAUGGAGGCCAAAACGAGUUAGGGGUGAGGAUCGGAGAUCAAGAAAAUACCAAAGAGCGACCGUUUUCGUUACCUAGGAUCUAUCUUGCAAAAGAACGGAGAAUUAGAUGGAGAUCUCAACCAUAGAAUACAAGCUGGAUGGAUGAAGUGGAAGAGUGCAUCCGGCGUGUUGUGUGACCGCCGUAUGCCACUGAAGCUCAAGGGAAAAUUUUAUAGGACGGCAAUAAGGCCGGCGAUGCUGUAUGGCACAGAAUGUUGGGCGGUGAAGCAUCAACACGUACACAAAAUGGGUGUAGCGGAGAUGAGGAUGCUUCGUUGGAUGUGUGGGCACACGAGAAAGGAUAAGAUUAGGAAUGAGGAUAUCCGGGGUAAAGUAGGAGUAGCCGAAAUUGAAGGAAAGAUGAGAGAAAAUCGGUUACGGUGGUUUGGACAUGUGCAAAGAAGGCCUACUGACGCUCCGAUUAGAAGAUGCGACUAUGGGACAGAGGUUCAGGGCCGAAGGGGUAGAGGAAGACCUAGGAAAACUUUGGAAGAGACCCUAAGAAAAGACUUAGAGUACUUGGAUCUAACGGAGGACAUGACACAGGACAGAACACAAUGGCGUUCUAAGAUUCAUAUAGCCGAUCCCACUCAGUGACUUGGAUUUUCCAAGUCUCCAACCGAGAAGUUUUCCUCACUCGGGAAAUUAAGGGAACACUACCUCAACCUACAUGCUCCACUCACAAAGCUUCAACAUACAAGCUUCAACAAAAGAAAAUUCAAAGAACUUAGCGAAGAAGGCUUUGGUGUAUUUAACACAAUACGUUGAAAUGAAGGAAAGCUUAUUUAUUGAUAUCCCCGAUAAGUUACAAAUAUGUACAUAUACUUGAGUCAAAAUAAACAAACAAGAGGGAGCCUUCACAAAGGUUGCUUAGGAGAAGUCUCAGCAGUCGGUAGAGCCCCAGAAAGAGAAGGCACCGGAGGGGGAUCAUUCGGAGCCUCAGUACUGGACAGAACCCUAGAAGGAGGAGGCAUCAGAGGUUGAUCAUUUGGAGCUUCAUUACGCGGUACAGCCCCAGAAGACGAAGGCAAUAAAUGCCUUUGGAACAAACCCACAAAUCUCUGAUGAUCAAGUAAAACCUGACCAUCAGAUUCCUUCAUCUGGUCAAGCUUCCUCUUCAUGUUUGUAGCAUAGUCAUGUGCGAGCCGGUGCAACUGUUUAUUCUCAUGCUUGAGCCCUCUAAUCUCCUGUUUGAGACUCAUCACUUCAGCCGCCAAUGAUUCAACUUGGCGGGUUCGAGCAAAUAGGCGUUGGGCCAUAUUAGACACAGAACCUGCACACUGAACACUGAGAGCCAGAGAAUCCUUAACAGCCAACUCAUCAGACCGUUUGGAAAGUAGUCUGUUAUCUUUGGGAGUGAGAAGGUUCCUGGCCACUACCGCAGCGGUCAUAUCAUUCUUCAUCACGGAAUCCCCAACGGUAAGAGGACCAGUAGGGGAGACGAAGGAUGGGCGCCAUAUGUUGUCUGGAGAAGGCGGGGCUGCCUCUUCAACAAGGUUCAAGUCAAAACGACGGUCGGAGGGGCCAGACAUUUUCAAAGGUGUUGAAGAGAGAAGAGGUCGGACAAAUCAAGAUCUUAGAAGUGCAAGAAUGGAGCUUCUACUGGUGGAUAUUCAAGUGUGCUUUGGAACUUAAUGUCAGCCCCUAUAAAAAUCUGCACUCGACGAAGCUUCAGAAAUCGAAGAGGCGCCUGCUCAGAAAUCGAAGAGGCGUUUGCUUUCUCAAAAGCUGGGCUGCUCAGAGACCACGAGGGUCGAUCUCAGAAAUCGAAGAGGCGUUUGCUUUCUCAAAAGCUGGGCUGCUCAAAGACCACGAAGGCCGAUCUCAGAAAUCGAAGAGGCUUGCUUUCUCAAAAGCUGGGCUGCUCAGAGACCACGAGGGCCGAUCUCAGAAAUCGAAGAGGCACCUACUUUUCCAGCCUUGUCAGCACCUGUCACACGCACACUCAGCUUUGCGGAAAUUAUGGGCAUUCUGUCGAAGAUUUCUGGCGAAGUAGAAAGCACAUGAAUCGUACUGUUCAAUCACCCACUUCCCACACGCAACAGUAGCUCAUGGGUACCACAGAUAACUUUGCCAAAGUUCUCUGACAAAGUUGAGACACGUGAAGCUUGCAGCUCCCACUACAUCGCUCUGACCAAGAAGGGUAAAAGAAUUAGCAAAGAAACAACACUAACAAAGUUUAGACACAUAAAUUUUGAAGGUCUAGCUACCAUAUUAUUACCCACAAGGGUAAAGGAACAGUACCACUGCUGGAUAAUUGGAAAGUCCCGGUGUGUCAACCUCUGUGCUUCGUGGCAAGGUAGACUAGCAAACAUGCCCAACCUUUACUCACAUUCGAGAAAACACUCCCAACAAGAUUGCUUGCUCCAAAAUCGAAGAGGCACCGCCCUCCGAAUCUCGAGAGCCAGACUCCCAACAUGAUUACUUUCUCAAAAAUCGAAGAGAGGGUAAAGGAACAGUACCACUGCUGGAUAAUUGGAAAGUCCCUGUGUGUCAACCUCUGUGCUUCGUGGCAAGGUAGACUAGCAAACAUGCCCAACCUUUACUCACAUUCGAGAAAACACUCCCAACAAGAUUGCUUGCUCCAAAAUCGAAGAGGCACCGCCCCUCCGAAUCUCGAGAGCCAGACUCCCAACAUGAUUACUUUCUCAAAAAUCGAAGAGAGGGUAAAGGAACAGUACCACUGCUGGAUAAUUGGAAAGUCCCUGUGUGUCAACCUCUGUGCUUCGUGGCAAGGUAGACUAGCAAACAUGCCCAACCUUUACUCACAUUCGAGAAAACACUCCCAACAAGAUUGCUUGCUCCAAAAUCGAAGAGGCACCGCCCUCCGAAUCUCGAGAGCCAGACUCCCAACAUGAUUACUUUCUCAAAAAAUCGAAGAGACACCGCUCUCCGAAUCUCGAGAGCCAGACCCCCAGCAGGAUUGCUUUCUCAAAAAUCGAAGAGGCAUCGUUCUCCGAAUCUCGAGAGCCAGAUCCCCGACAGGAUUGCUUGUUCGAAAACCGAAGAGGCACCACUUUCCCAACUUCAAGAGCUGGAUCUCCUUGGAUAAAGCUUGUCUGUAAUCUUCACACGCAACAUCAGCUUUCCAGAUACCACAGACCACUUUUUCAAAGUGCUCUGACAGAGUUAAAACAUGUGAAGCUGGCAGCUCCCACUACCGUGCUAUGACCAAGCAGGGUAAAGGAAUAGCAUUAUUACUUGAUGUUAGGGAGACUCCUAUAUAUGUCGACCUCCAUCCCCAACGGACAGGCAGACCUGCAAAAAUGCUCAACCCUUCCUCUUAUCUGAGAGGGCACUCCCAACGAAGCCUUUCGAAAUAUUCAGCUUUCUUUCCCCCCGAUAAUACCUCUGUAAACAAGCUAUACUAGAGCAAGAAUAUCUCAUAUCAUCAGGGUUAAAAGCAAGAGUAUCCCAUAUCAUGCUUUUUCCCUGUCUUUUCCUUUGGCCUUGUUCUUACCUGCAAGACAAGGAGAAAGAGAGCAAUCAGUCAGCACUUGGAAUCAAGCUUCCAGCCAGGAACUGACUGCCUGGAACCCCUUACCUGAUUACUUACCUGGCAUUGCUCUCGAGUACUCAUCUUCAACAUCUUAUGCUUCCAGGGAAGAUACCGCAUCUGCCUGAGGAACAGAUAGGGCAAGUGAGAAGGAUACAAGGAAGCAUGUGGAGACAAGCGUAACAGCACACGUGCCGAUACAUCCAUUACUCUGUCAAAAGCAAAAGUAUCCCAUAUCAGCAGGGUCGAACGUACUCUAGAUUUGAUGGACUUGUUUUGACCCUCAAAUUCUUCAGUCGGCCUUAUACUCUGGAGGAAACCAGAAAACCCUCCAGCCCAGUUCAAGAAUAAGCCUGUGGAAAGUUACUUCUUCAAAAGCAAAAGUAUCCCAUAUCAUCUCUUCUCAUUUUUCUUCUCUUUAUCCUUCAUGCUGCCUGCAAGAUAGGGAGAAUGUGAACAAUCAGCCGGAGCUCUGAUUGCUUACCUUGUCUGUCACCUCUUUCAGCAGAUCCCCUAGCUCGGCGACUUGGGGGACUCCUACUACAUGGUUUGUAUCGCGCUUGACCAAGCCUGAAACUACAAGUAAGCUUCAAGUGACAAUUGAUACAUUACCUUGUGCAUCUCCACCAGUUACAGAUACCACCCCUGGAUGGAGGAAGAGUACUUCCAGAGAAGAUGCCACAUCUACCUAUGAGACAGAUAAGGAAAGUCAAGACGAUACCACACUCCGGUACUUAGAAGUUUCGUGGUUACGAGAUCAUUCUCCCACAAUAUUUCCUAAUGUCAUUUGUACUAAAUCAUUCACUUGUACUCACUAAAGGAGAGCUUGAACCUAUGUACUUGUGUAAACCCUUCACAAUUAAUGAGAACUCCUCUAUUCCGUGGACGUAGCCAAUCUGGGUGAACCACGUACAUCUUGUGUUUGCUUUCCUAUCUCUAUCCAUUUAUAUACUUAUCCACACACUAAUGACCGGAGCAAUCUAGCGAAGAUCACAAAAAAGUGACCGUUUUCGCUACCUAGGAUCUAUCUUGCAAGAGAACGGAGAAUUAGAUGGAGAUCUCAACCAUAGAAUACAAGCUGGAUGGAUGAAGUGUAAGAGUGCAUCCGGCGUGUUGUGUGACCGUCGUAGGCCACUGAAGCUCAAGGGAAAAUUUUAUAGGACGGCAAUAAGGCCAGCGAUGUUGUAUGGCACAGAAUGUUGGGCGGUGAAGCAUCAACACGUACACAAAAUGGGUGUAGCGGAGAUGAGGAUGCUUCGUGGGAUGUAUGGGCACACGAGAAAUGAUAAGAUUGGGAAUGAGGAUAUCCGAGGUAAAGUAGGAGUAGCCAAAAUUGAAGGAAAUAUGAGAGAAAAUCGGUUCUGGUGGUUUGGACAUAUGCAAAGAAGGCCUACUGACGCUCCGGUUCGAAAAUGUGACUACUGGACAGAGGUUCAGGACCGAAGGGGUAGAGGAAGACCUAGAAAAACUUUGGAAGAGACCCUAAGAAAAGACUUGAGUACUUGGAUCUAACGGAGGACAUGACACAAAACCGAGCGCAAUGGCGUUCUAGGAUUCAUAUAGCCGACCCCACUUAGUGGGAAAAGGCUUUGUUGUUGUUGUUGUUGGUUGAUUUUGUAUGGACGAUGUAUUAAUUUUUUUUUUUUUUUGGGAUUUUGUGUAUUGGGUAUUGUGUAGAACCAGCAAUGCAGGAUCUGAUCAGUCACGCCCGAAAAGGGGUUUGUUUCUCAAAUCACAUUAAUUAAUUAGAUUAUUAAUGUGCGUUGGAAGGCUCUUCAAUAUGAUUUCUAAUUUCUCCUUUCCAGCAUUCUCUUUUUGGUUUUUGGAGUAUGUAUGUGAUUUGUAUUUGAUUAUAGAAUAAAAAUUAAUAAAACACGAGAUGCAGCAAUUAAUUUGCAUCCUUAUGACAACACAUAUAUGAAAGUGCAUUCAAUUUCAAUGUGCGAAUGUGUGACAGGACAGGAUGUGCCUGCCUGCUGGUGGUGGUAUGCUUGCUGUUGUUUCUUGCGUUGUUAAUUUUUUGUGUGUUGAUUUGAUUAACAAUUCAAGCGUAUCUUAUUUUUUUUGUGUUGGUUAGCAGCCAGUUUUAUGGCCCCGAUCUAGUGAUGCUUCUCAGUGACUGGUAAUUGCAGUUCAUUGCCACCAGUUGGUCAGCUACCUGCUCUGAAAGAGCUCUACGUAGAAGGGAUGAAAGUUGUUAAGAGUGUUGGUGUUGAGUUGUACGGGGGAAAUCAACCAUUUCAAUGUUUAGAGAAGGUAAAGUUUCGGGAGAUGCCAGAGUGGGAGGAAUGGCAGCCUAGUCCAAGUGGAUGUGAAAGUCCAGACUUUCCUCAUCUUAAGGAGCUGAGGUUAUCCGAAUGUCCGAAGCUGAGAGGAAACUUGCCCACUCAUCUUCCCUCCUUGAAAACACUUUAUGUGAACAAGUGUGAGGUUCUACAUAAAAACAGGGCCAGUAAUACCCUGAACGUGGAAUCCUUACGAGGAUCUCUUGAAAAACUGACAAUAAAUGGAUGCCCGGGUCUCUCAUUGUUACUAGAGUCGAUGGAGACGCUGCCGUCGCUUCAGAAGCUUGAUAUUGAUAGUGUUGGUGGGAAAGAGUUGUUGGUGCAAAUGGUGCACAACAGCAAUCGUCUUCAAAGUUUUGACUUUAUAUAAAUGUUCCUCACCCUUGUCGUUCCCUACAAAUGGUCUGCCCACCACGCUGACGUCACCGAGCAUAACAGAUUGCAAGAAAUUAGAAUUCCUAUCACGUGAGAUGAUGGCCAAAUUGACUUCCCUUCAGUCUUUGCGUCUAUCCAACAGCUGUGAAUGCAAAGGCUUGAGUAAUUUUUGUGAGUCUGCUGUUUGGUUUUUUUUUCUUCAUUUUAGAGAUUUUUCUACUGUUUGGUUUUUGGGUUUUGUCUAAUUUUUGUGGUCUGCUUUAUAGAUUGUUCUCUUUGGAAGCUUCUUUCCAGCCUUGACCUUCUUCUUGCCUGGUGCCUUCUCAUUGAGUAUUGGAGGAGCAUUAAAACACAGGUGUGUGUGUUUUGUCGAUGUAAGAGAUGAACGACAUAAAAACAUCCGUCUUUGUAUUUUUUUGUGCUUUUUCUAACCCAUCAAUUUCUUUUGAGUCAACCAAAUAGUCCCAAAUUGCAACUUAUGUUGUGAGGUAUUAUUGUCUAAAAUUAAGUAUGCAUGUAUAUUUUAUGUUUGUGCGCGCGCACACCUCCGCAUGGUGUUAAUCUCUGUGGGUCAUCUAUGUAUAUGUAGACAUAUCUAUAUGUGUAUGUGUGGAAUGCAACAUAUCGGAUUUAGGUUAUACUGUGCAUAGUUUUAUUGCCUGUUAUUAUCUACGAUAUCACUAUGCCAUUUCUAUGCAGGCUCUGAAAGUUAUCCAUGAGCUUUAUAAGCACUUACCAUAAUUUAAGCAGUCUGUUUUGGGUUCUUUUUCAUUAGGUCAUUAGCUACAGAUUAAUGGAGAAACGAGGACCAUGCAACUGAUUUGGGUUCUUUUUCUAAUUUUCUGAUUUUGGGGUUUUGCAGGGAGUACUGAUGUACUGAUUUUCUGGGAUUUUUUUUGUCCUUGCAGGAUUUUUGGUCUUUGGAAUGGGUAUGUGUUGUUUUUAACGUUUCAGUUCUAGCUUGUUCCGUUCUUCGUUGCUUCGUGAUUCUCAUUUUUUAGUGUUGGGUGAUGGAAAUUUGUUCAAGUAGUUGGUAGUUUUUUUAGAAAGUUGGCAUUUUUAGUUAUAUUUUCUGUUUAAUCCUAAAUGUUAGACUGGAAAAUCAUUGAAAUGACGGUUUUUUAAAAACUCAUAAUUUUUUUGUUCUGGGAGUUAAAAGCAUCUUUUCCAGAUUGGUUAUAAGGGUUAUGUUCUCUUCAAUUGGUUCACCUAAUUUUGAUUAGUUUUAAGUUUUGUCCUUUUAAGUUUUGUCUUUUAAGUUUUGUUCUUUAAGUUGUCUUUUAAGUUUGUUCUCUAAGUUUUGUCUUUUAAGUUUUAUCUUCUGUGCUGUAAUGAGAGAUUUCUGUUGGCCUUUCGGAUUUUGGCAUGGGAAAGUUCACUUAUUUGUCUAAUUAGAUUGUGUAUGCCUUCGAUUCUUUAUUUAAUUGUUCUGUUUGUGUUCAGGUGUGAUGAUCUAAAUUUCAUAUGUUUGGAAUUAUUCACUUAACACCAAUUUGUUACAUUCAGAUCUCCACCCCACAUUUCACUAGUUCAAAUUCCAUAGAAGUCGGUUACUGCAGAUUGCGUCUACAAUUAGAUCAGAGAUCAACUGCUCUUUUGUUAUCCUGCAGAAGAUUGCUUUUGGGAAGGAUCUGAAGUAGUUUCUUUCUGUAAGUUUAUUCCCAUGUAGCUCUGUCUUUUCUAAUUGAUGGUGUUGAUAUUACACUGUAAUUCAUGAUGAUGAUUUAAUUGUUUAUUGAUUUGUAAUUGUUUGUGAAUAAUGUGGCAUAUAUGACUUGCAAUAUGUGUUUGUAUGAAAGGGAUGACAUAUUAUGUUGCUGACUUAAUUGUUUAUGUUUUUCAUAUUUGCGAAUGGUGUUAUGAUCAAUUAGGUGAUUGCUGACCUGUGACUUUGUUUGGAGCUCAAAUUUUGUGAGCAUUACAUUGGAUUGUUUUGAUGUUGUUUUGGUUGACAAUGCAGGGAUAGGAGAAACAAAGAGGAUGACACUUAUAACUGCCCUUCCCCAUCGGCCGUCUUCAAAUUUGGAUCACAAGAAGGGAGCAACAUAGGUGUUUUCCUUCUUCAUUUAGAUAUGGUUAGUGUAAAUAAUUGGACAAAAGAGCCAAACAAACCCUGUUCUCUCAAAUGGAGUCGAUGAUGUGGUCGAUGGCCACCAGCCCCAACUCAAGAGUUUGGCCUUCAUAUAAUUGGAUUGUAGUAUAAUUUUAUUUUGGUUCAUUUCUUUUUUCCUUUAUAUAAGUGCAGGUGUUGUGAUGUUUUGAAUAAAGGGUGAUGAAAGGUGGUUCACACACUUCCUCCUUACUUAAAGCAAGUGGAGAUGAUGGGUUGUAUAAAAAGAAAAACUUGCCAGGUACUUCGAUUUUCUAUUUUAUUAAUUAUUGUUUGGUUUUCCAAAUGUUGUAUUCACAAAGAGAGACCAAUGAUGUCUUUGAGAAACAAGUUUCUUUGUCUACAUUGCGAGAAUUUGCAGUUUGCAACUUUCAUUGGUUAUUAUAUUUGAUUGAGUUAAACUUGGAUUUCUGGAUUUUGACUUUUUCGUUUGUUUCUUUGUUGUAGAGUUGGCUUCAUUUCAUUCCAGUAACUCUAUUCCAGUAACUCUCUAAAAUAGGGCCAAGAACUCACUAAAUAGGUAGUCAAGAGGAAUUCAGUUUUGCCUUCAAUUUUUGCCUUCUGUUUACAUUCUUCCUGGAUGCACUCUCACCGCUUCUCUCGCUUACCACUUUUGUCUCACUCACCGCUUCAUCUCUUCUGUUGCUUACAAGGUCGUGUCAUAUAUUUUUUUAAUUUUUGUGUGUUUAAUUUAUUGAAUAUUUGAAAAAAGAGAUAAAAUUUUCAAUUUACAAUUACUGAUAUGAUGUUUGUUUUGAAAAUCAUUAAGGUGAAUGGAGAGAUUUACAACCAUGAAGAGCUGAGGAGCCGUUUGCCAAAUCAGAUUUAUAAGGUCUCAUCAAUUAUAAAUAAACGACUUUUCAUUCCCAAUGACCUUUAUCGUUUUUCUUAAUGGGUUAGCUGAACAUGAGGUAGAUGCUGACUUUAUAAAAUAUGAGAAUGUUUUAGGAUUUCAUUCUAAUUUUUUGGCUGUUUGAUUACUUUGCUUUUCGUAAUUUGUUUUGCUUAUCGUCAAUUGGAUGGGACAACAUAUUUUUGUAACCAGUUUGUACUUUUUUUUUUUGUGGAAACUAACCAGUAUGUACUUUUACCAUCUCGGUUUUGAUGGAAUUGGAGCUUUCAGUAAUGGGUUCUGAGGGAAUUGGAGUUUUGAGUAAUGGGUUUUUUAACAACUAUAGUAUCAUUUGUGAUUCUUUUAUUUAUAAGAUAUUAUAUAGGAAACUGUUAUUAGCACUCUAAUAAUCUUAUUCUACACUCGCGACAAGUGUAUUUUUCUUUCUAAUUAUGGAAAGUUUGGAGUGCAAAAUGAGAAUUUUGGAGUGCCAAUAACAAUUCCCUAUUAUAUAUAGCUCUACUAAGAAGGCGACUGUAUAUGUCUUCAUCCUGUUAAAUUGUAUAUGGCUCUUGAUGUCGGCUGAAUUAAAUCAAAAUGAAAACCAAGCUGCUGAUCUUACCAGCCCAUAUCACUUAUCACUUAUUUAAAUUAUUUGAAGAUGCAUACGUGGAUUGGUGAUUUUGUUGGAUUCACUUAGCUCAAAUAUAUGUUAUCUGAGUCGCUACAUUUGAGAAUGUGAUUCUGUUCCUACCACCAUUUUGCCCACUUUUUGUGGAAAUUAUUCAUUCCUGUUGUGAAUAAUAUCCCCGGCAGCGAAGUGCGGGCGCAUUUUCUAGUUUAAGUUAAAUCACACAAUGGGUCAUCAAUAAUGACAAACUCGUCAUUUAUGCGAGUCAAACAUGAGACCACCUACCUACUAGUUUAGUGGAAUACCACAAGUGACAUGUUGAUACCUUUAAAUCUCAUAUAAUGGAUUGCAGAAUUAGGAUAUACCUAGUCUAAUUUAGUCAGUGCGUGAACCCGAACAAUUAACCAGGGUUUUAUUCUUGCUUGAAUGUUUGUAAUAUGUUCCUAGUUUGACAAGGCAAUUAUAUUUCCGACUACAAAAGUUAUUAAUUUAGUCGAGAAUUGACGCACCUGAAAUGGUGUGAGGAAAACAUGUAGACACAUCAGACGCGGUCCAUCCUGAGCAUUGUGUAUUAAGGAUAAAGCUCAAAGCCAUACAUGAGGGCAUUGUGUAUGUCUUUAUAAGAGAAGUUGCUGUAGUCCUCAACGUGGCCGGCAGCCAAACUCAUCCACUCUACACUGCAACCCUCAUCCAAAUCCCAUGCUUCCAACCUGCCCCCGACAUAGUCAUCGACCAUGACAUAGCUAUACGUUUUUGGUUGACUCGAAGAAGAAGAAGAAGAAGAAGUAUUAUUCAAGCAUGGAGCAGUGUCCACGUACAGAGAAGAAUUCGAUGGAUUCGAACACUUCAAGUAAUAUAUAGAUAGAGAAUUGAUGUCAUAGGUGGGCCAAUAUAGAGAAUCGAUGUCCUCGAUGGGCGGAAUAUUUUGAGACAUGGAAGAGCAAUUGUUGUUGUCAAGCCCAGGAUCUAGAAGUCGGAUUGUUUUGUUAAUGUAGUUGAUUGCCUGGACAUAGUAUUUUCCGGAAGAAGGUAGGUCUAGUACUGUAAUGUUGCUCUCACAGGACAGAGUAAACCUUACGUCGCCACAGUACUUUGGAUCAUCGUUCAGUCGAAAAGGAUGGCUUAUGUUGUGGAUAUGGCCGCAGGAUGAAGUGCAGGACUUGGCACUACUGUUGUCAGCGUUACAAGUUUCACUGCAAAAGCAAAGAAGAAGAAAGGCUAAACUUAAGGUGAAGGACCUGGUUCCACUGAUUUCCAUUGCUCUGAGAGAGAGAGAGAGAGAGAGAGGGCACUAUAGCUUAAACACCAAGGAGUUAUAUAAUAUGGGAGGGGUUAAAGCACCUCGCUUAAAGUUGCAGUAAGCCCGUCAAAUAUCCUAGGGAAAAGUCGGUCAAUGCUGUCCUAUAGAGAAAAGUCGGCCUUGAUGUUUGACACGGUCACACUCUCUCUCUCUCUCUCUCUCUCUCUCAUUGACGAGGGACACUGUAAUUGAAAAAAAAAAUUGUUAUUCAGAGAUAGAUCUUGAAAUUCUUAUUUUAUAUAAAAAAAAGGGGUAUUUAGAUUUUAGGACCUAUAUAAGAUAAUUUUUAGAUUAUAAGGUUUCAAAAUCUUAUUUUAGUCCCUAAUUUAAUAUUCAUCGCCACAUCAUAUUAUAAGAUACCUCUAUUACCUACCAUAUUUACAAACUUUGCCAUUUAAAUUGUCAACCUAUUCUAUAAUUAAGGCUUAAAUAUAUUCCGUUAAUAAACCAUUCGUCAAUAAGAUAAAUCCAACUAUGGUAAAUUAUACUAAUUUAUACUUGCUGACAAACAAAUUAAGUCUAUAGUAAUUUUAGGUCAGUCACCUUAAGAAGUCGAAGAUGAAAAAAUCAAAUACAAAACAAUAGGUUAAAAAAAUUAAAUAAUAACCCUUAAUAUAUAUAUAUAUAUAUAUAUAUAUAUAUAUCACAAAAAAAAAGUAUAACAACUCCUUAUUGUCUAUAUAUAGGAAUUGCAUAAGUGUCGGUACAUAUGUGUAGGUACAUACAUGCACAUAGGUACGGAAGUAUCGGUAUGGAAGUGCCGGUACAUACGUACACAUAGGUACGAAAAUAUUGAUACGUUAGCAUCGGUACAAAAGUAUCGGUGCGGAAGUGUCGAUACUUAUGUACAUAUAUAUAGGUACGCAAAUAUUGAUACAUAAACAUCAAAAGAAAAAAUCGGUAGAUUCGAUGUAUGAGAAGGUAAAAAUAAAUCAUCAACACUAGAAAAAAAUGAUAAAAGUAAAUCAUGCACUAUUAGAUGCAUAAGAAGAAGAAAUAUUAGAUGUGGAUGGUGGCCCUAGCCCUCUCUUCUAACACGGUUGAAGAUAAUUUUUUGGGUUGGACAAAAAGUUUCAUUUUUAAGGAGAACCAUUUAUGUUAGCAAUAAAACUGAAAAGUUAUAAAUAAAAUAAAUAUAAGACAUUAUAAUUCACUCAAGGAUAAUAUAGGAAGAAAAAAAUUACAUAAAAGGAAUUAACUCUGACAUUAAAUAUAAAUGCUGACUUGGACAUAAGUCAAAGGACUAUAAUUAGUUUUUUAUCUUGGUUAAGGUUUUAGUCUAAAGAUAAUCUUUUUCAAGGAUUAAUAUCUAGUUUCCUAUAAAAAAAAACACCUAAUAUUAAUCAUUCAAAUGAAAUUGUUAAAAUUAAGUAUAAAUAAUACAUAAUGAAAACUGAACACAUACAAUCAACGGUCACGACCAUGAAAUCCUCCGGAUCCUCAGAAAAAAAUCCGACGAUGAUCUUUUUCUGUGUAAAAUAAUUUGAGGGUAUAAUACUGGAUGUGCGAUUAAACCGAAGAACCCACCCACCUCCAUCUUCUCUGACCAACUUGAACCCAGCCACUACUACAUGUCAUCCCGACAACCCACUCUCAGCUUCCCAAACCGCCAUUUUUCACCCAAUGGAACAUUUAAAGAAAAAAUCCAUCUGCAAAUCGAAAACCACCGAAAAAAAUUAAAUCAGAUACAUUGGAAAAAACGCAAAACUCAAUGGAACAACACUGGCGUGGAAGAGAAAAAAAGCAGAAGGUGAGAAUGGAGAGAAAGAAGCGAACGGAAAGAAAAAGCAAAGAAGAGGUUGGAAACGGAACAACAGAAGAACAAUAGAAGAACAGAAAUGGGUAUGGGAAACGGAACAACAGAACAAAAAGCAGGCGGUGUAUAGAGCAAGAAAAGCAAACCUCACGAUGACCAACACGUGCUAAGAGAGGCCCCGGUUCACUGUGUAUCACAUUUUUUAAUAUUUUUUUUGGUCUUCCCACCGGCUAUACAUGGGAUUCCAAAAUUAAGAAGGUAUAAAUUUUUAUUGUUUCUUGUGCCACAAACCAUGUGGCCCAGUCUUAAUCACAUUUUUUAAAUAUUUUUUUUGCUCUUCCCAUCAGCAGUACAUGGGUUAAAAAAAUUAGGAAAGUAUAAAUUUUUAUUGUUUGUUGUGUCACAAACCACGUUGCCCGGUUUUAAUCACAUUUUUUUAAUAUUUUUUUGUCUGCCCACCAGCUAGGUUUAAAGAAUUAAAAAAGGACUAAAAGAAAGACUCCACAGAUGGAGGAACAUGGGAAUAGAAAGGGCAAAUUUGGGAUUUUACUGUACAAAAAAGACAAAAAGUAACUGCUGAAGACUAACUUGAGGGGCAUUUUGGUCUGCACACUGCCCUAGAACAGUAACCAUCGGAUUGGGUUUUAGUAUAUAUAGAAUAUGUUUAGAUAAGGACAAUAAACUUAGAAUUUUGCCAAAAGUCAGAAUUUAUAAAUUGAUACAAUCAAUUCAUUUGUUUGGAUUCAUAAACAUAGAAAUUUAGACUUUCCGCGUGAGAAAAAACUUGGAAUUUGGGACCUUCAAUUCUCAUGUUUAAAUUUCAUGUAAAUAGGUGUCAUUUAUAAAUUUCAGUAAGUGAGAGUUUAAAAAUAACAAACAUGUAUUCAAAUUUCAUUCCUCCUUUGGUUAACCAAAAAAGAAAAUUUAUAAAUUCUAGAAAAUAAAAUUUCUUUAUUUUAAUUUCUGUUAUUUUAAAAUUCUUAGGGCUUGUUUGGUAUUCUACUUGAAUCCAACUUUUUAAACUAAAAAAUAAUUUUCAAGUUUUAGGCCUUAAAAACUUAUUUGGUAGAACUAUUUAAAAAAACUGAACUUAAGACUAACUAAAAAAUAUAAUAUAUUAUCUAAAAACACAAAAAAUGAGUUUUUAGAAUUUUUAAACUUAAAUUCACUCAUUUCUUUUCUCUCCCUCCUCCCCUCUCACUCCAAAUCUCUCUCUCUCUCUCUCUUUUCUUCUUUCUCUCUCCCCUUCUCUUUUUUUUAACCUUUUUUUGUCUCUCAUCUAAUCCGCUCUCUUCAUUUUCUCGGUUCUUUCUCUCACUCAUAUUCCUCUCUAUCUCCUCCAAUUCUCUCUCUUCAUUCUUUUUCAACCAAUAAUUUCUUACUUUUUUCCUCUUCUCUCCUCUUGAUUCUCUCUCUUCAUUCUUUUUCAACCAAUCAUUUUUUACUUUUUUUCCUUCUCUCCUCUUUCUCCCUCGACUUCCUCUUUUUGGAUCUCUUUGUUCAGUUUGAGCUGUAAGAUUUAAAAUUAUUUUAAAUCGUAUACCAAACAAGUUUUUGAGUCUUAAAGAAAAUUGUUUUUCAAAAAAUGUUCUUAAGAAAUGUUUUGAGAAAUGAUAAAAAAUUUCAAAUAAGAUACCAAACAAGCCCUUAAUAAUCUUAAAUUUUCCCAUCCAAACAAAAAAUUUUCUUGUCAUAGAACUUUCAAUUGGAAUCAAAGAAGACAAUCUUUUCACAACUAAUUAUUCUCACCAAAAGCAAUUUUUAUUUUAAAGCAAUCAAUACCAAACUGCAAAAGCAAAGUAGGAAGGCUAAAAUUAAGGUGAAGAACCUGCUUCCACUAAUUUCCUUAGGAGGGAGAGAGAGAGGGGGAGAGAGAACCAAGCGAGCGAGCAGAGAGAGAAAACACCAAGUAGUAUUCUAAUGUUGGUGGGGUUAAGUCACCUUCCGUGAAGUUGCAGUAAGGACUUCUAUCCCAGAGAAAAGUCAGUAAAUGAUGUUGACACAGUCAACGACAAAGACAGAAUUGUGUAACCAUAAUUCUCUCUCUAUCUCUUUUUCAUUAUCGGAUGACAGUGUAACACUACUACGUAUAUAUCUCUGCUCAAUUAUUGAAAAGAAAAAUCCAUGUGCAUUAUUUUUAUUAUUAUUAUCUCAGAAAUGCAGAAAUUGAUCAUCUCUUCCUUUUGCAUAUUGAUACUGGUUUUCUUCAAACUAGUUGAAGCAAGUCAAUAUGUGUGCGCGAAAUCCAACUGUAGCAAUGAUCAAAGCGGGGCUAUCCAUUUCCCAUUAAACAUCAGGCGCACACAUCAUUGUGGUAAUUCUGGGCUUGAAUGCAAUGGGAGAUAUGAACAGCAAAUACUAAUAAAAUUAUUUGUCAAAGACAUAGAUUACAAGCGUCAGGAAAUCCAAGUCUAUUCCCCAAGUAACUGCCUGCUGCUAAAGCAUGUUGAAAUCCCAAACAUGCCACCCUCUCCCUUCAACGUGUCAGUCGAUGACUACAUGAGUAACCUUACCUUAUUCAGUUGUCCUACUUCUUUUGCAAGACGAGAUACGGAUGUGUAUCAAGUCCCCUGCCUCGGCGACCGUGGCAAGAGAACUUAUGCCAUUUAUUCUGAUUAUGGUUUUAGAACUCUCUUCCGGAAUCUACAAUCUUGUACAAAAAUGUAUGAUGUUUUAUCAGUUCCAAUACCCUCUGAAUAUUAUGUUCUUCGUUUCAAAUGGUCUAUACCAAAUUGCAGAAAAUGUGGAGAGGGAAAGAGGUGUGAAUGGCAGAACAAUGAAAUUAAAUGUAUUCAAUGGAGGAAACCAAGUAAGGAUAACAUAUGUAUUCAUUGCUAGUUUUAAACAUCUUUACAUUUGUUUCUCAGUAAUUAUUGUUUAAAACAUGUCCAAUCCAUUUUUACUAUGAAUAUUAACUGACAGUCUCAUUUGAAUUUGCCUUUAUCUUUUACAGGCAACACAUGGAAAUUAGUGGUCACAGGGGGAAUCCUGGGUUCUUUGCUUCUUGUUCUACUGAUGAUUGCAGCAUAUCGGGUAUAUAGCGUUGAUAGAAAGAAAAAAGAGAUUCGAUUACGAAUUGAAAGAUUCUUGGAGGAUUACAAAGCACUCAAACCAAGCAGAUACUCGUACGCAGAUAUUAAGAGGAUUACAAAUCAAUUCAAGGACAAGUUGGGCAAAGGAGCCUAUGGAACUGUCUUCAAAGGAAUGCUCUCUUCUGAAUUCUUUAUUGCUGUCAAAGUCCUCAACAGUUCCAAGGGAGAUGGGGAAGAGUUCGUAAAUGAAGUGCGAACGAUGGGUCAUAUCCACCACGUAAACGUGGCUCGCUUGGUUGGAUUUUGUGCUGAUGGAUUUGUACAAGCUCUUGUUUACGAGUUCUUCCCCAUUGGUUCCCUGCAGGAUUUCAUUUCAUCUGCAGAUAGUAAGAAUUCAUUUCUUGGUUGGGAUAAGCUGCAAGAUAUUGCCCUAGGCAUAGCCAAAGGAAUUGAAUAUCUUCACCAGGGAUGCGAUCUACGAAUCCUGCAUUUCGACAUCAAACCCCAUAAUGUUUUGCUAGACCAAAACUUCACUCCAAAAAUUUCUGAUUUUGGUAUGGCCAAGUUAUGUUCCAAGGAUCAAAGCUUGGUGUCCAUGACUACAGCUAGGGGGACCAUGGGCUACAUUGCACCUGAAGUGUUCUCCAGGAAUUUCGGAAAUGUGUCUUACAAGGCAGAUGUCUAUAGCUUUGGAAUGCUGCUGCUUGAGAUGGUAGGAGGAAGGAAGAAUAUUGGUUCAAUCACGGAUAACACUACAAAUGAAAUUUACUAUCCACAGUGGAUUUAUAAUCUUCUAGGGGAAGGGGAUGACCUACGAAUCCACAUUGGGGAAGAAGGAGACGGUAAAAUUUCAAAGAAACUUGCAAUUAUAGGGCUAUGGUGUAUCCAGUGGCACCCGUCGGAUCGUCCUUCCAUGAAAAUAGCGGUUCAGAUGUUAGAAGGAGGAGGAGAAAGCUUGAGUAUGCCGCCUAAUCCCUUUGUGCCUACUGGUUCUACAACUAGGAAUGCAAGACGCCUAGAGCUAGAAGCUAUUGCUGAAUUAGAGUAAAAUGUAUAUGCAGAUAUAUAGACGUAUAGAUAUAGUAAUAUUUACAUUGAAUAAGAUACCGUUUGAUAACCAUUUCGUUUUCAGCUUUUAAUUUUUAUUUUUCACUUUUUUGAAAACUGAAAACUAAAAUCUUGUUUGGUAAAUACUUUUAGUUAAAAAAAAAUGAAGACUGAGAACUAAAAAGUGAAAGCUCAAAGGAAGUAGAUUAAAAGUAGUUACCAAACAAACCGGAAUCUCAAUAAUAAAAAAGAUUGAAUUGCACAAUGCAAUCCAAACCAAUCAAAACAUUAAAAUAGCAAAAAAAUUAAAAUUCUAGUUGAUUAGAUUCUGAACAUAGUAAAAAUGAACAGAUCCGAUGAAAAAACAAAAAAUUCUCAGAUAAAAAUAGGGAUAAAGUAGAAUAUUUAUAAAUAGCUCAUUGUCUCUUAUGUCAUCAAUUAUUUCUAUAGUAUAUACAGGUUUUUGGAAAAAUUAGGUUCCCAUCCCUUAUUUUCAUAUUACAUUGAUUGAAAUCUUAUUAUUUUUCUAUUUUAGAUCAAGGUCCCUUGACUUAUUCCAUGUCAUCAUUUUAGUAUUUAAAAUAUUACACGUCAUCAUAAACGAAAUCUCAUCCCUUUCUGCAUUUAAGGCAAAAUAAACUAUAUAAGUAAGUUUAAAACAAGGAAAAUCCAUUUGAACUCCUCCAUUCUUCUUCUUCCCUUAUGCACAUCUGGAAUCUACAACACCCCAAACCCAAUUUUCUCCAUUUUUCUUCAUUCCUGAAUUGAUCCAAUGCAUAUAUGUUGAAUAAACCUAUUGUGAUUAAAAUACAAAUUAGCAUCAAUGAUUUUAUCGGCUUGUGAGAUUUGUGUGGCAUAGGCAAGGCAAUGCAGGCAUCGCUUUAUCAAAGAAUCUGGUUGAUUCAAACAUGCAGAGACUGUAGAGUGAGCGGGCUAUGUAAAAACUGUACCAUUUUGAAGUCAUUUUCUUUUGUUCUUUACAUUUUUUUUUCUUUUAUUAUUAUAUAUUAGUCUUGAUUAUUCAAUGUCUGGUUGGCUACACUUAUAUCCAUGGGUACAUUUUUAAUCUACAUGUUUCGUUCUAAUAUAUCUAUUGCUAUAAUAUGUUUUGGUUGGUUCAAAUUUGUUUUACAUAAAUAUAUGGGUACAAAGUUUUUGUAGAAUAUUAUGUAAAAUGGUUUUUAAGGUUGCUGCAUUUUACGUACCCACAUAUGCAUGUCUAUAAAACAAUGUGGUAUGAUGUACAUUCUUUUCUUUGAGUUUUUAAAUGUACCCAUGAGUUUUCUUGUAAAUUCGGUAUGUACCCAUAUGCUAUUUAUGUUAUGGGUACAUACAUUAUUUUUGGUCUAAGUUCAUGGGUACAUUACUUUUGUAUGUAUGAAUUCAUGGAGUACAUUAUUUCCCUUAAUACUACUCAAUAAAAUUCACAAAAAUAUGUGUAGCGUGCAUGAUUUUUUAUUGUAGAAAUUGUUUGUUUUUUUUAAGUCUCAUAAUUCAUGAAAUUUGUACAUAUAUGAUCACAUAAAUUUUUUAAUUUUAUUAAAUUUCUUUUAGACUUGAUCGAUUGAUUGAAUCUCAUAAUACUAGGAUUUUGAAUUACAUAAAUUCUUGGAUUUAAAUCCCUUAAAUGUUGAACUGCAAUCAAUAUUUUAAAUUACAGUUUUUUAUUUAAGAUAUCAAAAAGAUGACAUGGAAAUAUAGUAAUACUAAAAUGCUGAGGUGUACAAAGUCAAAGGACUUUGAUAAAAAAAUAAAAAACAAUAAGAUUUCAAUCUAACAAUUGAAUUGACUAGGGAUCGGAACCAAAAUGACCCUAGAUUUUUAUUGAGUUUAAUCUUAAUAAAAAAAAGACUUCUUGUAUCACAAAAAAUACAAGAACCAUUAUUUGAAUGAAAUAAAAGCUAUGGGAUGGAGAUAUAAAUGGAUCCUUUAUUUCACAAUUGGAUUAUAUUUAUUUGAUACACUGUUGUCAAUAUGAAUGCUGAGAAAAGACUACAAAAGAAAAAAACAAUUUAUAAAUAUAACUAACAAUUCCAAUUUCAAUCAAUUAGACAAUUAGAAUUAUAAGAAGAAAAAAAAAAGAAAUUUCAGUUUUCAGUUUAAAAAAAAUGAAAAAAAAAUGGUUAUCAAAGCCGUCCAAAUAAUACAAGUUUGUUUCCACUCUUUGUUUAAGCAUAGAUGCCAAUUUUUGUUUAUCAUUUUUUUAACCUUUAUUUUUUGUUACAGUAGAAGCCCUGGAAGGAAAUCGAGCACUGGACUUACCAAACUCUUAACUUAUUUCUACACACCAAGAGCUUGAUUUCGGUUCUUAUUUAUACUAUUUAAGCUAUAAGCCGUGACAAGAAUUAGAGAACUAUCAUUUGUUGUGAGCUUCAAUUGGUUAGCACUUUGUAUGUUUUCAUUAGAAUAUAUAUUUCACUUAGACUUUCUUAUUAAAAAAGGGAUCAGCUGGUGACUUUACCACGACAAUCCAAUUUUAUGGGGGUCAUGAAUACUCACAAAGGCAUUUCAGCCUCCCCCUAUAUCUACCGUCGCGUGAUUCACCAUUGUCAGAAAUCGAACCCAAGACGUGUUGUAUAGAAUACGGGCCUAAAAUUCAUUUCUAACCACUGAGUCACCCCGCGUUUGAUUAUAUUUCACUUAGACUUAUCUUGCGGUAUAGCAUGUCAUCCCCGCCCAAGUUUUUCCCUUCGCGUUGACUUUGGGAUACCAAAACUUGCCAAACAAAGUAGAUUGAUUAGUAAGCGAAGCUAAUUAUUCGACUAAACAUUGUUUAGAAUUUUAAUUAAAAGAACCAAUAUGAAUCUGUUUUUUUUUUUUUUGACAAACUAUAACGUUAAGGAGUUAAAUUGUUAGUUGUUAAGAGUACGGGGAUAGGUGAGGAUCGAACCUCCACCAUAGUGCAUAGACAUUAUUGGUUCUACAACUGCUGUAAAUCACAUAAAACAAAACGUAAUACUUUGAGGAUGGAAGACACUUCGUGGAUAGCGGGCAAUCAACACUAUCAGUUGCUAUCCAAAACUUGGAAUUAUGUUUAUUGUCCGAAGGAUUUUUCUUCCAUUAAAUUGCUAAGGAAGAUGAGGAUGGGUAGAGUGUCUAAAUGUCAAGGUUGAUAAGAACGUGUAUGGUGUUCAGCUUGCGAUUGAGAUUUGUUGAGUGGCACAACAAACCACAUAAAAUUUUCUAAAUGAUAAGCUUGAGUAUAAUUUUUUACCACGUAUUUAUCUUUAAAAUCAUUAUAAUUAGAUUUUCUCUUAAUUAAUAUAGACCGUUAGAUUCAUCUAAUGACCCAAGUUUUUUUCCUCUUUUCUUUCUACUCUUUUUUUCUUCUCUGAUUUUCCAUUCACCGUGUAGCAGUCGUUCUUCCCCAACUAAGUUUCUUAUUUUUCUUCACAAAAAAAUUGUAGAAAAUAUUAAGAAAAGAAAAGUCAUCAAUAUCAGACUCGACCAGGUAAUCGUUCCAACCUUCCCAGCAACUCUCAGUCUUAACAAGGCACCAAAUUUUCUCCGCCACCUAACUCGUCAUUCAUUUAUGGGUGUUUCAAGCUUGGUGAAAAUUGAUAGAGUUCCAUGUGUGUACACGGAUGUGAACAUAUUGGCCACUCUCUAAUGUGUUGGUUUAUCACAAAGAACCCAGAUACAAAAUUUUAAAAAGCAAACAAUUACAACUUCUCAAAUAUUAUCUAACAAACUUUCAAUGAAAUGUUGCUCAUAAUUGAAAAAAGGUUGACGAAGGACGGAGUUGGAGUUAUUUUAGAUGGGGAAGAGUUAAAAGAAGGAAGCACCAUUUAAUUAAUAAAAGCGAUUGGAGAAAUAGUAAUUCAAUGGUGGGCGUUUUUAAGGUGUGGACCUUGUAUCACACCCCGAUUCCAACAUACAUUGAGGAUCAACACGUGACAUGGGGACAUAGGGGACAUAAAUCUUAUGUAAGAUACAAAAUGAAAUACUAUAAAUAAUAUCCCAAAAUGAAUAUGAUAGUGGGUUCACCCCUAUAAAAUAUAUACGAGUUUGUACAUUCACAAAAAAAAAAAAAAAAAAAAAAAAAAAACACAUACACACACACAAAACUCUCGCUAGGCCAAGACUUGCCCAUGGUGCUCAAAGGAAAGUCCCAAAAGAAAGAGUACAAUGAAGGAUAAAGGGGUAACCUAAACACUCCAAGUCUCUGAUCUCUGCACUGCUACCCUCACCGGCUCCUCGUAAUCUACUCAGACCUAUCACAUGUACAAACAGUGCCUACAUUGUGGGAAUGGUGCAUCGGGCAAACAAAAACCCGGAUAAGCUGCAAAACUCGUGUGAGUGACAAUAAUGCAACAUAUGUGAUAAUCAAGAAAAACAUACCAUCGAUCGCAGUUUAUAAACCUCAAAUAUAACUUCAUACUUAUGAAAUCAUAAUCAAGUCACUGAAAACUUCGAAUGAGUCACCCAGACAUCCAACGACUUUUUAAAAUCAAAUCUCAGAGAUUCCAAAACUAUCAUUCACAAAUACACUAAAAACUAGGGCUAGAGUGACACAGUUCGGCCAAAGACUACAUAAGUAACCAAACAAGAAGUGGCCCCCCAUAGCGGAUUAACCAAGCAGAGCCACUCCUGAAAAAGUAACCAAGUAGGUAGUGACCCCCAUCACGGAUUAACCAAGCAAAGUCACUCCUACGAAACUGUUAGGUAGUGAUCACCCAUCGCGGAUUAACCAAGCAUGAUCACCCCUAAGUACGUAUGGCCAUACCUAAGAAAUAAGGAUCGCCCACCGCAGAUUAACCAAGCACGAUCCAAAAAUAUUAUGGGUCCCCUAUCACGGAUUAACCAAGCAUGACCAUCCAUGUACCACUACUACAUGGUGUAAAUUCGGUGUCACCUAACCUCGUGACACUAGGGUAACGGUCCUUUACUAGCCCUCACGUUUUUCAAACAUUUCAAAUAUAUAAUUUAAAACACAAUUCAUAAACAUUUCGAAUAAGGAAGUCACAUAGUGUUUAAUAAUGUAGGUCAAUGGAAAACUUUAAAAACAAUUAUUUAGCAUAAAACAUAUUUUAGAAAUCCAUGUUGUAUCCACAAAGUAUACUAGCAUGGGAGAUUUUCAGGGUAAUAACUCUAUCAUAUAUAUUAAAGUCACUCACCUGGAGUCCACACUAACGCACCCUAACACGAAUAUCAAGACGUCACGUACUAUCAUCUGUAACAUCCCACAUCAACCAACGGAGAGAGGGUGAUGUGCCUUAUAUGUACAUGCCCACCUCCAUAGCAUGAGACCUUUUGGGAGCUCACUGGCUUCAUAUUCCAUCGGAACUCCAAAGUUAAGCGAGUUUGGGCGAGAGUAGUCCCAGGAAGAGUGACCCACUGGAAAGUUCUCGUGUGAGUUCCUAGAAACAAAAUCGUGAAGGCGUGGCCGGGGGGGGGGGUUAAAGCGGACAAUAUUGUGCUACGACGAAAUUGAGACUGAGAUGUGACAGAAUGGUAUCAAAGCCACUCUGCCGUGUGGUGCGAGUGUGCCGACGAGGAUGUCGGGCCCCUAAGGGGGGUGGAUUGUAACAUCCCACAUCGACCAACGGAGAGGAGGUGAUGUGCCUUAUAUGUACAUGCCCACCUCCAUUUAGCACGAGGUCUUUUGGGAGCUCACUGGCUUCGGAUUCCAUAAGAACUCCGAAGUUAAGCGAGUUCGAGCGAGAGCAUUCCCAGGAUGAGUAACCUACUGGGAAGUUCUCGUGUGAGUUCCCAGAAACAAAAUUGUGAGGGCGUGGCCAAGGCCCAAAGCGGACAAUAUCGUGCUAUGGCGGAGCCGAGAUUGGGAUGUAACAUCGUCACCUAAGACAAAGUACAAGUCCACAUUUAAAGUUCUUCGUGUAUUCACAUAAUAAAAAAUUUCCAUAUGCCCCCUACAACUAAUGAAGAGAAAUCGAGACACGUUGACAAAAAGUCAACUGUUGAUCAACGGUAGGGUCCAUAACCCUACGUAACUCGAUCUGCAAGAUCCAGCCACUGUAUUUGUGAUUCAUAAGUUCCUAAGGUCCUUAAAUCUUACGUACAAUAACAUACUAAACUUUGGUGACGAUCUAAUUGUCGAAUCAUCAUUUGCUAUAAUGUUCAAAUGACGCAAAUUCAUCAAUCAGAUGUUAAAUAUGGAAUCGGUCAUCGAAUUUAGCUUAGGAAGGUCAAGUGGUGUCUCGAGCCACGUGCUGCCGUGCGCAGCAGCUGGCAACCCAAAUUCGUCGGAAAAAUCACCUAAUUCCAAAAUGAAUGUCGUUAGACGUGGAGUAAAUUGUAUACCUGUGAAGAAGCCCAAUUUGGUCGGGAAGUGGCCUGAAAUCACUUUAGACCGUCGGAAACCCUAAAAUAGGUGAAUCUCGAUUCGUCAUCUCCGGUAUUCCACCGUCCUCAAACUUGUUUAGGGUUUGCUCCUGGUCUCAAAAGAAUGCUAAUGAUGGUGGUGAUUGAAGGAGAAUGUUUCAGAAAUAAUGAAUCGUCGACGAGGGUUUCACGAAACCGACAUGGGUGUUCCUUGUGGAACUAAGACCAAAUCUCAACGGUUUUGGCUAGAAAUGGAUGCUGGGAUGUCGUGGUGAGGUUUGGUAGUGAUGGGAGGUCGAAGAAAGCCAAAAAAAUCGACGAAAAAACAGUCGUCGGAGUCGCAGGAAACGGGUUAGAAAAACGAGUCGCCAGGUCUGAAACGGGUCGAAGGCUUUUGGGACAGCUACUUACUCUCUCUUCUUUGAUUAGUCACUCCACUCACUCUCUCAUUUGAUUAGUCCAGCCUUCCCACAUGGUGGGAGUUCCCUCAUAUAGUAACCCAAAAUUUACUAUUUAAAUCUGGUAUCGAACGUUCGUAACUUUUUCGUUAUAGUUUCGAUUCGCAAACAGCUUUCGCCUACGCGCUCGUAUGAUCGAAUUAUACUCGAAAACAUUAAUUGUGACCUCGAAAAGGUCUACGAGUUUUAAAAGAUUAAUUACAAAAAUUCACACCUUGUAACUAUACGAUCCAAAUUCUAAAAUUAACGGAAUUAAAAUAAACUAAAAAUAAUGUAAACACGAAAUACAGACUUUAAUAAUGAAAUACGUAAUUAAUAGUAGUAUUCCGGGAACGGGAUUUCACACCUUGCGUCCGGACCUUGAGUGCGGAUCAGAAUCCAAAGGUCGUGAUCUGACAAGCUCAUGCAUAGAACGGAGUCGUUGUGACCCAAUGCAAUUCAAAACUUUUAUGUUUUUUAUUUGCUGGGUACGUUUUUGUAGGAGGAAAAGGGGAAGUCGAGGGAUUCUUUGCGCAUUAAAGAGGGAAAGAGAGAAAGGGGGAGCUAAGAGGUUCUUCGCGCGUUAAAUUUUUGCUUCUAAUUUUGCAACCUAGAAAUAAAGUAUUUUCUUUAUGGUUUAUGGUUCAAGAAUAUAAUGGAUGCAACCUAAAAAUGUUUCUUUUUUUAUUUUUUACUUUUUUUCUUCUUAUGUUGGCUUUUGGUUUAUUUUUAUAACGCACUAUAUAUUAACUAAAUUUAUAAACAUUUUGUAUCUUUGUUGCAGUCAAAUUAAUCAUAUGGGUCGGCAUGACUAAGUUCGACUGAGACAUACAGAUGUUUUGCAAUCUUAAGUCUAACCUGACACACCUCGACCUCAAUAUCCAGUGAACACCAAAAUUAAGGUGUGCUGGCCAUCAUCCGGAUGGGUGACGAAACCAUAAUAUGCAUGAAAACAUAACUAAAUUAUCAACCAAUAAAAUCUAUUGAAAAAUUUGGCAGAACAUCCCUUAAAAUAGGGAUAUGCCCAAAUUAAAAACACUUGCACAUGAUCACAAUUAUUCAAACACAUCCCGAAGGGCCACACUUAAUGGGACUUCGACCAUCUAUUACAUGCAUGAGAAUAUGUUCAGAGAAUAAUUACCCAAAUACGUCUUAUUAAAAUAUUGAGUAAAUACCAUACAAGAUAGAAUACGUCAGAGCUGUUGCAAAAUACCUCAACGUCGGAUGUAAUCACUGAUAGAAUUACUGAAUCAUGUAUAAAUGGAAAGCUGAUAAAUACAUGUAAUUUGAGUGGAUACUUACCAACAGCAUGGAUACAAUAUCAUCCACCAGUCGUAACUAGUGAAAACUGGAUAAUAUAAUCAUGUCAUUGCCGAGUAAUCUCAAGGCAAUGACAAGAUGAGAAUGUAACUGAGUAAUCAUAUCAUUACUAAAUAAUUUCAAAGCAAUGACAAGCUGAGAGUAUAACCGUAUAAUCAUGUCAUUACCGCGUAAUCUCAAAAUAAUGACAAGCUGAGAGUAUAACUGUAGUACCUCUUAUUAGUGCAAUGCAUGAUAUGAAUUCCAUCUCACAUAUAUAUGCAAGCCAUAAUCAAACCAAUAAACAUCCAACAAAAGCCACAAUCCUUUUAACAUUCGACCACAAGAUCAAUUUUCAUAUUUCCCAAACCUAGGUUCCGAAGCAUUGUUUCGAAUUAUUAAUACAAGAAACCACCACCACCUCAAUCAAUUCCUAUUCAUAAGUGUAAGCAAUUACUAAAUGCAUCACUUUCGACUCUAGUCUUAAUUAGAUUACUUGGGAUACUCAUUCACACCAUCAGAUCCACGUACAAUUUUGAUAAACUUUAAAUAGCAUGGUUAAAAUAAAUGAAACAUUUGAAUGAAACACUUUUAGAAAAUAAGUGAAGAUGUUGUUUACAAAUAUAGAUGCAUCUGUAUAUAAAAGCUUUGGCGGUUGAUUCGUAUACUUCCAGAGAUAUAAGCAAGUUCAUUGGAAUAUGCAUACAUGGUUAAUGUAUUACGGUAUAAUUAAUAAGAAAACAAUUGCAUCCCCUUCAGAUUAUAUAUAUAUAUAUAUAGACACACACACAUACACAUACAUACACACAGGCCCUUUAUGCAAAGGAAUUUCCAUUUUUUUUCAAAAAAUGGGGAUUAGUUGUGGGGCCCACGCUGCAUUGAACUUUAACGAUCCGAACAAUCUAUUUUGUAAGUCUCGAUUCAUAGAUCAUCCUUGCAAAAAUUCAAUUCAAUCCGAACCCUUUUGCCUAUUUAAUUAUCAAGAUAAAAUUUCAUUGUUUCUUAUAUAACAAAGUAUUCGUUAAUUUCUUUGAACUCAAUUAGAUAUCUUAAACAUUUCCGAUUUGGCUAAUAUUUUGCAAAGAUGAUCUAUGUGGUGCAACUUGAAAAAUAGACGAUUUCGAUUGUUAAAGUUCGAUGUGGUGUGAACCCUACAAUUAAUCUUCAUUUUUAUAAAAGAAUGGGAACCCCUCCCCUUAAAGGUUUCCUAUGUAUAUAUUUGUUCUUCAGACAUAUGCAAAAGGUAAUGUAAAACCAAUGAGAACUUAAAUAGAUAUUCCAUACAUAGGACAAUUCCAUAUAUGCUUUUUCAACAUUUAUAUCGAAAAGCCAAAUUGUUUUGAGGAAAUUAAUUGUAGUAAUGGUCCCUUAACUUUUAUCUUAUUGGAGCAAUGGUCUCUCAACUAAAAAUUCAUGACCAUUGGUUCCUUAACUCCACAAAACGUGUAGUUAUGGUCAUUUUCAUUAACUCCGUCAGAACUUUUGUUAAAACAAGUAAUGUUAGAAGAAUCAUUGCUACAAUCAGGUUAAAGUUGGGGACCAUUGCUCUAAUUGAAUUAAAGUUGAGGGAUCAUUACUCCAAAUUGCUUAAAGUUCAAGGACCAUUUCUACAAUUUUCUCAUCUAGUUUCCCAUAUUUACCCCAUGAUUCAGCUUCACAUGCAUUGCACAUGACUCAUUUUGACAAAAGUUUUAACGAAAUUGACGAAAAUGACCAUAAAUGCACGUUUUGAAGAGUAAGAGACCAAUGGUCGCAGAUUUUAGUUGAGGGAUCAUUGCUCCAAUUUGGUUAAAGUUGAGGGACCAUUGCUACAAUUUGCUCAAAUGUUUCGUAUGCGAAAAUAGGCAUUUGUAAAGUUUGGCUUGUUCAUGGCAUUAUUACUUUAGUCUAAAGUAAGGCUGGAAAUGGCACUGUAGAAAUGAAUAGUGUUCCAAUCCGAAUUUCAGUUUAAUUACAACAAUGCCAUUGCUCUUUGUGUUGCCUUUAGGUGAGCAACCCAACUUCCAGCCAGGCCCAAAUGUAUUGGUUUUAGCUGAGAAGCCCGACCUUUGGUCAGGCCCAAAACUUUAAAUUACAGUUUUGCCCAUACAAAAUAACAAUUUGAUUGUAUCGGGAAGGACAAUUUUGUCCUUUUAGUUUUGGGCGAGAUAGGGGGUAACCGGGUAGAUUUCAUUUGCUGUCGUUGAAUGAAGGUUUCGGGGAUGAAGGUUGUGUGUGUGUGUGAGGGAGAUGACGAUGGAAGGAGAGCGAAGGGGAGGGGAAGGGUUCUCGGCACUGUUGCUGCAUGUGGAUUUCACAAGUGGGUGAAUGGGUAUGGUUAGAGAAUACCAUAUAGGUUGUCGGGAUUUCAGGAAACGGGGUAGGGGUCAUGAAUGAACCCUGCUGAGAGUGGGUGCCGGAUCUUGCGCUGCAUGCCUCAAAUCAAAGAUAAGUUCAUUUUUUUAUUGUAUUCUUUAAUGGUAGCUUAGCUUUUGGAAUUGUUUAGUAUGUUAGGUCCAGUUUUGGGGGAUUUAUCUUUUAGAGAGAGAGAUGGACAGGGAGAUAAAGAUAGACAGAGAGAGAGAGAGGAGGAGGAGGCGGAGGAAGUAUGGCUGUGUGCUAUUUUUGGUGUUAAUUAAUGGGUUGGUGCGCAGGGUGAGUGACAGAGUGACAGAGUGACGGAGGGAUGUGUGGGAGGGUAUGGGUUUUUAGUUCUUUCUUUUGAUUCAAUAGGUUAUACACUGUUUGAAAAACCUUUUUUUUAUUUUUUUGUUCUCGUUUGCUUUGUUAAAACCAUCAUUUGAAUUUUUGGGUUUCACUGUGCUCAUUUCUCUGUUUCUUCAUAAUUUGUUGGUGUUUGCUUCUCAUCCCUCUGUUGGUAGAUCUUUUUCUCAUUUCUUGGUUCCUUAUGUAUUCUUUGGUACAAAUCUGUUUACUUUUUGGUUGUGUGAUAAUCUUAGCAGGUGAACUAUAUGAACGUUUUUUUGAAACGAGCACAGUGAAGCAAGCGUAGAUUGGGAGGCAACCCAAUAUUUCUAUUCAUUGCCUUUUUCUGUCAUUUUCAAUUUUCUUGCAUGCUAAACUGAAUUAUUUCUUUUCUUUGUAUUUGGGUUAUGUCCACCCUUGGAGUUGAUUGCGGAAUUAUAGUUUGGGGGUCAUCAUUUGAUUUCACUGCAAAUUGGGGAAGUUUUUAGUCCAAAUGCCGGAUCACUUCAAGUAUCACCUUCCAUUCGAAGUUCACUUCCAUGCCAUGGAACCUAUGGGAGUGUGACUGGAGGCAUCGUCCGGCUGCAAGACGUUAAAGAAAGCGCUUCUUGGGAGGCAACCCAAGCUUUCUAUCUUUCAUCUUUAUUUUGAAUAAUUUUAAAUGUUCUUGUUCUGUUUUUCUCUUAUUUUCUGGUUUUUGUAUUUAAGUCCUACUUUUGUUCCUUUAUGCAGGUAAUGAUUUUGCAAUCUCUACCACAACUUCUUGCAAGGUAGUUUUACAUUCAUAAAAACGAAAGGAACAUUAAGCAUAUAAAUACAAGAGGGAGCCUUCACAAAGGCUGCUUAGGAGAAGUUUCAGCAGUCGGCGGAGUCCCAGAAGGAGGAGGCAUCAGAGGUUGAUCAUUUGGAGCUUCAUUACGUGGUACAACCCCAGAAGACGAAGGCAAAUGCAAAUAAGGAAGAUCUAUGAAUCGCUUCACAAUCGAAAAGGAACAUAUGGUAGAAAAAUUCAAAGAUGAGCAUACAAACAAGAAGGAGUCUUCAUUGGUCAGGAGGUGUCGCAGCAGUCGAAGGAACAUCAGAAAGACGAAGUGUCAGAGCUUGAUUGUCCGGAGCACUUGGUGAAGCACCAGAUGAUGAAGGCAGAAGUUGCCUCAGGAGUAAAGCCAUAAACCUUUGAUGAUCACUCCGAGCCCGAACUUCAGCCUCUUGCAGCUGGUCCAACUUCCUCUUUAUGCUUGUUGAGUAGUUAGUUGCGAGCAUGUGCAACUCUUUAUCUUCAUGCCUCAGCGCUCUGACCUCUUGCCAAAGGCUAGCCACUUCAGCCAUCAACGACUCCACUUGACGAGUUCGAGCAAGAAGGCGUUGGCCCAUGUUUGAUACUGAGCCUGCACUUUGGACGCUGAAAGCCAAAGAAUCCUGAACAGCCUGCUCGUCAGACCGCUUAGAUAGCAUCCUACUGUCUCUUGGAGUAUGAAGAUUUCUAGCAACCACUGCAGCUGUUGCAUCAUUUCUCAUCACAGUGUCCCCAACUGUAAGAGGACCGUUGGAGGAUAUGAAAGAUGGCUGCCAAAUGUUACCUGGAGACGAGAGGUCAAUAUCUUCUUCGAUAUUCAGGUCAAAACGACGGUCGGAUGGGCUAGACAUUUUCAUAGGUGUUAAAGAAAGAAGAGGUCAGACAAGUCAAGAUAGUAGAAAUGCAAGAAGGGAGUAUUCACAGGCAGAAAUUCAUGUGUGCUUUGAACAUCCUGCGAACCUCUAUAAAAAAUAGCACACAAUGAGAUUUCAGGGAUCGAAUAGGCGAGUUCAGAGAUCGAUGAAGCGCCUGCUUUCUCCAAAGCUAGGCCUACUCAGGAAUCACAGGCUGAUCUCAGGUAGUGAAGACGCGCCUGUCUCUCUCAGCCCCGUCAGCACUUGUCACAUGCAGAGAAAACUUUGAGGAAAUCACGGGCAGUUUGUCGAAGCGCCGAUUCCAACCAUCUGUCUUUCUCAGCCUCGUCAGCUUUGAGGAAAUCACGGGCAGUUUGUCGAAGCGCCGAGUCCAACCGCCUGUCUCUCUCAGCCUCGUCGGCACUCGCUUUCUCAAAAGCUGGGCUUGAAAUCACAGGCCAAUCUUCAGUUUCUAAAUUUGUUCGCACUUGUCACAUGCAACCUCUGCACUCAACGAAGCUCAGAACUCGAAGCGCCAAUUCCGGAUAUUAAAGAAGCCUUUGCUUUAUCAGACGUGUCAGCAUCUGUCAAUUGCACAUCUGCGUUGCGUAAAUCACGCGCAAUCUGUCGAAGAUUUCUGGAGAAACGGAAUGCACGUGAAGUUUACUGUUAAAUUACCCCAGGCUUGCUGACACGAGUACUAGAACAAUGCCUUCCCAGCCAUUAAGAAAAAUUCUACAAAUGUUAAAGGCAACCUCACUCAACUUUCAGCCUCACUCAACCUUUCUUCCUCUCUGAGAAUGUAUUCCCGAAGAAGCCUCCCGAGUCACUCUGUGUUUCUCAUCCCUUGGGAUACCCCUGCAAACAACCCACCCAGAGCAAAAGUAUUUCAUAUCAUAACGGUUGAGAGCAAGAGUAUCUCAUAUCAUGCUUUCUCCCUGUCCUUUGUCUCGCCAGCACUUGGUAUCAAUCUUCCGAGCGGGGACCGACUGCCUGGAACCCAUUCCUGAUUGCUUACCUAACCUUGCUCUCGAGUACUCAUCCUUCUUAUGUUUCCUCUUCGUCUACCACAUAGGGGAAGUGAUAAUGAUACCUCGAAGCAUGUGGAUACAACGUGCUGAUUCAUCCUCAACUAAGGACAAGGGAGAAAGCAAGCAAGAUGUGGGCACUUGGAAAGAUUGAACAAAGAAACAGACUAACACCUCUACCUCGUGCCUGCCUACCGAGCAGAAGAAACAAGCAGAGAAGAAUGCAGACUGCACAAUCAAACAACCCAGGAACUCUGAUAUUCCUCGCUCAGGAUUCCAAACCAGUUUGAGAUUCGCCUACACAAAUUGGUGUGUUCUUUCCUUUUCUUUAUGUGUCUUUAUUUCAUUUUAUAUUUCUUUCCUUCCAUUUUCAUGUCUUAUUGUUCAAAAAUUCCUUUCAUUAUCAUUGGGGACAAUGCUAUAAUUAAGUUUGGGGGUAUUUGGAAAUAUAUUUCGUUAGUUUAUUUCUCUAUUAAAAAAAAAAAAAAAUUUUGCAUUUUUAUUGUUGUUUGUAGCUACUUCUCAAUUCAAUGAUGAGAUUUGAUUUUAAUUUCCUUCUUACUUUCAAGAAAGUCUAAGUUCUUUUCGUUGUCUUUGUGUUAACUGUGAUUUCCAGAAAUCAACUUGAAAAAAGAAAUGUGCCUAGUCUUGUCAAUGUGAAACUUGAGCAUGAUUUAGCGUUUCAUAUGUGAAUCAUGUGAGAUUAUGUAAACCUUGUGAGUUUUUUAGCCUAUACAUGAUUGAACCAUUAUGCAUCAAUCUCAUUCCUUCUUGUGCGUAUGAUCUCACUGUACAUGUAUCUCUAGAACUUGCUUUAUACUACUCGAUUCAUUAAUCAAUUCAUGUAAUAACUUGGAAGUGAUAUAGGCCAUCUUUGGAUCGUUUGAGCCUUUCAUGCCUACCUUAUAUGCUAUGUUUAUCCUUAGUAGCCCUUUGAGCCUUUAACUAAGCCAUUUCUUUGUUAACCACAUCUCUUUACCUUGCUCCAAUAUUGGAGUUGAGCCCAUACACAAAAAUCGAUUCCUUAUUGUUUUGAGAAAGUAUUACAUGGGUUGUGCUUUUGGGGGUUUCAUUUAUAUAGAAAGAUGGAUGGAGUAUGUGUAUACAAUGAAAUGUGAAUUUGAUGGGUGAUGUAGAUUUUGAAAAUUAUUUCAAAAGAAAAAAAAAACGAAAAAAAACGAAAAAAAUGAAAAUUGGAGAGUGUUGAUUUGUUGAAAAUGUGUCGGUAGAGUAUAAAUUUCCUUUUAAAGUUAAAUUUGGGGAGUAACAGGUGCUCGAGGUUUUAUUAUUUUGCUUUCAAUUUGAGGUGGUGUGAUAUUGAGGUGUUGGAAAACUACCAAAGUGUACUUUCUCAAAAUUUUUGAUUUCCAUAUCCUUUCUUUCAUUAGCCUAUCACCUUUAGCCCCAUUACAACCGUAAUAAAGUCCUAUUGAUCCAAGGUAUUACUUAAAUAUUGAUAAGCGAGUUAGGUGGACAAGCAAGCACAUGGCGGCAUGUACAAUGAGAUUACUUGAGUGAAACACAUUAACAAAAAAUUAUGAGUGAAUGAGCGUAUGUCUUGUGAGAAACUCACAUGUUUGCAUAUGAUGAUUUAAAGGAGCUUGGAAUUGCAUUGACAUAGCUAGCUCACACAUGGCAUUUCAACGUUUUGUUUGAAGGAAAUUUGGUUAACUAUUGGAUGAUGUUUUGAGCUCUUGCUUACUUCUUGGCAGUGUAUCUCAUGACUAGCACUUAUCUCUGAAAUCGAAAUUGAGAAGUUGGCUACUAAGUUGUUGAAUCUAGUCUUAGUUGAGUGGUUUUGUUUUGCUAGAGGACUAGCAAAAAUGUAAGUUUGGGGGUAUUUGAUCACUCAUAUAUUUCAUGCAUUUAUACCAUCCAUUUCUAAAGUCUUUGUGAUGUUUUUGUGUUAAAGUUGUGGCAUUUUACCUUACCUUGUGUUAAUGUACAGUUAAUUUUAUUUUAGGAUCAAUUUCAAAGAAAAUGGGCUGAAAAGAAAAUAAAAGAAAAGAAAUAAAUGGGACGGAAAGGAAGACACUGACAGAAUAAAAGAAUGAAGAAAGAGGUAGAACGGCAGAUAGAGAAGUGGGAAGAAAGUGGAGUGCGCAUGGGAUGGAAGUGGAACAAAAAGCAGGAGAGGGAGUGAGGAGUGCGGGAUAAAAGCAAAGAAAAAUAGAAGAAUAAGAAAGAAGUGGGAGGACACGGACUGAGUGGAAGAAUUAAAGAGAGAAGCAGGGUGCAGGCACGGACAGAAAGGAGAACUGAAGAAUAAAAGAGAAGACAGAGAAGCAGAAAAAAGAAGAGAAACUGACGUGAAAGCCAGUGCGCAGAGGGCGCAGAGAGAUAGGAGAGAUUGUGCGGGAGCAGAAGCACAGAAGCAGAGGGAACAAAAUCACAGACUGACAGCAGACGCAAGAGGCACGGCAGAGAGCAAAGCUUCACUCUAUUUUUCUUGGUUUUAUCUUCUCAAACCCAUGUUUUACUUUUGGUUUAAUUUGUGAAUUAUGUGUAACUAAAUUUUAAGUAGUUAGGGGCUGUUUUGAAGCCCCGAAUAUGAUUGUAAGUUUGUUGUGAUAUUUUGUUUGAAUGACUUUUAUGAAAGGAUGAAAAUUGUUUCACUACUUAUGUGAUUGAUAAAUUCUUUAUGUGUUUCUAUGGAUGCAUACAUAGUGAGCAUAUCUAGGAUUUUAAUGCUAUGAAUAUAUGUUUACCUGCCCUUGUUGAAUGAGGACCUACAUAUGUUCUAGAGUAGCACUUGUUAAUUGUGGUUAACAUGUGAACCGAUUUCUAGGAUAAGUAAGACAAUGCCAGUACUUAUCAUGCCUUGUGAUGACUCAAACUCUUUUCGUUCUUAAUGAUUUCUACUUGUUAAAUCUAUGAACACGACAUUCUAGAUUACAUGCUAGGGACUACGUUAAGUUGAAAACGCUAUUCUCUUAACAUACUACGUAAGAAAAAGUAAUAGGUUGUGUUCUAACAUUGAGCCAACUUGAGCAUCUUCAUCCGGAAAUAAAAGGAAUUUGAAUGAAACAUAACAUGUUUGCAUGAUUAUUUGGUGGUGGAUAGCAUUUCCCCUAAUUCGUUUUCUUAACUUGUGAAUUAAAAUCUAUUGGUAUUAUUUAAAACUGGUUGAGGUCCUGUUUUGUCCGAUUUAAUUUAAAUAGCUAAUCAACUUCAAAAAUCCCAAACAUUUGUGUGAGCAUAGCUUGGUGUGUCUAGUUUAUGUGUAUAAAAUUUCGUUGCAUUUGGAUAAGUGUAAGUUAGUCUAAUAAUUAUUGUUCGGUGGCUGGUCAGUGGAGACAACCAUCCUGUUUUUGUGACAUUUUAAGUGUUUGGAUAAAACAAUUUUCUGCGGAAAAGACCCUUAUUUUCAUAUGCUACAAUCGACAAAAUUUUAGUGUUAAUAAGGAAAAUCAAUAGGAUUAUUGUGGGCUACUUUGUGGUGCGUUAUAAUUACUACCAUGCUGUCAGUGGGUGUUAAUAUCAGGUACCCAUGUUCAGUUUUUCGUUUUGAUUUGAAGGAAUUUCUUGCGGAGAGGAGCAAGGGUUUCUUGGUGAGUUCUUCGGGUUGUGCAUAUGGGUAAUUUUCUUUUCGGUUUAACCCUCUGCUUCUGCUGCUCUCUCUCUUUCUCUCAUCCCUGCCUGCUCCUCUCCAAUUGUUUGCUGUUCUUAAAUAUUGUGUUCAUUGCCUGAUACAAGGGGCUGCAGCAAUCUGUUUUAUCCUACACGGGACAACGAGGCAAUGGCGUGACAACAGGUGAGCUUGGAUAUCCAAAGAAAAAGAACAGUUGGUUCAUCUGCUGGAGUCUGAGCUUAGAGAAGUGGAGGAAAAUUGCAGGUGUGCGAGAAAUUUUAUUUUGCUGAUAGGACUCCUUAUUUACUGAUGCAUUUUGAAAUAAUUGAAAAGUUGGAUUUGAGUUAACAGCUAUAAAAAUGUAGACAUGAUUGCUGAGAUUAUGCUAUGAAAGUGGAAUAAAAAAAUGGUAGUUUAUAAUAUUGCGUACCAAUUGUUUUCUCUCUUUUUUACCAAAUGAUAAGGGUGGUGGCUCAGGCCGCCCCCCUAAGCGUCCCCACUCUUCGACAAGUUGAAAUCGUGGUGAUAGUUUAUGGGCUGUGGUCUUGGGAUUCUGCAAAUAGAAUGAAAAACAGACACUUAACUAUCUUGUUAUUAAGCAUUUCUGCAUCAUUCAGUUGCUCUUGAUUUUCGUCUUUUAAGCGAUCUUAUUUCUGCGAUCUGACUUGAGGAGGGUUUUUAGACCUAUGGUUGUGGGUGUUUUCUCUGACCCCAUUAUCCGAGAUUUGUAGACUUGCGAUCGGCGGUCAAACAUUUUGUGAUUCUUGUUUUCUCUGCCUUUCGGUCGUUAAGCGCCGGCAGUCUUUAGAUCUUUGGCAAAUCAAUUUAAUACAACCGAGGUAUGUUUUAUAACUGCUGUCUUUCAAUUUUUGUUCUGUAUUUUUGUUAAUUUGGAUGAAGCUCUAAUAAUUUUGUUUUGGAUCAGUUGUGGUCCUCUGUUAGGAUUUUCCUGGCUAAGAGGGUAUUUGCGUUUUUGUUGCUUGGUUGGUCGAUCACAGAUUUACGAACAGCUGUGGUGGUCCUGUUAUUUUUUGGUAUGUUUUUUCUCCUUUUUGGUUUUUUUCCCGGUUUGAGCACCCAUUCUUGAAGAAUUAAAAUGUGUUUUAUAGUUUUUUCAGGAGAGAUUAGAAAAGUGAUUUCAAUUUGGGAAAAUUUAAUGUUGGUUAAAAUUUGUUUAUAAUUUUUGGGAAGGAAUGAGAGGACCCAUUGAAGUAUGUGUUGUGAUUAUUUUUUAUUCAUAUUUUUAACAAAUUGGGCAUGAAUUGGUAGGUUAACUGUGUGUGUUUAUUAUUUGAAUCGGCCAUGUUUGUCUUUCUAUGGUUCUAAAAAAUUUGUAAAGGCUGUUAACUUGGAAGAAAAUGGGAUCGAGGGUGAGGGGAAAACGGCAGAGAAAGCAUGGAAGAGAGAUUUGGGAUUAGGGGUAGGAAAACAGAUGAAAAGAAUAUGAUAGAGGAAUGGGUUCAGUUCAUUUUCACUAUUUUUUUUUAACUGAUUUGGAUUUUGUUUGGGUUUAACUCCGCCUAUGUCUUACAUGGCCGGUCCCAAGCCCGGAUAAAGGAGGAGGGGGAGGGCGUCAGGUAGUCGACAGCCGGCACUCCAUGAUCAUGUCGAAUCCUUAUGAAAAUGAAUCCAGAACAAAAUCGCGCUAAAGCUAGGACGUCACCCGUAAGUGGCGCGCUGUAUGGCCCGAGCACAGUGAUAAGUGAGCAAGGGUCGCUGUAUCUCCAUCGGCACCCGGAUGCAGUGUUAAAUGAGCAAGGGGGCCAUAGAAACUUCUUUUCGAACGACUCCACUCAAAGUUGUUUGAGAGCAUAUGCUCCUAUCAACUUUACCCGGGACACACAAAAGAAGUACUUUGAUCCUAUUAGACGGGGGAGGGUGAAGAAGCUAGGACAGAAGGGUAGAGUUCAAGAGAGCAAAAUGCGUUUAGGAACGUGGAAUAUAGGAACCUUAACGGGAAAAUCUAUGGAAGUAGUGGAAGUUAUGGUGAGGAGAAGGAUAAAUAUUAUGUGCCUACAAGAAACUAAGUGGGUUGGUAGUAAGGCAAAGGAUCUAGAAAACUCAGGGUUUAAACUUUGGUAUUCGGGCACAAAUAGAACGAGAAACGGUGUUGGCAUCAUCGUGGACAAGACCUUGGUACAAGAUGUUGUAGAUGUCAAGAGGGUAGGAGAUAGAAUCAUGGCAAUCAAGAUUGUAAUAGGACAAGAACUUAUCAAUGUGAUUAGUGCGUACGCACCUCAAGUAGGGUUGGAUACGAGUUCGAAGGAGAAAUUUUGGGAAGAUCUUGGAGACUUGGUGCAAGGAAUUGCUCAGACGGAGAAGUUAUUUAUAGGAGGAGAUUUAAAUGGACACGUGGGCAGGGAGACAGGCAACUAUGGAGGUUUUCAUGGUGGCCAUGGUUUUGGGGAGAGAAACGAGGAUGGGGAAGCUAUCUUGGAUUUUGCAAUGGCAUAUGAUCUCUUCUUAGCCAACACCUUCUUUAAGAAGAGAGAAGAACAUGUGAUCACCUACAAGAGUGGGUCGUCAAAAACACAAAUAGAUUUUCUUCUAAUGAGGAAAGGGGAUCGUAUAACUUGUAAGGAUUGCAAAGUUAUACCAGGAGAGAGCGUGGCUAAUCAACAUCGCUUGUUGGUGAUGGAUGUACAUAUCAAAAGAGUAAGACAAAAGAACAAGACUUGGAAGUGCCCAAGGACUAGAUGGUGGAAUCUAAAAGAAGAAAAACAAGCCAUUUUCAAAGAGAAGGUAAUCACCCAAUGUGUGUGGGAUAGAGAGGGGGAAGCUAGCCAAAUGUGGGAUUCCAUGGCUAGUUGUAUCCGAAAAGUAGCAAAAGAGGUAUUAGGAGAGUCCAAGGGCUUUGCCCCACACCAAAAGGAAUCUUGGUGGUGGAAUGAGGAGGUACAAACAAAGGUGAAGGCUAAGAAGGAAUGUUGUAAAGCCUUAUACAAGGAGAGGACCGAUGAAAAUGGUGAAAGGUAUAGAAAAGCGAAGCAAGAGGCGAAGAAAGCUGUCAGAGAAGCUAAGUUAGCGGCUUACGACGAUAUGUAUAAACGACUAGAUACCAAAGAAGGAGAGUUGGAUAUCUAUAAACUAUCUAGAGCAAGGGAAAAGAAGACAAGGGACCUAAACCAAGUGAGGUGCAUCAAGGAUGAGGAUGGAAAGGUUCUUGCUACAGAGAACGCGGUUAAAGACAGAUGGAGAGGUUAUUUUCAUAAUCUUUUCAAUGAAGGACAUGAAAUGAGUGCUUCUUUAGGGGAGUUGAGUAACUCAGAAGAGUGUAGAAACUACUCUUUUUAUCGUCGAAUCCGGAAGGAAGAAGUGGUUGUAGCUUUGAAGAAGAUGAAGCAUAAAAAAAGCAAUAGGCCCAGACGAUAUACCAAUCGAAGUGUGGAAACUUUUGGGAGAGACAGGUAUAACAUGGCUCACUGACCUUUUCAAUAGGAUUUUGAAAACGAAGAAGAUGCCAAAUGAGUGGCGAACGAGCACUUUGGUGCCUAUCUACAAGAAUAAGGGCGACGUACAAAAUUGCAUGAACUAUAGGGGUAUUAAGCUAAUGAGUCAUACAAUGAAGCUCUGGGAGAGAGUCAUUGAGCAUAGAUGAGGCAAGAGACACGGGUUUCGGACAACCAAUUCGGGUUCAUGCCAGGGCGCUCAACCAUGGAGGCAAUCUAUCUCUUACGAAGAUUGAUGGAAAGAUAUAGAGAUGGGAAAAAGGAUUUACACAUGGUCUUUAUAGAUUUGGAAAAAGCGUAUGAUAGGGUCCCAAGAGACAUUCUUUGGAGGAUUUUAGAGAAGAAAGGAGUACGAGUAGCAUAUAUCCAAGCUAUAAAGGAUAUGUAUGAAGGAGCAAAGACUGCCGUAAGAACUCAUGAAGGACAAACCGAAAGCUUUCCCAUAACUGUAGGAUUACAUCAAGGCUCAUCCUUAAGUCCUUACCUUUUUGCGUUGGUAAUGGAUGAGUUAACAGGACAUAUUCAAGAUGAUAUUCCUUGGUGUAUGCUUUUCGCAGACGAUAUAGUGUUGAUAGAUGAAACUCAGGAAGGGGUAAAUGCAAAGCUUAACCUUUGGAGAGAAGUGUUGGAAUCUAAAGGUCUUCGCCUAAGCCGAUCAAAGACAGAAUAUAUGGAGUGCAAGUUCAGUGCAAAUGGAGGCCAAAACGAGUUAGGGGUGAGGAUCGGAGAUCAAGAAAUACCAAAGAGCGACCGUUUUCGUUACCUAGGAUCUAUCUUGCAAAAGAACGGAGAAUUAGAUGGAGAUCUCAACCAUAGAAUACAAGCUGGAUGGAUGAAGUGGAAGAGUGCAUCCGGCGUGUUGUGUGACCGCCGUAUGCCACUGAAGCUCAAGGGAAAAUUUUAUAGGACGGCAAUAAGGCCGGCGAUGCUGUAUGGCACAGAAUGUUGGGCGGUGAAACAUCAACACGUACACAAAAUGGGUGUAGCGGAGAUGAGGAUGCUUCGUUGGAUGUGUGGGCACACGAGAAAGGAUAAGAUUAGGAAUGAGGAUAUCCGGGGUAAAGUAGGAGUAGCCGAAAUUGAAGGAAAGAUGAGAGAAAAUCGGUUACGGUGGUUUGGACAUGUGCAAAGAAGGCCUACUGACGCUCCGAUUAGAAGAUGCGACUAUGGGACAGAGGUUCAGGGCCGAAGGGGUAGAGGAAGACCUAGGAAAACUUUGGAAAGAGACUCUAAGAAAAGACUUAGAGUACUUGGAUCUAACGAAGGACAUGACACAGGAUCGAGCACAAUGGCGUUCUAAGAUUCAUAUAGCCGAUCCCACUCAGUGACUUGGAUUUUCCAAGUCUCCAACCGAGAAGUUUUCCUCACUCGGAAAAUUAAGGGAACACUACCCCAACCUACAUGCUCCACUCAGAAAGCUUCAACAUACAAGCUUCAACAAAAGAAAAUUCAAAGAACUUAGCGAAGAAGGCUUUGGUGUAUUUAACACAAUACGUUGAAAUGAAGGAAAGCUUAUUUAUUGAUAUCCCCGAUAAGCUACAAAUAUGUACAUAUACAUGAGUCAAAAUAAACACACAAGAGGGAGCCUUCACAAAGGUUGCUUAGGAGAAGUCUCAGCAGUCGGUAGAGCCCCAGAAAGAGAAGGCACCGGAGGGGGAUCAUUUGGAGCCUCAGUACUGGACAGAACCCUAGAAGGAGGAGGCAUCAGAGGUUGAUCAUUUGGAGCUUCAUUACGCGGUACAGCCCCAGAAGACGAAGGCAAUAAAUGCCUUUGGAACAAACCCACAAAUCUCUGAUGAUCAAGUAAAACCUGACCAUCAGUUUCCUUCAUCUGGUCAAGCUUCCUCUUCAUGUUUGUAGCAUAGUCAUGUGCGAGCCGGUGCAACUGUUUAUUCUCAUGCUUGAGCCCUCUAAUCUCCUGUUUGAGACUCAUCACUUCAGCCGCCAAUGAUUCAACUUGGCGGGUUCGAGCAAAUAGGCGUUGGGCCAUAUUAGACACAGAACCUGCACACUGAACACUGAGAGCCAGCGAAUCCUUAACAGCUAACUCAUCAGACCGUUUGGAAAGUAGUCUGUUAUCUUUGGGAGUGAGAAGGUUCCUGGCCACCACCGCAGCGGUCAUAUCAUUCUUCAUCACGGAAUCCCCAACGGUAAGAGGACCAGUAGGGGAGACGAAGGAUGGGCGCCAUAUGUUGUCUGGAGAAGGCGGGGCUGCCUCUUCAACAAGGUUCAAGUCAAAACGACGGUCGGAGGGGCCAGACAUUUUCAAAUGUGUUGAAGAGAGAAGAGGUCGGACAAAUCAAGAUCUUAGAAGUGCAAGAAUGAAGCUUCUACUGGUGGAGAUUCAAGUGUGCUUUGGAACUUAAUGCCAGCCCCUAUAAAAAUCUGCACUCGACGGAGCUUCAGAAAUCGAAGAGGCGCCUGCUCAGAAAUCGAAGAGGCGUUUGCUUUCUCAAAAGCUGGGCUGCUUAGAGAUCACGAGGGUUGAUCUCAGAAAUCGAAGAGGCGUUUGCUUUCUCAAAAGUUGGGCUGCUCAAAGACCUCGAAGGCUGAUCUCAGAAAUCGAAGAGGCGCUCGCUUUCUCAAAAGCUGGGCUCCCUAGAGACCACGAGGGCCGAUCUCAGAAAUCGAAGAGGCACCUACUUUUCCAGCCUUGUCAGCACCUGUCACACGCGCACACUCAGCUUUGCGGAAAUUAUGGGCAUUCUGUCGAAGACUUCUGGGGAAGUAGAAAAAACACAUGAAUCUUACUGUUCAAUCACCCACUUCCCACACGCAACAAUAGCUCAUGGGUACCACAGAUAACUUUGCCAAAGUUCUCUGCCAAAGUUGAGCACGUGAAGCUUGCAGCUCCCACUACAUCGCUCUGACCAAGAAGGGUAAAAGAAUAGCAAAGAAACACAGCACUAACAAAGUUUAGACCCAUAAAUUUUGAAGGUCUAGCUACCAUAUUAUUACCACACACAGGGUAAAGGAACAGUACCACUGCUGGAUAAUUGGAAAGUCCCUGUUUGUCAACCUCUGUGCUUCGUGGCAAGGUAGACUAGCAAACAUGCCCAACCUUUACUCACAUUCGAGAAAACACUCCCAAUAAGAUUGCUUGCUCCAAAAUCGAAGAGGCACCGUCCUCCGAAUCUCGAGAGCCAGACUCCCAACAUGACUACUUUCUUAAAAAUCGAAGAGAGGGUAAAGGAACAGUACCAUUGCUGGAUAAUUGGAAAGUCCCUGUGUGUCAACCUCUGUGCUUCGUGGCAAGGUAGACUAGCAAACAUGCCCAACCUUUACUCACAUUCGAGAAAACACUCCCAACAAGAUUGCUUGCUCCAAAAUCGAAGAGGCACCGCCCUCCGAAUCUCGAGAGCCAGACUCCAAACAUGAUUACUUUCUCAAAAAAUCGAAGAGACACUGCUCCCCGAAUCUUCGAGAGCCAGACCCCCAGCAUGAUUGCUUUCUCAAAAAUCGAUGAGGCAUCGUUCUCCGAAUCAAUCGAAGAGGCGCUCGCUUUCUCAAAAGCUGGGCUGCUCAGAGACCACGAGGGCCGAUCUCAGAAAUCGAAGAGGCACCUACUUUUCUAGCCUUGUCAGCACCUGUCACACGCACACUCAGCUUUGCAGAAAUUAUGGGCAUUCUGUCGAAGACUUCUGGUGAAGUAGAAAGCACAUGAAUCUUACUGUUCAAUCACCCACUUCCCACACGCAACAAUAGCUCAUGGGUACCACAGAUAACUUUGCCAAAGUUCUCUGCCAAAGUUGAGCACGUGAAGCUUGCAGCUCCCACUACAUCGCUCUGACCAAGAAGGGUAAAAGAAUAGCAAAGAAACAGCACUAACAAAGUUUAGACACAUAAAUUUUGAAGGUCUAGCUACCAUAUUAUUACCCACAAGGGUAAAGGAACAGUACCACUGCUGGAUAAUUGGAAAGUCCCUGUGUGUCAACCUCUGUGCUUCGUGGCAAGGUAGACUAGCAAACAUGCCCAACCUUUACUCACAUUCGAGAAAACACUCCCAACAAGAUUGCUUGCUCCAAAAUCGAAGAGGCACCGUCCUCCGAAUCUCGAGAGCCAGACUCCCAACAUGACUACUUUCUCAAAAUCGAAGAGAGGGUAAAGGAACAGUACCAUUGCUGGAUAAUUGGAAAGUCCCUGUGUGUCAACCUCUUUGCUUCGUGGCAAGGUAGACUAGCAAACAUGCCCAACCUUUACUCACAUUCGAGACAACAGUCCCAACAAGAUUGCUUGCUCCAAAAUCGAAGAGGCACCGCCCUCCGAAUCUCGAGAGCCAGACUCCCAACAUGAUUACUUUCUCAAAAAUCGAAGAGACACUGCUCUCCGAAUCUCGAGAGCCAGACCCCCAGCAUGAUUGCUUUCUCAAAAAUCGAAGUGGCAUCGUUAUCCGAAUCUCGAGAGCCAGACUCCCAACAUGAUUACUUUCUCAAAAAUCGAAGAGACACUGCUCUCCGAAUCUCGAAAGCCAGACCCCCAGCAUGAUUGCUUUCUCAAAAAUCGAAGAGGCAUCGUUCUCCGAAUCUCGAGAGCCAGAUACCACAUACCACUUUUUCAAAGUGCUCUGACAGAGUUAAAACAUGUGAAACUGGCAGCUCCCACUACCGUGCUAUGACCAAGCAGGGUAAAGGAAUAACAUUACUACUUGUUAGGGAGACUCCUAUAUAUGUUGACCUCCAUCCCCAACAGACAGGCAGACCUGCAAAAAUGCUCAACCCUUCAUCAUAUCUGAGAGGGCACUCCCAACGAAGCCUUUCGAAAUAUUCAGCUUUCUUUCCCCCCGAUAAUACCUCUGCAAACAAGCUAUACUAGAGCAAGAAUAUCUCAUAUCAUCAGGGUUAAAAGCAAGAGUAUCCCAUAUCAUGCUUUUUCCCUGUCUUUUCCUUUGGCCUUGUUUUUACCUGCAAGACAAGGAGAAAGAGAGCAAUCAGUCAGCACUUGGAAUCAAGCUUCCAGCUAGGAACUGACUGCCUGGAACCCCUUACCUGAUUACUUACCUGGCAUUGCUCUCGAGUACUCAUCUUCAACAUCUUAUGUUUCCAGGGAAGAUUCCGCAUCUGCUUGAGGAACAGAUAGGGCAAGUGCGAAAGAUACAAGGAAGCAUGUGGAGACAAGCGUAACAGCACACGUGCCGAUACAUCCAUUACUCUGUCAAAAGCAAAAGUAUCCCAUAUCAGCAGGGUGGAAAGUACUCUAGAUUUGAUGGACUUGUUUUGACCCUCAAAUUCUUCAGUCGACCUUAUACUCUGGAGGAAACCAGAAAACCCUCCAGCUCAGUUCAAGAAUAAGCCUGUGGAAAGUUACUUCUUCAAAAGCAAAAGUAUCUCAUAUCAUCUCUUCUCAUUUUUCUUCUCUUUAUCCUUCAUGCUGCUGCAAGAUGGGGAGAAGGUGAACAAUCAGUCGGAGCUCUGAUUGCUUACCUUGUCUGUCACCUCUUUCAGCAGACCCCUAGCUCGGCGACUUGGGGGACUCCUACUACAUGGUUUGUAUCGCGCUUGACCAAGCCUGAAACUACAAGUAAGCUUCAAGUGAAAUUGAUACAUUACCUUGUGCAUCUCCACCAGUUAAAGAUACCACCCCUGGAUGGAGGAAGAGUACUUCCAGAAAAGAUGCCACAUCUACCUAUGAGACAGAUAAGGCAAGUCAAGACGACACCACACUCCGAUACUUAGAAGUUUCGUGAUUACGAGAUCAUUCUCCCACAAUAUUUCCUAAUGUCAUUUGUACUAAAUCAUUCACUUGUACUCACUAAAGGAGAGCUUGAACCUAUGUACUUGUGUAAACCCUUCACAAUUAAUGAGAACUCUUCUAUUCCGUGGACGUAGCCAAUCUGGGUGAACCACGUACAUCUUGUGUUUGCUUUCCUAUCUCUAUCCAUUUAUAUACCUAUCCACACUAAUGACCGGAGCAAUCUAGCGAAGAUCACAAAAAGCGACCGUUUUCGCUACCUAGGAUCUUAUCUUGCAAGAGAACGGAGAAUUAGAUGGAGAUCUCAACCAUAGAAUACGAGCUGGAUGGAUGAAGUGUAAGAAUGCAUCCGGCGUGUUGUGUGACUGUCGUAGGCCACUAAAGCUCAAGGGAAAAUUUUAUAGGACGGCAAUAAGGCCAACGAUGUUGUAUGGCAUAGAAUGUUAGGCGGUGAAGCAUCAACACGUACACAAAAUGGGUGUAGCGGAGAUGAGGAUGCUUCGUGGGAUGUGUGGGCACACGAGAAAGGAUAAGAUUGGGAAUGAGGAUAUCCGAGGUAAAGUAGGAGUAGCCGAAAUUGUAGGAAAGAUGAGAGAAAAUCGGCUCCGGUGAUUUGGACAUGUGCAAAGAAGGCCGAAUGACACUCCGAUGUGACUACGGGACAGAGGUUCAGGGCCGAAGGGGUAGAGGAAGAUCUAGGAAAACUUUGGAAGAGACUCUAAGAAAAGACUUAGAGUACUUGGAUCUAACGGAGGACAUGAUACAAAACCGAGCGCAAUGGCGUUCUAGGAUUCAUAUAGCCGACCCCACUUAGUGGGAAAAGGCUUUGUUGUUCUGUUGUUGUUGUUGGAUUUUGUUUGGGUUUGAGGCCAUCAUUGGCGUUAAGACGUUUAUUAUCAGAUCGUGUGUUUUUUGCUAACUUUUAUUGGUAAUUUUAAUGUUGUUCUUAUGAUUUUGUGUGGUAGGGUUUCUGAUUUUUAUCGUUAUUCAUUUGGUUUUUUGUGUGUGUUGGUUUGUUUAUUUUGCAGGUUGUGUUUGUGCUGGGACAACAUUUUCCACCUUCUGUUUGCACUGGGAUGAUUGCGUUUUAAAACUGUUGGGGUGAGAUUUACAUAUGGAAUCAUUCCAUUUUUUUUCUUCCAAAUAUGUGCAUUUAGUUCUCUUUUAUUUUAAAUUUUAAAAAUUAAAUCGUUAUUUGAGUAAAAUGUUUUAUCAGUUUAUGUUAUGUGUUGUGACCAGGAAUUCUGUUGGAUUUGCGAAUUUUGGUUUGAUGAGAGAAAUGAGGAGUUUUUUUUGUUUGAAUUUUUUAUUGGACCGAUUUUCAAUUGGAUUGCAUUCUGCCUUUUUGCACCAUUCGUAUGCAAGCAAUUCAUUGUUUUAAAUACAAUUUGAAGAGAGCUGGGUUGCGGGUUGGAUAUAAAAUGUUAAGGUGAGAUAAAAUCGAGAUACCAAGGGUGGAAGAAUGAUUCAGAAUUGGGGGAGGAAAACAGAGGGAAGAUAGAAGAGUAUAAGAGAAGGAUAGGGUUGACCUCAUUUAGAGUUUUUAUUUACUUAUUUUUUUUUAUAAAUUGAUUCAGGACUUGCAUAUCAUUUCUAAAUUUCUAACAUUUUUGUUUAAUUUGACUCCAGUUGAUGGAAAACAGAGCUCUUACUCCUAUCAAUCAGUUGGUCCCGUACAUAAAUGCAGAAAAAUCAAGGUUCGAGUUUGCAGAGUAUGCAGACCAAGGUUUCCCGAAACUACUGGUGCAUAUUCAGGCUUGCAUUGUAUAUUACUUACCUAUUAAAAAUUUGUUUGGAAUUUGCUUUUCCCACAGAGGAGAAGAGCUGACAGUUACGCUGUGGGCAGAUGUUGCUCGAAGUAUUGCUUCUUUAUCCAUUGAAUCAUUGUCUCUGCCGAUCAUUGUGGUUUUCACAAGUUUAAAGGUCAAGCUGUACCUAGGUAUUUGACUUAGUUAAAAACUAAUCUAUUUACUAUUAAUUUUUCUAUUAUAUUCAAACGUUAUUUAAUAUAUACUCUACUAAUAUUUUCUUAACAUGUCACACAAACAUAUUCACUUCUUUUGAUCAAUUUUUUACAGCGUUUCAUAUAAAAGCUAACAUUUAGUUGAAAUUGAUUAGCAACUCUUUUCUUGCAUGUAUACAUACGAAUUAAACAAUAGUAUUAAACUAUUUGUUAUCAUUCUCAGUUUUUGUUUUAGAAUUAGAUUAAUAUAUUUAACCUGUUUUAGAAUUAGAAUUAUUUGGUAUCACUCUCAGUAUUUGUUUUAGAAUUAGAAUUAGAUUAAUAUACUGAGAUUAUUUAGACAAAUCUAGCAUUUUCUCAAAAUAUUUGACUUUUAAACUUAGAUUAAUAUAUUUAGCAGUUUUUUAACAUGCAAUUUUUCAUUAAUUUUUCAACACACAGACAAGAUAGUCUUGAACACCAUUGGUUCAUCACUUUUCUUCAUUGAUCUAGAUAUUCUGGAAGUAAAUUCAUACAAAUCAGUGUAAGUGUGUUUACUUUGUUUAAAAAAAUAUUAUAUGCUCUCACAAUAAAAGAAGGGCUAUUCUCACAAAAUUUAUGAACUAAUGUUCUGUUUUAACCUCUACAGCUUUUCCAAAUGCACAGAACCUCUAAAAAUACUGCCACCUUUUACAAAACAGGCCCGUGAAGCUCAAAUCUUGCAGACAGCGAAGGUCACAAUUGCAGACGCUGAAAUUUUCAUGCCAAAAUAUGAUGUGGAGGAUGAGAAAUUGUUUGCUGUUGUUCUCUUUUCAGUUUUGCAGGCGAUGAUCUUUUACCAAAUGUCGAGGAGCUUCCAUGGGACAUGCUCUAUGCUCUCGCUUCCCAGUUGCCUCUGUUGGGGUUGGAAAAGCUACAGAUCACAAUGUAAGUCAAAAACAGUAAAGUUCCCAAGAUGUUCUGUGCUGGAGCAGAUUUAAAGGUACGAAUUUUUAAUUUUUUUGUGAAGUCGAUGUUUUGUUUUAAAAGGAGUUAUAAUGGAUUGAUUGGACAAGUACAGAGUGUUUGUUUGUUUGGUUGAAUGUAAAAAGGAAUUGGAAGAAUGAUGAAAGUACUUGCAUUUGGUUGUAGUUGGUCAGGCACUGAAGGACCGGUCAAUACGAAGUGCAUCUGUGGGACAAUAGUUGAAAGAAGGCCAGAGCAGGAAGAGAAGGCAAGGUUUGUGAAGAAAAACAGUAAAAGGUCGUACCCAGUGCACAAGGCUCCCGCUUUACGCAAGGUCUGGGAGAGGUGAAUGUCGGCUAGCCUUACCCCCAUUCUGCUUUUGUUUAAUUAGAAGAAAUGUGCAUUUUUUUUUCCCAGUCAAAUUCUGCUUUUGUUCUGACUAUUUUCCUUACUGUAUGCUGAUUUUAUUAUUUAAUUUUUGGUUUUUCCUUGAUUGGCUUGGGAAUUACAAUCAAAUGAUGAAUCUUCAGUUUACUUGGGUAAGCAUUUUUUAACAUAUAAUUUAGCUGACCAUUUUAACUGUCAGACCAUGUUGUUUUUGGUUAUCUAAUCAUUCCAAGAUGGCAAGUUAGGAUUGGAAGGGUUGCUAGAAAUAAGGAUUAUAUCUUGGGACAUUCGGUGAGUGAUUUUUCAAACUUUCAGUUUUACAAGACAAAAUAUCUAUUUUUGUGUGUAUUCUUCAAGCAUGUUAUCAUUAUUUAGGUUGUAGGAAAAAAAGAGAGUGACUUGAGGUGUUUUUAGAUAUUUUUGUGUGUAUUCUUCACAAUGUAUUAAAAGCGCGAGGCGUGGGCGAGGCGUCCGAGGGAUAGCCCACGCCUCACGCCUUACGGGACCUAAAUUUUUUAAUAUAUACACUGAGCGUACACAUAUAUUAUAUUAAAAAAAAUUAUUAAUCAAUAAUCACCCUGAGCACACAUAUAUAUUAUAAAUACAUAUAUACACAUAUAUAUACAUAUAUAUACAUAUAUUAUGUUAUAUAUAUAUAUAUAAAAUAGAGGAUGAAAAGCACAAUGAGCACACAUAUAACAAUGCAUGCAGACAGCACACAAUAUAGUGCAAGGAAUAGGUAUGAGGUAGUUAAAACCCUACCCAAAAUCUGGGUUUGGGAGUAAAAAUAAAAAAAAAAAAAAAAAUUGCAUGAGGCGCGCCUAGACGGCUCCGACAACGCCUUCCGGCGCCUUCCGCCCACUCCCUCAAAACAAAGGCGGCAACCCUCAAGUCCAGCCUCACAGGGUGCCUAGGCGCACCCUGAGGUGAGCCUUUUAAAACAUUGAUUCUUCAAGCAUGCUAUCAUAAUAUUUGUAACUAUAAAAAAUAAUAUACUAUUAUACCUCUGUUUCUCUUUUCUUUGUUUUCAUGAGAAAUUAAUUGCCAUUGGCAGCACUAUAGAAAGCCAUCUUUCUCCAUUAUUCUCCGCUUCAUGCAUAAUUACAUAAUUCUACUAUCACAGUUGUCAGUCCUGAACAAUAAUGCAAGUCUAGUGGCAAAAACCACCUCAAUGAACAACUCACACACACACACAGACACUGAUCAUACAUCUCUAACUCUCUUUUUCAAAUAACACACUCUGAUCCAAAACAGGGUAAAUAAAAUGCACAUCCUUAUACAUUUCUAACUUUGUUUUUCGAAAUCCAAAAUAGGGUAUUCUAACUCUCUUUUUCAUUCAUUUCUUACAAACCAAUCAUACAUUUAAAAUAGGCUUUGAAUAAAAAUAGGGUAUAUAAUUAUAUACCUCAAAAUGCCUAGGAACCAACUUCCCCCUCCAACGAUUCAAAUUCUUGAAAUUGCCAACACAGUAAAUCCAUUAGUACUAUAUAAAUGAAAACACAAUUGAAACCCAUCAAACAAAACAAUCCCACAAUUUAAAUGAUUCAAUCCUACUACAAUUGAAAUUCACAGAAAGAAUGAAAAACCAGAACAAAACUGCAGCACCUAAAAAGUUGUCAUACAAAAAAAAACAUGGAAUGUAAAAAUAUGUUAAGAAAUCUAGUUCGUUAAUUUCCAGCUGCUAAGUGGCAUUAUGUAACUUUAGUAGUAUAACUAAUUAACUACUUAUCUGGUGGGUUGCACUUUUAUCCAAUUGGUAAGGAAAGGAAAAUAAAAAUCAACCCCUUGGUCUUAGUUGUGGCUGCAAAGUGCAGGCCACCACCAAGUCUCAGUGUUUGUGUUUUAGCAAAACACUUAAAUAAAUUAAAUUCUGAAACGUAAAUUAUAUUCCUAUAACUUUAAGAUGCACAUAUAGUAUUGUUGAAGUCGAACUGAAAGCACUGACAAUUCCAAGCAACAAAGCAGCAAUUAUUAAGAGCCAAAACUCAUUCCUAGUCUCCUCAUCCUGGUACUCAACUCCGUAAUCUUCUGUCAGCAUCAUUGACUGAAAUUAGGAGAGAAAAAGAAAAGGAAUUUCAGAAAUUGUCUAUGAAGCAAAGGAUACUGCAGUUACUUCAAGACAUGUAAAUUGCAUAUGUAUAAAGUAAUUUUCUACAUAAAGUAAUGAGGCAUAACUUUCUCUCUCCUCUUCAAACCCUAAACAGAGCAAAGCAAACUUUACAGAGAUUAGAAUGAGAACUGGAACUAAUCGAACAAUGACUGAAAAGUAACAUACUUGAGGAGUGAAUGAUUUAGUGUUUCCAUCAUCGGAAGCCGGAGUAAGUCGCUAAGAGAGGUCGCAAACAGCCCAAAGGGACAAACCCAGAUCCCCGGCCCCGAUCCAUACCCUUCCCCCUCAAAUCCCGACGGCCCCCAUACUUUUCUCUGACUGUACCCCCUCUCCCACUCAUGAAAUCGAGGAUCUGUCGCAAUGGUACUGAGAUCCCCACUCCUCCCUCUCCCUUUCUCUCUGUCGCUCUGUCUCCCUCUCCCUCUGUCUGUCUAUCUUUAUCCCAGAGCGGCAUGGCCUCCCAUCCCUGAAACCCUCACCGAAAGUUGGCAAUUUUGUAAAUAACUUGAAAUCCACCAACAGCAGGGGUAGAGAAUUGAAACAAACAUUUAGGCUCGUUCGAUAACCAUUUAGGCCAAAACUGAGCACACCUAAACCAUUCCUACUCGUGCCAAAUGUUAGUGGGGAAGCAAGAUGAUGACUUUAUUAUUCAAAACCAAAAGAAAAAAAGAGAGAAAACAAAAUAACAAAUGUAAUGGUUGUAGUGUAAAAGCUGAGAACGUAAAUAAACAUGCAGGGAAAAAAAUUGAAGAUACAAAGUAGCUGCAUCAUGAACACUUACUCCAAUUAGACGCAAAAAGUGAUGGUGAUGAGAAGAGAGAGAAAAUGCAGUCGUUUUGAUUUUUCUGGCUUUUAAAGGGAGCAGCUUUCUUCGACCACCAAAAAAAGGAAGCUGCUUUUCGUGUGGUUGUGAUUUCCUGAGUGUAUGUGAGCGGGUCUAUGGCACUUGCACUGUUUGUGUCGGUUACGGUAACCGGGCGAGCUGGACACGGCAGCGUGGGACUGAAUUCGGAGAGGUGAGAAAAAUUAAAAACACAAAAAGAAGGUGUUCAUUUUGUCACAUUUUUAUUACGAAAAAUUCAAUAAAGUACAUUCAUUAGUAUGGUAACUUAACUAUUUAAUUCCAUCUCAUUAAACUAAAAAAAACAAUUACAAAAAAAUAAGGAAAACCUUGUCCAGAGAGACCUGAGAGAAAGUGACGACUUCUCCUCUCAUUCAACUCCAUACUUGAUCUCUAAAGUCCAUUUGGCAUGUAAUUGAUGUUCACUUUCAAAUUUAGUGGUAGCAAUUAGCAAAGCUAAUGAAAGAAUCAAAUAAAAUGAAAGAAAAAGCAUCAUGAAAUAAAUCAAGAUGAAGAAUGAAAUUUUGGCAACUCGCCAUUCUCUUCUUUUAUAUAAAAGAUACAUCCUAUUUGUAGUGAAAACAGAUCCCGACAAACCCAGUUAUCCUCAAGAAGUAUUUUGUAUGACUUUAAAAACAUAAUCCGUGAAAUUAUCUCUUGGCUGAGAACAACAACAAAUCUUCAUGCAUAGCUUGUAGAGAAAGACAUCAGGCAUACAAAAGAACACGCAAGCAUAAAAUAAACGAAGCAGGGAAAACCAAAAAUACAAUUGAAUACGCUGUCAAAAGAACAUGAAUAAAUGAAAAUACCAAACAAAGCAGUGAUGAGAAACCAAAGUACCCAUUUCAUAAUCUAAUUGCUUUUUAGUUUGCUUGCCAUUUUUAGUUCUUCAAUUUAGAGAGACACCAUAAUUCAGCACAUGAAUAAAGUGAAAACGUAAAAGAUAUGUGGGAUAGGCUGACAGCCAUCCCUGAGUAAUGCAUUCACUUCUGAACCCCAAACACACUGAAACAAAAAUUCACACACAUGAACUACAGCUCCGCUUUGUAACAAGAAUUAAAAGCAUCUCAAAACAAAAUGGCAAACUAUAAGAGCAUUGUAAAAGUAAAAUUGCAAGAAAUCUAAUACUUGGAGGGCAAGUACUCAUCAGACGAAAAUGAAAGAUUGAACUACCUCGCGUGGAACUGUGCCUUGGUUUUUUCCCAUGCUUACAGGAAGCUUUGCACUGAGCUCUUAUAGUCCAAAUUUUCUCUGAAGGAAAAAAACACAAUUUUGAAAUAAGAUUUUCGUAUUAUACCUUAAAGAGAAGAAUUAGACAACAAAAUAGAGAACAAUGAGUACUAUUCAUCAUAUAUUGUUAGAGUAUGUGGCCCUCUGGUCCAAUGGUCCCGCAGCCAUAUUUCCUUUAUAACUCUUUCUUUUAAUCUAAAAAACAUCUUGAAUCUCAAAUUAGUAUGAAUACGGAUUCAUACUUUAUAACUAAAGAUCUUACUGCUCUUGAUAAGAUGAACAAUACGCCAUUUCUCGCAUGCAUUGCAUUACAAUCACAAUGCAACAUCUCAUUAGAAAUCCCCACACAAAUUUUUUUUAUUGCUACUUUGAUUUUAGUUUAUAUUUUUUCUGAAGCAUGAGGGAGCUAAUUUUUUUUUUUAAAUUUUUUAUUCCAAUAAUGUUAUAGGGAGGGUUGCAAGGAUAUUAUCAAUUGUAUUUGAUUGGUGGAACUUCUACAUCUAUAUUUUAGGUUUUCAAUUUUAGCACUGGGAGAGUCAUUCAUAAAAUGUUUGACAGUGAGAUUACCUCCAUGGACUAUGCUCACAAUGGACAGCUCAUUUUCCGCGGUGAUGGGACAAUAUAUUUCAGUCAUUCGCCAUUCAAUCAAUUCAAACUGAGGAACAUGCAACAUCAAGAAGAGGAUCUACCAUGUCAGGAUCACUAUCGUCCAAUUAAUACAAAAAAAUCUAGAUAAAAACGAUCAAUUUACAUAAAAGCCCUUCAUUUUCUCAGCAACCAAGCAAAAGAAAAUACCUAUCCGUUAAACACUCGAUUUGGGAGUAAAUGUUGCUGAAACUGGACUUCAAUCCCCUCAACCGCAACAACCGAAUCGAGGUGUGCAAGUCAUUGAAAAACUCACCCAAGAUUUCAAAAUCUGCAUAGAGAAAUAAAUAAGCACAUAAAUUAGCCCAACCCAUAAAUCAAAGAAAUCAAAAUCCACCCAGAAUCAAAGAAAUCAAAAUCCAUCCAGAACCAAAGAAAUCAAAAUCACACACAGAUAUGCAAGACAACGCAAAUUUGAAGCCUUACUUUUCGGGUAGCUUGGCGGCUGACAUGAGUCUUCUUCAGAGUUUCAUCCAUCCAUGGAUCCAUUUGGUCCGCCCGUCGCUUCUGGGUCGUACAAUCUUAAAAUCUGCAAAAUGAAUUUAAAGAAUCAAUUUUUACGAUUGAAAAGCCAAAAGUGCUACAAACUCCAAAUUGCUGAGAACCAAAGUGGAGUAACAGUUACAGGUCACGAGAUGAGAUGAGGACAUUGUCGGAUUUCAGGGCGAACCUGACUCUGGAAAUUGCAUCUCGGAUCGGGCUUUCGAACUUCAAAGGAGCUCCGCUCAUUGUGGUCCUUGCAGACCGAACUGGCCUAACAAUCAGCGAGAGAAAGGAGACGGCGGCAAGAUGAGGGAUACAAUGGAUGCGAGAUCGUCUGUAUCGUUCUCGCGGGGGGUUUGCAAGACGGACGAGGAAAGUAGGGUUUGAUGAGGCAUUGUCUUCGCGCGGGGUAUGUGUCCUUCCCAUUCCAUGAUUAUCAACACGUGUGCAUCAACAGAAGCGGCAGAGAGAGGCAUUAUUGUAAAUAAAGUGAAAUCGAAGGGCAAUGGCCCUUUUUUUUUUAAGGUAAUGGCAUGGCCAUAAAUAGAAUGAAAUCCAGAUCAAAACACUGUCAUUUGUACAGUACAAUUUCUCCAUCUUCUUUAGACUAAAGUAAUGUAUAUGUUAUACGCACCAACACAAGUCCUUCUUAGAUAAAUCCAAGCCAAACAAUUACAGACGAUAGUUAUUCACAAAAUCACUUUAAAGUAAGAAUUUAAUUAAUAAUACAUUACUGCACUUUCUUAACAAUUUGACUAUCACCUAGCUGACAAUGAACAUGUUAGCUAUGCGUUAGAACAUAUUGGGUUCAAUCCAUUGUCUUGAAUAUUACCCCCAGUCACAGCCGUCUCUUGGGGGCAUACAGAAGGCCUGAGAGGCAUUUGCAGACAUUCAACAUCUCCUCCAAGCAUUUCGACAACUUUGGACAUCGAAGGGCGAUCACUUGGUUUCAUUUGAAUACACCACAAGGCGGUUAUAACCACCUUUCUUAUCACUUUCUUUUCCUUCUCUGUAACAUUGUCUAUUUCCAAGUCAUUUCCCACAAAAUACUGAUCGUAUACCUACAGCGGGAAGUAGAUUUGGCUUGGAUGCUCUACCGUUGCAUUCAAAUUCUUCCUUAUGCUUGCCAUUUCCAUCAACAACAUUCCAAAACUAUAGACAUCGGCCUUGUAUGAGACACCUCCAAUAUUUUUGUAGAACAACUCAGGAGCAAUAUAUCUCAUUGUACCCCGUGCUGUCGUCAAAGAGACAAUGCUAUUAUCUACUGGAUACAAUUUUGCAAGCCCAAAGUCAGAAACCUUUGCUUUAAAGUUCUCAUCAAGAGGGAUGUUAUGAGGCUUGAUGUCAAAAUGUAGAAUUUUCAUUUUACAACCUUGAUCUAGAUAUUCGAUCCCAUGACUCCAAGAGAAAUCUUGUACAUAGUCUUGAUAGUUAAGGGAAGACUUCCUUCUUUGGAAUAAAUGUAUUUAUCAAAAGAGCCAUUAGGCAUAAAGUCAUAUAUUAGAGCGCGCUUUGAUCCCUCGACACAAUCACAAUCACAAUCACAAUCACAAUCACAAUCACAUUCCAACAUGGAAUCCUCAGACGACAUGCCUACUGCAGAACAAGUUUCAUCCUUACUUAACUUCUAUUUAGUCCACUUCCUGUUUAGAUUGUAAUCCUAGUUCUGCGUGUGUUUGUAUAGUACUCCUAUAAAUAUCAAUGAAAACCGCUCACUCUAAUUAGGAGUUGAGAUUCUGCAAAUCAUAUUUACUAUCUUUCAUGGUAUCACGAGCCAAGGUCUAACGACAACGGUUCCUGUUAUAAUUUUUUUCUCUUUUGUAGAUCCUAAACUAUGGCAUCUUCUUCCUCCUCCGAUGCUCCCUCCGUCACAAAUUUUCUUACGAUCAAGCUCGACCUCAACAACUACCCUCUCUGGCGUGCUCAAUUUCUUCCCUUGCUGCGCAGCCGCAACUUACUCUCUUAUGUUACUGGCGAAACUCAAUGCCCAUCUGCCUUUGUUCUUGAUGACAAUGGUAAAUUCACAGACAAAGUCAAUCCAUUAUAUAAUGAAUGGAUCCAGACUGACUAGAUGAUCCUAUCUUGGAUUACGAGUUCUCUUACUCCCAAGGUUCUUGCUACGAUCGUCAACAAAAUUGAUUCGACCUCUGCUUGGUUGUCAAACCCGAAUUAAUCUGAUUAUGGGGGUUUUAUUUUAUAUCAAUAUAUUGCAGCAGAAGUCGCACUUUGAAGAGUUCAUGCUGCACAGAAAGAUUCUUAAAUGCUACCUGUUGAGUCUAUCAUUGCUCCAUUGGAGACAGAGCUGAAGCUUGCUGCAGGAGUUAUACAUUUGUUAUGCAAUAUGACCCCUUUAAUUUUAUUUUAAAACUGAUACAAAAAUUUAUGUAGUAUUUUUGUAUCAGUUUUGAGUGUCUAUUUUGGCUUCCAUAUUUCGUCUGUACAUGUGAGAGGUAUAGCGUUCAAUAUGUAUUUGGUUUCUAUAUUGUUAAUGGAUCUUUUUUUUUUUAAGAUAACCAAGUUGCAGGAUGACAGCAGAACACUUGAUCUGUAGGUAAACCUUCAAUUUCCAUAUGAAGUUUGCAUGUUCGUUGUUUCUGGAAUUUGAGUUUUUAUUAUUUCUCAAUUCUAUCACAUAGAUUACGAUUUCACAUAUGGGAUUAUUAAUGGCAAUUAGAUGAUGGAAGAAUUGGGAUUGGAAGAAGAUAUUGAGUUGUUUAUUUAUGGGGAUUAGAAAAUUUUUAUCAUAAGUGUGGAUGCAAAUUUCUUCCUCCUUGAUCUUGGACAAAAUUGCACCUACAAAACAAUUAACACCUUAGGUCAAGGCCAAGAGCCUCACGCGCUCACGAUGAAGGGGGGGGCUUUGGUCGAAGAACCUCCGAUGCCAAAGUUAGAAUUUAGAGAGAAAAAGUGUUUGAGAAUUCUAGAGAAUUUUAGCAAGAGUUGCAACUAGGUUUUGGUGAGAAAUGUGGGGCUUUCUAUAGAGGAGUGGCCGGCCUCUUAGGGUGAGAAAGGACCGGUCACAUAGCCUAGUUUGUGGGUUUUGUUCAUGAUUUAAGAUGAUUUUGGGAGUUAUGUGAUUAAUUGACUAAUUAAUUAGGAAAACUAAUAAAAAGGGCUUGAAAACUUUGAGUUUUAAUGAUAAGGACAAAAUAAAGGGUAAAGUGAAUAGUACCAGGAUUGACUUUUUAGUGUAAAAAUGUGGUUUUUCGUUAAAAUGAACAGUACCGGGUGCUUUUCGUUAAAGUUCCCUAAUUAAUUUGGCGAAAUAAAAUUAUUACCAAAUGAAUUAGCUAAUUAAUGGGAUGAAAUGGGCAAAUAUCAAGAGAUAAACAAAACAUGACCAAUUCCUUUUCUAACAAUAGGUGGCCGGCCCUUCACUUGUUUUUGGGGUUGCAUGGAUGUUUUAAUUGACAAUUAAGGAAUUGAUUAGGCAAUUAAUCCCUUAAUUAGUCAAUUAUUAUGAUUUUAAAGGAAGAUUUUAGGAAAUAUGAAAGGAAUAUAUUAUUUAGCUAAUUGAUUAGCUAAAUGGAAUAAAUUAGGUUUUGGGAAUUACCUUAAAUGAGGAUGGAUGAGAUAAUUUGGAAUUGGUUACCUUUUUGGAGCAUUUUUGACUUGGUUAAGGAUGAUUGCCCGCUACUUGCGCAUAGGAAUCCCGUUAUACCUCAAGGGUAUUUUUGUCAUCUUUUACCCAAAAAACCACGUGUCACCUUGUGAUUAUUUUUGGCUCCACAAUACGAGUGAUAUUUAUUUUUGUGUGGAUUGUUAAUAUAUAAAACUAUAAGCUUUUGAGAUUGGGAGACAAAACCCACAAAUUCAAUUCAGACAAAAUAAAUAAAAAAUUUAACUGACUUAAAGAUCAAACUCCAAAAGGGUAUUAAAAACAAGGCUUAUUUGAUCCAUUGAGUGUGAAAGUUUUGAGCUUUGAAGAAGCAGAGGAGGAGAGUUGUUAACCAAGCUGCAUUAUCUAUGUAUUAGGAUGUUGAGGGUAGGCAGGAAAAAUACUUUUUGACGCCAAAUCCAGAGGAGCAUAACGACAGGCCUGCAUUUUUGCAGCAAGGACCAAAACAAGUAUAAGUGAAGGCUUGACUGUUUGGGUAUUAAUCCUAAACCUAAUUAUUCUUAUUUAGGUUUAGGAUAAAUGAUUGAGUGUGUCUCGAUGAUUGUAUUACUAUGUUUGAUGAAUGAUUUGAGGAGUUGGAAAUGGUUUAUUGCUUAUGUUUUUCUUAGGUGUGUACUUUGGUUAUUUCCGAGCUUUUCACGACUUUUGAUACCUAAUAAAGAAUAUGGAAACCCCAACUUCAAUUUUAUGAAUUGAUUUUGGUGCCUAAAAUGAAAUCUAGCAUAGUGAAAUCUUGCAUAAUGAAAUUAUGACAAAUUUCCCUUCAUCUUUAUAUUUUCAUUUAAUUCAAUUGGUAUGCAAUUUAGGGUUAUUCAAUUCAUGAGUGAUCAAAUUAUGUUUUUAAUUCCUUCUUUUGAUUUACAGUUCAACAUUGUCGUACAAAAUGAAAAAGGCGCCAGUAACAGAGUUAUGGAUUUGGAUGCCUUUAGUGGAAUAAAACUGAAUUUUUUAACUUUGUAUAGUUGUAAACAUAAAAUACUCCAUGAGGUAGACUCAUAGCUUUUGAAAACAAUCCUUGAGGAUGGCAUAACAACAUCUCCAACUUUUGUCAUGUAAUGUAUGAAUGUAAAUAGCACUUCGUAAACAUAUGGAUGUAAUAUAUGUAUAUAAACACUCUUUAGCAUGUAUAUUUUUCAAAACUUUCUACAUCUUCAACAAUGUUUCAAUGAUUUCUUGAUGUAAACAAUGAUAAUUUGAAGAACCAUUUAAAGUAUUUUGGUAAUCAUCAUACUUAAGCUUAAAUGUGAUAUAUCCGUUUAUUAUUUUUUAUACAGUGAUAAUACUCAAGUAUAAUUUACAUCAUAUAUCUUUUGAAGUACAUGAAACUAUGAAGAAAAAACCCUAAUUAAUCUGAUUAUGGGGGUUUUGUUUUAUAUCAAAAUAUUGCAGCAGAAGUCACACUUUGAAGAGUUCACGCUGCAUAGAAAGACGAUGAAAUGCUAUCUGUUGAGUCCAUCAUUGAUCCAUUGGAGACAGAGCUGAAGCUUGAUGCAGGUGGUAUACUUUUGUUAUGCAAUAUGAUCCCUUUAAUUUUAUUUUAAGACAUAUAGGGUUGAAAAAAAUUUAUGUAGUAUUUUUGUAUCAGUUUUGAGUGUCUAUUUUGGCUUCCAUAUUUGGUCUAUACAUGUGAGGUAUAGAGUGUUCAAUAUGAAUUUGGUUUCUAUAUUGUAAAUGGAUCUAUUUUUUUUUUAGGUAACCAAGUUGCAGGAUGAAAACCGAACACUUGAUCUGCAGGUAAACCUUCAAUUUCCAUAUGAAGUUUGCAUUUUCGUUGUUUCUGGAAUUUGAGUUUUUGCAGGAUGAAAACAGAACACUUGAUUGGUUAUUUCCGAGCUUUUCAUGACUUUCGAUACCCAAUAGAGAAUAUGGAAACCCCAACUUUAAUUUUAUGAAUUGGUUUUGGUGCCUAAAAUGAAAUCUAGCACAGUGAAAUCUUGCAUAAUGAAAUUAUGACAAAGUUCCCUUCAUCUUUAAAUUUUCAUUUAGUUCAAUUCGUAUGCAGUUUAGGGUUAUUCAAUUCAUGAGUGAUCAAAUUAGGUUUUUAAUUCCUUCUUUUGAUUUUCAGUUCAGCAUUGUCGUAUUUUGGAUGCCUUUAGUGGAAUAAAACUGAAUUUUUUUAACUUUGUAUAGUUGUAAACAUAAAAUACUCCAUGAGAUAGACUCAUAGCUUUUGAAAACAAUCUUUGAGGAUGGCAUAACAACAUCUCCAACUUUUGUCAUGUAAUGUAUGAAUGUAAAUAACACUUUGUAAACAUAUGGAUGUAAUAUAUGUAUAUAAACACCACUCUUUAGCAUAUAUAUUUUUCAAAACUUUCUACAUCUUCAACAAUGUUUCAAACCCCGCAGCAACGGGCGGGUACACUUGCUAGUAUACAUCUAAAAUUAUAAGACUAAAUCCUUUAGUUCUUGGAUUCAUCUAAGAACUACUUAUUCAAGCAGAUGCUAUGCUUGCACUACUAGAAUUUAUGGCUUGCCCUGUCAACUAUUGCGCGACAGAAGAUUUCGUCGGUUUCACCUUUUUUAACCGACAAAAUAUAAGUUUAGUAAGGCAAAAUCAGUCAACAAACUUGGUUUACUGAAUAGAUUUACAGGAUGUUUAGAGUUCGUAGGUUAAGACAUCAGUCGUUGGGCAAACAUUUGGAGCGAAGAUGUGAGUGUUUUAACUGACGAAUAAGCUGGUCGUCAUGUAGAUCUUCUUUCCCGACUGACGGUUCAACGGGUAGCUCUUUGGAUAACAAAUCAUCUUCAAGGGGAACAGGUUGCCCCUCAGAUGAAUGGUUAGAGGCAAUUGUGAGACUAUAAUUUUCUAGGGCCGGAAAAUCUGUAACCAUCCACCAAAUACCCCUUCUUCCCUUUCUAUUUCUCUCUCAGUAAUUUCCCCUGACCUAAUCACACAAUCCAACCAACUCUUUUUAAGCCUCCCUCAUUGAUUCCAUGGAUUUCAUGGACUUAUCCCACCCUCUCUCCUUCCCUCUAUAUAUAGCAAGUCCCCUUGCCUCAGUGUCCCUGGCAACAGAAUUUAUGGUGUGUCUUCGUUCUUUCAAUUAUUUGAAAGCUUUCCUGCCCUGCAGUCUUGUACAAAGGCGUAUGGUGUUUCAUCAGUUCCAUUUGGUGGUUGGGUGGGAAAUGAAAUUAAAACAUUGAUUUCAAAUGGUCUAAACCAAAUUGAAUCAAAUGUGAAGCAAAGGGCAAAAGGUGUAGAUUGAAGAACAAUGGCACCAAGAGCGAAAUUGAACUUGUUGACAGGAGGAAACCAAGUAACGAUAACGCGUCUAAAUCUUAUUUCGAAUCCAUUCAGCUUAUGAUGUUUUUAAUGAUGAUGAUCUGUAUACUUUGCUACAUGCUGUGAUUUUUUCGCUUUCAUGUAAUUAACGGCUUAUAUUUAUGGUAAAGAUAUUGAUUAAUUUUGAGAAAUGACAGUCUAAUUUUUGCAACUGUCUUUUGCAGGCAAAACAAAGACGUUUGCAAGGGUGAGUUUUGUAGGACCGGUGUUUAGCUUUGUUUCAUGUCCAAAGGACACUUGAGAAUAAAUGUUUACUCAUGGAUAAUAUCUAUCUAUUUGCAUGAGCAACCCUGGGUUCAUUUGUUCUGUUACUGCUGGUCAUUGCGGCAUAUCACGCCUACAGCACUGACAAAGUAAAAAGAAAAUCGAAUGAAAUUUGGUAAGAUUUUAGCGGACUACAAAGAUCUUAAGCCAAUCAUAUAUUCCCAUGCAGAUAUUAAGAGGUUUACAAAUCAAUUCAAGUACAAGUUGGGCCAAGGAGCAUACAUAACUGUUUUUAAAGGAAAGCUUUUUUCUGAAUGCUUUGUUGCCAUGAAAGUACUUAACAUUUCCAAGGGUGACGGGGAAGAGCUUGUAAAUGAAGUGGGGAACAAUGGGCCAUAUUCACCAUGUCAAUGUGGUUCACUUGGUUGGUUUUUGUGCUGAUGGAUUUAGAUGAGCUCUGGUUUAUGAGUUCUUUCCCUUUGGUUCACUUCAGGAUUAUAUGUCAUCAGUAGAUAGAUUUCUUUCCUUGGUUGGCAUAAGUUGCAAGAUAUUGCUAUCAACAUAGCCAAAGGAACCAGGGAUGUGAUCUACAAAUCCUCCAUUUCGAUAUCAAACCCCAUAAUGCUUUGCUCGACCAAAAAAUCACGCCAAAAAUCUCUGAUUUUGGUCUGGCCAAGUUAUGUUCCAAGGAUCAAUCAGUGUGACUAAAGCAAGGGGGACCAUGUGACUAAAGCACCUGAAGUGUUUUCCAGGAAUUUCGGAAAUGUGUCUUACAAGGUAGAUGUCUUGAAUGUUGCUGCUUGAAAUGGUAGGAGAAAAGAAGAAUAUUGGUUCAACCAGAGGACACGACAAAUGAAAUCUACUAUCCAAAAUGGAUUUAUAAUCUUCUAGAGGAAGGAAUGACCAACAGAUCCAUAUUGAGGAAGAAUGUUAUGGUAAGAUUCCAAAGCAACUUGCAAGUUUAGGGCUCUGGUGCAGCCAGUGGCACUUGGUGGAUCGGCGGUCCAUGAAAACGGUGGUUCGGAUGUUAGGAGGAUGAGAAAACUUGAUGAUGCAAGCAACCCUAAAAGCCUCAUACAAUUAAAAGUAAUUGCUGAAUUAGAGUAACAUAUGUAUAUGUAUACGCACCAACACAAGUCGUUCUUAGAUGAAUCCAAGCCAAACAAUUACAAACAACAGUUAUUCACUAAAUCACUUUAAGGCAAGAAUUUAAUUAAUAAUACAUUACUGCACUUUCUUAACCAUUUGACUAUCACCUAGCUGACAAUGAACACGUUAGCUCCGCGUUAGAACAUCUUGGGUUCACUUCAUUGUCUUGAAUAUCACCCACUGUCACAGGCGUCUCUAGGGGGCAUAGAGAAGGCCUGAGAGGCAUUUGCAGACAUUCAACAUCUCCUCCAAGCAUUUUGACAACUUUGGACAUCGAAGGGCGAUCACUUGGUUUCAUUUGAAUACACCACAAGGCGGUUAUAACCAUCUUUCUUAUUACUUUCUUUUCCUCCUCUGUAACAUUGUCCAUUUCCAAGUCAUUUCCCACAAUAUACUGAUCGUAUACCCAUAUUGGGAAGUAGAUUUGGCUUGAAUGCUCUACCGUUGGAUUCAAAUUCUUCCUUCUGCUUGCCAUCUCCAUCAACAACAUUCCAAAACUAUAGACAUCUGACUUGUAUGAGACACCUCCAAUAUUUUUGUAGAACAACUCAGGAGCAAUGUAUCCCAGUGUACCCCGUGCUGCCGUCAAAGAGACAAUGCUAUUAUCUACAGGAUACAAUUUUGCAAGCCCAAAGUCAGAAACCUUUGCUUUAAAGUUCUCAUCAAGAAGGAUGUUAUGAGGCUUGAUGUCGAAAUGUAGAAUUUGCAUUUCGCAACCUUGGUGUAGAUAUUCGAUCCCUUGAGCCACUCCAAGAGAAAUCUCGUACAUGUUCUUGAUAGUUAAGGGAACACUUCCUUCUUUGGAAUAAAUGUAUUUAUCAAGAGAACCAUUAGGCAUGAAGUCAUAUACUAGAGCUCGUUUUGAUCCCUCAACACAGUAUCCAACAAGUUGCACCACAUUGGCAUGGUGAAUCCUUCCGAUUGUAGCUAUUUCGCUAAUGAAAUCUUGGCCAUCAGCUUUGGGCUUGCCCAAAACUUUAACUGCUACAAAUCGACCACUGCGUAGCUUUCCCUUAAAUACAGA
rnacentral:lncRNA from 1 species